rnacentral:lncRNA from 1 species
AGCUCUAUGAACUUGGAAGGAAGAUAUGGUCAACCAAAGGAGAAGAGCAGGAAACAGCCAAGAAGGAAUUCAUAGAGUGCCUCAAGCUUCUGGAAGGAGAGCUUGGAGAGAAGCCUUACUUCGGCGGUGAAAAAAUUGGGUUUGUGGAUGUGGCUCUGGUGACCUUCUCUUGCUGGUUUCAUGCAUAUGAGAGCUUUGGAAACUUCAGCAUAGAGGCGGAGUGUCCCAAGUUGAUAGCUUGGACCAAGAGGUGCAUGGAAAAGGAGAGCGUGUCGUCUUCUCUGGAAGACCCACACAAGGUCCAUGGCUUUGUUAUGGGGAUGAGAAAGAAGCUUGGCAUAGAAUAACUAUUUUGUAGUGUUGCUGUGGUAAUAUUAGAUAUAUGUGAGUGUUUGGCUGUUUGCUUAAGUUUUUGCUUUGAAAUUGUAUGGUUACUAUUUGCAGUUGAAACCCCUUUUGGAGGGUUGGUGGGUUUGCUGGAAAGAAAUGUUUUGAAUUUGUUUUCAUUUGUUUUGGACUGGACUAGAGAGGUGUUCUUUGUAUUCCAUCAUUUCGUGUCAUAAACAAGUAUUAACACAAGUUGGAUAAGGCAUGCCUCUGGCCCUUUAUGGUAACGUACAAAGAUAUCAUGGGCCUACAAAGAUAUCAUGGGCUACAGAAUAGGUUAGGGCCCGCUUUUUAAAUCACUUUUUUUAACUAAUAUGUUUGGCAAAAGAUGUUCUUCAAUAAUUUAAUUCAUCUUCCUUGUCGGUCAUUUUAAGUAACAAGAAAAUGAAAAAGAAAUAAGAGAAAAGUUCAAUCACGUUCCAUAAUGUUUGUUUUUGAAAAUUGCUUUUAUGUUAAACAAACAAAAAUAAUUUUUUAAAAUUUUAUAAAAUUUUAUAAAAUAAGGAUGUUUGACAAGUUAUUUUGAAAUUGGUUUUUCUUUUAAAAAAAAAUAAUUUUUCUAUGUUGAUUUUGUAAAAAUAUUCUAAAUUUAAUUAAUAGAAAUUUAAUUGAGGUCUUAUAAAAAAUGAAAUUAGUUUUAAAUUAUAAAUAAAUUAAAAAUAGUAUAAUAUAUCAGCGUGGACCUAUUUUUUUUACGUGCGUCCUCACUCGACGAUGAGACUCGUUUUUUAUUUAUUUGGUGAAAAAUAUGAUUUUUAGAAAAAGAUUUGAAGUCCUCAUUGAUUUUUGUUUUAUUUUUCAAGGGAAAGACAAAAUAAAAAAUAAAAACCCUAAAUAUGAUUUCUGAAGGAAAAAUAGGUUUGUGAAAAAUCGAGUUUGGGUUUGGGGAUCAAGUUACUUAUUAGGAAGGUAUGGUAAUGAGUUAUAACACCCCUCUAAGCUCGUUUAUGUACGACCUCUACUAAAUGAAUUAAGGAAAUUGUGACAAUUAAUUAAUUAAUUAUAGAUACCAAGAAAAAUAAUCAUGUAAAUGAGUAUGUACAAGUCAAGGUGAAAAUUAAUAUACACAAAAAUAAUGAUGAAAUCUAAUUACAAGAAUACACAAAAUAAAUAACAAAAGAAUUAUGCAAAAAUAAUUUAUUGAACUAAAUAAAAAAUAUUAAAAAAAUAGUUUUCAAGAAAUUUCGAAGGAUUUUAUUAAAAAUGAUUUUUAAUUAAUGAUUUUAAUUUUUUUUAUUUACAAAAAAGAAGUUUCAAUUUAUUUUCAAUUAAUGAUUUGAUUCAAUUUCAUUUGUAUUUAAUUUUUUUUAAAAAAAAAGUUAUUUGCACUUAUUAUAUCAAAAGAAUUUAUUACAAAAUUUCAAUUUGGUAAUAAAAAUGAUUUUUACUUGCUUUUACAAAAAAAAUUACAAUUUUAUUUACGAAAGUAUUUCACUUUGUUUUAAUUUGAGAAAAGUGACUUAUACAAAUUAUUAAAAAGAAUAUAACUUUAUUUGCAAAAGAAUUUUUAAUUAAAAAUUAAUUUUUGGGACAACUUUAUUUACAAAAUAAUGUUUGGACAAUUUUUAUUAAACAAAUAAAUUUUUGGACAAUUAUUAUUAAAAAUAAUUUUUCAAAUUCUAUUAAAAACAAUUUUUUUGGAUUUUUCUAAAAGCAUUUUUUUGAAUUUUUAUUAAUAAAAAAAACUUUCUUUUAUUAAAAAGAAUAUUUUAAAAUUAUUAUUUUAUUAGAAUAUAUUUACUAAAUUAUUCCUCUUAUUUAAAUGACAAUUUUGAUUUGUUAAAUAUUUAAUUCUGUAUAUACUCAAUAAAUAUAUACAAACUAAUAUUUACAAGAACUAAUAGAAAUAAAAUCAAACAGAAGUGAGCAAUAAAACGUGUACCCAAAUAAGGUUACAACAAGCUUAAUGUCUCUCUACAACUUUUUUAUUCUUACUUUCUUCCAUGAAAUUUUGUGCUUCACGUGUUAUAAAUUUGUACUCAGCCAAUAGAAUUGCAGAAUAGGCCCAUGCAAAAACAAAAAUAGUUCAAAUGUAAAUAUCCAAAGGUGUACAAAAUCCUUAACAAAUAUUCAAACUCAAAUUCAAAUUUCAAAUUAGUUCGAUAAAUCUUGUCAAUCAAAAUGGACACAAAUUAACAAAUAUAACCUAACAAAAACAUCUCACAUGCUAUAAACCUUAAUCCAAAAAUUUCAAAUUAAUAACCAAAAUACAACACAAUUAGCCAAGCCCAAAAUAUCACAAAAUAAAAUAAAUUCAAUUAGGCCUAAAUUUAAUAUUUCAUAAUCCAAGCCUAAUUUAAUAUACACCAUAAUUGUCCCACAUCCAAAUUAAAUAGUUCAAAUUGGUGAAGCUCAUAUCAAAUAUUCAAGUCAUCAAUCAAAUUUCACCCACAUUGUGGACCCAAAAUCCAUACCUAUAUUAUGGGUCCAAAAUUCAUAUCAAUUAACAAGCCCACAUUAAUAAUACACAUGACCAAAGAAAAUAAUUUCCCAAGCCCAAUCCAAUAAGCCCAAAUAAAUAACAUUAGAUUCAAGUCAAAAUCAAUUACUAUGCAAACAAAAAUAAAAAAAUAAAGAUAAAAAAAUGAAAAUAAAAUAAAGUAAAAAGGAAAUUUACCCUUUUUUUUUAUAACUAUGGGUGGUAGGAUUGCUAGUCGGCAGUGACUGGCAGGUAAUGGCGGGUGGUGGCGGGCAGUGGUUGUCGGUAGUGGUGGGUGGUGGUUGGCCGGUAGUGGCCGUGGAGUGUGGGGAAGGGAAAAGGAAAGAAAAAGGAAGAGAAAAAAAAAUGAAGGAAGAUGGGGAGCGUGUGACAGUGGGGGUUUGUGGAAAAUGGCAGUGUAGAGAGAAGGACUAUGAGAAGAAGAAAAAAAAAAUGGAAGAGAAAAUGGGGACCAUCGUGUGUGAUAGUUGGGGGGAAGAAAAAAAAAAGAAAAAAGGAAGGGAGGAGAUGGGAGAGUUGACCGUGUUUGGUGUGUGGGUCGUGGAGCGGUUGUUGUGUUGGAAGGGAGCCUGAAGAAGAAAUGAUGGAGGAAAAAAAAGUGAAGAGAGGAACGUAGAGAAAGAUGAUAAAAAAAAAAAAAAAAAAAAAAAAACUUGGAGGGGGUAUGGGGAGUGGCUUAGACAUGUAGGAGAAGGAAAUGGGUAAGGGAAGUAGGUGGAGUGGGUAGAAUGAGGGGAAAGAGGAAGAGAGAAGAGAGAAGAGAGUGAAAAUAAAUAAAAUUAAAUUAAAAAUAAAAAUAUAAUAAUAAUAAUAAUAAUAAUAAUAAAUAAAUAAAUAAAUAAAUAAAAAUAAUAAUAAAAAUAAUAAUAAAAAUAAUUUAUAAAAUAAUAAAAACUAAGAAUUAAAGGGUGUAAGUGGGCUAAACAAUUAAGAUGUAAUCAAAAUUUAAAUCUAAGGAUAAAAUUGAGCUCAAUAUCAAUGUAAAAAUAAAAUUAGGACAAAUUUUGGGGUCUACAAUCGGUUUUCAUAUAUUAUUUCUUAUGGUGAUUAGAUCUAUUUACUAGGUUGUAACUUAAAAAAAAAAAAAAAAAACCUAUUAGUAAAUUCAAUGUUACUUGAUUUGAAGUUUAUUCUUUAAUAAAAAAAUUUAUAAAAAUAUAAGUAUGUAUAGAAAAAAAGUAGACUCAUUAAAACCCAAUUUUUAUCCAUAAAUUUUUAAUAUUAACCACUAUUUAAGUUUUAAGUUAUUUAAAAAAAUUACUAAACUCAUUAAUUAAUUUAAUGUAUUAAGUUUUGUUUAAUUUGGAUUUUAUUUGUCUAGUGAAAUAAAUAAAUAAAAAAUAUAGUUUCAUGUAGAAGAGAAACAAUAGAGUCAUUGUAGAUUAGAACUAGAAGUUAUAAAAAAUAUGUAAAAUAUAUAUAAUUAUAUAGCUGGAGUUUAUAUUAUAAAUUAUAAAGUUAAAAAAAAUAUAAAAAACUACCUUCAAUGUAAUUUCUAAUUUCUUUUAAUUAUAAUGUAUAAUCAAAAGUUAGACAAAACAAAAUUGUACACUCAUAAGUUAAAUAAUGAAUAUUUCAUAGCCUCAAAGGUGUAUACAAUUUUACACAUUUUUGUUAUGAUAAAAAUAAUCCAUAGCCAAAAACUAUGAAAGCGAUCAAUUCGUAAUUUUUAUUUUGUUAAUAUUACAUGAUGUUCAUGCAUUUUUUUAAACCAUAUUUAUAAUAAUCCUAUAGCGAUAAAAUAUAACAAAAUCUUAAAUCGUUAUAGUUUUAUUAUAGAAUAUUAACUGGAUAAAUAUUGUUAGAUAAUUUAAUUAAUUUAUUUUAAUAAAUUAAAAUAUUAUUCUAAUAAAAUUAUUUCAAAUAUUAUUCUAAUUUAAAAAUUACUAGACUGUUAAGUCUUGUUUAAUUUUGAGUUCAUUUAUAUAGUAAAAUAAAAUUGGAAAAUAUGAUUUCAUGUAGAAGAAAAAUAAUAGAGUUGUUAUAGACUAAUUUUCAUCCAUAAAUUUUUAAUAUUAAUUACAUCAUUAUUUGAGUUUUAAGUUAUUUCUAGAAAUUACUAAAUUUAUUAAUGAAUUCAACACAUUAAGUUUGGUAUAAUUUUAAGUUUAUUUGUCCAAUGAAACAAAAUUGGAAACAAUAAAGUCAUUCAAGUUCAAUUUUUGUCCAUAAAUUUAUGGUAUUAAUUGGAUCACUAUUUGCAUUGCAAUUUAUUUUUAAGAAUUACUUAGACUUGUUAAUAAAUUCAACGCAUUAAGUCAUACUUGAUUUGGUGAUUAUUUACUAAGUGAAAAAAAUUGUAAAAAUAUGAUUAUAUGCAAAGAAAAAACUAGCCAAGACAUUUAAAUGAAUUUUGGUGUAUGAUAUUCUAAUGUUAGUGAGUUUCAUGACUUUAUAGUACUAACUAAAUCAAUUUUUGACUUUUAAGUUAUUUUUAAAAAUUAGUAAAUUUUAUGUAUAAAGUAUAAUUUGAUUUAGAAUUUAUUUUAUCAAUGAAAAUUUUCUUAAAUUAAAUGAAAUUCAUUAAAACACAUGUAAUUUAAAAGAAUAUUAUAUUUGAAGAUUUUUAGUAUCGGUAUUAGAUCGUAGAAAGAGGUAAAGAAGAAUGAUAUCAUCUUCAAUCUUAUUUGCUUUUUAUAGUUUUUUUAAAUUCCUCUAUAUUUUUCUUUUGCUUUUAAAAAUUGAUGAAAACAAUUUCUACUUGUUUUCUAAAAUAUGUUUUUUAUUUCACUUUAUUUUUAAAAAUUACAAAUAGAAAACAACUAACAAACAAUUUUAUGAAUUUUUAAAAAUAGUUUUUUUUUUAAUUUUUAAAAACAAAAGUUAUUUUUUAAUGAAAUGGCCAAAUGGGCUAAAAACUUUUCAACAGCAAAUUUUGAGAAUUUGGGUCAAGUGCUAUGUGCUCUUGUACAAUCCUCCACUAUUUUUGGCCUUCAUGUCACCGUUGUCAACUUUUACUGUGAAUAAGUUCACGAGCUUAUCUUACUUUAUAUUCGAGAGCAAGGAACAAGAUCUUGAGAGAUGCUUGGUUUGUUUUUUUUUUUGUAUUAAAGAAAUAAAAGAGUAUUCACUUACUAUUCCAUUUUGUACUAAAAAAAUUUGAUAAGACAUUGAUAGGCAUGUAAAUAUUAUAACAUUUAAAUAAACUAAAAAUAUUUUUGUUAUAUUAUUUUAAUUUUAAUUUUUGAACUUUCAUAUUAACGUUCGUUUUAAUUUUUCAUAUGAUUUAAAAUUGAUCAUGGUUCUAACCUUUUACUAGGCUAAAAUCUUUAACUUUUUUAGAUACAUAAAAUAGAAAAUAAAAUAUAUUUUCAUAUAAAUUGUAUUAACAUUUCUUUAAUUAAUUUUUAUAUUUCUUAAAAUACAUAUAUCUUAAAAUACAUAUAUCUUUUUUAAAAAAUAAGUACAUCAUUUAGAAAAAUAGGUACAUCUAAUAUAAAAACAUGUACAUUUCAUUUCAUCGGGGAUUCUUAUCCUCAUUCAACCUAAUUCGGGUGUGGGAUUUCACUUAUGUAGGUCUCAGAAUGCAUUUGAGGUCUUCUUAUACCCUAUUCAACAUGAUAUAACUUUGUGUACAUGUUUUAAAAAAAUGUAUAAAAGUUUAGAAAAGUAUUUACAUCUAAUUUGAGUUGAAUCAUUCCCUUAUUCGACCUAUUUUGAAUCUAAAUUUUAACUUCUAUAUACCUCAUGAUGCAUUCCCAAACCCUAUUUGGCAUGGUAGAACCCUAGGUACAUAUGUUACAAAAAUAAGUAUACUCUUAAGAAAAAGUACAUCUUUUACAAUAAUAACUAUAUUCUUAAAUAUAUAUAUAUAUAUAUAUAUAUAUAUAUACAUUCGUAAGAAAAAUGCAUAUAUUUGAUUUGAGGUUAACCAUGAUCCAAUUCAACCUAAUUUGGAUAUAAGAUUUGACUUAUAUAUGCCUCAAAAUGUAUUUUAUGCCUUCCAAAACUUCAUGUAGCAUGGUAGAAGUAUAGGUUCUGAAAAGGUGAAUCUCAAUAGUGGAAUACACCUAAAGGGGGGUUGAAUAGGUGUUUUGACCAAUUGAACAAAAUCUCAACUCAAAUUAGUAAACCUUAAAACUUCUUGAAUAUUUUUCUUCUCUUCACAAAGUCUAAAAAACAAAUUAUAAAUCACAUGAAUAUAUGAAUGCAACAACACUCCCCAACAAUAUUCAAAUGAAAUUCACAUGCACAUGAUCUAAUACUCCUAAACCCAAAUCAACUUAAAACUAAAUUAUGAUAAAAACAAGAUCAAUAUACAUCAAAAUAUCAAUGAUUAACAAUCAGAAAUGACUUCAAAGAUAAUUCAUAGCCAUUUCUCUUUAUCAUUCAAUCAAAUACUAGACAAUCAAAAUUAUAAUAAAUUGUAGAAACUAAAAAAUGAUGCGAAGAAGAGAAAACGAGACAAUGAGACACCAUAAAUUUACAUGGAAAAUUUUUGAAGAGAUAAAAAACCAUAAGCCUACUACCAAUCAAAAACAUCCACUAUGAAGAAUAAAAACUAAAUACAAGGUUUUACCUAGCUCAAGCCAACUAAUCCUUCCCGGACCACUUGACUAGUACCUUCACUUUUAGUUUCUCACAUUCUUAUUUUAGAGCACAUUUGGAGUCUACACCAAGCUCGAUCUCGACCUCUUAUUGAUUUCACAUAAGAAAAAAAUGGGUUUUUGUGCAAAACCAAGAGAAUUAGAUAUGAAUGUUUCAAAAAUCAACCCAUGCUCAUUUUCAAAAAAUCCAUUUUAAAAAAAUUUCUUAGAAAACUUGGAUGGAUUUUCUUCGUAGGUAAACACCCUUAAAAUGGUGAGGAAAGAAAAAACUCUCUCACAACUAUUGUAGUCACCACUUAUAGAGAUGGAAGAGAUUUGAUUUUAAAUGAGAAAGAAACCCUUAAUCGAAGGGUUGAAAGUUGAUCUUAAAAAUAGGUUGGUUGGAUCAAUCUGCCUCUACACUUAGAUCAAUCCAAAAACAGGGGAACAAAAGCCUUGUGCUAAUAAUAUUUCUCCUUGUUUUCUUAACUCAUUUAAAGAUGAAAAAACAGGGUUGAUUCAUAUUCAAUCACCACACUCGACUAUAUACCUCAGCCUCUUAGCAAAGUUUUAAUCUUCAAAGGUCAAGUAGUCCGAAGAGGGAUUUGUAAACUGAGUUAGGGGACACUUAGGAAUUUUGUUUGAAAUUACCAACCUAGCUAAACACUCACAAUCUCCUCCUUUGGCAAUUCUGGGACAAAACUCUUUACAAUACGAAUGAGUACAAGUAAGUAAGUCCCACCCAACUCUCAUACAAGGCCACACACUCACUCAAAACCUCACCAAAGGUGCUACAAAUCCUAUAAAUAAAUCUCAAGAAAAAACUUUAGGAGCACUUGCACAUAUUACCAAGACACUUCCAUAAGUUUCGAAUGAAUUGAUACACAAAUAUCCACAUAUAUCCACAAAAUCACAUGUCUAAAGAUAGUUAAUAUGCAUUCAUGAGUUCAAAAACGUGUCAAAUAUCCAUCGAUAUACAAAAAGGGUGAUCAUGAUCAACAUAUCAAAUAUCCAAAGCAACAAAACACAAAGAAACCGUCAUGAUCAACUACAUGUCAUAUCAACAUCCAUGUAAAAUGUAAAAUGUUUCCUAAUUUUUGUCCCAGUAGGAGACAAAAGGUCAUAAUCUCCCAUUUUCUAUCUUAGAAAAAAGACAAAUGAAUGAGAAUUCAAUAGCAUAAUAUCUCACAUCCAAAUCAACAAACAUCCACUUUUCAACAAAAUGUCAAAUACCCAAAAAUCAAAUAUUCACAUAUUACCAAGUAUCCAUAUCAACAUUUCAGAAAAAAAAAAUUAUAGGAUACAAUAAUCUCCUCUUGACUCCCAUCACAAGAUAUAAGAAUCUCUCCCUGAAUCCUAUCACAUGGUUUCAAUUAAAAACUUUCAAAAAAUAUGCUUUAUCACCAUGAAAAUAGAUUUCAAGCAUGAAAAUUUAUGGAAACCACUCAAAAUGAACAACCAAAGCCUAGGAUUAGCAUUCCUAGAAACUAGGAACACUCCAAGGCAAAAAUGAAAUCUCAAACUAUUAAAACUAUUGUGAGAAGACUCCACACACAAAAAAUAAAUAAAUAAAAUCCAAAUGAGACUAAGGGCUGAUUGGAAUUUCCAGAAGUGUAGAUUGUGUUGUGUUGAUUGUGCUGUGAAAAACAUAGUCCUAAGGGUUGAUUGGAAUUUCCAACUGCUGGAACGGAAUCCCAACUACACAAGAUACAAUCUAGUGACGCACAUUGGAGGUCCUAGCCAACACAUACUAUGUAGAAGGCAAUUUCUGACAACACCGACGCACUAAGAAGAGACACACAGACCGACGACAUGAGUUGGACAACACAACAAUUCUAGGCUAUUCGACGAGGCUGUUUGGUGGGAUUGGCUAGACUUGAAACGCUCACCAGAUAGGGAAGUCUGACUAUAAAGGUUUCCAAUGGUAGAGACUUAUGACGGUAGUGGUCGGAAUGAUGAACCGACGAUGAUGGCUAAAGAGAAGCAUAGAGUAGAGAAGUUUCCUUCUUUAGAACAAAAGACCUAGGGCUUUUGAAAGAAAUGAAUUGGGAAAAACUGAUUUAGGGAUUUUGACUUUUUUACUUUUAGUUACGAAAAUACCUCUCAUCCAUUAAACCAUAUGAGCAUAACUAGUUGGGGGCAAAAAUGGAAAUUUUCACAAAUGCAUAAGUGGUAUCGAUUUUAGUGGAUUGAUCUAGCUUUCGAUUGUGCUCUCGAUGAUACACAGUCACAUAGGUUUGAACAUACCAAAUUUGAAAAAAAUGGUUAAGUGUGUGAGAGACAAGUACUAGGUGGUAUCGACCUUGGUGGAUCGAUCUAAGAUUCAUUCAAGGGCUCUCGAUCACUACAUUGUGCACACAAUGGAUCGAUCCACAAAUUCAAUAGAUCGAUCGACACCUAAUUGAAAAAUGACUUAGGCAAAAACUAUUGAAAAAUCACAAGAAAUACACCAAUAGGCUUUCCAAAAACUGAAAAUUGAUUGACCAAAGAUGAGAUACAAUAGGAUGGCAUACUUAUAUUUCAAUUAAUGAGUUAGAGUUGAUUCACAUUGAACAAAAAUGCUUCCAAGAACUUAACAAUGGACAAAAUUAAUAAACAUAGAGAUUGAAGUACUUUCCAAAUUUAUCAAAUGAAUAGGUAAAAAACAAAUGAUUAUCAACACUCUAACAAGGAAGCUUAAGCUAAAAAAAAAAACUCACUCAUGACACCAUAAAACGGUGAAAAUGUUAAAUAAUUUCCACUUAUAAACCUAUAUUCAUUUAUGAGCCAAAAAUCAUUUUCAAGAUACUCUUCCUUUCUAGAGAAAUUCAAGAUAAUGUUCCAAGAAGUCAAUUUGCAUCUCUCUUGGCUAGAUUUCUGUUUAACAUGACCUAAUCACAUCCCUUUAAUAAAAUUCAUACACUAUUUGCUUUUCAUAUUUAGCAUUGAAAGGAAUACAAAGCUAUAAGUUUUACCUUAAAGAUCAGUUUUUGACUUGAGGAUCUCUAAGGACGCCUUUACAACAUAACAACAUAAGAGAUGUCCCACUUUUGCAAGGGAGGCUUUUUAAUUCUUGAAACACUGCCAAAGAGCCAUAUCCAUUCCGGGAAACUUCAUAUUUUCUUUUUCUUUUCUUUUUCAUUUUUUUUAAAAAUUUAAUUUCAAAGAGAGGACAAACAAUCAAAGAUUGAUAUUCUCAACCUCUCAAGGAUAUUCCAGGUGUCUUUACUCACUCUUUAAUGCUCAUUAAAUGGGUAUAAGUUUACAUUUAGACUUUAAAGAGCAUUAUUCACCAUUUAUGCAAACACAAGGUCUAACAAUGAGCUUUUUCUCACUUAAUAGAAAUGAAGCUAAUCAUUUGUAGUUUAUCUAACCAAAUCAAAAUAGCAAGGAUUCAAUAUCAUGUUUAUCAAACAAGCCAUGGAGAUAAAGACAUCUUGAAGCUUUUAAGAUCAUGAUGAGUUAAUUUAACUUUUAAACAAAAUGAAUAAGCAUGUCACUCUCAUGAACUCAACAAUUGUUGAAAAUUUAUGAAAAAUGGAGAAAAGAUUGAACCAAAACAAAAAGAACAUCAAGUUGAUGAUAUUUGGGAACUUAGGAAGACAACUAGGACUCAAGAAUAUGCAAGAGGAGUCCUAGACAAGUUUUAGAGGCAAUUAAAUAGAGAGUAUAUAAACCUAUGGGGCUCCUAAGUGAUUCAAACCUAGAAAUGUCCAAAGGUUUAGUAACAUUGUUAGCAAUUUGACUUUCUAUAGGGAAAAACUCUAGUGAAACAACCUUGUCUUCUACCAAGUCUUGAAUGCAGUGAUGCUUAAUGUCCACAUGUUUUUAUCUAGAAUGAAGAACACGGUUCUUUAACCUAUCAAUAACAUUGGCAUCAUCAAAUUCCUCCCCAUCAAUCUUAACUUUUACAAUGGGAUGCUCUUUUUCAUUUUGCAACAAUCUAUGUUGUAGCAAGUGAUUAACACAUACAAUUUUAGAACUUCCACACACAAGAGAAGAGGAUGAAGGAGAUUUUUUACUAACAACAUAGCACUUAUCACAAAUUCUCAAGCCCAUCAUCACACAUACAUCAUUCAAGUUAAACACCUUGCAAAAAUUUUGUGAAAAUUUUACAUUGAACUCAUUCCCACACAUUUGGCUUAUUCUAACUAAGUUAGCCUUUAAACCUUCAUAUAAGACCUCUUCAAGAUUAGGAAUUUCGGGGGCACAAAUGGUACCUUUGUCUUUCACCCUAGCCACAUUACCAUAUCUAAAUGUCACAUUUCCUCCAUCAAAUUCAGUGAAUGAAGUGAACAAAGAUUUAUUUCCAGUCAUAUGAUGUGAGCAUCUACUAUCAAGAUUCCAUGAGUGUGACUCACUAGCUCUAAGUACGUUAUGGACAACAAAACACUUCAACUCAUUCAUUUACACCCAAAUUUGUUUAAUAUUUGAGACUUGUCUUUUCAUUCAAAGUGCUUCCUUUCAACUCACCAUUAUGAGGGAUCUUUGACCACUUCUUGGACACUCUCUUAUUCUCAUUCAAUAACCUAUUCUUCAAAGUAUAACAUUCAUUCAUUAGGUUGGUAAAUUUCUUUUGAAAAUUAUCAGACAAUCUUGCAUAACAUCUAUAAAAAAUGUGUCCCAUUUUGCCACAAUGAUUGCAAUGAAACUUGAUUUGAGAAUGAGUUUUCUUAGGAGAUUAUUUUUCACAAGGCUUAACAAAAAUUGUUUUACCACUACUUGGAGUAGUAUUUGCAUCAACAAAUCCUAAGCCUUGUUUAUCAAAAAAUUUACACCCUAAAUUGAUCAACUCAUUAAGUCUCUUAGAGCUAGGAUGUGACUCUUCCUUCUUAAGACUUAACCCAUCCUUGAACAUUUGAUUCACUUUUCAAUACAUAAUAUUUUUUCUUCACUUCCAAAUGUUCAUUUUCAAGAAAUCCAAUUUUGUCAAGCAAAACCUUAUUUUCUCCCUUCAAGACAUCAAUCUCAUUGAUUAGAAUAUUCUUAGAAGCCUUCCACUUGACUUGUUCUUGUUUAAGGCUCAAGCACUCCUUAUACAAAGUCUCAUAUGCCGUGUCAAAACUCAUGUCAUCAUCAUUGGAGUCACUUGACUCAUGACUCACUUAUCACUUAAGACCUCUUUCUUGAGUGGUUUCUCAUUGACACUUGCAACAAAGGCUAUGAAGUUAGUGCAUUUUUCACUUCCAUUGGAUUCUUUUUCACUUGAUUGACAAGAUUCUAUGUUGCUUCAAGUGACUUGCAUGACCUUCUUUCCUUUUUUUCUUUGAGGGACAUUUGGCGGCAUAAUGUCCAUUUCCUCUACAUUUAAAGCACUCAAUCUCCAACUCUUUUUUCACACAUUUCUCCAUAUCCUUCUUUUUUUUCUAAUAGAGUUCCUCCAUUUUUACCAUCAUUUGAUUCUUUCUUGGAUUUUAUGAAUUUCAUGUACUUCUUAAUUUUUUUAGUAAACUUAGUAAGCACACCAUUUGAUAUUUUCUCAUCAUCCUCACUUUCGGAACUUAGGGACUCUUCUUUAAUAGUUUUUAAAGCAAUUCCCUUAGCUUUCCUAGGUGAUACAAGCGUCAUCUCAAAGGUUUGGAGGGAACCUACAAGUUCAUCUAUCUUCAAGGAAUCCACAUCCUUAGACUCUUCAAUGGUGGUAACCUUAGCUCUAAAUCUCUCUCGAAGAGAUCUUAAAAUUUUUCUAACCACCUUAGUGUUAGAGACGGAUUCACCUAGAUUGAAGUUAGAAUUCACUAUAUCCAUCAAUUUUGCAUGAAAUUCUCCAAAAGUUUCAUGGUCAUCCAUCCUAAUGGUCUCAAACCUAGAUGUCAACAUUUGAAGCCUGGACAUUUUUACGACAUUAGUUCCUUCAUGAGUCACUUGGAGGAUAUCCUAAGCCUUCUUUAACCAAAGUGCAUGUGGCAAUCCUAUGAAAUUCAUUCGUACUAAUGGCAUUGAAGAUGGAGUACAUGGCUCUAGCUUUAUUCUCACUUGCUUCAUUUUCACUUCUAUCACAUUCCAAUUUUGGCUUGAUAACAUUUGUUAGUUUACCUUCUCUAUCUAACACCUUAGGUGGAGACUAACCAAAUUCAAUGACAUUCCAAACUUUUUCACUUUGCAUUUUGAGAAAAUAUUGCAUUCUCACUUUCCAAUGAGAAUAAUUUUCACCAGUUAAGAAUGGUGGUCUCCUAAUGGAAGAUCUCUCUUAAUGAGGUUCCAUGAUUGAGAUUUAAGGACCGAAAAUGAUUUUUUCUUUAAAAACCCUCUCUGAUACCAAUUGAAAAGGUGAAUCUCAAUAGUGGAAUACACCUAAAUGGGGGUUGAAUAGGUGUUUUGACCAAUUUAUCAAAAUCUCAACUCAAAUUNNNNNNNNNNNNNNNNNNNNNNNNNNNNNNNNNNNNNNNNNNNNNNNNNNNNNNNNNNNNNNNNNNNNNNNNNNNNNNNNNNNNNNNNNNNNNNNNNNNNAAAAAAUGCACACUCUCUCACAAAGAAUGUAAAUUUUUCAAAAAAAAAAAAAAAAAAAAAACUUUCUUUUAUGGGGGGGCGCGGUGCUAUACAUUCUUAUAUAGGUAUAUAUAUAAAAAUAUAGAGACCUCACAGAGAAUGUGAGGGGUUCCUGUUCCUUGUGGGUCACUUCUAAAUCCUACACACACCCCUAAGAAACACACACACACUUUUUUUAUGGUGAACCACGACAAUAUACAUCCUUAUUUGGAUCUCUCUAUAAACAUAUAGAAGUGUGGGAGUGUGUGAGGCUCUCCCUUAUUUGAGUGGGCGUUUCUAAAACCUAUAUACAAAUUUUUUUACAUAUAGAAAUAUGAGAGGUACACGUCUAUUAUCUUUUCAUACCAUAUCUAUAUCACUCACUCUCUCUCUCACGUUUGUUUUGUGUGUAUAUAUAUAUAUAUAUAUAUAUAUAUAUAUAUAUAUAUAUAUAUAUAUAUAUAUAUAUAUAUAUAUAUAUAUAUAUAUAUAUAUAUAUAUAAAGUAUAUCCUUUUUAGGUUGUGCCUUUGAAUUAUUCCACUUNNNNNNNNNNNNNNNNNNNNNNNNNNNNNNNNNNNNNNNNNNNNNNNNNNNNNNNNNNNNNNNNNNNNNNNNNNNNNNNNNNNNNNNNNNNNNNNNNNNNCAAAGAUGAUUCAUAGUCAUUUCUCUUCAUCAUUCAAUCAAAUAGUAGACAAUCAAAAUUAUAAUAAAUUCUUGAAACUGAAAACUGAUGCUAAGAAGAGAAAGAGAGACAAUGAGACACCAUAAAUUUACAUGAAAAAUCUCCGAAGAGAUAAAAAACCAUGGGCCUAUUACUGAUUGAAAACAUCCACUAUGAAAAAUAAAAUCUGAAUACAAGGUUUUACCUACCUCAAGCCAACCAAUCUUUCCCAAACCACUUGACUAGUACCUUUACUUUCAGCUUCUCACCUUCUUCUUUCGAGGCACACUUGGAGUUUGUACCAAGCUCAAUCUCGACCUCUUCUUGAAUUCAUACAAGAACAAAAUGGGUUUUUGCACAAAACUGAGAGAAUGAGAGAUGAAUGUUUCAGAAAUCAACCCAUGUUCGUUUUUAGAAAAUCCAUUUUUUUAAAAAAAUUAUUGGAAAACUUGGACGGAUUUUCUUCAUAGGUAAACACCCUCCAAAUGGUGAGGAAAGAAAAAACUCUCUCACGGCUACUACAGUCACCACUUCCAGAAAUGAGGGAGAUUUGAUUUUAAAUGAGAGUGAAACCUUAAUCCAAAGGUUGAAAAUCGAUCUAAAAAACAUGUUAGUUGGAUCAAUUUACCCCUAUACCUAGAUUGAUCCAAAAACAGGGGAACAAAAGCCUUGCACCAACAAUAUUUCUCUCAGUUUUCUUUACUCAUUUAAAGAUGAAAAAUAGGGUUGAUUCACAUUCAAUCACCACACACUCAACCACAUACCUUGACCUCUUAGCAAGUCUUAAUCUUCAAAGGUCAAGUAGUUCGAAGAGGGAUUGGUAAACCAAGUUAGGGAACACUUAGGAAUUUUUUUCGGAAUUUCCAACCUAGCUAAACACUCACAGGUUCAUUUUUUUAGAAACAUAUAACACCUUAAGAAAAAUAUGUACAUUUGAUUUCAACUUAACAUGACAGAGUCACACUCAUUUGGGUCUAAGAUUUGACUUAUGUAUGCUACAAAAUGUAAUUAAGAGCUUCCCAAACCUCAUUUGACAUGGUGGAACCCUACCUAAGGUACAUCUUUUACAAAAAUACAUACAUUCUUAACAAAUAUAUAUAUAUAUAUAUAUUUUGAAGAAAAAUACUUACAUUUUUUUCAAGCGAACUGUGUGUUGGCGUCGUAGAUCUAAGGAACGGAAACAAUACGAAUUUAUUUAUUUAUUUUUUUAAAUUGAUCUUUAGGGUUAAAGUGCUAACCUUUAGGUUUGGAUGUUUCAGACCUUAAAUUCCAAGUGUUGAAGAUGACAUUGAAGUUGUUGGAAGUCUCGUAAACCCAUGGUCUUUUGCUUGAUGACUCAACUUUAUUCUUGGCACAUUUUUGAUAGGAAGGAAAGAAAGGUGGAGGCUAGAGCUCUCUUUAUCUCUAAAUGGUGGAAGGAAAAAGUGAUGAAGACUCUAACCCCUAGGGGGUAUUUAUAGGGUUCCUAACUAAGCUUAAGUGACUUGAGCCCACAUGGGCUUGGGUAACUUAAUUUAGGCCAAAAUGGAUCCUAAUUGAUUAAUUAACCCAAUAGGGCCUACUAAUUAAUUAAUUAGCUCAAUCUAGAGACUUUGUUCACUUAUCCUUGUGCAAUCUUGUAUAAUUACCAAAACACCCUUAUGCACAAAAGUAAACCUAUAGUCAAUUCGACCCUCAUAACUAUGCCAAAAAGAUAUAUAAGCUCAGAGCGGGGACCACUAGGAUCCAUAAGAGUACUAACUCCCUCAGGAUCCAAUUAUGAAGUUGAUUCAACAUCUUAUUACAAAGAAUCAACCAAACUCCAAUAUUCUAUGUAAAUAACAACAAGACACUACGUGCUCGGGUCUAUGACCUAGUAUCCAUUGUGUUCAGUCUUCCCAUGAACUGGUGUUUUAGUCUAACAAGGUGAAAGCUAUCAACCUUUCAAGACUCUCUACCAUCCUUGUGUUACAAAUCCUCCUAUUGUAUAUUCAAUUGACAUGUCUUAGCUUUCAAAGAGCUUAUGUCAAGUUCUACUUAAGGAACUAUUAUGACCAUAGUUUCCAUGAACACAUCCCCUUAAGAUCACCCAAGGGGACACAUUGUCUCAAUCCCAUGAGAUAUCAUGGUGUCUAUUGAGAAUGCCUAUUGUUACCGACUUCCAUUAACAGUGACCCAAUCCAUAGGGAAUAUAUGAUCAACUUACGAUCUCACCCAUAGGUAAAAGUCAUUGCUAAUUUUAGUACAAUCUCAAUAUUCUCUCAAGGUUGAGAGAUAACACAAUGAAGUAUCUUGGUGAGGUCAUGACUACUUGAUAGUCUUAAGUCAUGACUCAUCAUAGGUCUUGUCCAACGUGUAAUCAUACACAGUAGUGUACUCACCAUGGGAAACCCAUCCCAAUAACGAAGACCAACCAUCCCUCCAAUUAGGAGGUGGUGCACUACAACCUCUAAUGGGUUGCCUAGACCCAUAAACCGGUUGUGAACAAGUCAAUUAUUUGCAAGGAACCCAUGACUUAAAGAUCUUCUAUGCAACUCCUAAUGCACCUAAGUCAUGUACAAUGCAAAAUAUGUUGACAAGACUUCUCAUAAAAUAUAAUACAUGGAAUAAAGAUAGAUAAAAGUGAAAUGGGAACAUCAUUAAAUAAAUAAGGAAUUUCAAAUUUAAUACACCAUGUUAUGCUUUUAAGAGCUCUAUCUUAAGACUAUAAUCCUAUUUGACCUUAUUUAGGUCUAGGUAUUCACUUAUGGAAGCCUGAGAAUGAAUUAAAGGUCUUUCCUUACCUUGUUAGGCUUUUCUAAACCAUAAGAACAUCCUUAAGAAAAAAUACAUAUAUUUUUAUGGAAAACAUGUACGUUCUUAAAAAAACAAAAUAUGUGCGUUUUUUUUAAAGGAGAUUGUGACCUUAUUUUGCCUUAUUUAGGUUUUAAUAUUAACUUAUGGAAGCCUUGUAAUAAUUUUGAGGCUUCCCAUUCCUCGUUGGUCAUUUUUAAAGUCUACGUACAUCUUUAAGAAAAAUAUGCACAUUCUUAAACAAAGUAUGUAAAUUCUUCAAAAAAAAAAAAAAAAAAAACCUUUUCUUUUAAGGUGGACCAUGGUUCUAUUCAUUCUUAUUUAGGUCUAAAUAUUAAAUUAUAGAAGCCUCAUAAUGAAUUUGAGGUCUUCCUGUUCCUUGUAGGUCAUUUCUAAAUCCUACAUACAUCCUUAAGAAACAUACAUGCAAUUUUUUUAAGGUGAACCAUGACAAUAUACAUCCUUAUUAGGAUCUCAAUAUUAACAUAUGGAAGUGUUGGAAUGUUUGAGGCUUUCCCUUAUUUGAUUGGGCAUUUCUAAAACCUAUGUACAAUUUUUUUAACAUAUGGAAAUAUGAUAGGUACAUGACUAGUAUCUUUUCAUACCAUAUCUAUAGCAUUCAUUCUUACUAUCAUGUUUGUUUUGUGAUUAUAUAUAUAUAUAUAUAUAUAUAUAUAUAUAUAUAUAUAUAUAUAUAUAUAUAUAUAUAUAUAUAUAUAUAUAUAUAUAUAUAUAUAUAUAUAUAUANNNNNNNNNNNNNNNNNNNNNNNNNNNNNNNNNNNNNNNNNNNNNNNNNNNNNNNNNNNNNNNNNNNNNNNNNNNNNNNNNNNNNNNNNNNNNNNNNNNNUCAAAAAAAAAAAAAAAAAAAACCCUUUCUUUUAAGGGGGGGCACGGGUCUAUUCACUCUUAUUUAGGUGUAAAUAUAAAAAUAUAGACGCCUCACAAAGAAUGUGAGGUCUCCCCGUUCCCUGUGGGUCACUUCUAAAUCCCACACACACCCCUAAGAGACACACACGCACUUUUUUUAAGGGGAGCCACGACACUAUACACCCCUAUUUGGGUCUCUCUAUUUACAUAUGGAGGUGUGGGAGUGUGUGAGGCUCUCCCCCAUUUGAGUGGGCGCUUCUAAAACCCAUGUACACUUUUUUUAACACAUGGAAAUAUGAGAGGGACACGUCUAGUGUCUUUUCUCACCCUAUCUAUAGCACUCUCUCUCUCUCUCACGUGUGUUUUGUGUGUAUAUAUAUAUAUAUAUAUAUAUAUAUAUAUAUAUAUAUAUAUAUAUAUAUAUAUAUAUAUAUAUAUAUAUAUAUAUAUAUAUAUAUAUAUAGAUAUAUCCUUUUUAGGUUGUGCCUUUGAAUUAUUCCACUUCUAAUGGUUUGAAUUGUUUUUUCUAUUCUAAUGACUAUAAUUACCAUGGUACCAAGAAUUAUGUUUACCACGACCAUGAUUGUGUCCUUAGCCUUGUUCACGUCCAAGUCCAACUCAAUGUCUAGGAGCUUGGACGGAUGUGACAGUUGCUUCUAGCAAUGACACAUACCUAAUAGUAUGAGGUUGAUGAUUCUUCGGUAGAAGUUCAUUAUUUUGUUUAGCCAUAAGAAGACAUUAAACUAAUUCAAAAUAUUUAGUGAAAUGAUGUUCUUGAUAUCGUUGCCAUAGGAGUACAUUCGAGGCAUGAAAAAUGGUGUUCAUUAUUCUUUAAUGAUUUUUUCUCCAUAUAAAUUGUGAACAACUUUUGAAUAAAGUCGAGUUGUGGUCAUUGACAGACUUGAAAUUUUGUAAUCUCAAGUGCAUCUAAUCAUGAUGUGCUUUUGGAAGGAUUACAAUCUCGUGGUGGCCAUAUCAUUAUGUUAUAUUAUUCCAAAGGAUCAAAGUAUCAUUCCAUUAGAUUAUUUCAAAGGAUGAAAAUUCUUUGAUUGUAAGGAAUUCACCUUUUAUUCCUUCAUCAAUGUGAUAAUGAAGGAAUAUUAAUGCUCUAGUACGAUCUUGUGAGGAUGCCUCAUUUUAUUUUUUAAUGGUCUUUUCAAGAUUCAUAUUGUUUAGGUGAAUUUUAGCAUCUAGAAUCCAUAUAAAUAGUUUGCCUGAAAUAGGGAGUGUAACAAACUCAAACUUGGUAAGAUUUGACAUUAUUUGAAAACUAUAUUUGAAAUAAUUUAAUUGGAAUAAUAUUUCAAUUUACCAAAAUGAAUUAUAAAUAAAUGAAUAAAAUUAUCUAACAAUAUUUUAUCAGGUUAAUAUUCAUUAAUAAAAACAUAACGAUUUAAGAUUUUGUUAUAUUUUAUCUCUAAAGGAUUAUUAUAACUAUGGUAAAAAAAAUGCAUGAACAUCAUGUAGUAUUAACAAAAUAAAAAUUACGAAUUGAUAGCUUACAUAGCUUUUGGCUAUGGAUUAUUUUUAUCAUAACAAAAAUGUGUAAAUUUGUAUAUAUCUUUAGGCUAUGAAAUAUUCAUUAUUUAACUUCUAACUAUACAAUUUUGUUUUGUGUAACAUUUGGUUAUAUCAUUAUAAUUAAAAGAAAUUAGAAAUUACGUGUAAGUCAUUCUUUAUAUUUUUAUAACUUUAUAAUUUCUCAUAUAACCUUUGGCUAUACAAUUGUACAUAUUUUACAUAUUUUUUUAUAACUUCUAGUUGUGAUUUUUUUUCAUAAUUUUUGUCUAUAAAAAAAAUAUUUUCAAGUUUCUUCAUCGAAAAAAGGAUAAAUUAAAUAGAAAAUAAUACAAAAGUAGAAGUUUAUCACAUACCUUUUAGAGGAGAAAAAAGAUAUUUUAUGAGAAUAAGUUUGUCCUUUUAGUGUUUGAAUCUUAUACAAAAACUUAUAAUAAGAGUUUUCUUUUGGAGAGACUAGAAUUAGAGAAGAGAUAGAGUUCUAAAAUAACUUUGAGGUAUCCAUUUCAUUGACCCAAGUUUCCUAUUUAUAAGAGUUUGAAAAAACUAGGAUUAAUUAUAAUAUUUAAUUCUUUAUGGGGAAAAAGUAAAAAAUAAAAAAGGCUUUUAAUCAUUAAUUAAGAGUACUUGCUUAAAUACAAAAUUUCACAAAAAUUUAAACUAAAUUCCUUUAAAAAAGAAUAGAUAACUUGUUUUAAAAAAUAGUUAAACUAUGUUAAUUUUAUAUAAUUUGAGUGAGAAAUAAAUUUAUUAUAAAUUGACAAAGUUGUCAUUCACAAAAAGCAUCAAAUAUAUUUGAUUUUUUUUUUCAUUUUCAUUUUUCAUUUUUUUAAGGAAAAAUCAGAUUUAAAUUUUUUUCAUAAAUUGAUAGCUAAAAGAUAAAUUUACAAAAUUUCAAAUCCCCACAUGUUUCCAUUAUUUUUACCCCAUAAAUUAUCCCAUCCUUAAUAAGAUUGAAUUUUGCAAAUUAUUAUUGAUUACUCAUUCAAAAAUAAAAAUAAAUUACACUAAAAAUCAUAAAAUUUAAAUUAGAAAAAUAUUUAAUAUAAAUUUUAAAAAUUCAGCUUUAUAAAAAAUAAAAAUAAUUAUCAAUUCUAAUAAGAUUUUUUUAAUCAAAAUUCUAAAGCAUAAUUCACAUUCAUCUAAAUAUUUAUUAGAAUUAAUAAUUUUUAAAAAUAUAAAUUAAAAUUUGAUACCCCUUCGGAGAUAAAAUUCCAAAAAUCAAUGAAUUAAUUUAGAAAAGAAUACAUAUUUCAAUCUCAAAUCUUCAAAUCUAAACAUAUACUAACUUAGAAAAGUUCUAAUAGUUUCUAACAAGUCUAAGUGGGUAUUUGGUAAAUCAAUUUAAUAACUUAAUUCAAGUUAUUAAAUAAAUUAAAUAUAGUUGGUAAAAUAAUUUAAUGGUAUGACUUAAAGUAAAAAACAACUUUAAGUAAUAAGUAAAAAUAAUUAAUUUAUUCUUAAAUUCAUGUUUUCAUUUUAUCUUUUUACCCUCAUUUAUCUUAGUUCCACGAUUUAUUUUGCUAUUAUACAACUUCCAUCAUUACUUGAUCUCAUUUACCCUCAUUAUAAUUUAUGGGGGUAAGUAUAUUAAUUUGAUGAUUUAGAAUAAAUUUUAAAUUAAUUUUAUUAAAAAAUCUUAAUAUUUAAAGUAAAAAUUAAGUAAUAAGUUUUAAGUCAAUAACUUCAAUAUAAUUUUACUUAAAAUCAACUUAAGUCAUUGAGUAAUAAUUAUUGAGUUUUACCAAACACCCCAUAAUUAUACUUAUUAUCAUACUACCAAUUUCUUAUCAAUUACAUAAUUAUUUAUUAUAAAAUUUUAAUAUGUUAAUGAAUUAUGAUAUUUAAAUAUUUAAAAAUAUGUUGAUUGCAAACUAAUUUAACAAGAAAUAAAAUAAUAUUAUUUUGUAAAUAUUUUUGUAAUGUAAAAGAUAAGUAAUUUAAUAUUUUUUAACAUUUACUAAUAAUUAAAAUAUAAAAAAUUUAAAUAUUUAACAAUACUUAAUUUAUUCAAAUUUAAAACAAAUUUAGAUCUUAGAUAAAAAUACAAUCACCACUGAAAUUUUAAAUAUUUAAAAUACACAUAAAGUUUAAAUAUUUAUUUAAUUUCAGGAAUCUAAGAACUAAGGAAGGGACCAAUAGUGACUUGUCGAUCUAAAAGUAUGCAAGUUCUAUUUUCUUUUCCCUACAAUAUCAUUUUUUUCCUUGCAACAUCAUUUUUGUGGUGGAAAUUAUGCGGAGGACCAGUGUACUUAAUUGACAGGGCUGGCGAAAGCGAUGACGUGGAAUGAUCAAAGCAAUGAGAUGUCGUGGAAGCAACCAACUAUCGGGACGCUUCUAUAUUUUACCAUGCCAUAACAAAAGUUUCCAUAAUUCGCAAGUUCUGGAGAGAUACGAAACCGAGAUAGAAUAUAAUUUAGAAAGGAAAAUGAAAAUGAAAGCUGAGAUAAGGAAUGAGCAUCACCACCUCCUAGAAGUAUCCAAGGGUUUAACCCACUCUCUGAAAUUUGCUAUAAAUACUCAGCAAUUUCCCGUGUUGUUCAUCAAUACUUAAAAGAGUUUGAAUUUAUCAAUCACAUUAGUAGCAAUGGCAGACGAGAUUAUCGUGUUGGAUUUCCGGCCUAGCAUGUUUGGUAUGAGGGUCAGAGUUGCCCUGGCAGAGAAGGGUCUCAAGUAUGAAUAUAGAGAGGAGGACCUGUGGAACAAGAGCCCUUUGCUUCUUGAGAUGAACCCAGUUCAUAAGAAAAUCCCAGUUCUGAUCCACAAUGGAAAGCCCAUUUGUGAGUCUCUGAUAAUAGUUCAGUGUAUUGAUGAGGUUUGGUACGAUAAAUCUCUGCUUUUGCCCAGUGACCCAUACUAGAGAGCUCAGGCCAGGUUCUGGGCGGACUACAUAGACAAGAAGGUAUGCCUUUGCUGUUGAUUUAAAGCAUUCUUUUCCAUUGAUUCAUGGCGAUUGACUCAGAUUUUGAUUAUGGUGAGGGAUUUGUCCAAAAUGCUGGGUUUCUUCACACGUUCCCUUCUGAUAUUGAGUUUUGUGGGCUUUGGGGUUCCAAACUAGAACUUUUACUGAUUCUCCUUGCUGUUUGUUCAACAAGACUAUACUCUGCAUUUCUGAUAUGGGUUUAAAUUUCUUGUUUAUGUUGAAUACGAAUUCUGUUCGUUCCAUCAGGAAAAACAGAUCUCAAGAAUACCUUUUUUCCCCAAGCAAGGCGAAUACAUAAACCAGAUAUUUAAAGAAAGGUGUUUGGUUUUUUGUUAUCUUGCUGUUCAACAUCUUGCACAACAGUUGUUUUAAUAUAUGUUCUGUUUCUUUGAUCUCUUUCUUCUCAUUUUCUGAAACCCAAUUUGAGGGGAAAAACUUCAGCAAAUGAUACAUUCUUUCAGCUGAUUCUGAUCUUUUUUCUUCCACCGGCACUUCAUUUUAUUCUUAGCAAAUGAUAUUUCUAUGCGGAAGAGUCCUUAAUAAACUUGUCCAACUUUACAGAAUUUGAAACUUGAUGAAAUUCUCCAAAAAAAAUAAUCCUUCUCUCUUUGACUCCAUUAUUUUCCACAGCUCUAUGAACUUGGAAGGAAGAUAUGGUCAACCAAAGGAGAAGAGCAGGAAACAGCCAAGAAGGAAUUCAUAGAGUGCCUUAAGCUUUUGGAAGGAGAGCUUGGAGAGAAGCCUUACUUCGGUGGUGAAAAAAUUGGGUUUGUAGAUGUGGCUCUGGUGACCUUCUCUUGCUGGUUUUAUGCAUACGAGACCUUUGGCAACUUCAGCAUAGAGGCGGAGUGCCCCAAGUUGAUCGCUUGGACCAAGAGGUGCAUGGAAAGGGAGAGCGUGUCGUCUUCUCUUGCAGACCCCCACAAGGUCCAUGGCUUUGUCGUGGUGUUGAGAAAGAAGUUUGGUAUAGAGUAGAAGGGGCACAUGGGUCCUCUCUCGAAGACCCCGCAAGGUCCAUGACUUUGUCACGUGGAUGAGAAAGAAGUUUGGUAUUGAAUAAAAGGGAAAUAUCACGGUCUAUGCUCUAUUGAGUAGUGUUGUAUUGGUAAUGUAAGAGGAGUGUUUGCUUAAGUUUGCUAAGUGAUAUGGGUUUGCUGAGCUAUGUUGUUGGAAAUAAAUGUUUUGAAUUUGUUUUGGACUAGAGACGUGUUCCUGUAUUAAAGAAAUAAAAGUCUUUGACUACAUUUCCAUCGUGUCCACAUGAACAACUAUUAAGACAAAUUGGUUAAGACAUGCCCUAGAUAGAAAUAGAUAGAAGUGAGUCAUGAAAUGCACAUAUCUAACCUGCUCUUAUUACCAUAUUUUUUUUUUUUUAAAAAAAACUUUGAUAUGAGAAGUCAAAGAGCAUGUCGUUGUUGAUUUUUUUUUCUUUUUCACAAGAAUAUAUAUAUAUCUUCCAUAAAAUUAUCUUCAUGAAAAUUUUCUAUUUUCAAUUUUUUUUCUCUAUUCCAUUUUCUCAUAUUUAUUGAUUUUAAUUAUUUAUAGAUGUUUUAAAUAUAAAAUAAUAAUAUAAAAUAAAUAAUUAAUAAGAAAAAUUUUAAUAUAACAAUAAAUAAAUAAAAUGUUGAAAGUAAUAUUAUGGUAGGAAGGAUGUAUCACUCUUUUUUGGUUUAAACUAAGAUAUGUUACCAUCAUUUAUGUGCUAGAUGUCUUAUUAAUGGUGAAAUAACGUGAAUUCAAAGGGUGUUAAUGUAACAUUGAUCAACACAACCCUUGAAAAAAUGAAUACCACUCUUUUAUAAAUAAAAAACACCACUAAAUUGUAUUAAAAGUAUCAUUGUAGUGUGAAUGUUGUACUAUUCUUCUUUGGUUUAAGGUAUGUUUCCAUUUGUUAUGUGCUCAACGUAUUAGGUAAUGAUGAAAUAACGUGAAAUGAGUGAAUGUUAUUAUGCAACAACACCGAUCAACACAACCCUUAGAAAAAGAGGGUACCACUCAUUUAUGAAAAAUCUACUAUGUUAAAAGUACUACUAUGGUGGGAAGAAUGUAUCACUUGUCUUUAAGUUCUACCAUGGUAGGAAAAAUGUAUCACUCUUCUUUGGUUUACGGCGAGGUUUGUUACUAUUCAUUACAUGCUCAACGUCAUAUGUGAUGAGGAAAUAAUGUGAAUUGAGAUGGUGUUAUUUCACUAUAACACUGAUCAACACAAAUCCUUGGAAAAAAGGGUACUACUCUGUAGACAUAAAAAAAAUUAGUGGAUUAAAUUACCACUAAUUUGGUCUUCAAAAUGAAUAAAAAAAAAAAUAUAUAUCCUCUUAUGGAUAAGUUUCCUUAAUCUCCAACUAUAAAAAGGAUAAUAAUAAUAAUAAUAAGAAAAUUAUUAUUAUUAUUAUUAUUAUUAUUAUCUUGUUGAUAAAACCUCUUGGGAGAAGAAAAUUUGCUAAAAUCAAGGAACUAAAUCCCUUGAAUUAAGCAACUAAACUCCGAGAAUUUGAAAUUCAAAUUCCAUAUCUUCACCUAUAAAUAGAGGUGUCUUCUUUCAAGAAAGGAGAUGAAGAAAUUGAGAAAUAAAAAAAAAAUUCAGAAAGGAAAAUCCUAAGGAGAAAAUCCAAAGGCAAUUUUGUACAGGAAAAAAAGGUUUCAUAACAAAAGAAAAAGUUUCAUCAAAUUUCUCUGCAAGUUUGGUAAAUGGUAGAACUGCUAAACGCAUUCUUUGCCAUUUAACGAGUUCAUUCGGGAAUAAGCCACUUGUGACCCUCGAUUGAUCUUUGAAAUCAAGAAAACGUCAUCGUCGUCUUCCAAAGUGUGAUUAAGGCAAAAGAAUUAGGGGGGAAAAUUAUUUUGGAAAGAAUAUUAUUUUGAGAUUUUACCCACAAUAUUUUCAAUUUUAAUAAAUGUUUUGUUCGCAUUAUUUUCCUAUUUAUUUUGUUAAUUUGGUAGGACCAUUUAUGAAAUUUGUGGGUACAAAUUUCUAGCACGCCCAGCGAGACUUCUUUGCCUCUCGUCUCUUUUUAGAAGAUUGAUCUCUACUUCAUUGAUGACACCCAAAAGAACUCAAGUUGUGCAUGUAAACAAGGGCAAUGACAAGAUCAUCAUUGCACAAUCAACACAUGACGCCGCUAUGGGCCCCAUGACUCAUAGCAAAGCAAAAUCAACAUCUUCACUCUCAACAAAACAAAUAAGUGAGUUUGCUUGUUUGCUAAAAUCGGUAAGAACGUGUGAUGAGCACCAGCCACUCAUCACAUUGGUCUCUCUAGGGGCAAAGAGCCAUAGUCCUCGUAGUAGGGGAAAACUCACUUCAACACUACAGGACUUAGGAUAAAUCUCCUAGCUCUGUUAUCGAUUCUAACUCUAGCACCGGCUCAUACUCCGAGUCGCCAGCUGGAAUGUCAAAGGAGGAAAACUACUCCAAUCGUUUCGACUCUUUUACUUCUCCCUUCUCGAUGACUAUGCUGGUAAUGGCAACUGGCACUACAUUUGUAGAGGAACAAUUAGUAGAGAUGGCUCAUGGCAUCGCCAAACUCACCAAAAUGGUUGAGGAGAAGGAUAUGCAAAUAGCCUCCCUCAUAAAUAAGGUUGAGGCACAAGUACAAAAUAUGGGUGAGUCAAGUCAAGGACUCAACCACUUUCUGAAUGUUGCAUCUCUUCUCGAUGAUGCACCACAUGCGUAUAGGACAAUCCAAGUUGAGAGACAAAUGGCGGAAUCUGCCUCAAUGGCAUCAUUAUCUAUCCAACAACUUCAGUACAUGAUAACUAACACCAUUAGAGUGCAGUACAGUGGACCCUUACAGAGUACGCUCAUGUACUCAAAACGUUACACUAAGAGGAUUGAUAACCUACGUAUGCCUGUGGGUUAUCAACCUCCAAAAUUUCAAUCAUUUGCAAAAUUUCAAUCAUUUGAUUGGAAGGGAAAUCCAAAACAAUAUAUUGCCCAUUUCAUUGAAACUUGUAACAAUGCAGGUACAGAUGGUGACUUAUUAGUUAAACAAUUCGUCCGUUUUAUUCGAAGGAAUGCUUUCGAUUGGUACAUAGACCUUACACUUAAGUGUAUCGAUAAUUGAGACCAAAUGGAAUGUGAAUUCCUCAAUAGUUUCUAUAACACCCGACGAACUGUAAGCAUGAUGGAACUUACUAACACUAAGCAAUGGAAAGACAAGCCGAUUAUAAACUAUAUCAAUUAUUGACAUUCCUUAAGCCUUGACUACAAAGAUAGAUUAUCUGAGGUAUUGACCAUGGAAAUGUGCAUACAAGGAAUGCAUUGGGGUCUCCUAUACAUUCUCUAAGGGAUACAACCUCAUACAUUUGAAGAAUUAGCUACCAAAGCACAUGACAUAGAGCUCAACAUAGACAACCAUGGUUCUAAGAAGGACCUUACCAUUGAUCGAUAAAGAGAAAGACAUGAUGGGAAAAUGAGUGACAAGACCUCAAAGAAACCUAUUCAGGAGUCAAUGACAAUAAAUAUAACUCUUGUCAAAAUCUCAGCAAGAGAUAAAAAAAAGGAAGUAAAAGAGGUCAGACUAACCCAGGAAAAUAAGAUGUGUCAAUUCAUCUUGAAGGAAUUAGAGGAGAAGAAGUAUCCUUUUCCUGACUUUGAUGUGCCUAACAUGUUGGAAGACUUGCUCCAAAAAAAGGUUAUUAAGUUACUUGAGUGUAAGCAUCCAAAAAGAAUGGGUCGUGUUAAUGAUCCAAUCUACUAUCAUUACCAUCGAAUUGUUAGUCAUCCUAUGGAGAAAUGUUUCAUUUUAAAAGAUCUCAUAAUGAAACUUGCAAAGCAAAGAAGAAUUCAUUUAGAUCUGGAUGAAGUAGUAGAGUCAAAUCAUGCUAUAGUCACAUUUGAGUCAUUUGAUCCUGUUCCAUUACAUGUUCCACUUAAGAAACUAGGGACAUGUGGCAAUACUAUUCAAUGUGAGUCACCAAAACCAAAGCAAACAUAAGUGUCAUGUUAGGAUAGCCUUCUUCGCCUUUGCUCUGAUAAUAAAUCAAUGUCAUAUGACGAAGAAGGUUGGAUAUUGGUGACACGAAGAAGACUUUGCAAGAAGCAAGGGUCGCAUUCAUACCCUAACCUUCUUAGGAGGGAAUGACAUGAGUGGAAUACUCACCAACAUUUAAAGAAGAAAGAAAAAAAGAAUCUUAAAAGAAAACAAGCGAUUGUACAAAUAGACGACUUUUUGGUCCAGAAACUCAUCACCCCUAUCACCCUAGAGAAAUACUUCCCUCUAGGGUUCUUUGAUAAAAGGGUGGCAGUAUCAACUCAUAUGGUCUCUUGCUAAGAGACUUCAAAAGAAGAGGGGUUAAGUGAAGAUGAGGAAAACAUUCUUGGUGUUGAGUCAAGAAAAACUAAGGAAGAAGAGGGGGUUGUAGCAAGCCUACAACACCUACUCUCACUAUUUAGUAGCCACGAAAUGCUACAACUACCUAAUGAGAUACAAAAUGUGUUGAUUCAAGUACUUAAGGAUCCAACACUCUAUGCCACCAAAAUAAAGGGGGCAAAAAGACUUGAGGAUGAAAGCCACAAUUGUGCCAAAUGUUGUGCAGCCAUCAUUUUUACUAACGAAGACCUUCAGUUAGGGUCAAAACCACAUAAUCGACCCCUGUUUGUUACUAGGUACAUACGGGAACAAAAUAUCACUUGCAUUUUAAUUGAUGAAGGGUUUGGAAUAAAUAUCAUGCCUAAAGCAACAAUGAAAUGACUCAGGAUUGCUACAAAAGAACUAACUCAGAGUCGCCUAAUGAUCUAAGGCUUUAAUCAAGGGGGACAACGAGCUAUUGGUAUGAUUCACCUAGAGCUUGUUACAGGUGAAUUGAGUUCGAACACAUUGUUUCAUGUAAUCAUUGCAAAACAUUUUACAACUUAUUACUCGAGCGACCAUGACUUCAUGAGAAUGGGGUAAUUCUUUCGACACUAUACUAGUGUUUCAAAUUCUAUAGAGGAGGGGUAAAGGUAGUAUAGACUGAUACUAAGCCAUUUACAGAAGUCGAGUCUUAUUUUGUUGAUGCUAAAUUUUACAUAGAAAAUGAUGUUAUGCAGGAAGUCCUUCUUGCGAUUAUUCUCUCCACUGGGAAUGCUAAACUUAAGGAAAAAGUUGAGCUAUGUAAGUUGACAUCAGCAGGGAAAUUUCAUAACAAAUGAUGACUCAAAUAAAAAAAAAAGAGAAAUUUUCAAAAAAAUUGACAUUGGACUUGACAAUUCUCACUACUUUCCUAGUUUUUAGGUACAUCCCAAUAUCUCGACGAAGUGAGGGUCAACCAUUUUUCAUAGAAGACAAAAACAAAGUACAACCCUGAGGAUUGGAAAAUGGGGACCUUUAAGUCUUGAAAGAAGAUACGACCAUUCCUCUUCCAAACUUACAACUUAUCUCUAGGGAUGAAACACAAAAAUCCAACAAAACCUCAAGAGAUCAAACAAAGCAAGAAUUCUUUCCUGGUAAAAGAAUAAAUGAGGAGUUCAACCCUAAGACUUACAAGUUAUUAGCCAAGGCAAGGUAUUACUUCACUUCGUCAUCACGAUUAGGAGAACUUAGCCUCGAGACUACAGGUGAAAAGAUGCAUGACUUUAACGAAACUCAAAAAAAGUUGAAACAACAAGGGUAUGCAGUCAAACCUUCUAGUGCAGGUUUAGGGUUUGUACCUUUUGAGCCUAUCAAAAUUUUAGUUAAGACUAAGAAGACUAAGGCAAGUACACAACAUAUCAUUGUAGAAGACAUGGAGGAGAGUAGUGGGUCUAACUCUCCUUCUCGAAUUUCAAUAUUUGAUCGGAUUGAAGCUCUAAUUACAUGAGCUUCAGUGUUCACUAGGUUGGGCGAUUUUAACCAAGUAUAAUGUAAUUUAGCACAUAUUCCACAAAGGUCAAUACAACGAAGGAUUAAUACUCUACCCAAAAGUCACGACGACAAAAUCCCAAUAAGAAGUAGUGUAGUGAACUAAAUAAGAAUGCAAAAAUAAGAAGUUUAAUCCCAUCAAGGAUGAAACACCAUUCAACUUGGGAAAUUUGUACUAAUGGCUAGUUAAAAUUAAAAUGACAUACCAUCGUGAUCACCAAGCAGUCGGACGAGGGAUGCCCUAAAGAUGUUAAAUAAAGUUUGACACACAGUAACUACCAUAUUACAGUAGAAGUUGACUCUAAUUCAGAGUUUUUAGAAGAUGAACUAUGAGAAGCUCCUCAAGUAUUUGAGGACGGGGGGCAGGCCACUGUAGAUGAGUUAAAAGAGCUCAAUUUAGGUACAAAUGAGGACCCAAGGCCAAUUUAUGUAAGUAUGCUUUUAAGUCCUUCUGAAGAGAAAAGUUAUUUUGAAUUGUUACUCAAUUAUAAAGAUGUCUUUGCAUGGUCGUACAAAGAAAUGUCAGGUCUUGAUCCAAAAGUUGUAGUACAUUAACUCACGGUGAAACAUGGUGUCCGAUUGAUUAAGCAAGCCCAAAGACGAUUUUGACCAGAACUUGUUUCGCAAAUAGAAACGAAAAUUUUCAAAUUGAUUGAAGUUGGUUUUAUUAAGGAGGUAAAGUACCCGACAUGGAUUGCGAACAUUGUUCCAGUGAAGAAAAAGAAUGGGUAGAUCCGUGUCUGUGUAAAUUUUAGAGAUUUAAACAAUGCUUGCCCAAAAGAUGACUUCCCAUUACUAAUUAUUAAGCUUAUGGUUGAUGCAACUACAGGUCAUGGAACUUUAUCCUUCAUGGAUGGAUCAUUGGGGUAUAACCAAAUACAAAUGGUGCCAGGGGAUGAAGAACUUACUGCAUUUUGUACUCUAAAGGGUAUUUACUGUUACAAAGUGAUGCCUUUAAGACUAAAUAAUGCAGAUGCAACGUAUCAACAUGCCAUGCAGAAAAUAUUUGAUGACAUGCUUCAUAAGAAUGUCGAGUGCUAUGUUGAUGAACUGGUGGUCAAGUCUAAGAAGAGAGAAGACCACCUGCAAGAUCUUCGUAUGGUGUUUGACAGGUUAAGAAGGUACCAACUUAUGAACCUACUCAAAUGUGCUUUUGGUGUUACUUCUAGUAAGUUUCUAUUUUAUUGUUCGACACCGUGGCAUUGAAGUGGAUCAAUCUAAGAUCGCAACCAUUCGAGCUAUGCCAGAGCUGAGGAAUCUUUAAGAACUUAGAAGUCUUCAAGGACGUCUUACUUUUAUUCGACGAUUUAUUUCAAAUCUUGUAGGACGAUGUCAAUCCUUCAACCAACUUAUGAAGAAAGAUGUCCCAUUUGUUUGGGACAAAGCUUGUCAUAAUCCCUUUGAGAGAAUAAAAAAGUAUUUGGCUAAUCCACCAAUCUUAGGUGCUCUUAUGGCAGGGAAGCCAUUGAUACUCUACAUUGCCGCACAAAAAUGCUCUCUUGGAGCAUUGUUUGCACAACAAAACGAGGAGAACAAAGAAAAUACAUUGUAUUACUUAAGUCAAACUCUAAUGGGAUCAGAACUAAAUUACUCCCUAAUAGAGAAAACUUGUCUUGCUUUAAUCUUCUCGACAAAAAAGCUAAUACAUUACAUGCAGGCAUACACAGUACACUUAAUAGCACACGUUGAUCCCAUUAAGUAUGUGCUAUCAAAGCCAGUUAUUUCAAGACGAUUAGCAAGAUGGGGGUUGUUACUCACUGAGUAUGAAAUAAUCUACAUUCCUUAAAAGGUAAUCAAAGGACAACGCAGACUUCUUGGCAGAUCAUCCUAUCCUUGCAACAUGAAAAAUUUUAGAUGACUUCCCCGAUGAGGAGAUCUUUUAUGUUGAUGUUUUUCCUUCGUGAAUGAUGUUCAGGUCAGCACGUUAUGAUGGAACAGGUGCAGAUGUUGUAUUUGUCUCACAACAAAGAUAGAUACUACCAUAUUCAUUUGUUCUUAGUGAGAGAUGCUCUAACAACGUUGCUAAAUACCAAGCCUUAAUUAUUGAACUACAAAUAGCGAUUGAAAUGAAAAUCACAAGCUUAGAGAUAUGUGGGGAUUCUAAGUUGGUAAUCAAUCAACUUCUAGCCUUGUAUAAGGUUAAAAGUGAUGACUUAGUUCCUUACUUCCAAUAUGCUACCCAACUGAUGGAAAAGUUUGAGCGAACCUCUUUAGUUCAUAUUCCAUGAAAGAAAACUAAAUGGCAGAUGCUCUAGCUAAUCUAGUUGCAAGUUUGACACUGCUUAAGGACGAGACUAUACACAUCACUCUUUGCCAUAAGUGGGUACUGCCGCCAUUGCCACUAUUACAACAAGAAGAAGUAAACGCUACAUCGGUAUUUACUAUUGACAACGAAGAUUGGCGACAACCAUUAAUUGACUACUUAGAGCAUGUGAAGUUACUUGAUGAACUAAGGCAUUGAACAUAAAUACGACAUUGAGCUCCAUACUUCAUUUACUACAAAGAAACACUUUAUCGAUGCUCAUUCCAUGGAGUACUUCUUCGAUGCCUAGAAGGAGAAGAGACAAAUCAAGCAAUUGAAGAAGCUCAUUCUGAGAUCUAUAGGGCUCACCAAUCAGGGCCAAAACUUCAUUUUCGAAUCAAAAGGAUGGGAUACUAUUGGCCAACUAUGGUUAAGGAUUGUAUGGAAUAUGAAAAGAAGUGUCAAUCAUGCCAAUUCCACUCAAAUUUUAUACACAACCCCUUGAGCCACUCCAUCCUACAAUUGCGUCAUUGUAGACCCUCAAUUUUGUCCCUUUAGCACAUGUCUUUAAGUUCGUUUUCAGUGCUUCAAAAUAGUUCCUUGGUGGCCCAUGGCUACUCAUACCACUUACCUUUUUCUGAGUCACCUCGGAGAUUUUGGUGGAGGAAUUAUUUGAUCCUUUAUUGUGACCCUUGGCAGCCCUAACUUAGACUUAGACUUUUCUUGUUUUUUUUUUUUUUUUUUUAGGAUAGCUUUUAGAUACAUUUGGCCCAUUUGGACAUUUUUAGCGUGACUUGUAUGACUUGCAUGGUUACAUGGCUUUUGGGCUCGACUUUUUGUUUAUUGGUUUAUUUUUAUUUUAUUUCAUUUUAUUUAUUUUUACCGUUUCCUAAUUUAUUUACUUGCUUAUUUAUUCAUUCAAUGAUUUAACUUCAAGAUUUUCAUGUUUUUGCAAGGAAACUUACCAUUGGAGUUUAAGGAAGGUGGGACUCUCCUUGGAAGGUUUUGGAGGGGAAUUUGAAAUUGAGAAGAUUGCUUUUGAUUGGAAGAUUUAAAAAAAGGAAGAAAAGAAGAAAGGAAAUAGGAGAAUUUUCCUUUUUGGAAAGAAAUUUAGGUCUUGAGGGGUGAUAUAUAUAGGUGAGAAAAGGAAAAGAGGGGGAAGGAUUUUUUUUGGGGGUAGAGCACGCGUUGGAGGAUUGGGAGGAGAUUUGAGGAGGUUCUUUUUGGAGCAGCAGGCAUUGGAGGAAAAUUUGUCGGGGAAAAGAACAGAGGAAACGAAAAGAGCAAUUGCAACCAAGGCUGUCCAGGUAUGCACCUCGUUGCUUUUGGAAUUCUGACCUAUGUUUGAUUUUUUUCCACGUGAAUAUUUAAUGGUAUUGUUGAUUUUGUGUGGACGAAAGGGGCCACAAUUUGUUUUGUUGAGAUUGGUUGCUUGCUUGUUUGCCUUGUUUUGGUUUUGAUUGUCAUUGAUGUCUUCGGAAGCAUAUAACUCCAUGCCUGAAUGUGAUCAGAUUCUGUUCUUCAUUUAAAUCAUAUUCUGCAUUUGUCUCUCUGUUUUUAGCCCAUGGAUUAAUAUCUGAAGUGGGGGCUAUCCAUGUUUACUGAUCAACACCUUCUGCCAUUUCCUUCUCCAAGUUUUACUUCAAUUUUUUUUAUCUUUUAUCUGUAUUCUUUUCCUCGCAUGGUGUUCGAACCCUUGCUCUUGUAUUUGGGUAUACGUCGAGGAAUGAUGUAAGUGUCAAUAUGAGGGAUGAACUGUGCAACAAUCCCACUCAAAAAUAAUUGAUUCCGAGGUAUUGUAAUGGAUUGUGGAGACUGGAGGUAACGUCUUAUUGGCAUCAGAUUUGACCUUUCUAAUCCUAUGGGAUUCAAUGGCUCGUACAGAAUCGCAACUCCGGUGUUAUUUGCAAGCAUAGCUAAAUGGGUUAAAGCCAAGCUAAUAUUUUCUCUUGCUUCCGAAUGAUCGCGUUAUCAUUGGCCAACAUCACUUCUACCCUUUCCAAUUUUCCAAGCGCUUCUGACCGUAAGAAUAAUGGUCUCAGAGAAAGCAAUUUGACUUGUAAAACAGAGGGUUUCAGAGAGUGUCAGGAAGGUGAUUGAUUUGGGUAGCACUGAAAAAGGAUGGUUUGAACUAGGGUUUUGAAUCACGCCUUGAGUUAUUAGAGCAGUACGAAGAAUUGCGGGAUACCAGUGAUGGAUUGAUGGGUUCGGUGCCGAUUCUGGGUCGUAUUACAGAUUUGGGGCAGAGACGAUUGGUGAUGGCAAUGGGAUUAAUGCAAAUCAGGGAGAUGCUAUUUUUGAGGAAACGUAGUUCACGGGUUUUAGGAAUGUAGUUUCAGAAUUUUCAGAGAUUCUUGAUGUAUUGUGUUAGAAUAUUCUGAAACAGUUUCAGUAUACCGAAGGAUCCAAUACGGGCUUAGCAAUUACUAUAAGGAACAGAAAGAAGGAAAUUGAUGCGACUUCUGCGAACAAGUAAGUUCCAGAUACUUCGGUUGGAAGAACCUUCUCAAUAAGGUGAUCAAUCAGAGGAGGUAUCUUGCACAGUAGACCUUUCUGAUUCUUUAUGUUAUCAACUUGAUCUUGUCUCUUUUGUCGCAUAUGUCAAUUCUGCUCAUUUAUGGAAUUCAAAAUCCUCAUUGUUGUUGCCUGAAAAAGAAAUUACGGCAAUUGGAGAAGACAAUCAGUCUGACCCUUUUUGUUGAAAAUUUUGUUUUGGAAAGAUUUUCUAUUUAAACCUCCCUGCGGGUACUAUUCGAUGAAGUCUUUGGUAAUAAAUUUCAGGAUGCUAUUGAAUUGAUAAGUAUGUAGCCAGUUGCUUCUAAUUUAGCAGCCUGGAAGAGAAUGCGAGUUGUUGAAUUCAUGCACAUGCGAUAUGCUCUGGAAUCUGUGGUGCUUGCAGUUGGAGCUAUGGAAAGAAGUACAUCUUAUCAUCUACUAUUGGUGAGAGAUAUAUUGUUCUUGCAAUGAAGCACCCUGCUGUCUUCUUAGAUAGCAGGUACAUUGACAAUGGGGAUAAGGAUAAGAAGACUUAUACGUCUUCUUAGAAUAUGGAGGAUUCACUCAAUACAAAAGUCACUCUUUUCGUCUCUGGAAUUGAGAAACCACAGUUUAGAGGAUGGAAUUAAAGUUUUUAUGCCCCAAGUUGCAGUAGCAGUUCUGGUAAUACUCAAACUCAGAGCAUCACGGGGUAUGACAGGAUGGCUGGAAUGGUGAUUGGAAGGCUCCUGGCGUCCAGAGAUUCCCUAAGUAGCAGUGGAAGUUUACUACUGGUGUAGCCAUGAUUGAAGUUACAGCUCCAUGUGUAUAUGCUAUCAAAAGAAGAAGGAUACGAGACUCUGAUUUUCCAUACCACUGGAAUGGGUGGAAGGGCUAUGGAGGAUCUGAUCAGAAGGGGAUUUAUACGAUGUGUUCUGGACAUAACAACAACAGAGGUUGCUGAUUAUGUAGUUGGAGGUGUUAUGGCUUGUGACAAUUCCCACCUUGACGUCAUGAAGAUAAGAAAUUUGUCGGCUUUGUAGCAAACGAACUAAACGAAACAGCAUCAAAGGUAAUGUUGACCCGAAUGAUUAGGCUCAUAUUCAGAAAGACAGAAUUUGAUCCAGACUCGAUUUCCUCUGGUUCUGCUACAAAUAAAGAAGUUGAAUUUCUGGACUGCACAAGGACCUUUUAGUUCUGAUUUUUCUUUAGGUGCCAAUCUUACCACAAUGGAAGAUGUCCAGAAUAGUUUUAAUGCAACGCAACUUAGGCUUUGUGGAAGGUUAAGCAAUGUUGAUGGCUAUAUAAUGCCGAUCAUCUUCCCAAGUGUUAUUCUCUGUGGCUGAGUUGUUUUCUGAAGCUGAAACAUAAAGACCCUCUCAAUAAGGCCGCCUCUAUGAAUCUUGCUCAGCAUGCACUGAUCAGCAAUUUCUGGUGAGAUCUCAGCCAGUUCCAGCUGAUAAGCAGGUGAACCAGGCAGGAAGGACCAAUUGGCAAACACUCUUGGGCUUUCCUGGUGGGCAUGAAACCCAGAAUUGCAAUGGGGUAGUUCAGAAUCUGAAUCUAGUUCGACUUGGAGGUCUGAGUCAGACAUUAUAUAAUUAGGAUGGCAAAGAAGACUCCUUACCUACAGCGGCCCAAAUUUAUUAAGUCGUCCUUUGACACUAAAGAGAUCACCGGUUUGCCCUUGAUAAAUUAAUGUCAUCAUGAGCAGAUUUUGUUCCUAUUCUUUAGCUGAGAAUCAAAUGCAUCACACCAUCGAACAGUUGAAAUCUUUGAGUAGGAGCAGAGAAUGAUGCAGAACAGAGAAAACAAUGACCCAGGUCCAACAGGUCUCAUGAGGUUUGAUGGUGAGAUCCGUUCAGCAAUGUUGGGAAGCAACUGGAAAUAUGGGCCUCAUGCUGCUGCAACUCACUUAGACUACAUGGUUGAGUUUACAGUCACUGUGCCAAUUUUGAGUCUUGCUGGAACAAUGGAUAACUUACCAGCUGGUGAACCAUGGCUGCAGAAACUAAAAGCGGAUUGAGCAGGAUGCAACUACUCUCAUUCCAGGAAACAAAGAACUGAAACCACACGAGUAGGACCCUUUGAACAAAAAUGCUGGUAUCAAUACACAUCCUACGUGCCCAUCUAUUAUUCAAUCCAAUUCUGAAGUCCCAGUCAUGUCACCUAGAAAAAGCAAAGGAGAAAUUCAAAGGGAACCCUUGGGCUUGAAAGGAAAGGUUCUUAGUCUUGGAAAGGUUCAGAAAAGCCGGAAGGUGUAGAAAGAAUUCAAGCAGCCACAGAAGGCUUCCUCCAAGCUGAUAGUACCACCUAGCACAGGUUUCGGUACCUUAACCUAUGGAUAUAGUUUGCUCUUGAGAGCGUUCCAUACAUUCGAAACGGCAUCAAUAAGUCACUACUUUUGGAUCAGCACUUGGAACUGGAUCUUAGUACUGUCAUGCUUGGCUGUUGCUUUUGGUUUUAGAAACAUGAACUGCUUAGGUAACGCAUCUGGCUUGGCAGUUAUAAUUAUAAUGUCAGUCACCACCUGCCUAAUGUCUCUGGUUGCUGUACUGUGCCGACACCAGAAUGUCUCCUCUAUAAUUGGCUCCAUGUUCUUCAUUGGCGUAAUUGAAGCUUUCUAUUUCUCAGCAUGGAUCUCUAAGCCACUCCUGAGCAUGCGUGUAAGAAUGGAUAGCAGGGCAGAUUUUCAGGUUCCUGGUCAGAGUGGAAUAAUGGGACAGCCAAAUGAAGACGAAUUCCCCAUGAACUUCCAAAAAUAGACUUAAUGAUAAGAAGAGAGGUGAAAAAGAAUUCAGUGGCUAUUCGAGAUGACUUUUAUGGAUGAAUUCGGUAGAGAAUUGAAAAGAAUUCAAGUGGUUGCAUAUGUGGGUGAGAUUCAAUAGCGUUAACGGAUACUCUUGAUGGCUGAAAUUUAAAAGAAAUGAUAGACUACAUAAGUGAGGUGAUUGAAUUUUAUAAAUAUGAUUAUGGGUUUUGAAUUACAUCGAGAUCAGCACUUGUUGAGAUUAUCAUAUUUAUGCUGGUAACAUUGCAAUCAUAUACGUUUUCAUCCCAAGAGUUUGAUCAUGCGUCAAAAUAUCUAGAAGCAGAGCAAAUUGAAACCUUUUCAAAAUCAGCAGUGGACAGAUUCUGUCCUAAAACACUUGAAGUUGGAGCAUACUGAGGCAGUUUAGUCUUCUGAAAUCCAUACCUAGUUUCCUGAUGAUUCAAGUUCUUUAUUUGACUUUUCCUUUAUAGAGAAAGCUCCUAGUGGCAUUGACCAGCCAGGAAUUCACCAUAUGCUUCAUCAACAAUAAUGUGCAAUUCAGGAAAAACGAGGUUGGAUGGUCAGAAGAAGACUUUGAAACUAGUUCAGGAUCUCAAUCUAGUGAAUCUGAUUUCUCCAGUUUCAGUCCAGAUGAGCUUCUGCAGUUAAUUGGUGAUGCAUCAGUUAUGGGAAAGGUCCUUCAUCAACUAGCACUUCACCUUUAUAAGAAUCCAUCAUGAUUCUCAGCACUUGCUGUUGUCUAUUUUCUGACAUGUAUUAAGCAAAGAUUGGUCUGAAGAGAGAUAAUACAUCCUCUAUCUAGUACACAGAUUCAGACGCUGAAUUCCGUGAUUAUGUUAGUGAGGUCACGAGGGAAGUGUGUAGGCAUCACUAUGCAAAGUGCCUUGAAGUUGUAUCAAUUCGUUUGCUGGAUAAUCGCCCACAAAUUAGCAAAAAUCAUCUUUCAAAAUAUAUGAAGUAUCCUACGUUUAUAGGAGAGCAAUUGAUCAUUCAACACCAAAUUGUUAUCUUCAGGGAAAUGUUGAUAUGAUUGGAGGUGCAAUAGCAUUGACUUGAGAUAGUCAACAGUAUGUGAUCACAGAGUUAGGAUAUUACAACAAGAAGAGUCCAAUGGGCUUAAAUCUUUUUGACAGAAAUUCUCAUCUAUCUUGGACUUUAAGCUAGCGUCUGAUGAAAAACAUCAGAAUCUUCACCCUAUUCUAUGAUAGAUGCAUGCAUUGCAGUAUGCUCGAGAUCAUUGUAGGCCUUUAUCCGAGAAGAAACAGAAUAGAGUGAACCAGGUGUUGAAUAAAGCCCGUGAUGAUGCUGAAAGUAGUGCCUAGAAGAACUCGUUAGAAAGUAACAAAGGCAAUGUCCUCUUUCCUCUCCUCUGAUGUGCCUUCUCCUGUUUGGAGUAUACCAAUAAUUCGGAAACUGCACUCUUUAUCUGUGACUUUACUUGAUGGAAACAAAGGGCAAGAUGGGAAGCCUCACAAGGAAGAGAAGCCUCAAAGUCUAUAUGAGAAUUUAGAAGAUUCUUUUGCCACAAAGGCAGCAGAAGAAAUAUGCUUGCAACAGAAAGAACUUAGGGUAUUUGAAAUUUCUGGAUUGGUGCUGCUCAAUGAGAAUAUACAGAAAAUCAAUCCAAAUGAACCACUAAAAGAAGAAUGCACUACUCUAGGUGAAGUAUCAUGGUUAGAGAAUCACAGAAACGCGUCUGCAAUAAAACGCUCAGAUUCUCCAAUAGAAAGUGACAGAACCAUGAAGCUGCCAGUAGAGGUGCCUGAGGGAGCUGAGGAACCUGCAGAAGAGUAUGAAAACAACAAAGAACUGAUCAUAGAGAAAGAGAGAGACAUCAAGGAAUUUCCAGCCGUGUCCAUUGAAGUUGAAUAGGUUAAAUAGGAACGGCAUUCUGAGACAAUACUCGCUGAAAAUCCUAGAAUGACAGAUUCUGAAGUGCAGACUAAAAAUGUGAACCUAUAGGAUUGUGGAAGACUUCAGCAAAGACUCUAAAAGAUUUCCCAUCACAAAAGCAAUGGAAGCAGAGAUGCUACAGAAACAGAGUGGUAAAAGGAAAGUGGAUGUCUCUGGUUCGGUAUCUGAAAUAUCAAAAGAAAUUAAUAAGGAGGUCAUAGAAGAUGCCAGCACUUGCUCUAACAAUAUUGAUGCUGCAUCCGAAGAGGGGAAAACAGAAGAGUCAAGCUUGUAGGAAACUCAACUGAAUGACAAAUACAAAAAGAUCAUUAAGACUAGCUCAGAAGAUAAGACACUAUAAGCAAAUACCACAAAUGAAACUAGUCCACAGGCUGAAGAGGUUGACAGCAUGAAGCUUGAAGAAACUUUUGAAUUGAUGUCUCAACUUCCAGUUAAGGCAUGUGAGAACACAAACAAGGAGAGUGAAACAGUGGAAAGGUCGAUUGAUAAUGUGCUGAAGAAACCGAUUAAAUCUUCUGGUAUAGUAUCAGAAUCCCAAGAACAAUGUGCUGAAGAAACUGAUUAGACCCUUAAGCUCUUCUCUAGCAGGGUCUUUGAUAUCAAAUGCCUGUCAGAACCCCCAUUCAGUAAACUGCUUCAAUUUGAGCUCAGGAAUCCAAGGAAGACACGGAUAAGGGAAAGUUGAUUACGCCAGAAUCUGUAUUUCUCAAGAGCAACUCAAGUUUACUGGAACUCUUCACCCUUCAUUGGAAUUCAAUAAAACUUUGAACAACAGAGAGCCACAGAAAAGUACUAAAGGAGGGCAGAAUGUAUUUUGGGAUUCAACAUCAGCAGGAUAGUCUCAAAUCUUAUUCCCAGGCUCCACUCCAUCAUGGCAACCUUGCUAUACACACCCUCUCCUCUAUUUACUUUUGUGAUUGGGAACUUACUAUUUUAAGUUGAAUUUUUGAACCAUUGUUCAACUAAACAUUCCCAGCUUUGAAAAAUCCAUCUUAGGAGCAUCUAGGUAUAAAAUCCCAAUUUUAACAUGCUAUUUGCUGCCAUUUUCCUCCGGGCAUGCACUUUCACUAUUUUAUCCGAUUUUUAACUAUUUUCAUGAUUUUCUCGAUUUUCUCAAGCAUGAACAAACUUCAUGAUUCCAAACAAUGGAAUUAAUAGAAUAAAUUCAUGCAAAAGUAAUCAGGGCAUUGGGGGGAGGCCCGACAUUCAUAAUAUUCUCUUCAAUAGUGUCUUGUUUGAUAUUUGAUUGAUUGUGCUUCCUCUUUGUGGUAUAUAUGAGAUUAUUUUGAAUUAGUUGUUGAGUUAAUUUUGUUUCCCAUAGAGGAUUAUUAACUCGCUAAUCAGGUACGCUCUUUCUACCACCACACUUUCCAAAAUUUCAUGAAUAUGAGACAUAACCAUAUUUGAUGCCAUAAUUGAUUGCUUUGAUGCUUGUUGGAUCGUCUUUGAUGAAAAUACAUAUUAUGUGUCAUAUUUCCAAACUAAUCUCUCAUGUUUUGUGAUAGUGUUUGAGAAGCCGUUCAGGUACGCACUUCGACUCUCUCUUAUGGUUGGUUUUCUUAUUAGGCAUGCAAUAUUUGAAAUCACCUAGCCUACUCAGGUAUCCAUAAUUAACUGAUUAAUGGCCACGCUUCCCUUAACUUAGUCAGUAGAGACCUCUUUAGGGCUUAGAGGGGUGCUACCUCCUAGAGGUACCUUCCCAAUAAGUAACCUGAUCCCCGAACCAAGACUUGGGUUUUCAAAGACACGCUUUUCCAAAAAUUAUGGAGUCAUUUUUUUAGGGUUUUAUUUCUUGUUUUAUUUUCCCUUCAAAAAUAAAAAUAAAAUAAGUGGCGACUCCAACUUUUUCAAAAAUCAAUUUUUCACAAUAAAAAGCGAGUCUCGUCGAUCGAGUGGGGACGCACGUGAAAAAUGCGGGUCCACAGUCAUGGCCAUUUGAUGCAUGGGGACUUGACGUGGUCAGACCCAUUACUCUUAAAUCCUUUGUUGGACAUGCUUACAUAUUGCAGCAACAUAUUAUUUUUCUAAAUGGGCAAAAGUUGUUCCACUUAAAGAAGUGAAUAAAGAAAAUGUAGUGAACUUCAUUCGAAGUAAUAUUAUCUAUCGGUAUAGGGUACCAUGAUAUAUAAUCACUGACAAUGGGAAACCCUUCUAUAGCAAAUUGAUGAUCAAUCUUUGUGAGAGGUUUAGUUUCAAACAACACAAUUCAUCAAUGUACAAUGCACCGACCAAUGGUCUCACAGAAGCAUUCAACAAGACUCUUUGCAACUUAUUGAAGAAAAUUGUUGAUAAUUCAAAGAGGGAUUGACAUGAAUGAGUAGGAGAAGCACUUUAGGCAUAUCAAACAACAUAUCGAACGCCUACACAAGCAACCCUUUAUUCCCUUGUUUAUGGUGUAGAAGUUGUAUUGCCCCUUGAGCGUCAGAUCCUUUCAUUAAGGAUUUCUAUACAUGAAGGACUAACUAAUGAAGAUAAUGCCAAGUUACAUCUUCAAGAGUUAGAAGCACUAGACGAAAAGUGACUCGAAGCCCAACAACACUUAGAGUAUUAUCAAGCACACCUUUCAAAAGCUUUAAAAAAAAAAGGUUUGUCUUCGGUCUUUUCAAGUCGGUGAUCUAGUUCUUGCCAUUCGUAGACCCAUUAUCACCACACAUAAGACUAGGAGUAAAUUUACAUCAAAAUGGGAUGGACCUUAUGUGGUGCAAGAAGUCUACACCAAUGGUGCUUAUAAGAUCGUCACUGAAGACGGAUUAAGAAUUGGCCCUAUCAAUGGAAAAUUCUUAAAGCGUUAUUAUGCUUGAGUCACACUACACCCUUAGCUUGCAUGAGCAUAAAUUAUGUCUGGAGCACCAAAAAAAAAAUAAAAAAAUCCGCUAAGUCGAAAACCUAAAAGGACGCCUUAGGUAAAAAUUAGGACAUAUGCUCACAAGAUUAAAAUUUUCUUUUAGCCUUGGCAAAAGUUAGAGCAUGAAAAAAAAAGGUGCUGCAUUUGACUUGAUCCUCUCUCUUUGAAAGGUAUGUAAGCAACUUGGGGAAACCACCUAAGUUCACUCACUACCAAAAAAAAAAAAAAAGGUCUCAUUUUUAUUAAUAAAUAAAUCUGACUAACAAAUGCUAGACUUUAUUACAUCUUAAUAAAAAAAAAUGAAUGAAAGCAAAAAAAAAAAGGGAGCCAAAACUAAGUAAAAAGGUACAAUGAUCACAUCCACACCAAGCAUGCAAGCUCGUCACGUUGAGUCCUUAAGGCUUCUUGAAGUGUCUCUAAAGUUUUGACAUCAACAUCAGUAAGCACAAGGGUUUGGGCGAUAAUGACAUGUUAUUUCCUCAAACGAGAAACAUCAUUAUGUUUAUUGGCUAUAAUCUCAUCAAUCUCCAAGAUUAAGUUAUGAAUGUGCUCUUUUUGUUUACCUAGUUGCUUAAAUUCCUUCUUAAGUGCUUCCUAUUUAGCAUCGAGAGUAGCUAAGUCUACCUUUAAUGAUUGACGAUGGUUUUCCUAUAUACACUUAGAGUUUAAAGCAUCCACAAUCUGAGAUGCAAUAAUAGCUAAACGUUCGCUUUGUACUUCUAGAGAUAUAUUUAUAGAAUGGGUGCGUCACAUUGCAUUGAGGUGAUCUACACUUUCCAUGUACUUCUCAAUCUGAGACUUUAAUGGUGAAGGGUUCACUCCAAUCUUUGUGAUAACAUUGAAAAGCUCAUCAAUUUUUCCUCUUAAUAAUGGGAGACAUUUAUUUGGAAAUUUUAAUAAUCAUCACCUUAGUGCCUUCUCCUAUCAUAAGUGCUUCUUGGCGUUAGGCAUUAAGGAUGAUUUGUUUGACGUCGAAUGUGUGAAUGGAAGUAGAAGGAGCAACCACGGUAGGACAUGUAGAUUGUUGUUCAGUAAUUAAACCUAUAAAUGCUAAAAUUGUUAAUUCAUCAUAUGUUGUAUCUCUAAUUGUGGUCUUUUGACCUCGAGAUUCAAUCAGAACAUCACUUAAGAUGUUAGUAAUACCUUUAUCACCCAAAUAAGAAUGAGACAAAGGUAAUGGGAUGAUAGAGUGAUUAUCUUGUUGUAUGGUCAAGGUAAAGGGUGCUGACUCCCUAAUAGCAAUAGUACUUUCGAACUGAUCCUUAGGAGAGGACUCAUCCCCUUCAUUGACAAAUUGGUUGUCACCCGCCACCUAAGGCAAAUAAUUAUUUUUGUUAGUAUCAAUGCAAAAAAAAAAAAAAAAAAACCUUUUCACCAUCAAGUUCCAUCGCUUGAGUAGAAGUUAGGACGUCAGCAAAGAAGACAUUUACAUCAAGAUGAUAAGAGUUAGUCUCAUCAUAGUACAUAGGGUUGGGUCUAAUUUUUUUCCAUUUGAAGUAACAUUCACUUGUAUCUUCAAAGUUUUUGUUUGAUACAUAAAGACCCUGUGCAUUGUUAUGUUGCUUAAAAGUCUUGUGACAGUGAGUAUUACCACCGUUGAAAAUAGUUUCCUCAUGCUCUGAGUGUGUGGAGGUAUUAGUUUGAUGUCCACCCAUUGAGCGCUUAGAAGAAGCUCUUGAAUCAUCAGGUAAAUCAUCAAAAUCCUUCUCAACAUUGUCUCUAAUAUUCCCCUUAGUAGAAACACUUAAGUCAACCUUGCGCGUUCUACUCUCUAAAGAUCUAGAGGGUAUUUGCCAAGAAGAAUUAGGAGGGGGCUCCAUACAAGUAGUAGUAAGAAUUUCUUUAUCAGGAUUACGUACUCUGAUCCACCAAUCCGCAUAAGCCAAUCUGGUAUAGUAACUUUGGAGUAGGUACCAAGCCUAGUACAUGACUGCCAAUGUUGAUACACCGCCUUUAAAGUUCUAGUGUGAAAAAUCUCUAGCGAACUCUCCGGAAGGUCUUGAAGAUAUACAAACUGCCUAGAAAACCGAUGAGGAUAAUACAGUUGGAUUACCCAAUGAUUACCUUGUCGCAAAGAUAAAUAGUUAGAGUGAAGACUUAUGAGAUAAGAAGCUUUGGUAACACUAAUAGAUUCAUUAUCAGUCCAGUGCACAUGCCUCUUGUGGCGCAAUGCCAAGUGGUCUAGCUUUACGCCUUUGCAAGACAUUAUCAAAGCCUAAGCUUGCAAAUCAUCAAAACACUUAACAAAAAACUCGCCAGUGUAAUAAGUCAUCCGUGGGGGAUGGCUCCAAGAAGGAGAAAUGAAAUGGGUAUCGAAAUAUUCAUUUAACCAUCCGUAUAAGUAAUGAAUAGGGAAAAUAGAUGCAUUAGUCCCAGGCUUUGAAGAAUAAGUGAUUUUAUUUAAGCUGUUGUAAAUACUUCCUAACACCAAAACAACAAGGCUAAAUGUCUCACCUUGAGCCAUUUUACUAGCUACCUUGAAGACUUUAGGAUGAAUCAAAUUGACACCUCCCAAGGAAGAACGAACUUGUAUAACCAACAUGCUAAGAAAGCGCCUAAGUAUCCUUCACAUCUGCCUCAGCUAUGCCAAGGUUGUAAAAAAUUUCCAUCUCUGACUGAAUACGAGAUUUAAUAGGAUCAAUUUCCCCAGAGGGGUUAUGAGUCUCCUUAGGCCUUUACGCCUUAUUCCUUGUACUUUUAUUUGGAAGUUUUGCAUACUUCAUGGAGCCUUUAUACCAAAAUGACACCCAAGAGGCUAACUUGACUGAAGACUUCCCUUUCGUGUUAGAGCAAAUUCGAUGAUAUGCAAGGAAUAAGUUUUGACAACUUGGUGGGAGUGAGGGCUUUGUCACAUCAUUAGAUAACUCUUCCAUGCUCGGUACCAUCUCAUCAUAAAAAGAUCCAAUGAUGGGUAGUCCAACAAUAUGAUACAAGUCCCAAAGAGAGAUGGAAACCUCUCUAAUGGAAGUAUGCAAGGUGUUAGUGGUAGGACACCAACGUUCACAAAAGGCCCUAAUCACAGAGGCAUGACAAUCAUAGCUGAAUAAGGACGCAAAAAUAGCUUCAUAAAGCUUACAUCCUUUAAGAAAUGGUCCAUGCCGGUCCAAUACCUCCUCUACCCAUUCCCAAUAUCCUUCGAUAAAGAAAUAUUCCCUUAGUACUUUGAAUGAACUUCCCCAUUUAGCUUCUCCGUCAUGAACACAAGAACCAAACUAUCCAAAUUCAUCAUGAACUUUAGUAGUAGUUGGGUGAGAGGAAUUCAACAACAGAACAUCAGAAACAAGUUUCACCUUAUUGAGUUUUGAAUUGCCGAUAUUUGUAAGCUUGCAAGAUGCAACUCGGGACAAGGAAGAAAUGUGUAAUGGGUCCUUUGUCACUGGUACUGACAAAGAUUGAAGGUCAGUAAGUGACUUAUGCACUGACAAGGUAGUCCCCUCCUCAAAAUCUUCACUAUCAUCCUCAAGAAUAGUUACAAUCUUCUAUUUGAAACAUUUGAAGAACGCCAUCCUACAUAAAAAGGAAAAAGAAGGUAGAGAGAGAGAUAAAUAAAACAUGGGUAUAAGUUUUUAGAUACCACUAUGCAUUUAAGUCAGAUCAAUUCACAUGAGUGAAGACCUUAGCACUUAAGUCAUAUAAAGUGUUGAAAGUACAAUACCGCAUAGCAUCAGGGCCAUAACUUGUUUGCAUAGAUACCGAGUAUUAUUCUAGUUUUAAUUAAAUGUUAAAACUUGAACACAACUAUGCAUUCAAGUCAAGACAAUUUGCAUAGGUGAAGACUUUAGCACAUAAGUGUUGAAAAUACAACACCGCAUAACAUUAGGGCCAUAACUUGUCUACAUAGAUAACAAGUAUUAUUAUGGUUUUAAUUAAAUAUUAAAACUUGAACACCACUAUGCAUUCAAGUCAAUCCAAUUUGCAUGGGUGAAGACUUUAGCACAUAAGUGCUAAAAAUACGACACCGCUUCGCGUCAAGGCUACGAAUUGAUUACAUGAGGGUCAAACUUUAAAUAUUCAUAUGUUUUUUUAUUUUUUAUUUUUAUUUAUUUUUUAUUUUUUAUUUUAUGGAUAUUUAAGUUUAUUAAAAAUUUCCCUCAAGUACUAAGGUAAUUUAAAAAUAAAUAAAUAAAUAAAAUUAAAUUACCUGAAAUCAAAUUCGUCUCUACGAAUAAUGGAGGCUAACAUGUGUUCGAAAAAGGUGAAUCUUUUUCUUCCUUGACAAAAAAAAAAUGAAUAAAAAGAUCACGUGUCAACAUAUAUAUAUAUAUAUCCAUCCAUUUUUUCAGGAGAUCACGUGAAUGGAUUUUAUAUAUAUAUACAUAUAUUAAAUCCUCAUCCUUACAUCAAUAUAUAGAUAUAUAGCCUAGUGAUGACGUCUCCCAAGGCAACCAACAUUGAGGCUCUGUCCCCAUUGACUUCGACAUACACCCACCAAGCUCCAAAAUAUAUAUAUGCAUUUAAAAAAAAAAUACUUACAGGUUUGAAGAGGUGAAGACUUCUUACGGUAAUUCAAGUCAAGUUUCUUAAAAUUGGGUUGAAAAUCACCCAAAAAUUCAAAAAAAAUAAAAGAAUAUGAAAGGAUUCAAGUCGGGUUUCUCAAGUUGGGUCAAAGAACACUCAAAGAUCAAAAAAGCUCUUUGAAAAAGUUCAAGUCAAAUUUCUUAGCUAUUGUCCCUUUUAUAUAUAAAAAAAACGUAUAUGGGGAUGACAAAUUGGAAGAUGAUUGAAAGUGUAAAGUAAGAAGGAAAACAAAUUGGAAGAGGAUUCAAAGUGUAAAGCAAAAAAGGAAAACAAAGUGGAGUUUGGAAAAAAGUGGGAAAGAAAUAUUUUUUUUGGAAAAAAAAAAAACUUCAAGACUCACCCCAUCCACAUGACAAUGCAUAUAUGUGAUGCGUCUUGAAGUGGGGGUAUUUGUAGACAUAAAAAAAAUUAGUGGAUUAAAUUACCACUAAUUUUGUUUUCAAAAUGAAUAAAAAAAAUCCUCUUAUGGAUAAGUUUCUCUAAUCUCCAACUAUAGAAAGGAUAAUAAUAACAAUAAAAAAACUAUUAUUAUUAUUAUUAUUAUUAUUAUUAUUAUUAUUAUUAUCUUGUUGGUAAAACCUUCCAGGAUUUUUUUUUUCUAAAAUCAAGGAACUAAAUCCUUUAAAUUAAGCAACUAAACUCUGAGAAUUUGAAAUUCAAAUUUUAUAUCUUCACCUAUAAAUAGAGGUGUCUUUUUUCAAGAAAGGAGGGGAAGAAAUCGAGAAAAAAAAAUCCAGAAAGGAAAAUCUUAAGGAGGAAAUCCAAAGGAAACUUUGUAUGGGAAAAGGGGCUUCACAACAAAAGAAAAAGCUUCAUCAAAUUUCUCUGCAAGUUCGGUACAUGGUAGAACUGCUAAACACGCUCACCGCUAUUUAACGAGUUCAUUAAGGAAUAAGCCACUUGUGGCCCUCAAUUGAUCUUCGAAAUUAAGAAAAUGUCAUCGUUGUUUUCCAAAGUGUGAUCAAGAUGAAAGAAUCAGAGGGAUAAUAUUUUUUUGGAAAUAAUAUUAUUUUUGAGAUUGUACCCACAAUAUUUUUAAUUUUAAUAAAUAUUUUGUUUGCAUUAUUUUCCUAUUUGUUUUGCUAAUUUUGUAGGACCAUUUACGAAAUUUAUGUGUACAUACUCUUUUAUGAACAAGGUAGUGUAGAAAAAGUGUAACACUUUUUUUUUUAACUCAGGUAACUCAAGUAAUAUAUCAUUUCUACCAUAGUGAAUCCAUUCUUCUUCUUUAGCGUAUAAAAAGUGACUCCGUUCUUCUUUAGCACAUUAACUUGAAUACGCAACUCAAGUAAUAUAUCAUUUCUACCAUAGUACUUUUAGCAUUUUAGUGGUAUUUUUUUUCUCAUAAAAAUGUGUACCCUUUGAAUAAGCAACCUUUGAGGUGCACAACUUAAUGUUUUAAGAGGGUGCACUAUUUUUUCCUAGCGCAUUUGAAAUGUGUACAACUUCACUAUGCAAAAAAACAUUAUUUUUUAAUAAAAUUAAGAUCAAAUUAAUAUAAAUGAUUAAAUACAAUUUUUAUGAAAAAAAUAUAUUUUAUUUUUUAUUUAUAUAAAUAAAAAUAAAAAAUUUAAUAAAACAAAAUAUUAGAGCCACAACCAAUUUUCUAUCUUAUAUAAUUAAAAAUAUUAAACAUUUUAACCAAGAAGAAAAUUAAAAUUGUGAUCAAGUUACAUCCAUAAGCAAAAAGUUAAAAUAGUGAUUAUCGACUCUAACUUUCACAUAAAAAUUUAACAAUUUUUUAAAAAUAUAAACAAUAAAAUAAUAUGACAAUGUAAUAGGAUUAUAAAAUAAAUAGAUAUUUUAUUUAGGAGGAAUAUAGAAAAUCUUAUGUCCUAAGCUUCUAAAUUUGUUCAUAAUGAAUUUAUUUUUAUAUUAAAUUUGUUUUCAUUAAUUAUUUCUUAUAUAUUUUUAUUUUGUGUCUAGAAUAUCCAUAAAUAAUUGAAAUCGGUAAAUGUAAAAGAAGAAAUAAUGAAAAAAUAAAAUUAAAAAGAUUUCAUGAAGUCAACACAUUAGAAAAUAAGAACAGAAAGGUAGAGAUAUUACGAAGGAGAGGAAAAAGAAAAAAGAAAAAUCAUAUGACAUGGUUGUCAUAUUAAAGUAAAAAGAAAAAAAAAUAAAAUUUUGUAGUAAUUAACUGUGAAAGGAGAUCGAGGGUUACAGGGUAAUUUUAAAAUUUUGAUGAUUUCACUAUUGAAAUACAUGUUUCUAGAAUUAAUUUUUCCAAGAUGUAUGUACUUUAAAAUUUAAAAUUUAAAACUUUAAAUUUUUUAUAUUUUUUAGUUGUUGCAUGAAUAUUACAUCAUUCUCCAUGAAUAGAAUGUGAUAGGGCAUGGUUUUUAAAUCACUUUUAUAAUAAUUUUUUUAUAAUUAACAAGUUUGGCAAAAGAUAUUCUUAAAUGAUUUAAUUUAUAUUCAAUGCUAGUAGUCAUUUUAAUUGGAUAAACUUUUCAAAAGCAAAUUUGAAGAAUUUGGGUCAAAUGUAAUGUGCAUUUUUGUAGGGCCCUCCCAAUGGACCUCGUAAUGCCAAAACUUCUGGCCUUCAUGUUUUGUCAACUUGUUCACACAAUAAGCUCACGAGCUUUACCUUGCUUUAUCUUGUGAGACUUUGAUAUAUGCUUUGUUUGUAUUAAAGAGGUAAAAAAGUUCUUAACCACCAUUCCAUUUUGCACUAAAAAAAAAUUGAUAUAGACAUGCCAAUUGACUUUGUGUGUCAAAUAUUGUCAUGAUGCAUAUGAGAAAAUAAUGUGUCAUUUGACUCCUUUGAGUCAAAUCUUGCCUUUAAGUACAGAGAAAUAUUUGAGAAAUCGCAAGCAUUUUUUCUUUGUUGUUCAUUAAUAUAUGGAAUAGGUUGACCUUUGAAUUAGUCAAGGACAUGGUAGGUCUUUUGGUCUUAUUUUUACUCAAAUUUAUUUGACUCAAAACUGAAGUAGCAUUAAAAAUGAUACUUCAUGUGGUUGUAAAUUUACAUUUCCUAAGGGUUUUCUUCCCUAUUUGAACCAAAAAUUGAUUUUUAGGGUUAGAGGAACACCUCCCCUACAACAGUCAGACAAACUCCAUUGAGUUCCUCUUCCAUUCAAAGAGUGGGUGUGUUUGUUUCCCAAGAAAAUCUAACCCAUUUUAAGUUCAAAAUAAAUUUUUAUCAAAUUUUUCUUUAGAGCUUGGGUUGAUUCAUUUGGUUCUUCCAAAGAUGAGAACUUUUAACUCAAUGACCCAAUCAAAUUACAUGCAUAAUAACAUGAAAAUCUAGAAACUUAAGUAUUACCGUUUCUAAAUAUGACAACUUUUAAUUCAACAACCCAAUCAAAUAAUCAUGCAUAAUAACGAGAAAAAUCUAAAAACCUAAGAACUACCGUUUCCGAAGAUAUGGACUUUUAAUCUAAUAAACCCAUCAAAUAACAUGCAUAGUAACAAGAGAAUCUAAAACCCCUAAGAACUAACAUUGCCAAUUUAACCCAAUAACCCAAUCAACUAACAUGCAUAAUAACUAGAGAAUAUAAAAAAACCCUAAGAACUAAUCAUUGAAACAUGAAAAUUUUGAUAGUAUGGGAAUAACCUAUAAACCUUAAAAUUAUCAAACUUUGAAAAGUAAGAUUUUUAAUAAAAUAGCAUUCUAACACCAUGAAUGAUAACUAGAAAAUUUAAAACCGAACCAAAAUUUUCAAGAUAAGACUUCUAAGAAAAUAGCAUUUUGAUAACAUGAAUAGUAACUAGAAAAAUUAAAACCUAACCAAAAUGUUCAAGAUGAGACUUUCAAUGAAAUAGAAUUCUAAUAUCAUAAAAUAUGUUCCAAAAAAUUUAAAACCUAACCAAAUUUUUGUAUAACCAACUUUUCAAGAUGGGAAUUUUUAAUAAAGUAACAUUCUAAUAACAUAAGAAGUGUACUUGAAUAUGUCUAAGUAUGUUGUCCUAAAGGAGCACUUAAAAAGAAGCUAUUCUAAAAAGAGAAAAGGAAAAUCCUAGAUCUAACUUGGGGUUUCCAAGGGUCACAAUGAGGGGCUAGAUAAAUCCCUCAACUAGAGUCUUUGAGAUGGCUAAAAAAGGUAAGUUGUGUGAGUUGAAAAUGGGCCACCAGGGAGACUACUGCAAAGUAUGAAAAUAGCACUUAAUAGGGCAUGUGCUAACGUAACAAAUGGAAAGUCUACACUUGCAUGCUAGAUUUAUUCUAAGUUGUGCUCACAUCUAUUUUGCAAGGUUGUUUUAUUCAUCUCAUGGACCCUAAGGAUGAAUGAAUGAAAUGCUUUUAUUAAUUCAAUUGAAUGAAUGAAUAUGAAUGGAUAUGAUCUUUGCCAUUUGAUUCUCUAGUUUGGGUUGUGCACCCCAUGAGGGGUACAAGAUUUUUAUUUUAUUGUAAAAAUAUUUUCUUUUCAAUAGAUGGGUUGUAAGCUCCAUUAUAGGAGCAUAUAAUUUUAUUUUUUAUUUUUUUGAUUGUAAAUUUUUUUUUUUAUCCAUUUAUGGUGACCCAAAAGGAAAGGAAAAAUUCUUAAAUUUUCAUUUUUGAGAUCCUAUGGUGACUUAAGAAAAAAGAAAGAUUCUUGAAAGUUCUUGAUUUGAGAUCCUAAUUUGACUCAAAAUUGGGACAAAUCAUAUAUGGUUUUGAAGCUUAGGAAGUUAGGAAUCCAAUGCUUCAAACAAUUUUCUAUUCGGAGUUGAAAUGAGGAAGAUAUAGUCAAUUGAAGUAAGGUUGUACAAAGAGCAUACUAUUUCAGAAUUAAGUUCGGGCCAAAUUGUUUUUGGUUAUUUGGGCUUCUUUUUUAGCUUUUUUUUUUUUUUUUUUUUUUUUUGUGGAAAUUCGACAUUUUAGGGUUUUGUCAAUUUUUACUAACUAAUCUUUGGUUGUAAGAAUAUUUUGAUAAUUUGAAUUUUGUCCAAUUUUUAAUUACCAAAUAUGCAAUAGGAUCCCUAAAGUUCAUGAGAAAUAUUUAUUUAAUUAUUUCCUUGUUUUUAUUUUAUGUUAUCUUUAUUACUUGCUUAUGUGACCUAAAAUAGGAUAAUUUGGUAUUCUUAAUUAGAUAUAAAUUUUCAUGGGCUUUUUCAAAAUAGGAAAACUUAUUUAAAUUGGAAUGUGUAUUGUUAGGAAAUUUAUUUUAAGAAAAGAUAAGUUAGAAAAGAAUUAAGAGUUUCCAUUCCUUUUAAAAAUUAAUUCUUAAUGAUUUUAAUUUUAUUUAAAAUUUUCUUAGAUCUUUGAGAUCUCUAAGAAUAAAAUCUUUCUUUUAAUGAAAAAACUCUUGUUUUUCCAAAUCUUUAUAAAAUAAUAUUUUUCCUAUUUUGCACAAGGUUUUGAUUUAAAGAAAAUAAGUUGAUUUUGAAAAUUCAUAAUAGAUAAUUUAUAAUUAAGAAGGUUACCAAAAUAAGUAUUCAAACCUAAAGAAAAAUGUUUUGGUAUUCUCUAUAAAUUUUCAUGAAAAGAUUUUUCCAAGAUUAUAUAUUUGAAUUGGUUGUUGCUAAUGAGAAUCUUAUUCAUUUGGAACUAUCAUUUUGAUUUUGGUAUAGAUGCUUCUCCAAGCUACUACACCAUACCUAAGAUGGUCCUUCAGGCUCUCUCCUCCUGAGAUAAGGAGGAAACCCCUAUUUGGAUAUGGAUAGUUCAAAAAUAAAGACUAAGAGAGCAAUUUUGUUUAGCAAACGAGUCUUAGUUUAAAAGAUAAAUAACGGAUUUGAAAAACCUCAUGAUAAGAAGGGUUUUCAAUCUUGUAUGUAGAGGUGUCUAAUGGGUCGUGUUGGGCUGACAUGACCUAAUAUUGAUCGGGCCAUUAGGGGCCAAUGUGUCGGGUUGGGUCGACCCAUGCAAGCCAAAUAGGUGACUCGACACGGCCCAUAAGUCCAUGGGCUAAUCGUGUCAUGCUGGGUCGGGUCGUGCUGUGCCGGUGGGCCAUGGCCCAUGGGCCACUCACUUUGUUAAAAAUUUUAAUUUAAUUUUUUAAGUCAUUUUUUCUUAAGUUUUUUCCUUAUUAAAUAAAUUUUAUUUUUGUUACUUUAAACACCUCUAAUAAUUAUAUUUUUAUUUUAUUUUUUAUAUACUUCUAAUAAUUAUACUUUUUAUUUUUUACAUUUAUAUUUAUUGAGUUUGUAAUUGUAAAAUUUAUAGAAAUAUUAGUUUUUUGUUUUUAAAAAUAGUAAAAAAAAAUUACAUUUGAAUUUGUUUAUUUUAUUUUUAUCAAAAUAACAAUAAAUUUAAAAUAAUGGAAUAUAAAAGGAAAUGAAAUAUAAAAAAAUAAUUCUUUUAUUCAAUAUUUCAACAAAUUACAUGAAAAAAUAAUGAGAAAAAAAAAACAAAAGUGAGAAUUGCAUCACUAUAGUUUGAGUACAUCCCAACUAGGUUGGCACCCACCCAACUAUCAAUCAUAUGCAUUACUUAACCUUUAAAAAUUAACUACAUUUAAUAGAUUUAAAAGAAACGAACAACAUAUAAUUCUUCAAUUAUCAUAUUCACUUUUGUCUUCUUAUUCAAUCUUCAUUCUUAUUUUUUCAUCUUCAAUCAUCAUCAAUCUCUUGAACAUCAUUGUUUGCAUUGAGAUGCAAUUUCUUGAAGGCUUCUUUAAGUUCAUCCUCUAAAGUUUGACAUGAAAAAAGUAAAAAUAGUUAUUGAUUUACUUUUUUUACCCCUCAAACUAGUUGUAAUAUAAUUGUUAAGAGGGGUAUUAUAGACAUUUGACAUGUAAUAAAAAGUAAACACUAAAAGGUGAAAUUUAAAAGGGCCAAGUGGGUCGACACGGUGGGCCGACGGGUUGUUUCUUUAGGCCUAGCAUGGCCUGCUCCUUUGGGUCGUGUUGUCUUAGCUUGCUAUAGUGUUAGGCCAUACUGGCCUUGCCUGACCUUUUGGCGUGCCGAGCCACGGGCCAAAAUGGGCAGCCCGACCCAAUGACCCAGAUUUCAUUAUACAUUUGAAUGGUUUGAAUUGGAAGUUUGAUUUAGGACAAAAUCAAUAACCAUUAAAAAAAGAAAGAAUAUUGUAACACCGUUCAUACCUAUUGACUUUCGUUUUUAAUACUAUUGAAAAUUUUCACGAAUGAGAAGGCAACAAAGCAAGAAUUCUUAAGAUUCUAACUAUGCUACAGUCAUGAAAGAAGAAAAAGGGGGGAGAAGUAAUGUUUUUAUACUACAACCCACAAUCAUGAAAUAAGAAAAAAGAAAAUUCCAAAAAAUAUAGACCAAACAACAAGAACUUGCUUAGGCAUCUUCUAUACGUGAUCCUUUCUUGUCACUUGUUUUUUUUCCAUACUGGAAUGUAAAAUCCUACCAUGAGUGUUAAAAUAAGAUUGCCAUACUUAUUAACCAAUUAGUGAGUAAUUCCUACAAGUGAUAGUUUCUUAUAAUACACAUAUUUCUUGUUUACUUGAGCGCUAGUAGUAAUGAUCAUAAUUUUAAUAUAUUGAGAAUGUAAAAUUUUCUAGCAACAAAUAUAUUUAGCCCAUUGUAUUACAAAAAAGUACUAAAUGAAGAAAAAAAAUAGAGAUGGAAAGAAAUCUAAAUUCUCUUUAGUUCAAAGGUAUAAAAUAAAAUCAAAUAUAAUAAAAAAAUUCAAAAUUUUUCAAUCUUUAUGUAGAAUAGAAAAAAGAAGAAGAAAAAGGAUACUCUUGGUGAAACAUGUAAGAAAUGUUAAUUGAAUUUAAAUUUAUUUUUCAUUUUAUUAUUUUUUUAAAAACUUUUUAUUGUUUUAAAUUAAGAAAUAUACUAAAGACAUAGGUUUUAGUGAUUGCCAUAUGUUGGUAAUAAGCAGGGAAUGUCACUAAAAAAUACAAUAUAUUUUAAUUAAAUGUUACCAAGUAUUGUAUAAUGAAUGAGAGAUGAAUGUUCAAAGAACUCAACCCCUUUUUCUUUUUAGAAAAUCCAUUAGAAAAUUUUUCUUGAAGACUUGAAUAAGAUUUCCUUGGAAAGCAAACAACCUCCAAAAGAGGAAGGGAAUGAAGAGCUCACUCACCGAUUGUUGCUCUCUACAAGCUCUCUCCUCCUGAGAUAAGGAAGAAACCCCUAUUUGGAUAUGGAUAGUUCAAAGAUAAGGACUAAUUAGAAAACAAUUUUUUUAACACACGAGUCUUAGUUUAAAAAAUAAAUAACGGAUUUGAAAAAUCUCAUGAUAAGAAGGGUUUUCAAUCUUGUAUAUUUAUAUUGUCAUUCAAUGACUUAAAUUUCAUUAUACAUUUGAAUGGUCUGAAUUGAAAGUUUGAUGUAGGACAAAAUCAAUACCCAUUAAAAAAGGAAAGAAUAUCGUAACACCAUUCAUACCUAUUGACUCUCCUUUUUAAUACUAUUGAAAAUUUUCACAAAUGAGAAAGCAACAAAGCAAGGAUUCCUAAGAUUCUAACUAUGCUACAAUCAUGAAAGAAGAACAAAGAAAAUUCCAAAAAUAUAGACCAAACAACAAGAACUUGCUUGGGCAUCUUCAGUAAGUGAUCAUUUCUUGUCACUUGUUUUUUUCCAUAUUGGAAUGUAAAAUCCUACCAUGAGUGUUAAGAUAAGAUUGCCAUAAAAGAAAUUAUCAAAUAUGACAAUAUUUUUUCUAAUUUUCAAAGAAUUAUCAAAUAUGACACUAAAUUUUCAAAAUAACACUAAAUUUCUUUCUAUUUUGGAUUUAAAAGUGAGUAGUAAAACUAAAAUUAUCAAAUAUGACAAUAUUUUUUCUAUUUUUCAAAGAAUUUCGAAAGCAUUAUAUUUAAUUAAAAACACUUGGCUGAUAAAUAAAUAAACUGAAAACAUGGGAAUUCUGGAGAGCUACGAAACGGAGAUAAGAAUAUAAUUAAGGAAAAUGAAAGUGAAAGCCAAGGAAUGAGCAUCAUCACCUCCUAGAAGUAUCUAACCCACCUCGCUGAAGUUUGCUAUAAAUACCUAACAAUUUCCCUUGAGUUCAUCAAUGCUUGAGUUUGAAUCUUAUCAAUCACAGUAGUAGCAAUGGCAGACGAGAUUAUCUUGUUGGAUUUCUGGCCUAGCCCGUUUGGUAUGAGGGUCAGAGUUGCCCUGGCAGAGAAGGGUCUCAAGUAUGAAUAUAGAGAGGAGGACCCGAGGAACAAGAACCCUCUGCUUCUUGAGAUGAACCCCGUUCAUAAGAAAAUCCCAGUUCUGAUCCACAAUGGAAAGCCCAUUUGUGAGUCUAUGAUAAUAGUUCAGUAUAUUGAUGAGGUUUGGAACAAAAAAUCUCCGUUGUUGCCUAGUGACCCAUACCAGAGAGCUCAGGCCAGGUUCUGGGCGGACUACAUAGACAAGAAGGUAUGCCUUUUCUGUUGAUUUAAAGCAUUCUUUUCCAUUGAUUCAUGGCGAUUGACUCACAUUUUGAUUAUGGUGAGGGAUUUAUCCAAAAUGCUAGUUCUUCACAUAUUCUCUUCUGAUAUUGAGUUUUGUUGGCUUUGGUGUCCCAAACUAGAACUUUACUGAUUCUCUUGCUGUUUCUUCAACAAGACUCCCCUCUGCAUUUCUGAUAUGGGUUUUUAUUUCUUUGUUCUGUUGAAUCCGACGUCUGUUCGUUCCAUCCAAAAAAGCAGAUCUCAAGAAUACCUUUUCCCCCAAGAAAGGGAAUACAUAAACCAGAAUUUUAAAGAACAGAUUUUGGUUUUUCGUUAUCCUGCUGUUCAACAUUUUGCACAACAGUUGUUUUAAUAUAUGUUCUGUCUUUUUGAUCUCUUUCUUCUCAUUUCUUUAACACAAAUUGAGGGGAAAAACUUUAGCAAAUGAUACAUUCUUUCAACUGAUUCUGAUAUUUUUCCUAGGAUACGAGAUUUCUAUGCCGAAGGGUCGUUAAUAAACUUGCCCAACUAUACAGAAAGUUUGAAACUUGAUGAAAUGCUUCCAAAAGAAAAAAAAAAAACCCUUUUCUCUCUUUGACUCCAUUACUUUCCACAGCUCUAUGAACUUGGAAGGAGGAUAUGGUCAACCAAAGGAGAAGAGCAGGAAACAGCCAAGAAUGAAUUCAUAGAGUACCUUAAGAUUUUGGAAGGAGAGCUUGGAGAGAAGCCUUACUUCGGUGGUGAGAAAUUUGGGUUUGUGGAUGUGGCUCUGGUGACUUUCUCAACCUUGUUUUAUGCGUAUGAGAGCUUUGGUAACUUCAGCAUAGAGGUGGAGUGCCCCAAGUUGAUCGCUUGGACCAAGAGGUGCAUGGAAAAGGAGAGUGUGUCGUCUUCUCUGAAAGACCCACAGAAGGUCCAUGGCUUUGUCAUGGAGAUGAGGAAGAAGCUUGGUAUAGAGUAAAAGGGGAACAUCAUGUGUGGGGGUCUUUCCAUCGAAGACCCACACAAGGUCCAUGACUUUGUCUUGUGGAUGAGAAAGAAGUUCCGUGUAGAAUAAAAGGGCUUUUGAAUCGUGUUGUAUUGGUAAUAUGAGAGGAGUGUUUGCUUUAAGUAUGCUUUGAAGGGGCUGGAAAGAAAUGUUUACAAUUUGUUUUCUUUUGUUUUGGACUAGAGACGUGUUCUUGUAUUGAAGAAAUAAAAGAGUUUUUAACUACAUUCCAUUGUAUCAUGUCACAUAAACAAGCAUUAAAAUAAGUUGGAUAAGACAUGCCACAAAGUUGAUCAGAUGCGUAGUCUAUAAAGAUAUCAUGUCCCAUAGAUAGAAGGUGAUAGACAGCUCACGUGACCAACUCAUACUUUGAGACAAUCCGGUGAUUGUUGCAGUUAUAUCAUAUCCAUUGACCAGCUCAUCCUCUGAUUCAAUCCCACAAUAGUUGCAGUUAUACCAUAUAAUAUUUGUACCUACUGUAUAUAAAAAGGCAGACCCACAAUUAUAACUGUAAUUCCCUCUUGAAUCUAGUCAAUAUGUGUGUUUAUACUCAUGCAAAUAUGAAUGAAAGAUAUUGUUUUUUGCCCAAAGCUUUCUGCUGUUUCAGGGUAUCAGACCCAUAAACUCCACCGAGUCACUAUUCCAGCAGCCACCCAAAUCUUGUAGUCUCUUCAUUGAAACCACCUUUUAUUGCUAUCCCAAUGACUGAAGACUCCAACUCCUCCGGGCCCUUCCCAUAUCACACAGUCAUCAUGUCAUGUGGAAACACUCCUUCAACCGCACUGGUGUCUGUUAAUGCAGCAACACAACUUCCCCUGAAACUCACCGGUAGCAGCAUUUAUCCCUCUUGGAGAACAAUGUUCUCAACACUACUUUAUGGCUAUGAUCUGAUUGGGUAUGUUGAUGGAACAUAUCCAUGUCCACCAGAAAUGAUAAAAAUGGGUGACACUUUCACACCCAAUCCGGAGCACAAAAUUUGGAAACGCCAAGACAGCCUACUUCUGCAUGCUAUCAGGGAAUCAGUUGAUUCCACCAUUGCCCCUCUUGUUGCAUCCACCACAUUUGCUCAAGAGUCUUGGGCUCGUCUACACACCACAUAUGCCAGCAAAUCGAAGACUAGGAUCUUAGGACUCCGAGAGAUGCUGAGCCAACUCAUCAAAGAAAAUAAAUCUGUUGUUGAAUAUAUGACAGUAAUCAAAACUAUGACCGAUGAAUUGGCUAUUGUUGGAUCCCCUCUCGGUGAAGAAGAAAUGGUGAUCAGUGUUCUCAAAGUUUUAGGAUCUGAGUUCAAGGAAUUGAGUGCAGCAAUAAGAGCUUGAGAUUCUUCCAUAUCCUUUGAAGAACUACAUGAAAAACUAGCAGAUCAUGAAAUGUUCCUUAAAUGUGAAGAAUUCAAGAAGCAUAGUGUUACUGUUACAACUCAGUUUAAUCAAAAGGGCUCAAACAACUUUGGCAAAAAGGGGAACAACUCAAACAGUAAGAAAGGACGAAGUUCUCAAUUUGGAAAUAAUUAUCAAGGCAACAAGAAUCAUCAUGGACACAUGUUCCCUAACCAAGGGAAUAGAUUUCUUGGUCCACAAGGGCGUCCUCCAUUCAAUCCCCCUCAAAACUGUGUUGUUUGUCAAUCAUGUGACAAAGCUAGACAUACUGCUAGGGUCUGCAGGUCUCGCCCACCCUCCUAUUUCACACCAAAAGAAAAUUUCAUGGCUCGAGAACCACAAAUUCAUAAUGCCAAUUGGGUAAUAGACUCGGGAGCCUCACACCACAUUACUUCAGAUCUUCAGAAUCUUUCCAUUCAUUCUGAAUAUGGUGGUACAGACGAUGUAAUUAUUGGUGAUGGUAAUGGUAUUUCUAUCACUCAUACUGAUUCUACUAAUUUAAUUACUGAAAAUUCAAAUUUUAUGCUUGGCAAUGUUUUGUGUGCUCCGUCUAUUCAUAAGAACUUAAUUUUUGUGUCUUAGUUUUGCAAACAUAAUUGUACAUCCAUUGAAUUUUUCCCUACUUACUUUUUGGUGAAGGAUUUGAGCAUGGGGGCAACACUCGUUCAAGGCCAGAGUAAGGGAAAUCUGUAUGAGUGGCCGACUUCUUCUCCCAACUCAAGCUCCACACCUCAGGCCUACAACACCACCACCAGUUCAACAUCUCGAUCAUCCCAAUCUGCGUAUUCUCCAACAUGUCAUCUCAAGUCAUUCACUUUCAGUGUCCAAGUUGUCUCUAGACUCUUGUAACUCAUGCUUAUGUAAUAAAAGUCAUCGACUUCCCCUUGGUGCAUCUUCUCUUAUAAGCUCUAAACCCCUUAAACUUAUUUCUACUGAUAUUUAGGGACUUGCUAUGAUGUAGGACAACCCUACACUACUACAAAAAAUGUAAUUUAUGACGUUUUUUUUCUUGACGCUUAUAUAAAGUGCCAUUAUUUAUUCUCAAAAAUGGGUAUUAAUGACGCUUGCAUUAUCUUGGCGCCUUAAUGGGAGAAAUAAUGACGUUUUUAAAUAAUGGCGCUUUUUUAAGCAUCAUUGUACAAUGAAUUUCAAAUAAUGACGCUUUUUUAAGUGCCAUUGUAGGAGAACCUCAACCUUGGCGCUUUUAAAAGCGUCAUUGUACAAUGCAUUUCAAAUAAUGACGAUUUUUUAAGUGCCAUUGUAGGAGAACCUCAACCUUGGCGCUUUUAAAAGCGUCAUUUUCUGUUCAUUUUAUAAUUACUCACAUUUUUCAAUUAAAAAAAAAGAGAUAAAUGUAAUAAAGCCUUUUCCAUACCCGAUGCCCACACUCAAGUUUCAUUACCAAAUCUGUCUCUAACUGAACCAGCAAGCUCCAGCCAAUUUCGAUUGAGAAAAUGAAGUUCUUACUCCAAAUCAAGAAGAUAGCAUUCAUGGAUGCUCCACCGAUUUGACUAUUUGGGUGCUGGAUUGAGAGAAAGGAAAUGAAUGGAGAUAUAAGAGAAAGCUAAGGUUUUUUUAGAUUCGUAGGUUGGGAGAGGCAAGAGGCAGCAAAGGCAGGUGCCUUCGGUUGAAGAGGUAAGCAAGGAGUAAAGGUCGAAGAACCAGAGGAACAGAGGAAAGAAAAGAAGGGAGAAGAAAAAACCCGGAAGAGAGAGUUGUCGGGUACGAGCCCACAUGUUCUCGUUUUCCCAUGGAUUCACAUUCUUCACUAUUGAUUUCUGGGAUUUGAGUGUGAAUGCUUGUAAAUCUGUUGUGGUUUUUGUUUAUUAUCAGUUAUUUUCUUGGUUUGCAUCUCCGAUAAAAAGAUACUAUACCUCUGUUUUUAGGCUCAGUUGUGUCUCUCCUCUGUUUUUGUUCUCUGGAAGAUUUGGAAAUGAUUCUGGUGUUGUUCCAUUUGUGUACAAUGGUUCAUGCCGAAAGGAGCUUGCUUUCCAUGGAGUUGUAGGUACUGCCUAUAACUUGUUUGAUGAAAUGCCAUUUCGAGAUAUGGGCUCUUGGAAUGCAUAGAAAGUUUUUCAACAUUCUUUAUUAAGGGAUGUAGUGUCAUGGAACUCAAUAAUUGUUGCCUAUGAGUAGAAUCAUGUGGCUUUCGAAUUAAAUAAAAAAAAUUUCUUCAGGGGGCGCGACCCCCGACAUCCCGAGCAAAGUGCAACAUUUACUACUAAUUUAAGCUUCACAAUCUGACAUAGGCUUCAUUGCUUAUAUUAUAAAAGAUGCUAUUCAACUUCAUUUUUAAAUGGGUUACACAACAUGUUAUCUAAUUAAUAAUAACGUCAUGUUUGGUUCAUCUAUUCAAUAAACUAAUUGAGAUUUGACACCCCACUUAUGACCACAAACUAGAAUGGUCACCCCCAACAUAAGUAGAACACAUGUCAAGGUGCGGCUUAGCUCUACUUUAGCCUUACUUGGGAAAUCUACCCAAGUCUAAGCCUAAAAACAAAAUGAAAAAAAUAUCAUGAUAUUAUAUUAAUACAAAUUAUAUAUAUCUAUAUUGAUUAUCUAAUUAAUCAAGACUCUAAAAAAUGAGUAACUUUGAUAAAUCAUUUUGGGGGUUGGAGAUGAACCAAUUUUAACAUGAACUUUAUGUAGUGGGUCUUUAAUGGAUUUAGCCAAGUUAUUGAACUUAGGCCUAAAAUGUGAUGCUUACAAACAAUAUUUUCCUAUUCUUACCAUUGCAAUUGAUAUGAAUAAUUUAUAAUACAUAACUAGAUGUAAUAUUUUAAUAAGUAUUUAUGUUUUAGUUUUAAUCAACUAUGCAUGCAUGAAACCUUAGAAUUCCCAUUCAAGUAUCAUUGUGAGACAGAAGUUUCUCUUAUUACAUACUAAGACAAUAAGUUGUCAAAAUGUGAAAUGUGAGUAUAUUUAAGCCAGUUUCAAGUUGACAACCACUAAAUUUGUUUUCCAUGUGAUAAAGAUCUUUUCUUUGCAAAUGAUGUUUGAAUUGUCCAGUUGGACAGUAUAGGAAAACAUGAUAUCUAUGAAGUUAAUUGCUUGUUCUUAAUUCAAUUUUUAGAAAAUUUGGUAGUCUUUCUUCUUGUUCUCUGGGUGCAUAUUUGGACAAGGUCACAUAUUGUGCCUUAUCCAUUUUGUGUACUUGGUGAACUAUAAGGAAAUGCUGCCGAAAUUUCUUUAAAAUGAAUUUAAGUAUAUUGGCAAUUGACACAUAGGGAUUAUGUAUUCCUAUAUGGGAUAGGAACCACCACCUAAUUAAGGAUGUUGGAGAUGUUAGAAUGCCUAAAUCAUGUAUAAAUCACUUGCUUCUAUUCAUUCGAAUCUUAGUUCCAUUCGUUAAUUGUUUUAGUUCAUGGUAUCAUUGUCUCAUAUGGUUAUGUGUUUUUAAAAUUUUCAAACUUGGUGUAUUCAAUAAUAUAAGAGAAGACUAAAAGUUAGAUCUUGCUUUUCGUUCCUAUUCAUGAAUAAAGCAAACAUCAUGAACGAACUAAGAUCCAUUUUUUAUGCUAAUAUUGAAUAACCUAAUAUACUAAUUAUGUUUCUUGUCAUAUUGCUUAUUGUUAGAUGACUUGCACAUUGUCGUUUUUUGGAUUGGUCUAAGUUUUGUGACAAUGUGGGAAAUUUUAAUUUGGUAGAUUAUAUAUUUUAAGCCUAUUAAUAGGAUUUUAUUAAUAACUUUAGUUGUUAGUGGUAUCUAGGAGUUGUGUUUAUCUCUUGUACAUCAAAUGGAUCGUUCUUGGAUGUCAAAGGAUAGGAGAUCAAAGGAUUAUGCAGAUGGGGUAGAAAACUUUAUCGCAUUUGCAUUACAAUAUUCCACAUAUAAAAACUCCAUUAAAUGUCCAUGCCUUCAGUGUGGUAAUAUGAUAUUCCACACUCCUCAAAAAAUUAGAGAACAUUUAUUCUUCUAUGGAAUUGAUUAGAGUUACCAUACAUGGUAUUGGCAUGGAGACAUUGCUCCAAGUGGACCACCAACUAGUAGGGCAGAAUGGCAUCAUACAGUUGAAUUUAACGAUGUGGAUAGUACAAUAGAAAUGGUUCAAGUUGCAUAUGAUGAUUGUAAGAAUGACCCAAAAUCGUUUGAAACAUUACUUGAUGAUGCUCAAAAACCUUUAUAUCCUGGUUGUAGAAACUUUACAAAGUUAUCUGCAUUGGUCAAAUUAUACAACCUGAAAGCAUGAUAUGGAUGGUCUGAUAAAAGCUUUUCAGAGCUUUUAAGUAUUCUUGGAGAUAUGUUGCCUCUAAACAAUGAGUUGCCUCUGUCUAUGUAUGAAGCAAAAAAAACAUUGAAUACAUUGGGAAUGGAAUAUGAGAAAAUACAUGCAUGUCCCAAUGAUUGCAUAUUGUAUAGAAAUGAGUUGAAGGAUGCAACUUCUUGUCCUACUUGUGGAACUUCAAGGUGGAAGUUAGAUGGAACAGGUACUAAAAAGAGGAAGGGAGUCCCUGCAAAAGUAAUGUGGUAUUUUCCUCCUAUUCCAAGAUUUAGAAGAUUGUUUCAAUCGCCAAAAAUUGCAAAAAACCUCAUAUGGCAUGCUCAAGAAAGAGAAUUUGAUGGUAAAAUGCGUCAUCCAUCUGACUCCCCAUCAUGGAAGCUAGUUGAUCACAGAUGGCCUGAUUUUGCUUCAAAACCUAGAAACCUUAGACUUGCCAUUUCAGCAGAUGGUAUAAAUCCUCAUAGUUCAAUGAGCAGUAGACAUAGUUGUUGGCCUAUUAUAAUGGUCAUUUACAACCUUCCUCCUUGGUUGUGCAUGAAAAGGAAGUUUAUGAUGCUAUCUUUAUUAAUAUCAGGUCCACGACAACCUGGAAAUGAAAUUGAUGUUUAUUUAGCACCAUUAUUGGAUGACUUAAAAAUGUUGUGGGAUGUAGGGGUUGAAUGUUAUGAUGUGCAUCAGCAAGAGGUCUUUACAUUAAGAGCUAUUCUACUAUGGACAAUCAAUGAUUUUCCUGCAUAUGGAAACUUAUCUGGUUGUGUAGUUAAAGGAUAUUUUACAUGUCCCAUAUGUGGGAAAGAUACAUUCUCUCAUAGAUUGAAGCAUGGGAAAAAGAACUCAUAUACAGGUCACAGAAGAUUUCUUCCUUGCAACCAUCCUUUUAGGAAACAAAAGAAGGCAUUUAAUGGCAAACAAGAGUUUAGCUCACCUCCGCAACCAUUGAGUGGAGAGGAAAUCCUAAGGAAAAUUGAUGUCAUUUCUAAUUCAUGGGGAAAAAAUAAAAACUCUCGAGGCAAGUUGAAUGUCAAUACUACAAAUUGUUGGAAAAAGAAGUCCAUAUUCUUUGAUCUUGAGUAUUGGAAAUACCUACAUGUUCGUCAUAGCUUGGAUGUAAUGCACAUAGAGAAGAAUGUUUGUGAAAGCAUCAUUGGUACCUUACUCAACAUUCCAGGUAAGACGAAAGAUGGACUUAAUUCUCGCCUAGACCUGCUAGAGAUGGGCUUAAGGUGUGAAUUGGGGCCAAGGUUUGAAUCAAAUCGAACUUAUCUCCCACCUGCAUGUUAUACGUUAUCUAAAGUGGAGAAAAAGGUUUUUUGCCAAACUUUAUCACAAUUAAAGGCUCUUGAAGGUUAUUGCUCUAACAUGAGAAACCUUGUGUCAAUGGAAGACUUGAAGCUUUAUGGUCUUAAAUCGCAUGACUAUCAUACAUUAAUGCAACAGUUAUUGCCAAUGUCAUUACGAUCCCUUUUGCCAAAGCAUGUAAGGCAUGCUAUUUGCAGAUUGAGUUUUUUAUUCAAUGCUCUGUGUAGCAAAGUGGUUGAUGUGUCUGCACUGGAUAAGUUACAAAAUGAUUUGGUGGUGACAUUAUGCUUGCUUGAGAAGUACUUUCCACCUUCCUUCUUUGAUAUCAUGCUUCAUCUUACUGUACAUCUUGUAAGGGAGGUGAGACUUUGUGGACCAGUUUACCUAAGGUGGAUGUACCCAUUUAAAGAUUCAUGAAAGUUUUGAAAGGGUAUGUACGAAACCGUAAUCGGUCGGAAGGUUGUAUCGCUGAAUGCUAUAUUGUAGAGGAAGCUAUUGAAUUUUGUACAGAGUAUUUAUCAAAUGUAGAUGCGAUUGGGAUUCCUAUUAGUGCAAACAUUGACCAAAAAGUUGGGGCACCAAUACCUGGAGGUCAAGUUGUGACAAUUGAUUUCAAUUUGUGGUUACAUGCACAUCAUUAUGUUUUAGAGAAUACAACUAUUGUUCAACCUUAUAUUGAGUAAGAACCACUAACACUUAAUAUUUGUGUCUGAUACUUAAAAUAACUUUAAAACAUUAACUUUGAAUUUCUUAUAAAUAAUUACAUAGAGAGCACAUGGAAUGGUUGAAAUUGAAAAAUCCUCGUCAAUCAAAAAGACAAAAGUGGCUCCAGGAUGAACACCUGCGGACUUUUACUUAUUGGUUGAGAAAAAAGGUAUUGGAAUGGUGUUAAAAUGUGAAGUAUUCUUUUUACUAAUGUUUAACAUACAUAAUAACUAUUAUUUAUAAUUACAGAUUGAAGCUGCAAUUGGUAAUAAUGAACCUAUAUUUGAAACCCUUAAGUGGAUAGCUCAUGGUCCUAGCCAUUAUGUCUCUAAAUAUCAUGGAUAUGUCAUUAAUGGGUGUCGAUACCAUACCAAGGAAGGAGAUGACUUACGAGCUACCCAAAAUAGUGGAGUUAGUAUUGUAGCUUCAACAAUGCAAAUCGCAAGUGCAAAGGAUCAAAAUCCAGUGUUUGGUGAGCUUUGUUUCUAUGGCAUUAUUACCGAGAUCUGGGACCUUGAUUAUACCAUGUUUAGGAUACCGGUUUUCAAGUGUGAUUGGGUUGAUAAUAAAAAUGGCAUAAAAGUUGAUGAUCUUGGCUUUACAUUAGUUGACUUUAGCAAAAUUGCUCAUAAAUCAGAUCCUUUCAUUUUGGCAUCCCAAGCUAAGCAAGUAUUUUAUGUGCAAGACCAACUUGAUCCAAGAUGGUCGGUUGUUUUGUCAACUCCUCAAAAAGAUUUCUUGGAUAUAGAAGGAGGUGAAGACUUUGUUGACAAUUCAAUUGAACACCAUCCCUUUAUAGGGGCAUUGCCACAAAUUGAAGCGUUUGAUGUAAUGGAUGACUCAGAUGCAACAUGUAUGCGAGGCGAUUGUGAGGGGAUUUAGAUUGAGAAAAAAUCCUCUAUGUAGCUAUAUUUUAAUGCUAAUGUAUGAAUAAAGGCCAUGAAAUGGGUUGCAAUAGCCACAAAAUAGGUAAUUUUUAUCCUUUUUUUAUUUUUUUGCACAAAAUAUUGACCAUUCUUUAACAUCUCCCAACAACAUAUUUACUAAAACCUUUUCCCUAAAUUGUGCAUGGAAGAUACUAAAUUAGUUAUGUUUGUGAGUAAAAAAAUUAUGAAAUUUUUUAUUUUCAAUAUGCAUGUUGUGUUUUCCAAACUUAAUGUAACACAAACCGAUAGUCCAAAAGCUUUCAUAAGUUCUUAUGGACUUGAUGAACUUGUUGAAAUCACAUGCUCCUUCCAUGUUGAUUCUUAUAGGAAAUUCCUACUGCAAAUUUAGCUUUCUUAUACAAAGGCCCUUGGGUUGCUUAAAAUAAAUGAAAUGUUAAACAAAGUAGGGCACAAAAAAAAGUUUAAAUGAAGUGUUAUCCUUGUUAUAUGAUGAACAAUUCUAAAAAGAUCUAUUGAAUUCAUGAUCUAUUGCAUUUCAUUGUGCAAUGAUUAUGGAUUUAUUUCUUUGAAAAGUUAUGUUUUACAAUUAUUCUUUGACUAGGUUAUAUGCAAUAUAAUUUUAACUAAUCUUUAUCAUUUUUUAUUUUUUUUUUGUUACAAUAAUGGAGACAAAGGAAGGAGAAAAACCCAUAAAAAGGAAGUACAGAGGGAUGACACGGAAGCAUAAGAUUAUAAAAAACAGAAGCAAGGGGGUUAAGUAGCCGGUUAAGUACAAUCUUGAUGGCAUUUUCAUAGGAGAAUCAGCAGUUCAUCUAACAAGCUACUUAGGCGUGUUAGCACGCACUAUGGUGCCAAUAAGAUAUAAAACUUGGCAUGUUGUACCUAAACAGUUGAAGGAUAAGUUAUGGGACAGCAUUGAGGUAACCAUUUCUUAUUUAAAUCACUUUGAUGCAAAAUGUCUAUCAUUCUUAACCUCUUGAAAUUACUAAAGUUUGGUAUUAAUGUGCAGACUGCUUUUUCAUUAAAUCAUAAAAGCAGGAGGAAUUGUAUGUUAACAAUGGGAAAAUGCUUUCGGUCCUUUAAGAACUUGCUAACGGUGAAGUACAUUCUUCCUUUCGAAGACCAACCGGAGCUCCUCAAAAGACCACCAAUUCAAUAUACUUUUAUUGAGGAUGAAGAUUGGACAAUAUUUGUCAAAGAUAGAUUGUCUGACAACUUUAAGGUAUAAUUAAGACUCUUUACAUACCUCUUAUUCACAUUCAUUAAUUAUAAAAUUUUAAUUUAUAGGAAUAUCGAGAAAUUCAAAAAGAAAGAAGAAAGAGAAACAUUUAUAAUCACCAUCUAAGUAGGAAAGGAUAUGCCGGUCUUGAGGAAGAGAUGGUAAGUGUAAGCCUAUUAAUUGCUUUUUAUUUAUUUUAUGCAUAAUACAUAAUAGGGUUAUAUGAUAAUUAUAUUAUACAUUGUCCUAUUUUGAAAGAUGGUUGCAAGUAGAUCAAUUGAAACUAUUGAUCGAAGCAUAUUAUGGAAGAAAGUAAGGGAAAAAAAGGAUGACACCUUUGAUGAAGUGGCCAUACCAGUAAUUGAGAAAAUAGUAAGUGAAUAUUUUUCAAUUUUAAUUACAUAUAUUUAUAAUAAGUUAUUUACAAUAACAAAUUUGCAAUUUAACUUUAUAAUUAAUAUUUUUUAAGGACAAGCUAUUGAAAGAGUCUCAAGAGAAUGGUAGAAGUGUUAGUGGAAGUAAUGAUAUACUUGUGGAAGCAUUGGGUACUCCUGAGUAUAGUGGUCAAGUUAGGGCCAAAGGGAAGCACUACACACCUUGCCAAUAUUUCAAUAGUGCUGCAGAUCGUGCUGUCAGGGAUUUCAUAGCAGCAUCUAAAGAAGAAUAAAGAAUAUUUCAGGCAGAAGUGCUAGCAAAACUGUCUCAAGUAGGAGCUGUUACUCCCCAAUCUGAUGUUAGCAGUUCAAGCAUGAAGCAAAAACAACUUCUCCUACCAAAAGCAGUGGAUAAGCCAAUCCGUAAAGUUGAAGAUGUGACCCCACCAGAAGCAAUAGAACCACAGAAGAAGGUAUUUAUUCAGUUAAGCUAAUUUGAUGAAAAAGUUUCCUCUAAUAUGAGAAAUAAUUUAAUUUAAUUUUGUUGUUUGAAUUGACUUCAAAUGUUGGUGGCAACAUAUAUGGUCUUCUUUGAUGUGGCAACAUAUAAUAGGAUGUGGCAAUGGACUGAAAUGUUAUCAUGCAAGUUUGUUGCAAUUGAAUGUAAAUGAAAUUGCAUUUAUCAUUGUAAUAGGAGCUAUAAGGUGAUUGAUGAUGAUAAUGCAUUUAUGUUAGUUUUGUAUAAACCCACUAAUAUUGAAGUGAUUAUUGUGAAUUGAGUUUUGUAGGUUAGAAAAUGUGAGCUGGCCAUAGGCACCAAGGAAAAUAUAGUGGGAGGUGGAACAAUUAUACUUGAAUGUGGUCCCAACUAUUUAGUAGUUGUUGAUGCUCCUUAUGAUUCAAGUGCACCCCUUCCCAUUCCUAUUCCUGGACAAACUACUACUGUUGGGGCUGCAAUUGGUUACCAAGUUUUGUGGCCAACUGAUUUGGUCAUCAUCCGUACUCCCAUCUUAGUAAGUAAAUUUAAUUACCAAACUUUAUAGUGACUUUAUAUAUAUAUAUAUAUAUAUAUAUAUAUAUAUAUAUAAACUAGUUAAUUUGAUUUGUACCAUGGUUCUUAAUUGUACAGGCAUCUAAGAAAGCAAAGAAACAAAAAGUAAAUGAAGUUGAAGUCAAAUCCAAGGGUGAAAAACCACAAGAUAUGAAAAUUUUUGAGACAUUGGUUGGCCUCAUGCUGAGUACAUCAAGAACACACCCUAUAAACUUCCCAGAUGAUGUUUUUGGUUAGAGUUUCAAGACCUUCAUGAUGAAAGAAGAUAUGGAAAUGAUAAUAUCAUCAAAAGAAGUGUCAUCCAAUUGUAUUUUAUACUACAUCUGGUAAGGGAUUUUAUAAUUUUUGAAUGACUUUUCACAAGAUUAUGAGAUAGAAGGUUAUUUUCUAAUGACCUAUAAUGAUUGUUGAUAACUUGUCAUGUGGGUUAUAAUCAGGCAUUUGCAUAGAAAGUUGAUUGAUGCAAAGUAGGCCGAACGAUAUGUUUUUGUCAAUCCAGCAUUGGUCUCAAAAGCUGGAAUGGGAGAGGGAAGCAAGGAAAACAGGUCAAGGGUUAUUGCAGAUCGACUAAAGAAUACAAAGCAUGCUGAAUAUAUGCUUAUUCCAUACAACCCAGAGUAACCUUUUAUCCUAAAUAUCAAUAUGGUGUUUGUAAGUUAGUUUGUGAUGUUUGAAUUUGUGGAUACUAUAUUACAAUUUUCAUUUCUUUUCUUUAGUUUCCAUUGGGUGUUAGUGGCAUUGGAGAUGAAGAAAAUGAUUGCAUAUUACCUUGAUCCAAUGGCCUGUCAACCAUGUGAUGAUCUUAAGGACAUAGUUAACAUGUAAGCAUAUAUUUUCUCCUAUUUUAAUACAAUUGAUAGUGUCUAAAUAACAUCUUUUUAAUUCUUUUUGUAGGGCAAUGAGAAUCAACCCACCGGAAAAACAGAAAACAUCAAAGAGGGAGCCAACUUGGGUGAAAGUGGUUGUAAGUACUUAUUUGUUUAGAUUAAAAUAUAUUGCUUCACCACUUAAUUUAUGACAAAAUUAGAAAAUGGAUGGUUAUUAAUAUGAUCAUCAAUAAGAUGCUAAAGAAGUAAGAACAUCAUUCUAGUGUUUAUUGCAAUUGUUGAUACUUUUCCCAUAGUGCCCAAGACAACCAGGUAGUGUGGAAUGUGGGUAUUACGUGAUGAGAUAUAUGAAGGAAAUUAUUGCUAAUCCAAACCAACUAACAUCAAAGGUUUGCACUCAAUUCAAUUCAUAUGGUUGGUCAUUUUACUAUAGCAUUUUUUUUUUUGGUCAAUUUAACUUAGUGAAUUGUAUAUGUCACUCCAAUUCAGUUUUGCGGGAAGAAAUCAUAUAGUGAAAUGGAAAUUAAUGAAGUUUGAUCAGAUUGGGUUAUGUUAGUGACUCAGUUAAUCAUUACUCAUGUUUGAAGGUACCUCUUAUAACUUAUAGUCUAAUACAACUUCAUAUUCUUUUAAAGAUGUAGUCAAUAUUUUGUUAAUGUUAAUUUUAUAAUGGAUUUAUUCACAAUGAUAAUUUGUUAAUGUAUAUAUUUGUACUCCUAGUUGGCAGUGUUUUCAAUAUGGAUCAUUUUGGGGGUUGCUCUAUUAUGAUUGAUGUAUAGUUGGCAUAUUGAGAGGUGAAGCCAAGUAGACAUGGUAGGUGUAACAACUUUUGUAUAUUUCCUCUACAAAUUAUUAUCAGUUAGAUUUGGAGAAAUCCUACAAUAGCAUAGCUACAAAAAUUCCUGCAUGUCCAAGCUCAUUUUCGUAGAGCCUUUAGUUUCAUUACAUGUGCAUGAAUUAGGAAUUUGUCUAUUCUCUACAAAAGCAUUUUUGGUCUUUAAGAUUACUAGCUUUAUAAACUUCUUUAAUCUAAAUUUAUAAAGGUCUCCUACUAUACUAAUGGGCUUAAAGUCUAUAAUAUCUUGUACUUCCAUUUUCUUUUACAUAAAAAAUAGGAAGCUAGUUUAAGACUUCUUACAAAUAAGCCUAUGGAAGGAAAUAACACCUCUUACUAAAUGGUUGUUAAAUUGUUUAUUAUAUAUUCUUCAGGUUGUACAAAAAGGCAUAGGUCAUUCUAUUAACAACGUCACUACUGCUCUUGAUGAAGGACACCCACAAACAAUUCAAAAUAUAUCAUCAAAAGAAUUUUGAGGUAACAUGUUGUGGUUAUUGUAAGUUUUAUGAAUCAAUUCCAUGUUUAGAGAUCAUUUCAUGCAAGUUCCAUAUUUAGAUAAUAGAUAUCCUCAUAUUAUUAAAUGUUGAUAUACUAAUACAAUAAGAAGAACUUAGAUAUUUUAACACAAUUUUAUAAUUUUACAUAAAUAUGUUAAUUUACAAUUUUAUAAUUUUUCGGACUUCCAGUUUUUUUUUUUUUCAUUCCUUAGUUCCUUCUCAUGCAAAACAUCUAAUGUCUAGUACAACCUAUAAGAAGAAUGAGAAGAUGUUAAUGGUUGAAGUUUCAUAAAUAAGAUAAAAAUCAUACCAAAAUAGUCAAUGAGAUAAAAACUUUUUUUUUUUCUGUUUUUUUUUAAAAUAGAAUAAGAGUUCUAAAAUAUUUAGAAAUUUGGUGUAAUAAAAUUAUUGGAGUUUGUUGAGUUCUUUUGAUAUUUUGAAAUUUAUUGCAAUGGAAGAAAGAUAUUUUAGGAAUUUAAAAAUUGGCAUAUACACAUUUCAUUUACAAAGUUGCUUCUUAACUAUUUGUUAAUACUAAUAUGUAACCCUCUCAAUUAUUUUGCAGAUUGAGCAUCUAGAAAGUGAGUUACAACUAUCCUUUUUCACUUGGAAGAAAAAUGAUGUAAAACUAGAUGUAGUGAAGGUUAUGAACAAUUCAAAGUUGAAGAAGAAGUUGUAAAAUUGUUGGUUUUAGUUGUUGAUUAUGUAUGAUGUUUAUGGAUAAAUUGUAAUAGUGAAAAAGGAAGACCAUAUUUGAUACUUUUUGUCAAUGGAGAUUCUUAAAUUAAGUUUUCAUUAUUAAUUUAAUUGUUGAUAGAAAAUUAUAAAACAGGGCAUAAUUAGGACAUUUUAAUUUCUGGGCUAUUAAAAUUUUAUAUGAGAUAAGAUGACGCUUUUUUAAAGCGUCAUGCUUUACUUGAAUAAACAGAAGAUGACACUUCUCAAAAGCGUCAAGGUUGAUGUUAAAAAAACAUGGCAUUUUUUUUUAGUGUCAAGGUAUAAAAUGCUAUACGAUGACACUUAUUAUGAGUGUCAAUGUUGCUCCUACAAAUAAAAAGCUAUAAGAUGACACUUAUAUUGAGUGUCAAUGUUGCUUCUACUUAUACAAUGAUGCUUUAUUAAGUGUCAACGUUGCUCCUACAAAUAAAAGGUUAUAAGAUGACACUUAUAUUGAGUGUCAAUGUUGCUUCUACCUAUACAAUGACGCUUCAUUGAGUGUCAAUAUUGACAUGAAUGAAAUUAUUAACAUAUGAUGACACUUAUAAAGCGUCAAUGUUUCAAAUAAUGACACUUACUAUGAGCGUCAUGGUUGACGUCCAAAGAAGAUGACGCUUCUAAAAAGUGUCAACGUAUGCGAUUUAAAAAGAUGACAGUCUAAUAUAUGACGCUUUUAAAAAGCGUCAUCUUAUAUCUAUCUUGACACUUAAAAAACGUCAUCUUUUGACAUUUUCCUUGUAGUGCUAGGAUGGUUGCCUACACUCAAGGGUAGGUGGGCUAGGGUUUUAUCUUUAGGGUGUAAGGAGAGAAACAAGGAAUAAAUUUUAUGGUAGAGAAAAUUAUAAGAUAAGAAAUAGAGAGAAAGAGGAAAAAUGAAGAAAAGAUGGAAAAACCUUAAGAGUCUCACUAAGGCCUUCUAGAAGUCUCACCUAAAAGAAAAUCAAUGGAGUCUUACCAUUGAGGGUUGCAACCUUGCAAUGAAAGAAAGUAUAAUAUUAUUAAUCAAAUUCAUUCAUUUGAUUUACAUUGAUUAGCCUAUUUAUAGGCUUCUCUAAGAAAUCAAAAGUCUACUAGGACUCUAAUAACCUAUCAUGACUCAAAUUCUAAUUAUAUUAUAACUCAACUAGCUAAUCCUAAUUAGACUCCAACAAACACCAAUCCCAAUUCAAUCCUAAUUAAUAUUAAUCAUACUUAAAGUUUACUUAGGUCUUCACUUUCUUCCUUGAAUAAACUUUAAAAGGCUUUCCCCAUCAUGCUCCUAUCACAUCCUUUGAUAAUUUUUUUAUAUUCUGUGAUUUUUGUUGACCAUUUCACCAAAUACACAUGGCUUUAUCCUCUAAAAAACAAAUCAGAUACCACUUUUAUUUUUGAAAACUUCAAGCAACUAGUAGAAAAAUAUUUCCAAACCCCAAUCCUGAUAGUUUAUUCUGAUGGUGGUGGGGAAUAUGCGGGUCUUCAUCCUGCUCUCUCCAAACAUGGAAUUCAACACCUCUAUUCUUCUCCACAUACUUCACUAAUUGUAGGGACUGCUGAAAGACAACAUAGACAUAAUCUUGAGACGACAUUGACUCUUCUUCAUCAAGCCUCCAUUCCUCUUCAAUUUUGGCUUGUUGCUUGUCAAACGAUAAUUUACCUCAUUAAUCGAAUGCCAAUCCCACUUUUAGAUAACAAAUCUCCUUUUCAGACCCUCUUUCACACUUCUCCCUACUAUCUCGAACUUAAAAUAUUUGGUUGCCUUUGUUACCCCUAGCUAAAACCCUACACAUGCCAUAAAUUGGAUCCCAAGUCUCGUCCUUGUGUUUUCCUUGGCUAUUCUCUCUCACAUAAUUCCUAUAGAUGUUAUGAUCCAUCCACCUAAAAAAUGUUCAUUUCUCAGCAUGUGGUCUUUGUGGAAAAUAGUUGACCAACUCAUACUUUGAGACAAUCCCAUGAUUGUUGCAGUUAUAUCAGAUCCAUUGACUAACUCAUCCUCUGAUUCAAUCCUAUAAUAGUUGCAGUUAUACCAUAUAAUAUUUGUACCUACUAUAUAUAAAAAGUCAGACCCACAAUUAUAGCUGUAAUUCUUUCUUGAAUCUAGUCAAUAUGUGUGUAUUUAUACUCGUGCAAAUAUGAAUGAAAGAUAUUGUUUUUUGCCAAAAGCUUUCUGCUGUUUCGAAACAGAGAUUGGUUUUUUAUUUUCACACAUAUAUAUGUAUAUCUUUAAAACAUGUACUUUCAAUAGUCAAAUCAUCAAACUUUCAAAACGACUAACCCUUUUCUCAUCAUGACAUUAAUUAUCAUAAUUUUUAUUUUUAUACUUUGACAUGAUAAGUCAAAGUGCUAAUCAUGGUUGGUUUAAAAAUAAAUAAAUAAAUACUUUCACAUUUAGCAAUCUACUAUGUCACAUGAUGUUUUUUUCCUCCAUAAUAUCUCCACAUUUUUGCCUUUUUUUUUUGUUAAAUGUAUUGGCUUCAUGAAAACAUUCUAAUUUAAUUUUUUUCUCUAUUUCAUUUGUUCAUAUUUAUUGAUUUUAGUUAUUUAUAUUUAAAUAAAAAUUAAUAAUAUAUAAUAAAUAAUUAAUAAUAAUAAAUUUACUAUAAAAAUAAAUACAUAAUAAACAAUUUUAGAAGUUUAGGAUAAAAGACUUUUUAUAUUCCUGUUAAAUAAAAUAUUUAUUUAUUUUAUAAAUCUUAUUACAUUGUCAUAUUAUUCAAUUUUUUUUUAUAUAUUUUUAAAAAAUUUUAAAUUUUCAUGUGAAAAUCAGGAUUGAUGAUCAUGGUUUUAGCUUUUUUCUUAUGGAUGUAACUUGACCAUAGUUUUAACUUUCUUCUUGGUUAAAAUGUUUAAUAUUUUUAAUUAUAAAAUAAAAAUAUGGUUGUGAUUCUAAAGUGUUGUUUUGUUCAAAUUUUUAAUUUUCAUUUAUAUAAAAUAAAAAAUAUGUAUUUUCAUAAAAUAAAAAAAUUGUAUUCAAGCGUUUAUAUUGAUUUUCUCUUAAUUUUAUUAAAAAUUAAAAUUUUUGUAUACUGAAGUGGCAUACCUUUUAAAUGUGUCAAGAAAAAAUAGUGUACCCUCCUAAAGUACUAAGUUGGUGCACCUCAAACCAUUGUGCAACUUAAGUUGCAUUUCCCUAAUACCACUUCUUUAUGAAAAAAGUGCUACUAAAAAUGCUAAAAGUAAUAUUGUGGUAAGAGUGAUGUAUCUCUUUUUUUUAGUUUAAGCAAAGGUAUGUUACCAUUUGUUGCAUGCUAGAUGUCUUAUUAAUGGUGAAAUAACAUGAAUUCAAUGGGUGUUAUUGCAUAAUAACAUCGAUCGAUACAACCCUUAGAAAAGUCCAUACCAUUUUCUUAUAAAAAGAAAAUACCAUUGAAGUGUGAUAAAAUGUACCACUAUGGUGGAAAUGGUGUAUCACUCUUCUUUGGUUUAAGGUAUGUUACCACCCGUUACAUGCUCAAUGUAUGAUGUAAUGAUUAAUAACAUGAAUUGAGUGGGUGUUUUGCACAAUAACAUUAAUUGACACAAUCCUUAGAAAAGAGGGUACCAUUCUUUUAUGAAAAAAGUAGUAUAUAAAAAGUGUAGUACUCUUUUAGCAUGGUGGUACUUUUAGCACACUUAAGUGUUACUUUUUUUUAAAAAAAAUAUAUAAAUAAAAAAGUGGUGCUCUCUUUUCUAAUGGUCUUGUAUAUCAAUGUUAUGAUGCAAUAACAUUCAUUCAAUUCAUGUUAUUUCAUGAUUGCAUAAGACAUUGAGCACAUCCAUUCAGUUCAUGAUUGAGUACAUAACGGGUGGUAAUAUACCUUACCAUAAACCAAAGAAGAGUGGCAUAUCCUUUUUUUUCAUAGUGAUACUUUUAACACACUUGAGUAGUCCUUUUUUAACAAAAGAGUGGUAACUUCUUUUCAAAAGGUUGUGUUGAUCAAUUUUAUUAUGCAAUAACGUCACUAAAUUCACAUUAUUUCACGAUUAAUAAAACAUUUAAUGCAUAAUAGAAAGUAAUAUAUCUUACCCUAAACUAAAGAAGAGUGAUAUAUCAUUUCUACCACAAUAGUAUUUUUAGCAUUUUAGUGGUACUUUUUUUUUGUAAAAGAGUUGUACCUUUUGAAUAAGCUGGGGGUGCACAACUUGAGUUGUGGAUUGCUUUAAGAGGGUGCACUAUUUUUGUCUAACACCCUUGAAAGGUGUGUAACUUCAAUAUGCAAAAAUUUUAAUUUUUAAUAAAAUUAAGAGAAAACUAAUAUAAAUGAUUAAAUACAAUUUUUAUAUAAAAAAAAUAUUUUAUUUUUUAUUUUACAUAAAUAAAAAUUUAAAAAUUUUAACAAAGCAAAAUGUUAGAACUAUAAUAAAGUUUUUAUCUUAUAUAAUUAAAAUAUUAAACAUUUUUACCAAGAAGAAAGUUAUAAUUGUGGACAAGUUAGAUUCAUAAAUAAAAAACUAAAACCAUUAUCAUCGACUUUGAUUUUCACCUAAAAAUUUAAAAAUUUUAAAUUUAUAUAAUAUAUAUAUAUAUAUAUAUAUAUAUAUAUAUAAGAAAGAGGUGCCACAUUAUGAAUUGAGGACGUGAAAUUUCUUAACGCUAGAUGUACCACUCCAACUUAAUGAGUGAGUGUUUAUCUUGUAGUAUAGGUUUAUGUUGAAAUGGAUUGCAACUUAUUUUAAGUUCCUUUAUUCUUUAUAAUUCCACACUUAGUAACGUCCUUGUCAUAAUAUUGUGGUAGGCAUGAUUGUGGAAUAUGUAUUAUGAAAUUCAUGGAGCUGUGGUCAAUGGGAGAGUUGUCCAAAUCAAUUGAUGUGUUAUGUAGAAGGACCUAUGUAUUAUCAUCUCAUUAAUGUAAAAAUAGUUAUAAAAGGCGAAAUUCAUUCAUUUGCUAAUUUUUUUCGUUAAACUUGAAUAAAUGCAGGGAAAGUUAAAACAGUAUAGAUUGAAAAUUAUGGGCAGCUUGUUGUUUUCAGCAUAAAAUGCACAUUGACAUCAUUUCAUGAGGGAAUAAUGGGGAUUGUACAUUUUGAUGACUGUGGACCUGCAUUUUUCACGUGCGUCCCCACUCGAUCGGCGAGACUCGUUUUUUAUUUGUGAAAAUUUGAUUUUUGAAAAAAAGUUGGAGUCGCCACUUAUUUUAUUUUUAUUUUUGAAGGGAAAAUAAAACAAGAAAUAAAACCCUAAAAAAAAUGACUCCAUAAUUUUUGGAAAAGCGUGUCUUUGAAAAACCCAAGUCUAAGUCCGGGGAUCAGGUUACCUAUUGGGAAGGUACCUUUGAAAGGUAACACCCCUCUAAGCCCUAUAAAGGUCUCUACUGACUAAGUUAAGGGGAACAUGUCAAUUAAUCGGUUAAUUAUAGAUACCUAAGUAGGCUAGGUGAUUUCAAAAAAGUGGUGAUUACUACUCAAAAAGUGCUAUUUGAUAGCCUAUAAUUAAUCCUUUUAAACACUUUUGAGUAGUAGUUUAGACCUUUUAACUCAAUUGGCAUGUUAAGGAUCCUUUAAAGCAAUUUUAAUCACUUUGUGCAAGUUUUGGUGUUUUUGUUAGUAUUUUGAUCACCAAAGCAAGUCAAGACUGAGGAGAGCUAUGAGGAAUCUUGGGCAAAGCUUAGAAGUCAUUUGCCAAGAGUGAAUUCGGAUUGCAAGGAGAAAAAAGCAAAGAGAAUCUGCCAUAAAGCAUAUUCUUGAUGACAGUCGUAGUAGCCACUUUUAGAGCACUUUCUGAAGUCCAAAUGAUGCAUGCUAUAUACCAUUUCAAAGAUCAGGAAGUCAAAAAUCCAAUGCUUCAAACGGUGUGCAAUUCGGAGUUGAAACGAAGAAGUUGCAGCCAUUACAAGCCAAUCACUCCGAGCUGAAGGAAGCAUUUUGCAAAGUGCUGCGAAAUCACCCUUUUGUUGCGAAGUGAUUUCGCAGCAUUUUUGUACAGUAAGGUGUUUCUCCUUCUGACGAUGCACGAUUUAUGCCGCGAGAAGGAAGCUAGGAACCUCAAGGUGGAAGCCAACUUCGCAGCCUUGUGAAGAUAGCUUGGUGUUGCGAAGUAAUUUCGCAGCCCUCCUUGAGCGUCUGCGAAAUCUCGCAGACACCAUUUUUCUCCUGCGAAAUGGUUCCUGAAGCCUCCCGAUAUUUGCUACCGACAUUGGGAGAUAUUUUCCAUUAGAUUUUUGUUGUCUAAAUCCCAAAAUACUCCUUGUAAACCUCCAAUUACAUGAUUCCUUAGUUUUUAAGUUAGUAAAAAGACUAAAUAUCUUUAUAACAAUUAGUUUUAUAUUAUGUUGAUAUAUAUACCUCUCGAGAGCCUGUUCUCAGAGAGGAAUUCCUUCUGUAAAAGUUUGGGUAAGCAAGUAAAGUCUAUUUUCUUUCUACUGCCUUACCUUCUCACUUUGUAUUUUCAUUUUAUUUCUAAGUUAUGAAUUCUCUGAGGAGUUUUCCCCAGAGAAUGAGUAACUAAACCUCUAAUUCCUUGGAGCUAAGGUUGCCGGGGAAGGUUCCAAGUGCAAGAAUGCAGAGCUUUGUGGUUUUAGCUUUUAAUGAAGAGGAAGUGAAAUCCUUUAAUGAUUUCUAUGUUUUUAGUUAACUUAAAACACCUUAGAGUCACCUGGGCCAACACUUGGUAAGGCAAGUGAUUUCCAACCAUGGAAAUGCACUAGUUUACCCCUUGCGAGCCUCUGGUAGGUGACUUCAGGGUAGGAUUUUCUGGAAUUACCAACACUUGGUAAGCUUUAGGACUCCUAGGAGACAUCCAUUAGUUAUCUCUUGCGAGUUUGUGAAGGGAAGUCCAAGGUUAAAGAUCAUCUUGAAUGGUAAGUGCUCGUGAGAGGCAUGAACCAUUGCAAGUUGCAUCAGUGAGAGAAUUAAAGUGAAAUCUAAUUGAAGGAGUCUCUGUACAACACCGGUUAGAGAAUUGACUAUAUGUUGAAUCUCUAACGCGAGGAAAUGAACCAUCUGACCGGAGCUAUGUCUUUUGCAUGAGGAACCACCCCAGUGAACCUAACUCUCCAGGGAAUGCUUUUCUUCCUAAAUUAUUCCAACUUUGUGUAUGUUAGUUAGUUUAANNNNNNNNNNNNNNNNNNNNNNNNNNNNNNNNNNNNNNNNNNNNNNNNNNNNNNNNNNNNNNNNNNNNNNNNNNNNNNNNNNNNNNNNNNNNNNNNNNNNGGAAGUCCAAGGUUAAAGAUCAUCUUGAAUGGUAAGUGCUCGUGAGAGGCAUGAACCAUGCAAGUUGCAUCAGUGAGAGAAUUAAAGUGAAAUCUAAUUGAAGGAGUCUCUGUACAACACCGGUUAGAGAAUUGACUAUAUGUUGAAUCUCUAACGCGAGGAAAUGAACCAUCUGACCGGAGCUAUGUCUUUUGCAUGAGGAACCACCCCAGUGAACCUAACUCUCCAGGGAAUGCUUUUCUUCCUAAAUUAUUCCAAACUUCUGUUAUGUUAGUUAGUUUAAGUAUAAACCUUUACCAAUCAAAGUUUGUGUUUUACUUCUUAAGCUAACCGUGAAAUGAAACAAGACCAAUUCACUUGGAAUUGGUAUCAUUGAUUGCUUGUUAAUCAUUCCCAGUGAACGAUCCUAGAGCCACUAUACUAUAGUAGCUUUUUAUUUGCUACCCUAGUGUAUGGUGUUAUAGGUAUAAAUUUUGUUGAUCACUCCCUCAUCUAAGGAGCACCAGCUGGACAUGGAUCAGCUGAGACACCAAUUGGGCAUGAAUCAAAUGGCGCCGUUGCCGAGGAAUGAGUGUCAAGUUUAUAGUGAUACCAUUUUUGAGCACUUGUGAUUUUCAUCACAAGUUGGUAAAGUUUCUUUCACUUUACUAAUUUUCAUUCUUUCUUUGUUUAUUCAUAAUCUAAGAUUUUUUUUUUUAUUUAGUCUAGUUUAAUUUUGCUGUUGUAGCCCUGUUUCUCUUGUUGUCCUCUGUUUUUAUUUAAGUUGCAGAUAGAUACUAGUUGUGUAUGCCAAAGUGGAUACGAGACAGUGGAGGAAGGCUUGUUAAGUGUGAUACACCUCAGAGAAGAGAAUUGGAAGUGAUCUUGAAUAUCAUGGAAGCUACACCUGAAGAUCAGCAUAGUCACCAAGGUCGUCAAGACAAUCUCAAUGAAUUCAGAUCAAUGAGGGACCGCAUGCAUCCACCUCGUAUGAGUGCACCAUCAUGUAUAGUGCCCCCUACAGAGCAGCUAGUGAUCAGACCGUAUCUUGUUCCACUUCUACCAACUUUCCAUGGAAUGGAAAGUGAGAAUCCGUAUGCACACAUCAAGGAAUUUGAAGAUGUUUGUAAUACAUUCCAAGAGGGAGGAGCUUCAAUUGAUUUGAUGAGGCUUAAGUUAUUUCCUUUUACUUUAAAGGAUAAGGCCAAAAUUUGGCUUAAUUCUUUAAGGCCAAGGAGUAUCCGCUCUUGGACUGAUUUACAAGCUGAAUUCCUCAAGAAAUUUUUUCCCACUCAUAGAACAAAUGGCUUGAAAAGGCAAAUUUCAAACUUCUCAGCUAAAGAGAAUGAGAAAUUCUAUGAGUGUUGGGAGAGAUACAUGGAAGCUAUAAAUGCUUGUCUUCACCAUGGCUUUGAUACUUGGCUAUUGGUGAGCUAUUUUUAUGAUGGUAUGUCCUCCUCAAUGAAGCAACUCCUCGAGACAAUGUGUGGAGGAGAUUUCAUGAGCAAAAAUCCAGAGGAAGCUAUGGAUUUCUUGAGCUAUGUAACUGAUGUUUCAAGGGGAUGGGAUGAACCAACCAAAGGAGAAGUAGGAAAGAUGAAGUCUCAGUUGAAUGCUUACAAUGCAAAGGCUGGGAUGUAUACUUUAAAAGAAGAUGAUGACAUGAAAGCAAAGUUGGCAACUAUGACAAGAAAAUUGGAGGAGCUGGAGCUGAAAAGAAUACAUGAAGUGCAAGCUGUUGCUGAAGCACCAGUGCAAGUGAAGCUGUGUCCCAAUUGUCAAUCAUUUGAACAUUUGGUGGAGGAAUGCCCUGCAAUUCCAACUGAAAGGGAAAUGUUUAGAGAUCAAGCAAAUGUUGUUGGACAAUUCAGGCCUAAUAACAAUGCUCCUUAUGGAAAUACCUACAACUCAAGUUGGAGGAAUCAUCCAAAUUUCUCAUGGAAGGCCAGAGCAACUCAGUACCAACAGUCGGAUCCACCAUCUCAGCAAUCUUCAAGUAUUGAACAAGCAAUGGCUAAUCUCAGCAAGGUAAUGGGAGAUUUUAUUGAAAAUCAAGAAGCCACUAAUGCUCGAGUCGAUCAAAAAAUUGAUAGAGUGGAGAGUAUGUUGAAUAAAAGGAUGGAUGGAAUGCAAAAUGAUAUGAACCAAAAGUUUGACAACAUCCAAUAUUCAAUUUCAAGGCUUACAAAUUUGAAUACACUGCAAGAAAAGGGAAGAUUUCCUUCUCAACCUCACCAAAACCCCAAGGGUGUCCAUGAAGUGGAAAGCCUAGAGGGAGAAUUAUCACAGGUGAAAGAUGUCAAGGCCUUGAUCACUCUAAGGAGUGGUAAGAAAAUUGAGCAGCCAAUACCCAAGCCACAUGUUGAGAAACAAGAAGAGAUAAAGAAAAGGAAAGAAAUGGAAGAUAAAGGGAGUGAGAUCAGUGAAGAAAAGAAGGACUCUGAUUCAACAAUGAAUGCAAUUCCAGAGAAAGAGCUUCUGAAGGAAGAAAUGCUGAAGAAAUCAACUUUUCCACCUUUUCCUCAAGCAUUACAUGGGAAAAAGGGGAUUAGAAAUGCAGCUGAAAUCCUUGAAGUCUUGAGGCAAGUAAAAGUUAAUAUUCCACUGCUGGAUAUGAUCAAACAAGUUCCAACAUAUGCAAAAUUCCUAAAGGAUUUAUGUACUAUCAAGAGAGGGUUGACUGUAAACAAGAAAGCCUUCUUGACUGAGCAAGUAAGUGCAAUCUUACAAUGUAAGUCUCCUUUGAAGUACAAAGACCCUGUAAGUCCUACCAUUUCAGUCAUGAUUGGAGGAAAGGUAGUGGAGAAAGCCUUGCUAGAUUUGGGAGCAAGUGUGAAUUUGCUUCCUUAUUCUGUCUACAAGCAAUUAGGUCUUGGAGAGUUGAAGCCAACAGCAAUCACUCUAUCUCUGGCAGAUAGAUCAGUGAAAAUUCCAAGAGGGGUAAUUGAGGAUGUAUUGGUUUAAGUAGAUAAUUUCUACUAUCCAGUAGAUUUUAUUGUUCUUGAUACAGAUCCUACUGUAAAGGAAGCUAAUUUAGUUCCUAUCAUCCUUGGAAGACCAUUUUUUGCAACUUCAAAUGCAAUCAUCAACUGCAGGAAUGGGCUGAUGCAACUCACUUUUGGUAACAUGACACUGGAUCUCAAUAUUUUCUAUAUGUCUAAAAAGCAAAUCACUCCGGAAGAAGAAGAAGGUCCAGAAGAGCUAUGUAUAAUUGAUACUUUGGUAGAGGAGCACUGCAAUCAACAUAUGCAAGAAAAGUUGAAUGAAAAUCUUGAGAAUAUUGAGGAAGGUUUUUCUGAAUCUCCUAUUGUGCUUGCUACUCUACAAAGUUGGAGAAAGAUAGAAGAAAUUCUACCUUUGUUCAAUAAGGAAGAGGAGGCAGCUGUUGAAAAAGAAAUUCCAAAACUCAAUUUGAAGCCUUUACCUGUGGAGCUGAAAUAUACAUAUCUUGAAGAAAACAACCAAUGUCCUGUUGUAAUAUCUUCAUCUCUGACCAAUCAUCAAGAGAAUUGUUUAAUGGAAGUUCUCAAGAGGUGUAAGAAGGCAAUAGGAUGGCAAAUAUCUGACUUGAAAGGCAUUAGUCCUUUAGUUUGUACUCAUCAUAUAUAUAUGGAGGAGGAAGCAAAGCCAAUCCGUCAAUUUCAAAGAAGGUUGAAUCCUCAUCUACAAGAGGUGGUGCGAGCUGAAGUGCUGAAGCUACUUCAAGCAGGAAUCAUUUACCCUAUAUCUGAUAGCCCUUGGGUGAGUCCUACUCAAGUGGUACCAAAGAAGUUAGGGAUCACAGUGGUUCAAAAUGAAAAAAGGGAAGAAAUUACUACACGCCUCACUUCAGGUUGGAGGGUGUGUAUUAAUUAUAGAAAGCUGAAUGUUGUCACCAGGAAGGAUCAUUUUCCCUUGCCAUUUAUUGAUCAAGUGCUGGAGAGAGUCUCUGGACAUCCAUUUUAUUGUUUUAUGGAUGGAUAUUCAGGGUAUUUUCAGAUUGAAAUUGAUUUGGCAGAUCAAGAAAAGACCACUUUUACAUGUCCAUUUGGAACAUAUGCUUAUAGAAGAAUGCCUUUUGGUUUAUGCAAUGCACCUGCUACAUUUCAAAGAUGUAUGUUGAGUAUUUUCAGUGAUAUGGUGGAGCGAAUUAUGGAGGUUUUCAUGGAUGACAUCACCGUAUAUGGAGGUACAUUUGAGGAAUGCUUGGUUAAUUUGGAAGCAGUUCUUCAUAGAUGCAUUGAAAAAGAUCUGGUGCUGAACUGGGAAAAAUGCCAUUUUAUGGUACGUCAAGGAAUUGUCCUUGGCCAUAUCAUCUCUGAAAAAGGCAUUGAAGUUGAUAAAACAAAGGUGGAGCUUAUUGUCAAAUUACCAUCUCCAACAACUGUAAAAGGAGUAAGGCAGUUCCUUGGCCAUGCAGGGUUCUAUAGGAGGUUUAUAAAAGGUUUUUCAAGUCUUUCAAAACCUCUUUGUGAGCUGUUAGCUAAGGAUGCUAAGUUUAUAUGGGAUGAAAGGUGUCAGAAUAGCUUUGAUCAAUUGAAGAAAUUUUUAACAACAACUCUAAUAGUGAGAGCCCCUAACUGGCAAUUACCUUUUGAACUAAUGUGUGAUGCCAGUGACUUUGCUAUAGGAGCUGUGCUUGGCCAAAGAGAAGAUGGGAAGCCCUAUGUGAUUUACUAUGCAAGUAAAAUACUAAAUGAAGCUCAUAGGAACUACACAACUACAAAGAAAGAAUUGUUAGCUGUGGUAUUUGCUUUGGACAAAUUUCGAGCUUAUUUAGUGGGGUCUUUCAUUAUUGUGUUUACUGACCAUUCAGCCUUGAAGUAUUUAUUGACAAAGCAAGAUGCAAAAGCAAGGUUGAUUAGAUGGAUUUUUUUGUUACAAGAAUUCAAUCUCCAAAUCAAAGAUAAGAAAUGAGUGGAGAAUGUAGUAGCUGACCACUUGUCAAGGUUAGUUAUAGCACAUAAUUCCCAUCCCUUGCCUAUCAAUGAUGAUUUUCCUGAAGAAUCACUCAUGUUCCUAGUGAAAACUCCUUGGUAUGCUCAUAUUGCUAAUUAUUUAGUAACUGGUGAAAUUCCAAGUGAGUGGAAUGCACAGGACAGGAAGCACUUCUUUGCCAAAAUUCAUGCUUAUGAUUGGGAAGAGCCCUUUCUCUUUAAGUAUUGUGCAGAUCAGAUUAUUAGGAAGUGUGUCCCUGAAGAUGAGCAGCAAGGGAUUCUAUCUCAUUGUCAUGAGAAUGCAUGUGGAGGCCACUUUGCCUCUCAGAAAACAGCCAUGAAGGUAUUGCAAUCAGGGUUUUCUUGGCCAUCUCUUUUUAAAGAUGCCCACAUCAUGUGUAGGAGUUGUGAUAGAUUCCAAAGGCUUGGAAAGCUAACAAAAAGAAAUCAAAUGCCUAUGAACCCCAUUCUGAUAGUUGAGUUAUUUGAUGUAUGGGGCAUUGACUUCAUGGGACCUUUCCCAAUGUCUUUUGGUAAUUCUUAUAUUUUGGAGGGGGUAGAUUAUGUUUCUAAAUGGGUUGAGGCAAUCCCCUGUAAACAAAAUGAUCACAGGGUGGUUCUCAAGUUUCUUAAAGAGAACAUUUUCUCAAGAUUUGGGGUGCCCCAGGCCAUAAUUAGUGAUGGAGGUGCUCAUUUUUGCAACAAACCUUUUGACGCUCUGUUAUCCAAGUAUGGAGUGAAGCAUAAGGUGGCUACACCUUAUCAUCCUCAGACUUCCGGGCAAGUUGAGCUAGCUAACAGGGAAAUAAAGAACAUCUUGAUGAAAGUGGUGAAUUCCAACAUAAAAGAUUGGUCUAUUAGGCUUCAUGAUUCAUUGUGGGCAUAGAACAGCUUAUAAGACUAUUCUUGGGAUGUCUCCCUAUCGUCUUGUCUAUGGCAAAGCAUGCCAUCUCCCUGUGGAAGUUGAAUACAAGGCUUGGUGGGCAAUAAAGAAGCUGAAUAUGGAUUUGAUCAAGGCCGGAGAAAAGAGAUUUCUAGACCUUAAUGAGAUGGAGGAAUUAAGAAAUAAUGCUUAUAUCAAUUCCAAAGUUGCAAAACAGAGGAUGAAGAAGUGGCAUGAUCAACUCAUCUCCAACAAGGAAUUUCAGGAAGGGCAAAGAGUUUUGAUGUAUGACACAAGACUCCAUAUCUUUCCUGGAAAGCUCAAGUCAAGGUGGAUAGGCCCGUUCAUUAUUCACCGAGUAUGGUCCAAUGGAGUGGUGGAAUUAUUGAAUUCCAAUGGCAAGGACAGCUUCAAAGUCAAUGGAUAUCGUCUCAAGCCAUUCAUGGAGCCAUUCAAACCAGAAAAGGAGGCAAUCAACCUCCUUGAACCUCAAAAAGCCUAAGUGAAAAAGGGUUUGCUGGACGUGGUUUUACCACAGUCCAAAAUUUUUGUAAAUUUUGUAAAUUUUCAAGUUGUUUCCAUACUUUUGAUCUUAGUUUUCGAUCUUAAAUCAUGUUUUUAGGUGUGUUUUAAUCGUUUUGAAUGAUCCCAGGUGGAAGAAAUUUCAAGGAGAUUGAAAAGAAAAAAAUCGGGUCGAAAUCGGAGCCAAAACAGAGGAAAAACAGGGGAAAAACAGAGCUCUGCGAAAUUUCGCAAAGUGAAGGAAACUUCUGCGAAAUGAGCAUUUUGUUGCCAAACCAUUCCGCAACACUGUAGAAAUCUCUGCGAGGCUAUUUCGCAGCUGCGAAAGUGAAUUUGGCACACGAGUGCCACUUCGCAGUACAGUAGCAUCCAUUUCGCAGCUGCGAAACGCAUUGCGAAGUGGAAAAGCGUGAUUUCGCACCAAAAGUCCCAUUCCGCAGAGUAUUUCGCAAUUGCGAAAGUGGUUUUGGCACACGAGUGCCACUCCGCAGCACAGUAACAUCAAUUUCGCAGCUGCGAAACUCACUGUGAAGUUGCUGCGAAAAUGGCAUUUUGUUGCGAAACUUAAACUGACCCUUAGGCUUCCGUUUUUCCUAUUUAUACCGGUCAUUUGAGCUGCGAAAAGGGUUUCAAAAAUCAGAGCACCAUUCUCGCAGCCUCUUCGUCUUCUUCAGUGAGCCUCGCAAUCCAAACCCCCGGUCAUCCUCUCAGAUCAUCUACGUCGGCCAAAGUUCGGUAGCCCAAAAUGGCGCGAACACGAGGGGCUAAGUCUUCAUCUCCUUCGAACUGCAAGAAGACGCUGUAAAAGGAGCCACCUCCAGAUUCUGCUCCAAAGCCUUCGCCGUCGAGACCAAUUCCACCUCCGGUGAAGCCCGCGCCACCAAAGCUGCCGGCAAGACGAUACCUUACCAGGUCAGGAGGUCGGCCAUUGCAGAAGAAACCCAGGGUGGAGAGCUCAGAACCCAUCGAUUUGACUGAGCAAUCUCCAGAGCCUUCACCAAUUCCAUCACCGGUUCAAACUCCAGUGCCGUCUCCGGUUCCCUCGCCAAGUCCCCUACCAGUUCCAUCGCCAGUACCAUCUCCGGCGCCGCAAAAAAAAUCUCAAGAGCCCCAAGCGCCACUUCCCGAGCCCAAAUUCAAGCUGAAACAGCUCUGGAAGAAGUAAUUAGGAGGCCAAUGCUACCUCAGCCCCCAAUUGAAGGAAACUUGGAUUGUAGAGCACGGGCAUUUCAUUCCGAACUUUGCUUCGACUUACCGGCAUUCAGAGUGAGGCCAGAGCUUGCCCAAUCAUUCCAGCUGCUGAGGAGGUAUCAUAUGGAGCAUCUUCUAGCUCCAAGAUACUUUUUCUACCCCCGGAUAGCCACGGAUUUCUACCAAUCUAUGACAACCAAAGAGGUCAGGAAUCCAACUUUGAUUCAUUUCACUAUCGAUGGGAGACAUGGUAUAUUGGGAGCACGACAUAUUGCUGAAGCCCUGCAAAUUCCUUUUGAGCCAACCCAAUUCGAUAAUUUUAGAGCUUGGGCAAAUCCUACUGAACUAGAGAUGGUUCGCACCCUUUCCAGAGGAGCUGCAAAUCGAUCACAUCUGCUGAGGGGGGAGCUUCCUCCAAUUAUGUUUUUGAUUGAUGCCUUUUUGAGGCAUAAUAUCUAUCCAUUGCAGCAUUGGACCCAAAGAAGGGGAGUCCUCCUGGAAGCUCUUUACAAGAUGUCAGAAGGAUUUUUCUUUGGGCCUCAUCAUCUGAUCAUGGCAGCCCUUCUCUAUUUUGAAGAGAAGGUGCACAGAAAGAAGCUUCAAAGAGCUGAUUGCAUUCCCCUCCUCUUCCCAAGGCUGCUAUGCAAAAUUUUGGAGCAUUUAGGAUAUCCCUCUGAGCCUCAGCUGGAGAGAAAGCUAAUAUGCCGUGAGCCAUUCACUCUUGAUAAAUGGAACAAUAUGACGGCCUACAAAAUUGAUCAGCCUGGGCAGCCUCAGCCAGCUGCAAGGAGAGCAUCCCCAAGACAUAUACCCGAAUGUAUAACAGUUGCUGCUCCUGCCAUUCCUAGAGCUCCUCCAGCUGCACCUGCUUCAUCUCAGCCAUCCACAUCAGCUGAGCCGAGGAUGGCUAUUCCUAUAUCUGAAUAUCGAGAGUUGUGCCGUGCAUUGGAGACUCUUACAGCUUCUCAGAGCAGUCUUGCUCAAGAGAUGGCAGCCAUCAGAGCAUGCCAAGAGCAGAUGUUAGCCACUCAGGCUCAACAAGCUGCCAUCUUAAGGCAGCUCCAAGUCCAUUUCGAUCUACCACAAGCUGUAGAGCCCUCCACUGAUACUCCAACAGAGCCACACCCUCAUCCUUUAGAGUCUCAUCCUCCUAAGCCCCAAGUCCCAGCUGAUACACCUGCUGAGGAGGCAGAUCCUUCUGCCUAGUCCCAGCACCACCCCACUCAUCAGACUAUAUUAGAUAUCUAAUAUUUUUAUGUAUUUCGUUUUUUUUAGUUGAAAAGAAGUCCCAGUAUUUUGGUACUAUAUAUGGGAUUCCUUGUGUUACUUGUCCUUGGCACUAUACUCGAAUGAAUUGAAAGUAAUACAAGUUGAAUAUUUCUUGUUAAAAGUCAGCAUUAAGUUAUUCUUAUUUCCUUUUCUCACAUAUUCUAUUCUUUUUGAAACAUGUGGUUUUCCCCAAUCAAUAUUCGAAUUUGAUUUCAGCAAGGAGGUACCACUUCCUCCCUUUAAUUACAGUCACUCAUAUCACAUUGAGGACAAUGCUCAGUUCGGUUGGGGGGUAUGAGGAAGGAAGUAUUCUAAAUCUUUUUGGUAUUGCAAUUAUAUUGGUUAAUUAGUUGUAGUUUUUACUUUUUACUUUUGUUACUCUAUUUUCCAUGAAUUUUGAGGAAAAAUUUUCAAAUUAAACCAAGAGAAAUUGAACUGUUGUUUUUCACUUGACUUAGAGUAUGGAUUAUGCUUACUAAAGUGGUUCAAUUGUUGAAGCUUCUAUUGAAAUUGAAUUUAGUUCUUCCACUUUAAGCUAUUCACACACAGUGCACAUUAGUUUCCGAUUAUAAGAUGAAAAGCUAUUUCCCUCUUGACUUAGGACAAUUUUGAGACUUGGUAUAUUUGACCUCAUUUGAUAAAAAUUGGAACACCCUGCAAAAGGCCAAUGAGCCUUUGAAAUAAAGAAAGUUGUUUGCUUGCCUUGAAACCCGAGCAAGGUCUGAGGGGUAUAUGGUGAAAAUCUUUUAAGCCUGGUGCCCUAAGCCUUAAUUGGUUGGGAGACACCGACCUCAAUGCUCGUUAUAAGGGUGAAUAGGUAGAGUUAGCAUAUGGUAGAUGCUUGGGUAUUAGAAAUUCAUUCUUAAAAGUCCGGGGAAAAAUCCGAGGAGUUAGUGGUUGAAAGAUCCUUAAAGCUUGGUGCCCUAAACCUUAAUUGGUUGGGAGUCAUCGAUGGACCCCCAUUACAUGGACAAGUCAGAAAGAGUACCCCAUAAAGCUACCCUUGAAAAAAAAAAUGAUGAAAGUGUGUUCUUUUCUUAUUGAUUAUGGUCAGAUUGCUAAAGUUUUGAAAAGAGAUAGGUUGGGGGGAGAGACUAGUUUAGCAUAUUAUUCUCGGAAGCUAAGGAACCAAUACACAUAGAUUUUUGUGGAAGAUUAAAGUUUGAUUCUUAGGAAGUGGAAAUGAUUUUAAAACUUCAGUUUGCAUAAUGCACUCCCUUGAUUGACAGUGUUUAGCAUAGUUUGUUAUGACUCUUGUUGAGAUUUGGGUUUGUAUUUCUUUAAUGCUUCAUGUGAGAAUUAGAUCAUCAUGCCACUUGAGAAUUAUUUUCCUUUAGCAUGAUGUUGUAAAUUUUAGAUUAGUUUGCUAUUUAUUUUCAUUUUUCUCUCCUAUAUUGCUAAGGGACUAGCAAUAUGUCGGUUGGGGGGAGUGAUUACUACUCAAAAAGUGCUAUUUGAUAGCCUAUAAUUAAUCCUUUUAAACACUUUUGAGUAGUAGUUUAGGCCUUUUAACUCAAUUGGCAUGUUAAGGAUCAUUUAAAGCAAUUUUAAUCACUUUGUGCAAGUUUUGGUGUUUUUGUUAGUAUUUUGAUCACCAAAGCAAGUCAAGACUGAGGAGAGCUAUGAGGAGUCUUGGGCAAAGCUUAGAAGUCAUUUGCCAAGAGUGAAUCCGGAUUGAAAGGAGAAAAAAGCAAAGAGAAUCUGCCAUAAAGCAUAUUCUUGAUGACAGUCGUAGCAGCCACUUUUGGAGCACUUUCUNNNNNNNNNNNNNNNNNNNNNNNNNNNNNNNNNNNNNNNNNNNNNNNNNNNNNNNNNNNNNNNNNNNNNNNNNNNNNNNNNNNNNNNNNNNNNNNNNNNNCCUUUAGCAUGAUGUUGUAAAUUUUAGAUUAGUUUGCUAUUUAUUUUCAUUUUUCUCUCCUAUAUUGCUAAGGGACUAGCAAUAUGUCGGUUGGGGGGAGUGAUUACUACUCAAAAAGUGCUAUUUGAUAGCCUAUAAUUAAUCCUUUUAAACACUUUUGAGUAGUAGUUUAGGCCUUUUAACUCAAUUGGCAUGUUAAGGAUCAUUUAAAGCAAUUUUAAUCACUUUGUGCAAGUUUUGGUGUUUUUGUUAGUAUUUUGAUCACCAAAGCAAGUCAAGACUGAGGAGAGCUAUGAGGAGUCUUGGGCAAAGCUUAGAAGUCAUUUGCCAAGAGUGAAUCCGGAUUGAAAGGAGAAAAAAGCAAAGAGAAUCUGCCAUAAAGCAUAUUCUUGAUGACAGUCGUAGCAGCCACUUUUGGAGCACUUUCUGAAGUCCAAAUGAUGCAUGCUAUAUACCAUUUCAAAGAUCAGGAAGUCAACAAUCCAAUGCUUCAAACGGUGUGCAAUUCGGAGUUGAAACGAAGAAGUUGCAGCCAUUACAAGCCAAUCACUCCGAGCUGAAGGAAGCAUUUUGCAAAGUGCUGCGAAAUCACCCUUUUGUUGCGAAGUGAUUUCGCAGCAUUUUUGUACAGUAAGGUGUUUCUCCUUCUGACGAUGCAUGAUUUAUGCCGCGAGAAGGAAGCUAGGAACCUCAAGGUGGAAGCCAACUUCGCAGCCCUGUGAAGAUAGCUUGGUGUUGCGAAGUAAUUUCGCAGCCCUCCUUGAGUGUCUGCGAAAUCUCGCAGACACCAUUUUUCUCCUGCGAAAUGGUUCCUGAAGCCUCCCGAUAUUUGCUACCGACAUUGGGAGAUAUUGUCCAUUAGAUUUUUGUUGUCUAAAUCCCAAAAUACUCCUUGUAAACCUCCAAUUACAUGAUUCCUUAGUUUUUAAGUUAGUAAAAAGACUAAAUAUCUUUGUAACAAUUAGUUUUAUAUUAUGUUGAUAUAUAUACCUCUCGAGAGCCUGUUCUCAGAGAGGAAUUCCUUCUGUAAAAGUUUGGGUAAGCAAGUAAAGUCUAUUUUCUUUCUACUGUCUUACCUUCUCACUUUGUAUUUUCAUUUUAUUUCUAAGUUAUGAAUUCUCUGAAGAGUUUUCCCCAGAGAAUGAGUAACUAAACCUCUAAUUCCUUGGAGCUAAGGUUGCCGGGGAAGGUUCCAAGUGCAAGAAUGCAGAGCUUUGUGGUUUUAGCUUUUAAUGAAGAGGAAGUGAAAUCCUUUAAUGAUUUCUAUGUUUUUAGUUAACUUAAAACACCUUAGAGUCACCUGGGCCAACACUUGGUAAGGCAAGUGAUUUCCAACCAUGGAAAUGCACUAGUUUACCUCUUGCGAGCCUUUGGUAGGUGACUUCAGGGUAGGAUUUUCUGGAAUUACCAACACUUGGUAAGCUUUUGGACUCCUAGGAGACAUCCAUUAGUUAUCUCUUGCGAGUUUGUGAAGGGAAGUCCAAGGUUAAAGAUCAUCUUGAAUGGUAAGUGCUCGUGAGAGGCAUGAACCAUUGCAAGUUACAUCAGUGAGAGAAUUAAAGUGAAAUCUAAUUGAAGGAGUCUCUGUACAACACCGGUUAGAGAAUUGACUAUAUGUUGAAUCUCUAACGCGAGGAAAUGAACCAUCUGACCGGAGCUAUGUCUUUUGCAUGAGGAACCACCCUAGUGAACCUAACUCUCCAGGGAAUGCUUUUCUUCCUAAAUUAUUCCAAACUUCUGUUAUGUUAGUUAGUUUAAGUAUAAACCUUUACCAAUCAAAGUUUGUGUUUUACUUCUUAAGCUAACCGUGAAAUGAAACAAGACCAAUUCACUUGGAAUUGGUAUCAUUGAUUGCUUGUUAAUCAUUCCCAGUGAACGAUCCUAGAGCCACUAUACUAUAGUAGCUUUUUAUUUGCUACCCUAGUGUAUGGUGUUAUAGGUAUAAAUUUUGUUGAUCACUCCCUCAUCUAAGGAGCACCAGCUGGACAUGGAUCAGCUGAGACACCAAUUGGGCAUGAAUCAAGUUGCAUGCUAAACAAGAUCAAAUCACAAUAAAGGAGAGUUAGGGUGCGUACCUGAGCCGUUCUUCAAGCGCUAUCAUAAAACAUAAACGGUUAAUUUAAACAAUAUGUCAUCCAACAUGUAUUUUAUUGGAAAUAAUCAAACAAUGAAACAUGCAUAUCAGGACACUCAAGCAUUAUUAGACAUAAGUAUUAUUUCACAAUGACAAGCAUAUUCACAAAAUUCAGAAAGUAGAUGAUAGAAGACAUACCUGGAUAGCAUAGAUAAUUUGUAACGUGCUUCCUCAAGUUGUAAGGGGUUAGAUAAUAAAUAAUAAAAUAUAGAAAUCCUAGCAUGCUCGUUAACUAAUUAUCAUAGCAGAAAUUAUCAAAGUAUAUGAAGACAAUAAUUAUCACACUCAUCUUGUAUACAAUUUCUAAAAAAAAAAAGAUAGACAUAAUUUCAACAAGUGACAAAUAUGGCAACAAAAAUAAUUUUUGAAAAGAUUUUUUUUAUGUAGGGGUUUCACCAAUUCCCCAAAUUGAUAUACACGAAUUUAGCUCAGAAUUAUCCCAUUUAUGUGGGACCACAAGCUUUGAUUCGUGUCUUUGUUCAAAACCAAAAUUUUUGUUGAAAACCGAGAAGGAUGCAAACCGAACAAGAUAUGGUUGCAUAUCAUUUUUAAAUAAAAAAAAAAAGGAGAUUUUGAUCCUGAGGACUCUAAUGAGUUUUUGAAAUAGAUUUUUAAAAUGAUUUUUUUUGAGAAAAGUAUUUUAUUUUAAAAUAAAAGGAAUUAAUUUGGGAAAAAUAAAACAUAAGAAAUAAAAUACCAAACAAAACAAAAAUGAAACCUCAAAGUAAAAUUUUUUAGUAAUUGACAAAAAUGAUAAUGGUGAUGGUAGAGGCCAAUCUUCAUGAUUUUCCAAUGGCCUCAGAAAGAAAAUCAAAUUAAAUAAAGGAUCACUAACAGGCAAGACAUUCUAAAUUAGACAAACUAACAAAGUAUCAAUUCAUGAACUAACCGCUAGGAUUUUAAAAGCAUAUAAGCUAAGAUAAGGAUGAUCAUGAACUAACAUUAAUGAUUUUGAAAUAAAAACUAAAAAGGGAUCAAUUCGGGUAAGGAACUAAAAUUAUAGAAGUACCUAAACUAAUUAUAACGAGUUUGACUAAAUUAAACUAAAAACAUGAACUUUCAAACAUAGAAUUAAUUUUACUAAUGAACCAAAGCAAACUAAAAAUAUGUAUUUUUCAAGCAUAGAAUUAAUUUUAUUGAUGAACCAAAAAUUAUAAAAGUGUCUAAACUAAAUAGAUGAAUUAAAUUAAAUCAAAGUACACUAAAAACAUGAGCUUUUAAAUAAAGAAUCAAUUUUACCAAUAAACUAAUAAAACUAUAAAAACACAUAAACUAAUUAAAAUGAAUGAAAUUAAAUCAAAGAAUACUAAAAAUAUGAACUUUCAAACAUGGGAUCAAUUUUUACUAAUGAAUUAAAACUAUAAAAACACCUAAAAAUAAUGAAUAUAAAUUAUUAAAUCAAAGCAAACUAAAAAAAAACUGAAACUUUCAAACAUGGGAUCAAUUUCAUUAAUGAACUAAACUAUAACAAAUAUCUAAACUAAAUAUAAUGAAUCAACUUGAAUUAAAACAUCCUAAAAACGCAAACUUUCAAAUAAAGGGUCAAUUUUAUCAAUAAGCUAAUAAAACUAUAAAAACACAUAAACUAAUUAAAACGAACGAAAUUAAAUCAAAGAAUAUUAAAAAUAUGAACUUUCGAACAUGGGAUCGAUUUUUACUAAUGAAUUAAAACUAUAAAAACACCUAAAAAAUAAUGAAUAUAAAUUAUCAAAUCAAAGCAAACUAAAAACUGAAACUUUCAAACAUGGGAUCGAUUUCGUUAAUGAACUUAACUAUAACAAAUACCUAAACUAAAUAUAAUGAAUCAAAUUAAAUUAAAACAUCCUAAAAACGCAAACUUUCAAAUAAAGGGUCAAUUUUAUCAAUAAGCUAAUGAAACUAUAAAAACACAUAAACUAAUUAAAACGAACGAAAUUAAAUCAAAGAAUAUUAAAAAUAUGAACUUUCAAACAUGGGAUCAAUUUUACUAAUGAAUUAAAACUAUAAAAACACCUAAAUAAUGAAUACAAAUUAUUAAAUCAAAGCAAACUAAAAAAAACCUGAAACUUUCAAACAUGGGAACAAUUCUAUUAAAUGAACUAAACUAUAAAAAAUAUCUAAACUAACUAUAAUGAAUCAAAUUAAAUUAAAACAUCCUAAAAACGCAAACUUUCAAACAUAGAAUCAAUUUUAUCAAUGAAUUAGAAUUAUGAAUAAAAUAAAUUAAUAAACCAAAUCGAAACCUAAAUUGUACCUAAAAAAAGAUUAAUUAAUUAAACUAAGAAAUCAGAAUCAAUAACAAAACUAAACUAAGAUGUGAAUUAAGACAAAACUAAUUAAAUUAAACUCACAAACACAUUUUAACUAUCACAUGGAUUAAAACAAAAUUAGCAUGGACUUAUGAAUUACGAACAAAAAUAAUCAAAACAUAUUUCAAAAACUCACCUGUAUUAACAAAAAAAUUUGCCUUUGAUGCGUUAAGGUGGCUCCCCUCUUCGUGUGGAUCUCUCUGCUCCUCAAAAAAAAUCCUCUCGCCUUUCUCCUUCUCAAGCCAAAAAUCCUCCCCUUAUUUAUAUGGCAGCCCCUCUUUAUAUGGCUGCGUGAGGAUCUCCAAAAUUCCCCUUCGUAUAGCCAGCAUGUAGCGAUCCUCUUCUUAUGGGAAGUGGGGAUUUUUUUAUGGCAGCCUCUCCAUCAUUGAAUAUUCUAUUUCCUUUUUUGAAUGCAUGUGGAUAUGGGAAGUGAUGUAUGCGUGACUUACCUAGCAAUUUCUUCAAGGAUGCAGCCCAUGUCUUGUUGGAGAAUGGUGCGGCCUAUGUGUUUCUCUUAAAGUGGGUUCAGAUUUUUGUUUCUUUUUAUCCAAUUGUCCACACCAUGCUCCAUAAAAAAAUCUGAUGUUCACCACUCAGUUCCCGAACCGCGUCCUCAUCAAUCUGGUGUGCGUUGAUGUUUCAACCUAAGGUCCAUACAUGGUAUUCUCCAUAUGCGGGCAAAGUGUUGGAGAAUUCCAUGGUCACUCUCCAUGGUGGGUGAUCAAUCCCAAAGUGGACUGUACGUCCAUUGAAUUGCAGCUCGUGCAGGUUAUGGACUGGCAGCAGAAUGAAGCCUUCAUCCAUGCGUACUGCCUUGUCUCUCCUUACAUUUGUAAGAUGCAGCCCACUCACUUUGAAUGAGUGGCAUGCAUGGUUCUCUUCAAGAUACCGUGGAGAUCUUAUGGAAAUUGGGAUGUGGACCCCUCAAAAGUUACAGGCGUGGGGGAUGCUUGCGCGUGGACUGGUUGUCUUCAACUCAUGAUGCGUUCCAAACGACCAAAAAAAUGCCCACACAUGCGUACUGGUUCUUCCUGUCGAGAUGGCGGUUAAUUCCCUUGCUUUUUCGUGGAGAAUCCGUGGUGAUCCCAUCCCUGGGUAUGAAAAUCUUGAAGCUUCCAAGGAAUAGGGUCUAAUGUAUGUGGAUAAUUCGUCCCACGAUCCUCUUGUUCCUGCCCAAAAUGGUGCUCCUCAUGCAAAACAAAAUAAGAUAAAAUUAUAAUUAAAGGAAAAGACGAGAAAUUAAUGAAAGUCAUGAAAUUGGUAAUAAAAUGAAAUAUGAUUAAAAGAAAAUGAAAGAGAAAAUCAAAUAUUAGAUUGUACAAUUCUGUCAUUUGAUAAAGGGGCUAUAUGCGUAUUUUAAAUCUAACAAUUCAAACAAUUUUUCAUUAAGUAAGUAAAUAAGUAAAUAAAAAUAAAUAAAAUGAAAUAUAUAAAGACAAUUAAAUACAUGAAUAAGUAAAUAAUAAAAAGUAAAAGUAAAAAUGAAUAGACAAAAUAAAUGUAAUUACCAAAUGCAUGCCAUAAUAAUAAUAAUAUUAAAAAAAAUAAAUAAAAUAAAUAAAUAAAUAAAUAAAUAAAAAGAAAUGUUGAGCCUCAAUGAAAUGUCUAAAUGGACCUGUUCUGAAAAAGGUGUCUAAGUGACCUAAGUGACAUGUGUGUAAAUGAGGAGGUGUCUCGGUGCGAGUCAAGGUGAAUCUAGGUGGGCCUAGGGUGGUGUCUAAUGGGUCAGGUGUAUCUAAAAGUUAUCCUAAAAAAAAUAGCAAUAGCCUAAGUCUAAAUUAGGGUUGCCAAGGGUCACAAUAAAGGGUCAGAUAAUCCCUCGACCGAAAUCUCCGAGGUGACUCAGAAAAAGGUAAGUUGUACGAAUAGUAAUGGGCCACCAAGGAGCAUUAAAAAUGAAUUUAAAGACAUGUGCUAAAGGAACAAAAUUGAGGGUCUACAAUGACACAUUAUAAAUUUGAUUUGGUUGUAAUUUAUGUUGGACAAACGAAGUUGUGUAAAUUUUGUCAUAUCAUGACAGUUGCAUAACUAAACAAUGACACUAUGGGAUAAGUAGGAAGUUGGACUAUUUUUGGAGAUAAUGAUAACAAUAAUUAAGUUGAUUGCGUCAUUAAACAAUGGCACUAUGGGAGAACAUGUCAUGAAGCGCUAUGGAAAAUAUAGGGGAUUAGAAAGAAAUUGCACACAUUAGUUAUGAUGAAAGUGACAAUUGCAGCAUCUCAUGUAAUAUGAAAGUUUUUGAGUUAAACUGAUUGUAAUUGUAUUCGAUUUGUACAAGGAUAAUUAAAACCUUCAUUUCUGAUUGUAAACAUAUGUUCAUUGUUAUAGGAACUAAUAUAAUUGGAAUUAUACAUAGAUUUUAAUUGGUUUAUUAUAGAUUCCAUAAUAGGGUACAUUAGGUGUUUGGACUAUAAUAUAAUAUGUUUUAUUAUUUAUUAUUCGACCCAUGUUUUGUCAUUGCAUUGCAUUUGUAAAUUGAUUUAUUGAAGUUUUAGUUUGUAUUGUAUAUCAGCUUUUGAAGGCCAUUGCAAUGUGAUUGGUAAUUAUUAGAGCAAAAGUAGGUGUUACGAUGGUAGCAUAUUAGGUACUUUGUGCUGAAGUGUAUAACCAAUCGCAAGGAAGGAGGCCUUCAAUUGGAGAAGUGCUUGUUUUUGGUGAUCAAGAUAGGAGAGACAAGGCAAGUUGAAGAAGAAGGUGAAGAUGUAGAACUGAAGUAGAAGGCUUGGCUUGGCUAUUGCUGAGUUCAUUUCCUUCUUUGUCUAGUGAAAUAGUAUUAACUAUUGGGGAGAAUAUGCUUAAUGAAAUCAUAGAUGGUGGGUUCUCAAAUGUCAAUUGUCAAUUGUUUAGCAUCUUCCCAGGAUUUUAAUUUUCCUUCUACUCGACUGGAAAAUCCUAUAACAAGGCCAACUUAAGCAUAUAAACUCAUCCAAUGUCAGAGUUUUCCAUUUUCUAUAACUUUGAUCUUCCUUAUGCUUAAUGCAUGCUUAGAAAGGGUUAUUUGGUUUAUAUAUGGAAAAUGCCAACCUCUUUUGUAAACUAAUGUUUUCAACAUUGCUUACUCAUCUAGAAGGAGACAAGCAAACCAACUCAAUAUUAUAAGUUGGGCACAUCACACAUUGUUUGUUGAUUGUGUUAUCAUAUUCCCAAGCUACCUAGAAAUUCAUUAUCUAUCAAUCCUAUUUCCCAUGGCACAACCUUUGAAGACAAUAAAAGAUUUUUUCAAAAUCAGUUAUCAGUGUCUUAUUCUUGUUUUCAAUGCAUCACACUAUUGAUGAGCAUAAAUAAUGUCUUAAGCACUUCCAUGUUUCUGACAUGUUUCUUCUUUAGCUUAUAUUGUGAAAUUUAUACUCAAUUUUCUCCAACACUAUAACAACCCUAAUUCUUUUUCGUAUAGUAAUAAAGUUCUUCUUUACAUAUGGUUUUUCAUAUUGUAACAACACUAUAACAAUGCUUUGAGGAUUGUAGUUCUCAUGUUGUAAUUAUCCAAUAUAAUAAUUCAAGAUUCAAGAUGCAUUACAUAUAGAAAUUGGAUUGUAUUCGUUCCAAUUAAUACGAUUAAAGUACUCCAAUUUGGUAGGCCAAGAAUUACCAUCCAAUUGUAGUUUCACAUAACAUAGAACUACUUACAUAAAAGGACAUAAAUAGUAUAACUCGAAUCUAAUUGGACAUGUAUUCGGGUAUGCGCAAAAUGUUUUCAUGCUCUGCCAUUGACAAAUCCUGACCAUUGUCUUGUGCAAAUUGGAUGCAAAUGUGUAAUAAUGACUCACAAGCUCGAUGAUGCAUCAUUUGAUUAUUUUCUAUGCGUAUCUCGACUAAUGCAUCUUCAAAUGAAAACAUUUUUUCAAGAUGCAUUUGAACUGAAAUUAAUGGGGGAACCUUAACUCGUAGUUGUUGUAAUUCGAUGACUAAAUCAGUUUAUUCCCGCACCCUAUAAGCCCACUCUCUAUGCAUUAUUCAUAAUUGAUCAUUGAAGCUAGCAUCAUGUGGAACAGUUAAGAUGUUGUUAACUAGGAUCCAAUUCCUUUUUGAAUCCAUCCUCUUAUGAGUGAAUAAAUCGAAUGAUGGCAAAGGAAAUUGGUAUAACAUAGGAGAUCCUUGUUAUUAGGUGAUAUUGUAAAUGUCAUCGAUAGAGGUCUAUAUAUAUAACAAAUGCAGUAAGAAACGUUAAUUUCAUUGAAUCUCCAGUGUAAUGAAGAAAAGAAAAAAAGAAAAAGAGGAUGGGUUUUCACAGUACUCUGUUAGAUGUGACUACACAAACAUAUUUUAAUGAUAAGACAACGAAGUUCUCCAUUUCCCAAUGGCAAUAAAAAAUUUAAUCAUUACAAUUGUAAAAGAAAUUGGUACACAUGAGUAUUAAUUUAAAUGACAACAGAAAGUAUUCUUAUAGGUUACCAUUCUGAAAUUGAGAAGACAACACAAAAGACUUAUCUGAAGUUGACAAGAUUAGACUAAAGUACUUUAAAGGGCUAACAAAUAACUUUUGAGAUUGUACACAAUUGUGAUGGAAAUUGGUGAACAUGAGUGUUAAUUUUAAAUGACAACAAAAAGUACUAUCACAGGUUGCCAUUGAUGCAUGUGCCAUUUUGAAAUUGAGAAGACAACAUAAAAGACUCAGUUGAAGUUGACAAGAUUAGACCAAAGUACUUUGAAUGGCCAACGAAUCACUUUCGAGAUUCAUUGUACGCAAUUUUUAUGGAAAGUGGUGGAUAUGAGUGUUAAUUUUAAAUGAUAACAGAAAGUACUAUCAUAGGUUGCCUUUGAUGCAUGUGUCAUUCUAAAAUUGAAAAGACAACACAAAAGACUCAUCUAAAGAUGACAAUGACCAAUGAAUCACUUUCGAGAAUCAUUGUACACAAUUGUCAUAGAAAAUAGUGAAAAGAUGAGAUGAUAUGUACAUAACAAAGACAUGACUGAUAAGUCAUUUCAACACAUUGACAAUAUAUAAAGCUAACACUAAGGAUAGGGAAAGAAAAGAGAAUAAGAUAUGGGAUAUAGAAUCUUACAAAAUAUGAGCACAUAUAGUGCCAUGUUACCAUAGUGUAAAUAAGGGAUUCUACAUCGAACCUCUUAUGACUAACAAGAAAGUGGAGUGCUUAAUUUUGCAUCAAUUACACCUAUCAUCUUAUAGCUUUUAACUUUGGUAUAAAACUUCUUCAUCAUUCGAUAGUAAUGCACAUUGUCAUUAACUUUCUCGUAUUAGUCACUUACUAUAGCAUCUAUUUAUUUGAAAGUUAGGAAAAUGAAUUUUUAACUGUCUUAAGUUGUUUUUGAAGAGUUUGGGGCAUAUGCACACUUCUUUGGCAAGUUCAAUAGUUGUUGCAGGUGAUGGACAAUAGAAGGGGUAAACACCAUCUUCACUUGGGGAAAUAUUACUGGCUAAAGGAUAUAUUUGAGCUAUCAGGCUAAUAUUGGGCAUUAAGAGAUGAUAAUUUCAUGUACAAACUAAAGCCAUCAGACAAGUAUUUGGAUGUGACCAAUGUGCACCAUGGAAAGUAAGUGGAAACAUCAGGUGCGGGAAUAAACAAAUCUACUCUAACAACUCAUUGUUUUAAGUGUACGUGUACCAUGUAGAAAGUCGUUGUCUAUCCGUCAAUUCACAUCAGUUUAUCUGAAGCACUUAAUAAGAUAAUAGAGGAAAACAACAAGAUGACAAUUUGAAAGAUGGGGUAAUAAUGUUAGAAGAGGCAAGCAACAAAGCACUAGCAAAUGGUAAAAAAAUCAAUGAAGGGGAACAAGCAAAAAUUCUAUCUCAACCACAAUCAAAUUAGAUUUUGAAAUCUCUGAUGAGGAGUAGUAACAUAUAUGAAGGAUGGAACCUAAAUAAAGCCUAUGUAACAUAUGUAAUAUUGUACUCCGAAUUUUAGGAUAUUUGUUGCAACUUUAGUAAGCAAAUGCCUAAUAAUUAAUGAUCAAUUUUGUUGUUAGCGUCCCAUUAUUAGCUGACCACCCCAUCGUAUAACAUUCAAAUUAGUGUGACAUCUUGUUAGUCUUACAAUCAAUUUUAAAUAACAUUCACAUAUUGAAUGUCAUGGCAUAUCAAAUAUAUUCGUUUUGAACACAUUGUAGGUAGAGUAGAAUUUGGUUAGGAAAAAUUAAUAAAUAUUUUUUUGAAUUUACUAAUGAUUCACAUUUUUUCACAUUUUUUGAAUAUGUCAUAAAGAAAUUAAAUAAUAAUAAUAAUAUUUUGCAUGUCAUAGCAAACUGAAUUGAAUAUAUUCAUUCUAAAGAUCUUUUAGAAUAACCUAAUGGGACGUUAUAAUAUAGGUGAAGAACACUUUGGUCAUAGGAUAUUAUUAACUUUUACCAAUUACUGAAAGCGAGGGGUCACAAGAACACUAUUUAUUUGAAAAUUUACUUCACAAUGACACUUUUAUCAAGCAUAUGUAUUUAUAUUUAAAACUUUCAUAUAGGUCUUGUACUUUUCUAUCUGUAUUACAGAUAGGCCGUCAUGUCAAUAUUAUGACUAAGCCCUCCAACCAAUCUUCAAACUAUAUAAAUGGUAUAACCUCAACUUUAACACCAUAUGCUAGUUUAAAGCACCAUGUAAAGAACCUUCAUUCUAAACAUAUAUCAACCAUAUUGUCUAGGUAUGUUUGAAGGCAUAAAUUUUAUAUUCCAUUUCUUCAAUGUUUUAAGCAAAUAUGAAACAAAGGCCUCAUCCAUAGAUUGUUUAUUUGGUUGUAUCAGUAUAAAAAAAUACAUGGCAAACAAAGACAAGAUCUACAUUGUUUUUGUUGGUAGGAGGUCGGGUGUAUACACAACUUGGCCUGAAUGCCAAGUUCAAGUCAUUGGUUAUAAGGGUAACAUUUAUAAAUCGUAUAGAACUCAUCAUGAGGCUAUAUUGGCAUGGGUGAUGUACGACCCUUGAUGGAAAAAACUUGAUGCACCUAUUGAAUCCCCUAAGCCUAUAGAGUGUAACUAGGUUAUUAGUCAACUGGUAGAUGACUAAGUACUAAAGAAGGCUAAAGAUCGGAAACAAAAUUUCCUUGCUCCUUUUGUCCUCGGAUGUGUUGUAACAUUCAUGAUCAUGUUUGUCAUUCAAAAGUUCUUUAGGUAUGCUCAAAUGUGGUGCGACUAAGCUACAUGUUGUACUUGUAUUACGUGUCUUAAAUGCAAUGGUACUCUGGCCUUUCAUCCUUCAUUAUUUAUUUCAGUUUUAAAACAAUACUAAAACAACAUAAAACAAAAUAAGAAGUUACAAAUUUUGGAUGAUGAAAUUUAAGGGGGAAAUGAGUGAGCAAGUUCUUCAAAAUUCUUUAAAAUCCUUCAAGAUGGGCUACCUUGUACACCCUUGUACAAUUAGCACACGUACCUUGUACACUUAGUGUAAAUGCCUUAUACACUUGCAUAUUUACAUACACCUAUAAUGCAAUGUGUGCAUAUGGGUGAGUUAACUAUGUUUCCAUUGUCAUGGCUCAAGAAAAGAGGUAAAAAAAUGAAAUUGAACCCAACCAUGUAUCCUUAAUCAUCAUUUAUGAAUACAAGGUGAUGGAAUGAAUGUGUAUGAGGUCAAAUAAAUGCAUGGGUUGCACAUCAUCAACACAUAUGUGUGAGGAAUGUCUCUCAUCUCACCCUUGGAAAAGGGAAAUGAGUGAGUCAGUUGCUCAAAAUCAUUUGAAAUUCUUUGAGACAGGUACCCUUGUACACCAUUGUACAAUUACCAUAUUUGCCUUAUACACUUAAUGUAAAGGCCUUGUAUAGUGGGAGAAAUUCCAUACACUUACAACACAUGAAUCGGUAUGGGUGGGGGAACCAUGUUCCAAUGUCAUGACUGAACAAAUUUUGAACAAAUUUGAUGCCAAAUUACGGCUCUAUUCAUCAUUAUUGUGGUAAGUAACAUGAUGAACAUGUACAAACUCACAAAAAUGAAUGGGAUGAGUGUGUGAUCAAGUAAUGUGUGUGAUGAAUGUCCCUCAUCAUUAGAAAAUGGAAAUGAGCAAGCAAGUUCUUCAUAUACCUUUCAAAUAGUUAUGGAUAACUACUUUGUAUACCCUUGUACAGUUAGCACACAGACCUUGUACACUUAGUGUAAAUGCCUUGUACACUUGCAUUCACAUACACCUAUAAUGCAAUAUGUGCAUAUGGGUAGGUUAACUAUGUUUCCAUUGUCAUGGCUUAGGAAAAGAGGUAAAAAAAAAAAAAUGAAAUUGAACCCAACCAUGUAUCCCUAAUCAUCAUUUAUGAAUACAAGGUGAUGGAAUGAAGAUGUAUGAGGUCAAAUAAAUGCAUGGGUUGCACGUGAUCAACCAAUAUGUGUGAGAAUUGUCUCUCAUCCUUGGAAAAGGAAAAUGACCGAGUGAGUUCCUCAAAAUCAUUUGAAAUCCUUUAAGACAAGUACCUUUGUACACCUUUGUAUUGUUAGUACAUUUGUCUUGCACACUUUGUGUAAAUGCCUUGUAUAGUGGCAUAAUUUUGACAUAGCUACAAUUAAACGUGUGCAUAUGGGUGGGUUAACCAUGUUCCAAUUUCAUGCCUGAGGAAAAAGAAGGAAAAUUAAACCCAAAUUAUCUUAGUAUUCAUCAUUAGUGUGGUAGGUCAUCCAAUGGACAUCUACAAGGAGAAAAAAAAUUAAAUGGGAUGAGUGCGUGAUCAAGGAAUGUUUGUGAGGAAAGUCCCCCAUCCUUACAAAAGGAAAAUAAACAAGCCAAUUUUUAAAAAAUAUUUCAAAUCCUUCAACAUAGGUACCCUUGUACACCCUUGUGCAGUUACCAUAUUUGCCUUGUACACUUAGUGUAAAUACCUUAUACAAUGCCAAAAAUUUGACAUAGCUACAACUGAACGUUUGCUCAUACACGGGCUAACCAUAUUUGCAAUGUUUUGCUUCAUCGAAUGGGGAAAAACCUAAGUUUAAAUUUGUUUCCCAACUAUUAGUCCACGAUUCUUACAAAAUAAUCAUAUAAGCAAAUCAGUGAAUGAUGCAAAUGAAAAAACCUUCUACUGACUUCCUACAUGCAGAACAUUUGAUAUUGAAAAACAGUUUUCCCUAUUAUUAUUCUCCUACUUAAACAUAAAGGAGUUGCAAUCAUACAAUUAAUGGGGUCCCAAACAUAAAGAAUUUUAACAAAUAUGGAUGUCAUAAUUCAUCCAUAAACCUAAUAAAAACACCCUCAAUCCUCCACAAACCUGGGUUCCAAUUCCAGAAAUUGUACUAACCCGAAAACCACUUCAACGGAUGGAGCAUAUUUUAAUGUUCAAAGGAGGUCAUUGUGAAUAUACCCUACUACCAAUGCUGGAACAACUUUAGAUCUUGAAGGGAAUGCUUGCUUUUGAAAUUCAUUUGACCCAAAGGAAUUGUGAAGGAAUUGCAUGAUCUUCACAUAGUCUUCUUCCCCAGAGUCACCCUCUCUUUCCACAAACCAUAUCCAAAUCCUCUCUCUGAAUUUAUUUUAUUCGACAAUAGACCUAGGUCAUAGCCAACGUACACAUUUUAAUGAGAUCUGACAUGGUAACUUCAAUUGACCAAUUAUGAAACCCAAAUUUUACAAACAUCUUAUAUGGAAUUUUGAAGGGUAUAUUUGUUUCUUGAUACUUCAUAUCCUCUCUCUUAAUUAUGCAACUUAUAUGGCCCAAAGGUUAAUUUUUCAUUACAAAUGACUAUGCAAGUUCUUCAAAAGCAUUUGAAAUCAUUCAAGAUAGGUAGCCUUGUACAUACACUUGUACAUUUAGUACAUUUGCCUUGUACACCAAUGAAUGUGUACGAAGGGAAAUGAGUAAUGUCUGUGAGGAAUGUCCCCCUUAGAAAAGGGACAUGAGCAAGCCAUUUUUUCAAAAGGAUUUGAAAUCCUUCAACAUGGGUACCCUUGUACACCCUUGUACAGUGAACACAUUUGUCAUAUACCCUUAGUAUAAAUGCCUUGUACAGUGGUAAAAAUUUGAUAUAGCUACAACUGAAUGUGUGCAUAUGGGUGGGCUAACCAUGUUCGAGUGUGAUGCCUGAGGGAAAAGGGGGAAAUGAAACCCAAUAUAAGUUCAUAUUCAUCAUUAGUGCAGUAGGUCAUCCAAUGAACAUGUAUGAAGUAAUAAAAUUAAAUAGGAUGAGUGCCUGGUCAAGGAAUGUGCGUGAGGGAAUGUCCCUCAUCCUUACAAAAUGGAAAUGAUUUUAAAAGGAUUUCAAAUCCUUCAACAUAAGUACCUUUGUACACACUUGUACAGUUAGCACAUUUAUCAUACACUUAGCAUAAAUGUCUUGUACAGAGAAAUAAAUUUCAUACAACUACUACUGAAUGUCUGCUCAUGGUUAAUUAUGUUUGCAAUGUUUUGGUUCAUAAAAUAAGGAAAAACUGAACUACUAGUCAUCAUAUUAUUAAUCUUCUACUCAAACAUAAAGGAGUUCCAAUCAUAUAAUUAAUGGGGUUGUGCUUUGGAUCAUAGCAGAAUAAUUUUCACAAAUAGGAAUGUCAUAAUUCAUUGCUAAACCUAAUAAAAACACACUCAAUCCUCCAUCAGCCUAGGUUUGAAUUCCAAAAAAUAUCCUUACCUCAUAAUUCUACUCCAAAAUGGCAUAUACCCUAUUUAGCAUAAUUUCAACUUCACAAAAGGUUGUUGGGCCACUGCCAUCAUCACGAUCAUAGUUGUAGUCACUUUAUAUCUUCACCAGAGUUCUUCCUUUUCUCCGUUUCAUGUGAUGGACCAACCUCACAAUUAUGACAACCAUCUUCUCUACUUUCAAGAUACAUUUGAUCCGAUGGAUAGCUAUUAUGGAGGAAUUGCAUCAUCAUCAGAGAAUUUUCUUCCCUAAAGCUCAUCGUCUCUCUCUGUGAACCAUACCCAUUUCUUUUCUCUAAAUGAUAAACCCAGCAAGCAGAUUCUAAAGUGAAAAUUUUAAGACAAGUGACAUGACAUUUUUUAGGAGAUCUUCUCCAUAUGAUUGACUGUAAGUUUCUUGAAUUGACUUGCAUUGUGCUGCAUUCCUAUGAGCCAAGAUGGAUAUGAUCAAAGCCUCAUUUGUCUUCCACCUUGCAUCCAAAAACACACUAUUAUUAAGAUCAAAAUCUUUUGAAAAAAACCCAACACGAGGUCAAAAUGGUUACCUUUCCCGAAACCCUAUACUGACCUAGUAAACAAAGAUCCAACACAUCAUUAAAGGAACCAACAUGAUCAAAUCAAAAUGUGAGAAAAUAAAUCAGACCCCCGAUCAUUUGGAUAUGGGAAUGAUGAUGAUAAAAUACCUGCAAAGGCUUUUUUGAGUUGCUCACAAUCCUCAACUACUGAAGGAACCGAUUGGGGGACUGUCCGAGCCAACAUUGUGUGAGUAUGUUGUUUACUGAGGGAGAAAAAGGGGUAGAGCGGUUGUGACCCUUAUGGCCUUUAUUUCAGAUUUUUAAGAUAGGUAAUGUGGCAUUUUUAGUUUACCACUAGUGAAACACAUUAAUUUACAAGCAUCCGAGUUGGAAAUUUGAAAGUUAUAUUGGUCUCUUAAUAUUUUAUAUAAUUUUCAUCAAUUAUAUAAGUUAUAUGGAUCAAAACUUAAUUUUUAGGUCCAAUUGAAUUCAAAACACAAUUAUUCAUUUCUUUAAUACAAGACCACAUCUCUAAUCCAAACAAAAGAAAACAAAUUCAAAACAUUUCUUUCCAACCACACAGCUCAGUAAACCCAUAUCACUUAAAGCAAACUUAAGAAAACACUCCUCUUAUAUUUAAGAAUACAACACUACUCAAUAGCCUGUGAUGUUCCCCUUUUUAUUCUAUACCAAACUUCUUUCUCAUUCACAUGACAAGGCCAUGGGACAUGUGUGGUCUUCGAGAGAAGACCCACACAAGAUGUUCCCCUUUUACUCUAUACCAAACCUCUUUCUCAUCCCCAUGACAAAGCCAUGGACCUUGUGUGGGUCUUCGAGAGAAGACGACACACUCUCCUUUUCCUUGCACCUCUUGGUCCAAGCGAUCAACUUGGGGCACUCCGCCUCUAUGCUGAAGUUACCAAAGCUCUCAUAUGCAUAAAACCAGCAAGAGAAGGUCACGAGAGCCACAUCCACAAACCCAAUUUUUUCACCACCGAAGUAAGGCUUCUCUCCAAGCUCGCCUUCCAAAAGCUGAAGGCACUCUAUGAAUUCCUUCUUGGCUGUUUCCUGCUCUUCUCCUUUGGUAGACCAUACCUUCCUUCCAAGUCCAUAGAGCUGUGGGGAAAUAAUGGAGUCAAAGAGAUAAAGAGUUAUUUUUUGUAGCGUUUCAUCAAGUUUCAACUUUCUGUAUAGUUGGGACAAGUUUAUUAAGGACCCUUCAGCAUAGAAAUCUCAUAUACUAGUAACAAAAAUGAAGGGCCGGUGGAAGAAAAAUAUCAGAAUCAGCUGAAAGAAUAUAUCAUUUGCUAAAGUUUUUCCCCUCAAUUUGAGUUGUAGAAAAUGAGAAAAAAGAGAUCAAAGAAACAGAACAUAUAUUAAAACAACCGUUGUACAAAAUGUUGAACAACAGGAUAACAAAAAACCAAACAGUGUUCUUUAAAAUUCUGGUUUAUGUAUCCCCCUUUCUUGGGGGAAAAGGUAUUCUUGAGAUAUGCUUUUUUGGAUGGAACGAACAGACUUCGGAUUCAACAGAACAAAGAAAUGAAAACCCAUAGCAGAAAUGCAAAGUAGAGUCUUGCUGAACAAACAGCAAGGAGAAUCAGUAAAGUUCUAGUUUGGGACCCUAAAGCCCACAAAAUUUAAUAUCAGAAGAGAAUGCGCUAAGAAACCCAGCAUUUUGGACAAAUCCCUCACCAUAAUCAAAAUCUGAGUCAAUCGCCAUGAAUCAAUGGAAAAGAAUGCUUUAAAUCAACAGCAAAGACAUACCUUCUUGUCUACGUAGUCCGCCCAGAACCUGGCCUGAGCUCUCUGGUAUGGGUCACUACGCAAAAGCGGAGAUUUAUCGUGCCAAACCUCAUCAAUAUACUGAACUAUUAUCAGAGAUUCACAAAUGGGCUUUCCAUUGUGGAUCAGAACCGGGAUUUGCUUAUGAACUGGAUUCAUCUCAAGAAGCAGAGGGCUCUUGUUCCUCAGGUCCUCCUCUUUAUAUUCAUACUUGAGGCCCUUCUCUGCCAGGGCAAGUCUGACCCUCAUACCAAACAUGCUAGGCCAGAAAUCCAACAGGAUAAUCUCGUCUCCCAUUGCUACUACUGUGAUUGAUAAGAUUCAAACUCUUUGUAUUGAUGAACAACACAGGGGAAAUUGUUGAGUAUUUAUAGCAAAUUUCAGAGAGUGGGUUAAACCCCUGGGUACUUCUAGCCUUCUAGGAGUUGGUGAUGCUCAAUAAUUCCUUACCUCAGCUUGCAUUUUCCUUUCUAAAUUACAUUCUUAUCUCCGUUUCGUAUCUAUCCAGCAUUUGCAAAUUACGCAAACUUUUGUUGUGGGAUGAUGUCAUUGCUUUCGUCAGCCUUGUCAAUUAAGUACACUGGUCCUCUGCAUAAUUUCCCACCACAAAAAUGAUAUUGCAAGGAAAAAAAAUGAUAUUGUAGGGAAAAGAAAAUACAGCUUGCAUCUUUUUGGAUGGACAAGUCAAUAUUGGUCCCUUCCUAGUUUUUAGAUUCCUGAAAUUAAAUAAAUAUUUUAAACUUUAUGUUUAUUGUAACUUUUUAAAAUUUCGGUGAUGAUUGUGCUUUUAUUUAGAUCUAAAUUUGUUUUUAAAUUUGAAUAAAUUAAAUAUUGCUAAAUAUUUUAAUUUUUUUUAUAUUUUAAUUAUUACUAAAUGUUAUUAAAUAUUAAAUUACUUAUCUUUUACAUUACAAAAAUAUUUAUAAAAUAUAAUAUUUUAUUUCUUAUCAAAUUAAUUUUCAAUUCAACAUAUUUUUAAAUAUUUAUAUUAUAAUUUAUUAGCAUAUUAAAAGUUUUAUAAUAAUUAAUUAUGUAAUUGAUAAGAAAUUGGUAGUCUGAUGACAAGUAUAAUUAGACUUGUUAGAAACUAUUAGAAUUUUUCUAAGUUUGUAUAUCUUUGGAUUUGAAGACUUGUGAUUGAAAUGUGGGUUCCCUUUUGUUAAAUUAAUUCAUUGAUUUUUGUAAUUUUAACUUUGAAGGAGUAUCAAAUUUUAAUUUUAUAUUUUUUAAAUUAUUAAUUCUAAUAGAAAUUUAGAUGAAUGUGAAUUAUGCUUUAGAAUUUUGAUUAAAAAAAUCUUAUUAGAAUUGAUAAUUAGCUUUGUUUUUUUAUAAGGCUGAAUUUUUAAAUUUUAUAUUAAAUAGUUUUCUAAUUUAAUUUUUUUUGUCACUUAUUUUUAUUUUUGAAUGAGUAAUUAAUAAUAAUUUAUGGAAUUGAAUUUGAUUAAGAAUGGGAUUAAUUAUGGGGCAAAAAUAGUGGCAACAUGUGGGGAUUUGGAAUUUUGUAAAUUUAUUUUUUAUUAAUUUCAUUUUCGAGCAAUCAAUUUAUGAGAAAAUUUUUAAUCUAAUUUUUCUUAAAAAAAUUAAAAUUUAAAAUUUAAAAAACAAAUAUAUAUUUGAUUUUUUUGUGAAUGACAAAAUUUUAAUUUAUAAUAAAUUUAUUUCUCACUCAAAUUAUAUAAAAUUAACCUAGUUUAACUAUUUUUUAAAAUGAGUUAUCUUUUUUUUUAUUUUUUAUUUUAUGGAAUUUAGUUUAAAUUUUUGUGAAAAAAUUGUAUUUAAGCAAGUACUCUAAAUUAAUGAUGUGUAAACUUUUACAUUUUCCCCAUAAAAAAUCAAAUAUUAUAUUUAAUCCUAGUCUUUCCCGACUCCUAUAAAUAGGAGACUUAGGUCAAUAAAAUGGAUGCCUCAAAGUUAGUCUUUGUAAAAGAAAACUCUUAUAAGUUUUUAUAUAAGAUUGUAACAUUAAAAGGAUAAACUUAUUACCAAAAAAUAUCUUCUUUCUCACCUCAAAGAUAUGUGAUAAAAUUCUACUUUUAUUUUAUUUUCUAUUUAAUUUAUUUUUUAAUGAAGAAAAUAGAAAAUAUUUUUUAUAGACAAAAAUUAUGAAAAAAUUACAACUAGAAGUUAUAAAAAAAAAAAUGUAAAAUAUGUAUAAUUGUAUAGCCAGAGGUUAUAUGAGAAAUUAUAAAGUUACAAAAAUAUAAAGAAAAGCUUUAAAUGUAAUUUCUAAUUUCUUUUUAAUUAUAAUGUAUAACCGAAAGUUACAAACUUACACAUUUUUGUUAUGUAUAUAAUGAAUAUUUCAUAGUUUGAAGGUAUCAAAUUUACAUAUUUUUGUUAUGAUGCAAAUAAUCCAUAGCCAAAAGCUAUGAAAACUAUCGGUUUGUAAUUUUUAUUAGUUAAUACUACAUGAUGUUGAUACACUUUUUUUACCAAAUUUAUAAUAAUCCUAAAGCGAUAAAAUAUAACAAAAUCUUAAAUCAUUAUAUUUUUAUUAACAAAUAUUAACUUGAUAAAAUAUUGUUAGAUAAUUUUAUUCAUUUAUUUAUAAUUAAUUUUAAUAAAUUGAAAUGUUAUUUGAAUGAAAUUAUUUGGAAUAUAAUUUUUAGAUAAUGUCAAAUCUUACCAAGUUUGAGUUUGUUACAUUCAAUAUUUUGAGCAAAACUAUUUAUUUUGGAUUCUGGAUGCUAAAUUCACCUAAAUGAAAUGAAUCUUGAAAAGACUAUUAAAUAAGGAAAUGAGGCAUCAUCGCAAGAUCGCACUAAAGCUUUAAUAUUCAUUCAUUAUCAUAUUGAUGAAGGAUUAAAAGGUGAAUAUCUUACGAUCAAAGAUCUUUCAUCCUUUGGAAUAAUCUAAUGGAAUGAUAUGGCCACCACAAGAUUAUAAUUCUUCCAAAAGCACGUCAUGAUUGGACGCACUUAAGAUUGCAAAAUUUCGAGUCUGUCAAUGGCCACAACUUGACUUUAUUAAAAAAUUGUUCACAAUUAAAUUUAUAUGGAAAAAAAGUCACUAAAGAAUAUAUGCUUGAAAAGACAUUUACCACUUUUCAUGUCUCGAAUGUACUCCUAUAGAAACAAUCUUAAGAACAUCAUUUCACUAAAUAUUUUGAAUUAUUUUAAUGUCUUCUUAUGAUUAAAUAAAAUAAUGAACUUUUACUGAAAAAUCAUCAAUCUCAUACUAUUAAGUCUAUGUCAUUGCUUGAAGCAAAUGCCACAUCCAUCCAAGCUCCUAGACAUUGACUUGGACAUGGACAUGAACAAGGCCAAGGACACAAUCAUGGCCAUGGUAAAUAUAAUUCUUGGUACCAUGGUGGUUAUAGUCAUUAUUAGAAUAAAAUAAAACAAUUCAAACCAUCAAAAGUUGAAUAAUUUUGAGAGACAACGUAAAAAGGGUAUAUAAUGACAAAGCAAACAUGUUAGUAAGAAUGAAUGCUAUAGAUGUGGUAUGAAAAGACACUAGUCAUGUACUUAUCAUAUUUCCAUAUGUUAAAAAAAAAUAAAAUUGUACAGAGGUUUUAGAAAUGCCCAAUCGGGUAAGGAAAGCGCCAAACAUUCCAACACUUCCAUAUGUUAAUAUUUAGACCCCUAAUAAGGAUGUAUAUAGUCAUGGUUCGCCUUAAAAAAAUCAUAUGUAUGUUUCUUAAGGAUGCAUGUAGGAUUUAGAAAUGACCUAUGAAGAACAAGAAGACCUCAAAUUCAUUAUGAGGCUUUCCAUAAGUUAAUAUUUAGACCCAAAUAAGAAUGAAUAGAAUCAUUGUCCACCUUAAAAAAAAAAAAAAGUAUGUGUGUGUGUGUGUGUGUGUUUUUUUUUUUUUUUUUGUUGAGAAUUUACAUAGUUUUCUUAAGGAUGUAUGUAGGCUUUAAAAAUGACCAACAAGGAAUGGGCAUAUCUCAAAAUUAUUGCAAAGCUUUCAUAAGUUAAUAUUCAAACCUAAAUAAGGUGAAAUAAAGUCACAAUCCACUUUAAAAAAUUUACAUAUUUUGUAUUUUUAAGAAUGUACAUGCUCUCCAUAAAAAUAUAUGUAUUUUUUAUUAAGGAUGUUCUUAGGGUUUAGAAAUGCUUAACAAGGUAGGGAAAGGCCUCCAAUUCAUUCUCAGGCUUCCAUAAGUGAAUACUUAAACCUAAAUAAGGCCAAAUAGGGUAAUAGUUUGCUUGAAAAAAAUGUAUGUAUUUUUCUUUAGAAUAAUAUAUAUAUAUUUGUUAAGAAUGUAUGUAUUUUUGUAAAGAUUUUCCUUAGGGUUCUACCAUAUCGAACAAGGUUUGGGAAGCUCUAAAAUGAAUUUCGUAGUGUACAUAAGUUAAAUCUUAUACCCAAAUUAAUGUGAAUGAGAUCGUGGUUAAUUUGAAAUCAAAUGUACAUAUUUUGUGGGAAAAAAUGGUAAAAGAUUCUUAUUCAAUCAACUAUUACAAUCCUAAUUUAUAUCUUAUUGUAGACCCCCAUGUUGGGGUGGAUUUUAUGUAUUUUUGUUUUGCCAAGUGUCCAAAUUUCAGGGAGCCACGUGGAGCUUGAAGAUUGGCCAUCAGGUAGUGCAUUUGGCCGUUGGGAGAGAGCUGGUUGUAGCCAUCAGAAUGCUACACGUACGGAGAAUAUUCGGUAGGAGCGUGUAUUUUGUUUUGGAGGAUAGCAGGCCGUUAGUGAGGGCAUUGGUGCAGGAGGUUCUCUGGCAAAUAGGAGGUGGGUGCUUUUUGGUGCAGGUGCGUUUUAGACGGAGAGAGAGGGGAGGCAGGGUUAGAGAGAAGAUAUUUUGGAGGAUGUUGCUUUGAGUGAGGAGCUCGGAGGAUAGAAGUUUGCUUGAGAGGAAAGGCAACUGAAAAGGGAAACAGAAAAAAAGAAGAGGAGCGUUAUAAGGUACGUCUGCUAAGCCACAUUUUUUAUUGCCAUUGAAAUCUUUUGGGUUGAGGUUAUUAUGUUAUAAUAUAUCUGCUCUUUGUUCUUCAUGAGAAAUUUGAUCUAGAACGAACUAAUUCUUCUUUUGCUCUCUUUCAUGUGUUUGAGUGAUAUCCUUGAAUCUUGUUUCCAUCUUUUUUUUUUUCACCCACACAUAAGUCCUAUGACUUCAAUAUAAGAUGAGGCUUGGGUCAUUGUUUUCUUGGGUUCAUUUUAUACUCUGUUUUGGUCCUUGCUUCAUUGUUGUUUGCUUUCUAUUCUCGGUGGCCACUCGUACACCCAAGGAGAAGAGUCUUGGCUAGCACGGCUUUUGGUUUUCGUAUGGACACAAUUUGUGAAUUUGGGGAGAUGUUGUUAUAUUGCUCAUAGAAUCAUUGGAAUGUUCUGCUCAGAAUGGGUGAUUGCCAUAUUUAGGGAAGCUACUCCACAGUUCCUCUCCUAUACCCACGCGCAUGUUACUUUGGCCAUGCAUGGCUAUAUUCUCUCUUUGUAUCGAAUAUACAGCUCUCCUCGCUAUUCAUAUUUCGUGCUCAACCCGGUAUCAUCCUUCGACGCUGGUUUCAUGGACUUCAUAAAUAAGUCAUCUGUCACCGACCCCGUAGCCCUAGCUCCGUUCUCCUUCUCUCUCUCCCCGUCGGAUCCAAUCAAGGGAUGCCAUCUCACUGCUUCUCUUUCUAACCACUCCUCGAUCCUCAUCUCCUACUCCACCAGUCCUCAAUCUUCUGCUCUACAAUGGUUGACGUCGCCUUAGACCUUCAAUAAGACGUAUCCAUUUAUGUACACCCAGUGUCAGUCUAUUAAUGCCCGUUCGGUCUUCCCCUGCCAGGAUACACUCGUAGUGAGGAUCAAGUACGCGGCGCGGAUCCAUGCCCCGUACCAUCUGUUUGUGGUGGUGGCAGCGCGCUAUGUGGAAUGGCAGUCACCGUACCCUGGGGAGGGUGGUGGAGGAGUUUGUGAUGAAGCAGGCGAUGCCGCCUUACCUAUUUGCCUUCGCGAUCGGGAGGCUUGGGCAUAGAGAGGUAGGACCAAGGAAAUUUUUGUACGCUGAGGCAAUGACCUCACUAUUGGAUGGAGUAGCACGGGAGUUCGUCGGGACGAAGGCUUAUGUCUGCUUACUGUGGUCGACAGUCAGUGGAGUUAAACUCCAUUACAUUCUUAUUUGAUGGUCACCGACUCCUUGGAGAGCAGACUCCAGAUGAGCUUGAAAUGAAGGAUGGUGAUGAAAUAGAUGCAAUGAUGCACCAAACUAGAGGGGUUACAUGGAUGUAGAUAUAUAAUAUAUGAGAAAAGCAUGGCAAAGAGAGCUAGGGCCUUCUUUGGGUUGCUCUUUAUGUUGUUAUGCCUGAGCUGCCUGCUAAAUCAGUAGCUUGGGUUCUAUAGGGCGGGCUUUCUGUAAGUACUAGCUCCUCAAUGGGUUUCAAGAAAAGCUUGGGUUGUUAUUUUACCAUGUGGAUCACGUAAGCCUACAAAGCCUUUCAAAUUGGGGCUUGCUAUAUAUUUUAGCUUGCAGGAUGCCCAACCACGUACUAUUAUUACACUGUGGAAAGCCCAUAUGGAUGAAGCAAAGUUUGAAGAUCCUGAUCCAGCAGUGAUAAUUCUUGAUAACUCCACCAAGACCCGUAUUAAACUUGCACCUGAGAAAAGAAGCGACAGAUAUGAGCACCCUUCCAGAAUAGCUCCAUCCUUGCUGUAUGGCUUACAUGGCCAUUUUGGGCAUGCAACUUUAGGUUGCGUGUUUUCCUUCAUUUUUUUCCAUUAUUAUUAUUUCCUCAUUUCAGAAUUUUAAGAUAAUUCCCUAUACUCCCAUUUUACAUAUAAUUUCCUGGAUUCUAGUUUUCUUUCUUUAUUUUAUUUUUCCAAACUCCAUUUGUAUCAAAUAAUUUAUUUAUUUAUUUUUCAUCUUUAGGUUUUUUUUUUAGAAUCACUCAAAAUCUCAUUUCCAAUAAAAUAGAGCCACCAUCUUUCUUUCUGGCAAACCAUUUUCACGCCUCCCCUGUUUUUUUUUAAAUAUUUUAAAAUAAGCAAGAAUUUAAUUCUGUAAUUCCGAAUAAUGGAAUUUAUGGAAUUAAUUCAUGCAAAAAUAAACGGGCUUUGGUGGAGGCCCCACAUAAGUGAUUUUAUAAUUGAUUGAUUGAUUGAUUUAAUUACCAUGCAUAAUUGACUUUUUUCUGCUUUAUAACACGGUCGAAAAUAUUCCUUAAUUGUGCACUAACUUCAUUUCUUGAUAGCGCAUUGUGGCUCAUCGCCCAGGUACGUAUCUAUUCUCAUUCUGGUAUUUCUAUAUGCAUGUUUUGAUUCUCACACGUGCAUGAUCACUCUGAGUAUUCAUUGAUUCCCUUAUGAAUUGCCACGAUUGCUUCAUUUUAUUAGUAGAGACCCGACUUUAGGGACUUAGAAGGGUGCUACGGUCUUUAUCGUACCUUCUUGAUAAGUAACUUGACCCUUGAACCCGAUCCGAUUUUUCAUAGACACCUUUUCCAAAAUAAUGAGUCACACUUAGGGUUUUUCUUUCUUAUUUUGUUUACCCUCUAAAAAUAAAACAAAAAUAAGUGGCGACUCCAAGUCAAUUGUUAAUAAAUAAAAUCAAUUUUUUUCAAAAAUUAAAAUCGAGCUCGCCAUCGAGUUGAAAACGUGUGAGCCGAAAUACGGGGUCCACAAAAUGGCGACUCCGUUGGGGACCAUUAGAGGGUCAAGCUUGAACUUAAGAUGAAGCAAACAUGGCAUUUGACGAGUCGAUCAGUGGGUACCUAUUUCUUGAUUUCACAUUGAGAGUUGUUGAUAUCAUUGGAUGUAUGCUUGGUUAUUGUACUCAUUUGGGACAUAGGCAUGUUGAUUGUUUAUCUUGAUUGAAGAUUUCGAUUGUGGCAAUUUUUCCCGUGCUUCAUUGCUAUAUUUGUUUGAGACAUUGACAUACUAGAUUGUUGUCGAUUGAUUAUCUUGCCUUGCAUAGCAUAGUGACUUUGAUUUUGCUAUGUUUGUUCUGAUCACCUCACAUGUAUAGACUCACCAUUGUAUCUCAUUCACUUUGACAUGAUUGAUUCUCUUGGUUGUAUAUUAUCUUGAUUAUCAUGGAGCAUGCUAUCAUUGCUAGAUAUUCUUCUCGAUUAGCUUGUGUGUAGAUUUGGAUGAUAUAUACCUGUUUUGCAUGACUGUCUAUUGCAUGACUUCCUUCAUCCUGAUGUGACUGCAUGAUUUGCGUGUCUAUGUGGGACACACACUUAUCCUUUUAUUUCCGAGUCCCUAGUCUCGGUCAACUUUGUUUUCUGAGGUCUCGUAUUUGAUACGAGACUUGUUGCCUUGUUUGCUCUUCUACUGAGCUAGUGAUUAGGAAUAGGGUCUAGUGAUGGGCUAUAUCUCUGUUUGGGAGCGUUCUGGAGGUGGUCGACAUAUUGAUGCUGAUUGGAGUCCGAAGUUUGAAGACUUGUAUAGCCCAGAGCUAGAUUUUAGGAUAUUUAUGUGGCCAGUGUGUUUUCUUUUAGUUUCAUAGGAUUGUUGGAUGCACCCAUACCAUCACUGUGCACACUAGUCGACCAUUGAGCGUUGAGAGUUGUGAGAGCUUUCACCAUAGGACCCCCCCGAGAUGUCGAGGUAGUGCAUGUGUGGAGGUGAUGACCACUUUGCAUGGAAGUGCCCUGUCACUUCGGAGGUGUGUAGAGGGUUACGUACAGCCGGAGGGUACGAUCGCUUCUGCUAGGGAUAUUUUAAAGUCCACCCGUAUCCAUUUAGAGCCACCUUGACCUCAUAGGUUGAGCCGUAGAUCCUUCGAUUAGGACUCCCUUCCUCACACGUGGGUGCAUCUGAGGGCUUUCAGAGCCUUUGAGGUCAUAGUUUGGAUUCGACAUUCCCUCUUUUUAGUCCCCAGUUGAGUGCUCAGAGAUCGGUUUGAGUUUGAGUAUCGGUUGGGUCACCUUUGUCCUGUCACCUUGGUUUGUGUUUUCACUCAAUGAGUUUGUCGUGCUUUCUCCCUAGGGACUUCGUCUUUCUUUCUUGGCUCGACACACCCUCUCCCUUUGUUGACACUCACUCGAUGCUUUGGGAUAUGUUCAUUGAUCAUCUUUUUAAACUGUACACCUAUCAUGGGCUCAGUAUCUCAUCCUUUGUUUGAUCCUAGAUUCGAUUUUUGACUCGAUGCUUGUAUUUUUAUUACGGAAAUGUGAAAGGCACAUUUUUACAUUCACAUUUUUUUGAGAGAGUUACCUUGAUCACCUUAUUAUUUUUCUCUUAUGGAGCUCGGGUUGAAAGUUGAAUUAAAGAUAUGUAUUUAUAGAUGGAGUAUUGAUCUUGUGAUACUGUGUUUUUCACACCUCUUUCAUCUUGGAUUAUUGAUGGGAAUUCUCUAGUCACAUUUGUAGCCAUCAUGCAGUGGACACCUUUAUGACUCUAGAGUUCUCGUCAUACAUCCAGAUUUCGGAUUGCCACCUCAGGACUAUGUGUUUGCACGUUGUAUUGCUGUCUUUUAGAGUUCUAUCUCGUUUCCUUCAUCCAUUUUGUUUGCAUUUUAGGGAGUCAGUUUAGGAGUCGGUUGAGUCUGGAGUCACAUUCUUAGAGGAGAGUUGGAGGUCGAUUGAUCAGAGCAGAUUCAUAUCCGAGUUCAGACAGUUCAGUUGAGAUGUCGGACGAGCUAGCUUCCACACUUGCUUCCAUUCAGGAGUUCAUAGCCGGAGUCAAUAGACGCUUGGAUCAAAUAGAGAGUUCUCGCCAGGAUCCUCAUCCAGCUGGUAUGGUCACUGAUGAGACGGUUCCUCAUGCAUCUCAGAUAGCACAGACUCGUCUACCUAGGGUUUCACUUGGUACUCCAUUCCAUCUAGCAUAUCAUUAUGAGACCAUUCUGCCACCUAUUGUCAUAGUGGUGUAGACCCUCAAUUUUGUUCCUUUAGCACAUGUCUUUAAAUUCAUUUUUAAUGCUCCUUAGUAACUCCUUGGUGGCCCAUUACUACUCGUACAACUUACCUUUUUCUGAGUCACCUCGGAGACUUUGGUUAAGGGAUUAUCCGCCCCUUUAUUGUGACCCUUGGCAGUUUUGAUUUAGACUUAAGCUUUCCAUUCCUUUUUAGGAUGGUUCUUAAGCAUGUUUAGGUCACUUAGACAAUAUCCCGAUCACUUUAGGACACUUAGGUUCACCUUAGGCCCGUUUAAACACUUCAUUGAGGCUCAACUUUUUUUUUAUAAUCUCUUGAUCAUUAUUGCAUGCAUUUGAUGAUUAUAUUUACUUUGUUUAUUCAUUUGUUUAUUUGUUUAUUUAUUCAUCUAUUUAUUUAGUCAUUUUUUUAAUUUCUAUUACGUUUUUUUUUCUUCUUUUAUUUUUCUUUCUUUUAUUUAUUUACCUACUUGAUAGAGAAUUGUUAGAAUUGUUUAGAUAUUAAAUAUGCAUACGACCCCUUAUUGAAUGAUGGAAUUAUAUAAUAUGGUCUCUCAUUGUUCCCUUUCUCUUCUUUUAAAUCAUAUUUUAUUUUAUUACCAAUCUCAUAAUUUUCAUUAGUUUUUUUUUUAGCUAUUUAUUUAUUUAUUUAUUUUGUUUUGCAUGAGGAGGUGGAAUUACAUAAUCUGGGAUGAGUGGCUCUUGUGAAGAGAGAAAUAUGAAAUUAGUGAGGGCUAUCACGUGAGGAAGGGGCGUUUUCUUGAAUUCAGCACCAAUAAGAGAAGUCCAAUGCUUGUUAAACAUGAAAAGUAUUAUAAAUACAAUAUUGGGGACAACAGGAGCCUGGGGGAAUCUCUCUGAUUGUCACGUUCUUAGAUGCAAGCUGCAUUGCAAUGCCCUAGAUCCUUCCAAGAAAAAGCUAUUUAGACUUCAUGAAAUUUUUAAGAGCUUACCUACUGUAGCAAUCAAGAGACCUAAAAGCAGUGGAGCUUGAUGUGGACCGUUUUAUUAAGGACAUGGAAUCAGUAAUGAGGCGUCCAGUUCAUGAAGAUGUCACAGCUGACGUUGACUCUGAAGGAGGCCCGUCAUCUGACAUGGAUUUUGAUGAAUCUGAAGGUGACAACAAUGUAGCAUAUCCAUAUGAGGAUAAGAGGUGUGCGAAGGCUUGGUGCUACUGCAGUGGACAUGCACCAUGAUGCUCUUGGGAUUGUAGAAGCGUAUUGGGAAUAAAACCAUGGGAUUGACACCGCCAAGGAUGAUACGCAGUCCACGCAUGAGAAGAAGUGGACAUGUAGUCUACCAUUAGCGUACAACACGCAUGAUCAGUUCCGGGGAAUGGAGGGCUCCACAACACGGCCUGUAGCUUCUUUCCUUUUCUUUCUUUAAAAAUGAGCAGUCAUCACAUCGAAGAGAAAGGGGGAGCCAAUAAACUAGUCAUCUUUCAGCACUAUAGAAUUGAGAAAGUAAGAAUCUUCCACCUCAUAUUAAAUAAUUUUCAAAUCCGGAAAGAUGCAGCGUAUAAGGAAAUAUUGUGGCUGAAUAAGAGAUCCUUUGGGAGGACAAAAUAAGAAACCUCGUACACGGAUGGUGGUGCAUUCCAUAUCAGCAGUCAUACUUUCCAUACUGAAGAGGCCAUCCACGCGCAUUAAAAGAGGAAAUAAAAAUUCCCAUAAGGGGAGGCUGCCAUAUAAAUAAAAAAAGGAGAGGGAAGGCACAGGGGACUUUUUCUCGGGAGGGAGGAUUUUUGGCUUGAGAAGGAGAAGUUUGAGAAGAGAUAUUAUUUUUCUGGGAACAAAGAGAGGUCUGAAGGAAGAGGAAGGAGGCAGCCACCACACAUUGACCAUUGAGCACUAGUAGCCGCACCACCAUAGAGGGAUUCUAGAGAAGGUAAAUUAGAAUUUCUAAGGAUUUUAGUUUUAUUUUUGUAUUGGAUUGAAAGUUAGAGUUUUUAUGUAUUAAUUUUGAUUUUUUUUUUUAAUCGGAUGAAAAAGUUAGAAUGUAGUUAGUUUGAUUGUGAUUCAUUGUCUUGGUUUCAAAAGUUAGGUUUUGUUUAGUUUAAUUUUAAUUCAUUAUGUUUAUCUCGAAAAAUUAGAAUUUUUGUUUGAUUCAAUUUUUUAUUCAUUGAACUAGAUUGAAAGGUUAAAAUUUUAUUUAAUCUAUUUUUUUUAUUCCUUGCGUUAUUUUGAAAUGUUUGAAUUUUGUUUAAUCUAGUUUUGAUUUUUUUAUAUUAGAUUGAAAAGUAAAUUUUUGUUUGCUUAGUUUUGAUUCAUUACUUUGGUUUAAAAGGUGAGAAUUUUUUGUUUUAUUUUAAUUUUGAUUCAUUAUAUUACAUUGAAAAAUUAGAAUCUUUGUGUAGUUUGGAUUUGAUUCCUUGCUUAGUUCGAAAAGUUAGAAUUUUGCUUAGAUCGGUUUUAAUAGAUUUAAUUUUAAAAGUCAGUUUUUUUAUGAGUCAGCUUUUUAUUUAGUUCAAGUGUUUUAUAAUUUUUUUAGUCUAUCAUUCUAAUUGAUCCUAUGUAAUAAAGUUUAUGUUUUUAAGUUUAUUUUGAUCAUGUUUUGGUUCAUCUUAUUUAGUUUAGAUAUUUUAGAAUUUUAGCUCAUUAGUCUAUUUGAUCCCAUCUAAUUAAAUUUAUGUUUUUUUAAAAAAAAAUUGUAAAAUCAUUUUUCUGAUUCAUCAUUUUUAGGAUUUAAGUUGAUUAGUGAAAUAUUUGGUUAAUUCUUGGUUGAUCCACUUUUAGUUUGUAUGUUUUCCAAAGUUUUAGAUAACUAAUUUAAUUAACCCUAAGUCGUAUUAUUCAUGUUUUGAGUAUACUAAUCUUCAUUCUUGGUUUAUCAAUAUUUAGUUCAUGCUUUUUUUUCUAAUAGGUUAAUUAGUUUAACUAAUCUUAUGUUAUUUUGCUCACGUUCUAAAAUUGAUGAUUCUAGUUUUUGAUUAGUUAAUAUGUUUUAGAAUUCUAUGUGCUUGUGUUACUAUAUUCACCUUAUUAUAAUUACAUGUUUAGGUGUUUGGUUGAUUUUAAAUUAGUUCUUGAUUGUUUAUCUCAAUUUAUGUGUUUGAUUGAUCCUUGUAAAUUCCCGAUUAAUAUUUCGUUAGUUUUAUUUGAUCUAAAGUCGUUUGGUUUGUUGCUUUGGUGAAUAUUUAUUAAAUUUGAUUUUUAGAGGCCAUUGGAAAAUCAUGAAGAUUGGCCUCUACCAUCACCAUUAUCAUUUUUGUUAAUUACUAAAAAAAUUUUACUUUGAGGUUUCAUUUUUGUUUUGUUUGGUAUUUUAUUUUUUUUCCAAAUUAAUCCCUUUUAUUUUAAAAUAAAAUACUCUUCUCAAAAAAAUCAUUUUAAAAAUCUAUUUCAAAAACUCAUUAGAGUCCUCAGGAUCAAAAUUUCCUUUUUUUUUUUAUUAUUAUUUAAAAAUAAUAUGCAACCAUAUCUUGUUCGGUUUGGCAUCCUUCUCGGUUUUCAACAAAGAUUUUGGUUUUGAACAAAGACACGAAUCAAAGCUUGUGGUCCCACAUAAAUGGGAUAAUUUUGAGCUAAAUUCGUGUAUAUCAAUUGGGGAAUUGGUGAAACCCCUACAUAAGAAAAUCUUUUCAAAAUUUAUUUUUGUUGCCAUAUUUGACACUUGUUGAAAUCACGUCUAUCUAUUUUUUUUAGGAAUUAUAUACAAGAUGUAUGAGAUAAUUGAUGAUUCUGUAUACUGUGAUCACUUUUGCUAUGCUAAUUAGAUAACGAACAUGCUAGGAUUUCUAUAUUUUAUUAUUUAUUAUCUAACCCCUUACAACUUGAGGAAGUACGUUACAAAUUAUCUAUGCUAUCCAGGUACGCUCUCUUCUCAUCUAUUUUUUUCAGAACUCUAUGGACUUGUAUGUCAUUGAUGACCAUAUCCAUAUUUGACGUGAUUCUUGAAUGUCUUGAUAUAUGCCUGAUUUGCUUGAAUAAAACAAAUGUUGUGUGAUGUAUCUCCAAACUAAUCUCUUAUGUUUUAUGAUAGCACUUGGGAAGCCGUCCAGGUAUGCAUUUUUAACUCUCCUUAAUUGUGAUUUGAUCUUGUUUGAUAUGUUAUGUUUUUGGAAUCAUCUAGCCUACUUAGGUAUCCAUGAUCAACCAUUUGAUUGCCACGCUUCCCUUAACUUAGUCAGUAAAGACCUCUUUAGGGCUUAAAGGGGUGCUACCUCCUAGAGGUACCUUCCCGAUAAGUAACCUGAUCCCCGGACUUAGACUCGGGUUUUUCAAAGACACGUUUUUCCAAAACUUAUGGAGUCAUUUUUUUUAGGGUUUUAUUUCUUGUUUUAUUUUCCCUUCAAAAAUAAAAAUAAAAUAAGUGGCGACUCCAACUUUUUUUCAAAAAUCAAUUUUUCACAAAUAAAAAGCGAGUCUCGCCGAUCGAGUGGGGACCCACGUGAAAAAUGUGGGUCCACAAAUUGGCGACUCCGCUGGGGACCUUGAGGAUCAUGCUUGAACACUAGUUGAGGAAAAUGUGGCGUUUAAUUGGUCGAUUAGUGGGUACCUUUUUUUUUUAGGCAAGGUGAUUCGAUUUGUUUGCCUGUUUGGCUUGCUAUCUUAACAUGUUUGAUUGCCUUGAAUGAUCACUUGAUUGCUUGCUCACUUCAGCAUGAUUCACUCUCACAUAUGCUAGAUAGGACUUUGAUUGUUUGAUAUUUAUCUGCUUCGCAUGACUGCUUGUUGCAUGACAACCCUUUCUCUUGCAUGAUCGUAUGAUUGCUUGUCUUCGUUCAUUAUCUCACUUUAGUUCUUAAGUUUUUCGGAUGCACCCACAUCCUUCACUGUGCACUUUAGAUUAUCCUUGAGCGUUGAGAUAUGAGAGAGCCUUCACCAUUAGGAAACCCCCUAGGAAUGCGAGGAAGUGCAUGUGUGGAGGUGAUGACCACCUUGCAUGGAAGCACCCCGUCUCCUUGGAGGCGUGCAGAGGGUUGCGUACCACCGGAGGGUACGAUCGCUUCUGCUAGGGAUCCUUUAACCCACCCAUUUUAUCAUAUAAAGCCACCUCAACCUUGUAGGCUAACCUAGACCCAAUUAAGAAUUCACUCCUACACGUGGGUGCAUCUGUGGACCUUCACAGCUGCCUUGGUCACAAUUGGGUUCAGUUAUCCUCUUCAUGGUCUCCUUUUGGUGUGCUCAGAGAUUGGUACAUGUUUGAGUCUUAGUUGGGCCACCUUUCUGCAUUGUGAUUAGUGUGUUUCCACCUCUUCUGAGCUUCCUUCAUGUCAUUUCUCUUUCCGCGCCUUUGUACCUUAUAGGAAUGUUACUCGCUUCAGUUUGGAUUCGACUUUUUAUAUUAGAGUUGGAGAUAGAUUGGUCAAGGUUUCAAAGCAGUCAGGUAUGGAUCUUCAGCAUGUUAUAGUUGAUCGAAUUAUAGUCACCAUGACUCUAUUCAAGAGACAUUAGUAGGUUUGAGCCAGAGGAUUGAUGGAUAGUGAGAUAGAUAGCAUCCAGUUCAGGAUGAGAUGUCGUAUGAUUCAUUACCAACCACCCCCACCACCCAGUUAUCCAGUGACAUUGUUGAGGGUGACUUCUUACAUAUGAUGAGUUUAGUGGAUUAUGAGUCAAAGAUUAUCAGAUGAGAGUUCUUAUAGAGGGCGUUAGUUUUUCUCAGAUGGGAGAUUUGAUUGACAUGAUUUUCUUCAUGUGAGCAUGAGAUGGACGUAUUGGAUGAUAGUUGGAUGCUUGGCGCAGAUUAGCCAGAGAUAGUUCACUCUCUUGAUAUGCUUGAGAUCUUCAUUAUUGAGAGUUCAGUAGAGAUUCAGUUUAUUUAUGUUGGGGCAUCCCGCUUAUGUUGAUGAUAUGUUUGAGGACGAUAUUAGCCCGGUUUUGGUCAUGGAGAUUCAUCUAUUCCAGGAGACCCUAUGGACUUACUUGGAGUACACCACUUGUCAUUAGAGAGUUGACCCUAGAGAGGAAAUAUGAUUGACAUAUCUGGAUAGAGACCAGUUCUCAAACCCCACCGACAUGGAUCAACUAAAGAAGCAUUACAUUUGAGACCAUGGUUGCAGGAUGGGUGGCCAUCAUUUUGGUCAGCCUUACACCUUAUCACCUUUAUUAAUAUAUUAAACCGUUGCUAACCCGUUGAGCCUCACGUGGUAUGUUAUAGCCUUAUUUCUUUCUUAUAGCCUUGAUUACCAUUUCUACACCCGGGUUGGGACCCUUUGGUGUAUAUGCAUGCUUUGCUAUGAAAGUCUCAUGAGCUUUAGACUUAUAGGCCUAUCUUCUCAUUCUUGUCAUCAUCUCCUUAUCACCCCGUUUGUUCUAUUUUGCUAUCAUCACAUUUCCAUUCUCUUUCUUGCUUUUAUCAUUAUUUGCUUCAUAUUAUCUAUUCUCUUCCUUGGGCUAAUGAUUUUUCACAUCUUAGUGCAAAGAGGGCAGUCAUAUCACUCCAUUCAUCCUAUCAUUUGGCAUUGAUUCGGAGAUUUUAGUUUGAGAGGUUGUCUCAUGGGUUGGGGUUCAUGUAUUCAUCAGUGAUUUGAGAGAGUUUAUUCAUUUCUUGUAUCUUUCCCAUUGGAGUUUGACUUAUUGAUGAUCAGAGCAUGCGCUAAAAAAAAAAAACAAAAAAAAAAAAAAAACAAAAAACAAAAACAAAAAAAAAAAAAGAAAGAAAAAAAAAGAAAAGAAAGAAAAAGCGCAAUGACAUGUUUGUGUAUGGUAUCUUGCUCCAUUGGGCACUUAUAUCACCUUUUGAGGUAUGUUUACUAGGUGUAUUUGUCAUUGUGGGUCCUUGUGAGAUGUUUAUAUGAGUUUUCACUCCUUGAGCCACUCUUGUUAUGCAUUUGGAGUGUUGGGGGUUCAUGUGAGAGUUCUAUGGUAUCCUAUGUUUCUUGGUCAUGGUUGAUAUAUAUUAGGUAUGAGAGAUGAGUAAUCUUUUUACUAGGGUCUCUGGAUCAUUGUCUUACCCACCACUCCAUCAUUGGUGAUAUGACUUUCUCUUAUUGUACUGAUAUGGAUUGAUCAUCAUUCAUUCCCCUUUCUUAUUGCCUUUGUAUCUCCUCAUCCAUUUCCAAAUCUUCGUUCCACUUUUUAUCCAUUUCCUACAUAUUGAUACUCAUUUUUGUUUUGAUACCUUCUUCACAUCAUUCACAUGUUUCAUUGAUGGUUUGACUACUCAUCUUUCUCUCAUUUCGCCAUCGACAUUUCCUUUGGUUACCUUUAGGUCCAUGGCUCAUGAGAUUUUUCUAUGCAUUACAUCUUAUACACGAGGGUAUGGGUUUGAUCAUUGGGUAUUUGAGCCUAGUUUCCCUUCAUUUCUUUCACCCUAUCACCCUGGCCUACGCUACGUCCCAUGUCUUAAGACCACCCUGAGACCAUGAGAUCAGAUGUUAUCUUUGACAGCCUCUACUUAGGUUGGUGUUUGGGAUUUGGUUGAUAUAUAUAGAUGUUGUCAUGUUUCUUCUUCUGGGAGAUGCUUCUUUGGUGCUUGGAGGUGAUUUGGUGAUGAAUGUGGAUGAUUGCUUCAUUUUAUGGAUGAUAUUUGAUGCUAUCCAGAUUUUCAUUCUACUGUGCAUCAAUUAUCUUACUAGGGCAUAUUCCCCUUUCAUUUGGUUGAGACAUGCCCCUAGUGGAGCACUUUCUUUGAGUCUGGGUAUUUUCACCGACCAGAGAUCCCUAGUAAGGUAUGUUGAGACUAUAUCAAUUCUAGUGGAGCAUCGUUGAGCCCCUAGUGGUUCCAUUCCCGGAGUACUUCUGAGAUAGACUAGUGGAUUAUUACUGAGUUGGAGGUAGUUUUCAGUGCAGUGUAUAGAUCAGGCAUACUGGGGCAUAUUUCCCCAUUUUGAGGUUACCAGAUUCCUAUCAGAUUCAGUCAGGGAUUCAUCAGAGACAUGUUUCUGAUUUUGAGAUUACCACAUCCCUCAUUAUCUUGGCUAUUCAUUUGAGAUUAGACUUAGAGUGUCCCCCUCGAGGCAUUGGUCGAUACUUCACUCUGACUUCUUAGUAGAUUAUUGUUGAGUUGAGGAUAGUUGAUUGAUGAUGUUGGAUUCAUCCUUUGGUUGUGCAUCAUAUAUUCACACUGGGGCAUAUUCCCCCCUCCUCCGAGAUUCUUAUCUGUUAUUGUAUACGGUACGAGGAUGGAUGAUCAUUGUUAGUUUGUUUACCUCACGACUUCGACAUUAGAUUAUCCACACUGGGGCAUAUUCCCCUCUCCUUGAUGAGAUUGUGUUUGGGCAGUGGUAUGAGGAUGGAUGAUCAUUGUUUGUUGUUUGCCUCACGACUUUGACAUCAGAUCUUAUACUAGGGCAUAUUUCCCCCAUUUUCUUUGAGUAUCCUUGAGAUUGAGACAAUGGCCAGUUCGGUUUUAGAUUGAGUACUAGCCCAGAGCUUCUGACGAUCGACUGUAUCAGGGCCUCCCUACAUGGAUUUGUUGAGAUAGAGGCGGAUCGCAUCAAGUUUCACCCGAGGAGUGUGGGUGGAUCCUUUAGCCAGAUGUUCAUGAGACAUAUUUGUUUUCGUCAUUGUUACCUUGCAGAUUGGAUUAUCCAGAUGAGCAGCAUUUUACGCACUUUGAGGUUUACUUUUAGAUGAGCCAUGAUUUACACUCUUUGAGAUUUACCUUUUGAGAUUCAUUGACAAAGCAGCCGCACCACCAUAGAGGAAUUCUAGAGAAGGUAAGUUAGAAUUUCUAAGGAUUUUAGUUUUAAUUUUUUAUUGGAUUGAAAGUUAGAGUUUUUAUGUAUUAAUUUUGAUUUUUUUUAAUCGGAUGAAAAAGUUAGAAUGUAGUUAGUUUGAUUUUGAUUCAUUGUCUUGGUUUCAAAAGUUAGGUUUUAUUUAGUUUAAUUUUAAUUCAUUAUGUUUGUCUCGAAAAAUUAGAAUUUUUGUUUGAUUCAAUUUUUUAUUCAUUGAACUAGAUUGAAAGGUUAAAAUUUUAUUUAAUUUAUUUUUUAUUCCUUGCGUUAUUUUUGAAAUGUUUGAAUUUUGUUUAAUCUAGUUUUGAUUUUCUUUUUUAUAUUAGAUUGAAAAGUAAAUUUUUGUUUGCUUAGUUUUGAUUCAUUACUUUGGUUUAAAAGGUGAGAAUUUUUUGUUUUAUUUUAAUUUUGAUUCAUUAUAUUACAUUGAAAAAUUAGAAUCUUUGUGUAGUUUGGAUUUGAUUCCUUGCUUAGUUCGAAAAGUUAGAAUUUUGCUUAGAUCGGUUUUAAUAGAUUUAAUUUUAAAAGUCAGUUUUUUGUAUGAGUCAGCUUUUUAUUUAGUUCAAGUGUUUUAUAAUUCUUAGUCUAUUAUUCUAAUUGAUCCUAUGUAAUAAAGUUUAUGUUUUUAAGUUUAUUUUGAUCAUGUUUUGGUUCAUCUUAUUUAGUUUAGGUAUUUUAGAAUUUUAGCUCAUUAGUCUAUUUGAUCCCAUCUAAUUAAAUUUAUGUUUUUUUAAAAAAAAAUUGUAAAUCAUUUUUCUGAUUCAUCCUUUUUAGGAUUUAAGUUGAUUAGUUUAAGAAAUAUUUGGUUAAUUCUUGGUUGAUCCACUUUUAGUUUGAUGUUUUCCAAAGUUUUAGAUAACUAAUUUAAUUAACCCUAAGUCGUAUUAUUCAUGUUUUGAGUAUACUAAUCUUCAUUCUUGGUUUAUCAAUAUUUAGUUCAUGCUUUUUUUUUAAUAGGUUAAUAAGUUUAACUAAUCUUAUGUUAUUUUGCUCACGUUCUAAAAUUGAUGAUUCUAGUUUUUGAUUAGUUAAUAUGUUUUAGAAUUCUAUGUGCUUGUGUUACUAUAUUCACACUAUUAUAAUUACAUGUUUAGGUUGAUUUUAAAUUAGUUCUUGAUUGUUUAUCUCAAUUUAUGUGUUUGAUUGAUCCUUAUAAAUUCUCGAAUAAUAUUUCGUUAAUUUUAUUUGAUCUAAAGUCGUUUGGUUUGUUGCUUUGGUGAAUAUUUAUUAAAUUUGACUUUUAGAGGCCAUUGGAAAAUCAUGAAGAUUGGCCUCUACCAUCACCAUUAUCAUUUUUGUUAAUUACUAAAAAUUUUUUACUUUGAGGUUUCAUUUUUGUUUUGUUUGAUAUUUUAUUUCUUAUAUUUUAUUUCUUCCCAAAUUAAUCCCUUUUAUUUUAAAAUAAAAUACUUUUAUCAAAAAAUCAUUUAAAAAAAAAAAUAAUCUAUUUCAAAAACUCAUUAGAGUCCUCAGGAUCAAAAUCUCUUUUUUCUUUUUAUUUAAAAAUAAUAUGCAACCAUAUCUUGUUCGGUUUGGCAUCCUUCUCGGUUUUCAACAAAAAUUUUGGUUUUGAACAAAGACACGAAUCAAAGCUUGCGGUCCCACAUAAAUGGGAUAAUUCUGAGCUAAACUCGUGUAUAUCAAUCGGGGAAUUGGUGAAACCCCUACAUUAGAAAAUCUUUUCAAAAAUUAUUUUUGUUGCCAUUUUUGUCACUUGUUGGAAUUAUGCCUAUCUUUUUUUUAGGAAUUGUAUACAAGAUGUGUGUGAUAAUUAAUGUUUUCAUAUACUUUGAUAAUUUUUGUUAUGCUAAUUAGAUAACAAGCAUGCUAGGGUUUCUUUAUUUUAUUAUCUAAUCCCUCAUGUCUUAUGGAAGCGCAUUGUAAGUUAUCUAUCCAGGUACGCCCCCCUAUCACCUACUUUCUAAAUUUUGUAAACAAUCAUGACAAUGUGAAGUAUGCAUAUGUUUGAUAAUCCUUAGGUGUUUGGAGGUAUGCUUGAUUCACUAUGAUUAAAUACAUGUUGUGUGUUAUACUUCUAUACCAACUCUGAUGUUUUAUGAUAGCGCUUGAGAAGCGGUCCGGGUACGCAUCCUAACCUUCCUUUAUUGUGAUUUGAUAUUGUUAACAUGUUAUUUUUUAAAAUCACCAAGCUUACUCAGGUAUCUAUAAUGAAUCUAUUAAUUGCCACAUUUCCCUUAACUUUGUAAGUAGAGACCUCUUUAGGGCUUAGAGGGGUGCUACCUCCUAGAGGUACCUUCCCAAUAAGUAACCUGAUCCCCGGACUUAGAUUCGGGUUUUUCAAAGACACGCUUUUCCAAAAAUUAUGGAGUCAUUUUUUAGGGUUUUAUUUCUUGUUUUAUUUUCCCUUUAAAAAUAAAAAAUAAAAUAAGUGGCGACUCCAACUUUUUUUCAAAAAUCAAAUUUUCACAAAAAAAAAGCGAGUCUCGCCGAUCGAGUGGGGACGCACGUGAAAAAUGCGGGUCCACAAGUGGCACCUCCCAUGAUUGGUCGAGCAGGAGGCCAGGGUUGAGAGGCUUGAGUCCAGGAUGAGACAGAUCAUAUUGCAGGACAGAGGUUUGACUUGGGAUGAUAGGGAUGGUAUACUGGCGGCUAGCUUGCCCGCCAAGUUUCGCAUGCCAGACAUUGAGCGCUAUAGUGGGAUUGGUUGUCCUAAGAUCCAUUUGAGACUAUACAGCACAGUCAUGAGAGCAUAUGGGAUAGAUGAUGCACAGCUUGUGGCCCUCUUUCCCAUGUCACUUAGUGGAGCAGCUCAGAGAUGGUUUGCUUCAGUUGAGUGUUCGAGACUCCUCACCUGGGAGGAUGUGGCUCAUGAGUUCUUGACUCAGUUCGCUUUUAGUGUUGACAUUGAUGUAUCCAUACGAGAGUUAGAGGCCACCAGGAAGAGGCCAGAUGAGUCUAUUUCUUCCUUUGUCACUCGUUGGAAGGAAAAGGUGGUUGGUAUGAUAGAUCAGCCUAAGGAGCAGGAUCAAAUUGAUAUGGUUCUUCGGAACUUAUAGCCGAGGUUCGCAAGACGUCUUGUGGCCAUCCCAUUUCAGGAUCUCAGGAGUCUGGUUCAAGCAGCUUUCAGUGUUGAGGAGGACAUCGCUCAAGGAUUAUGGACAGAUACUACUCCUUUCCCUGAUAGUAAGAGGAAGAAGUCGAUUGGAUCAUUUAGUAGAUCUGGAGAGGUUGACGCUAUUAGCUAUCAGCAUCGGAGGCCUGCACAUCACUCACUUUAUAGGCCUCCUAUAGUUAGAGCUCAUUUCCCUCAUCCGUAGUAUCAGUAUCAGUCGGAUUAUGUUCAGGAGCCUUACAUUGCACAGGCUAGCAUGCAGCCACGACCAUCACAUUCGAGAGCCGUUACUCAACCACCGCCUAGACCAUAUGCACAGAGGCCCGUGAGACAGUUCACUCAUUUGGGCAUGACCUUGACUAGAGCUUUUGAGAAGCUCAGAGAUGGUGGUUUGAUAGUUCCUUUGGCGCCACACCCUUUGCCACAUCCUAUUCCUCCACAUUUUCGCUCCUAUGAUCAUUGCUUGUAUCAUCAGAUUCGGGGACAUGAUACUGAGUGUUGUUCGGCACUCCAUCAUGUGAUACAAGACUUGAUCGAUAUGGGGUUGGUCAACUUGGCUGGGCCAAGUGUGUCCACCAAUCCUCUGCCUACGCAUUCUACACAUGCAGUUCCUCCUCUUCCUAGUCUUCAGUAGAUUGAUUUGGAUGUUGAUGGUACUAUUAGCAUAUGGUAUUUCGGGAUCUUCCAAGUUGAGGACUUGGUUUAGUUGGCAUGGGUACAUCACUGGGUAGUAGUUCGGUUCAGAGCAUUUCUCAUUCUGAUUAUGGUCAUUAUCAGAGUCAUUUCCAUUUUGUUGAGUCCAGUUUUUAGUUCAUCAGAGUUGUUUUUAUUUUUUUGAGUCCAUUUUGGUUUAGAGUCAUUGUUUUUAGUUCAUGUUGAGAGUCCGGUCGUUUGUAGUCCUUUUUCAUUUCACGCAUGAUGUACUUGUUGGUUCAUUUAGUGAUAUGAUAUUUUAUCUGAGUAUGUGGCAUUUUGCUCGUGAGUGUGCUUUACAUAGCUUGUGUUGAUGUGUGUUAUGUUUUCGAUAUGAAACAUCUUUUCACUUAUACAUCAUGAUCACUUUGGCCUGACCUAUCAUGGAGGAUAUUGAGUCUAUUGACCUAGGAUCAGGAGAUUGACCUAGAGAGUUUGAGAUUAUGACCCAUUUCAUCUUCUGAUCAGAGCAGCAUCAUAUCCAUUUUCAUACCCUGACUCUGUGGACUUGAUGACCUAUCCAUUUCGGACUUGACAUGACACCAUCCCCUGAUACCACUAUAUGACCUAGUCAUCCUCAUUCCCCUUAGCAUAUUACAUUACCAUUGCCUACUCUUUCCAUCAUUUCAUUUUAUCUGGCCAGAUAGAGUCCGAGAUGGUUAGACCUGAGGUGAGUUUUGCAUGAUGAUAGAUGGAUCACAAUGAGAGAGUGGUUUGACUGCUUGAUGAUAUUGAUGAGGUAGAGGGGUUGUCUUGGGGCAUCCAGAUUUGAGUUGUUACACAUGACUUCAGAGAGUAGGGAUGAUUAGAGAUGGUGAUUUUAUGAGAUGAUGGUGAGUGGCUUAUGAUGAUGGAGUGAGGUGAUUAUCAGAGGACAUUGAUGGUUAUCACAGAGCAUCAAUGGGAGCUUUCACACAAUUUCAAAGGAGUUGACAUGACUUUGUUGGACAGAUGCCAAUCUUUAGUAUUGGCCAUGUGAGAUCUUGAAAGCAAGAUGUUCGAGGUUGUGGUCAUAGGAUGGGUGGCCAUCAUUUCAUGAGCUCAUUUACCCUAUCACCCUCACAUAUAGACUUACCCGUUGCUAGCCCUUUGAGCAUCACACGAGCACAUAACCUUUUCUUUCAGCACCUCAUUUACCUAUUACACCGGGUUGGGGACCCUAUAGUGCUUGCAUGCUAUGAUUGGAUACGUCAUGAGUUCCAGACCUGACAUACAUAUUUAGGCCUCAUUCAUCACUCUUCAUUAUGAUAUUUUUCCACUUUGACAUCAUUUCAUCACUAUUUUCUGAUACCACAUAUCACUACUUGUGAUAUUCGUUCUCUGUCUUUUCUUUCAUCAUUGUUUACUCGACAUUAUCUUUGUUUCACCUUGAGUGGUGGUCUUUCACAAGUCAUUGCAUGGAGGAUUGUCACAUUCUUCCUCCUUUGUUCGCCUAAUGAGUAGUGGUUCAGAGAUCUUAUUUUUGAGAGGUUGUCUUGUUAGUGAGGAUUCAUGCUACAUUAGUACAUGGGGAGAGUUUAUUCAUUUGGCUAUGUAUUUCAUGGGAGAUCAUUCAUUAUUGAUCAGAGUAUGCGCAAAUAAUAAUAAUAAUAAUAAUAAUAAUAAUAAUAAAUAAAUAAAUAAAUAUAUCAUUCUUCAUUGGGCAUGUGUAUGGACGUGCCAGGUUGCUUCAUUGAGUUCAUGUGUUAGAGAGAGUUCAUAUGAGAGCUUCUUUCCGAGAUUCUAUCUUGUUAUAUUUUGGGUGAGUAUGAGUCGCCCAUUCGAUUUUUGUGAGACAAGCGAGCAACCUUUCUUUAGUAUCUCUGGAUCCUUGCUCUAUCCAUCAUUCCAUCUAUUUCAUAUGUGACUACUUUCCAUGCUUUGAUGCUGGUUGACCACCAUCACUCACUUUUAUAUCUCUUUGUUUUCUUCUACCCUUAUUUUAUCCCUCCAUUUCACUCCACCUCAUAUGAUUUCAUUCUAUUCUCAUCUUGCUUGAUGUUUGACAUACGUUUGGUACACAUACAUCAUAAUUGUUUAUUCGAUGUGUCCAUUCAUUUAUCAUCACUUUUCGUGUGGAGAUCCCUAGGUCCGGGACUCAUGACGUUUUCUACGCAUUGCAUCUCAUGUACGAAGGGUAUGGGGAUUAUAUCAUUGGGAUCUUUGAGCCUAGUUUCCUUUCAUUUCUUUCACCCUAUUACCUUAGCCUACAUUACGUCCCGUGUCUGAAGACCACCCUGAGGCCAUUACUUUACAUUGUGUUUGACAACUUGCACAUGGGCAAUACUCGAGCUUGGUCGGAGAUGAUUUCUCGAAGCAUGAUGGAUGGGGAGUUGAGAUGGCGAUUUACACUGGGGCAUACCCCUCUUACUAGUGAUGGAUUUUCAGUGAUGACGUUAUCUACACUAGGGCAUACCCCGCUCAUCAAUGACAUUUUCUUUUGGGAUGAUACCUUGCACUGUGGCAUAGUCAGUUCGUUUCGUCACUUGGAUUAUGAUGGAUUAGGAGUUGUGGGAUGACCCUAAACUAGGGCAUAGCCAUUUCAGAGAGCGUUUUUAUUGAAGAUACAGUCACUCUACUCGAUACUCUGCAUUGGGACACACUCUACUCAUUGAUGGUUGAUUAAUGAGAAAACGAUUUAUUUUAAGGCGUAGCCCUCUCAUUGGUGAUGGAGUUUUUUUUUUUAUUGGAGCAUAAUCACUUUAGGGGGUUUAUACUGGGGCAUAGCCGCCUCAUUCACAUUCAUAGAGCCCGGGGAUUCUGAUUCAUAUGGAUUAUGUUGGGAUGUUUACGUUUUGGCACCAGGAGUAGAGUUUGAUCGAUUCGUUAACCCGUACUAAGCAUGGUCUUCCUCAGCAGUUCGAAUACACUACUUUACAUUGGGGCAUAGCCGGGACGGAGAGUAUUUUUCAUUGGAGCAUAGUCACCCUAUUGGAUCCUUUACACUGGGGCAUGUCCAUUUUUUGGAAGGAGAUCAGAUUGAUUCUUGACGUUGGAGCAUCUGACGAGUGAUAUGGAGAUCAUUGGAUUAUUUCAUGUUGUCCUCGUUUCAUAUUGGGGCAUAGCCACCUUGUUGGAGGUUUUGACAUCGAGACUCGACUUUCUGUUUGUGAUUGUUGCUUUCGAUGAAUUAUGGAGCUAUUGACGCCUUGGGUCUAGCCUUCUCAGCAUACUUGGAUGAUCUCUGAUACUUACAUACCUUUCAUCUCGUACUCAGACAUUUCACCUGGAUACUCUCAUGCCUUCUAUCAUACCAGAGCUUGAUCAUCACCUUCUUUCAUCCUACACAUCCCACCGUGACACAUGACCUCACAUCUCUCUCGAUUAUGAGGAGAUGUAGAUCAGUCCUCGAUCACCUUGGUUGUGUUUUCAUAUAUCUUUUGGACUUUAGGUUCAACAUCUUCCAUGAGGGCAGAGCUUGACAGAUUGUUGACUUAUUAGUGACGAUGCUUUCAUUUUGAUAGUUGGCAUGUUGGGUGUUGUUUUGCUCUCUCUUCGCAUUUUGAGCACUAGUCAUUAUCUGUUUUAUUCAUCAGCUAUUUUUAUUUAGUCAGCAUGGUAUCACGAUUCAUGGUCCUGUUUGGUAUUACCUAUUUGAGGUUGGACAUUUUCAUUACAUGACAGAUGAACAUAUUUCAGAGCACAGUAGUUUUGGGGCAUUGUGUAUCCCAGUUUGUUCACCAUCACAUACUGGGGCAUACCCCUCUUCCUUAGGAUCAUCGGACCUUCCAUAGGUUUCUUGCACUUUUUGAUCUAGUUGUUGACCCCCGAGAGUUGCAUAUUGGGCAUACCCCCCUUUCUUAGGAUCAUCGGACCUUUCACAGGCUUUAUGAUCUUUGGACCAAGUUGUCGAUCCUCAUGAGUUGUCAUACUGGGGCAUAUCUCCUCCAGCCGAGUUUGCUUGCAUCAUUAUCUGAGUUAUCCUCUAGCUUUAGGCCACUUGAUUAGAUCCUUGUCUUGUUAGUUUUGAGUUUGAGUCGGGACCGCACCUAUAUCGAUCGACCAUUUUCCUAUCUGUUUGAGUUUAGUUUGAGUCGGGACCACACCUAUAUCAAUCGGUCAUUUUCCAUGUCAGUUUACGUUUCGGGGCCGCACCUAUAUUGAUCGGCCAUGUUCCUAUCACUUUUCGUGUUCAGUUUAAGUCGGGACUGCACCUAUAUCGAUCGGUCAUUUUCCAUGUCAGUUUGCGUUUCGGGGUUGUACCUAUAUCGAUCGGCCAUGUUCCUAUCACUUUUCAUGUUCAGUUUGAGUUAGGAUCGCACCUAUAUCGAUCGGUCAUUUUCCAUGUCAGUUUACGUUUCGGGGCCGCACCUAUAUCGAUCGGUCAUGUUCCUAUCAAUUUUUGUGUUCAGUUUGAGUUAGGACCGCACCUAUAUCGAUCGGUCAUUCGUCGUGUCAGUUUGAGUCAGGGUCGUACCUAUAUCUUUUGGCCAUCUUCUUAUCAGUUUGAGUUUUCGAGUCGGGACCAUACCUAUAUCAAUCGGUCAUUCAUCGUGUCAGUUUCAGUUUGAGUUUUCGAGUUGGGACCGCACCUAUAUCGAUCGGUCAUUUGUCGUGUCAGUUUGAGUCGGGGCUGCACCUAUAUCAAUUAGCCAUCUUCCUAUCAGUUUGAGUUUUCGAGUCGGGACCGUACCUGUAUCGAUCGGUCAUUCGUUGCGUCAGUUUCAGUUUGAGUUUUCAAGUCCGGACCGCACCUAUAUCGAUCGGUCAUUCGUCAUGUCAGUUUGAGUUUGAGUUUUCGAGUCAAGACUGCACCUAUAUCGAUCUGUCAUUUUCCAUGUCAGUUUGCGUUUCGGGGCCGCACCUAUAUCGAUCGGCCAUGUUCCUAUCACUUUUCGUGUUCAGUCAGAGUUUGGGAUCACACCUAUAUCAAUCGGUCAUUGUCUUAUCAAUUAGAGUUUGGGGUCGCACCUAUCCUUGUCAUGUUAGUUCAGUCUCUGGGACUGCACCUAUAUCGAUCGGUCAUUUUUCGUGUCAGCUUGAGUCAGGGCCGCACCUAUAUCGAUCGGGCAUGCUCCUAUCACUUUUUAUGUUUAGUUUGAGUCGGGACUGCACUUAUAUCGAUCGGUCAUUUUUCGUGUCAGCUUGAGUCGAGGUCGUACCUAUAUCGAUCUGCCAUGUUCCUAUCACUUUUCGUGUUCAGUUUGAGUCAAGACCGCACCUAUAUCAAUCGGUCAUCAUCUUGUCAGUUCGAGUUCAAUUAGAGUUUUGAGACCGCACCUAUAUCGAUUGGUCAUUGUUUUGUCGGAUUGAGUUGAGUCUUGUUUGAUUUUGAGUCACCAUCAUUCCGUGUUUUUUACGUUCAGAGUCAUUUCUCCUCAGAUGCGUCAUUUAGAGUCACAGUUCUUAGCAUUCAUAUCCACUUGCAUUGUACAUCUUACCUUCAUGGUUUUGCAUUUUUCCUCAGUUUUCCUUACUUCGUUACUAUGUGCUUAUCGUAUAUUCAUCAUAUAGUUCACAUAGGGCAGUCUUCUUUAAGCCUAGCCUUUUCUGUACUUUGGGGUGGUUCGACUUUACUCAUCUUUGUUUUGGUUUUUCGAGUCGCUUUUGGAGGCAUCUUAGAGGAAACCUGAUCCUUAGUACGACUUCAGAGGCUUUUUUUGGGACAUCUUUUCCUUUUAGAAUUAGAGCCUUUGUGUUCUCCUGCUAGCCUGAGUGAGUUUGCGUUUCACUAGUGUCCCUAAGGGGGUCUCCUUGGUUCUUCGGUAGAGUUCACUUCAUUCCACUCACUAUUCACACUUGCUUUUCAUUUCAGUGUUCAUGUUCCUCACACUUGUGAGCUCUACCGAAGAGGGGCAUAUUUGUAGACCCCUAUGUUGGGGUGGAUUUUAUGUAUUUUUGUUUUGCCAUGUGUCCAGAUUUCGGGGAGCCACGUGGAGCUUGAAGACUGGUCAUAAGGUAGUGCAUUUGGCCGUUGGGAGAGAGCUGGUUGUAGCCAUCAGAAUGCAACACAUACGAAGAAUAUUCGGCAGGAGCGUGUAUUCUAUUUUGGAGGAUAGCAGACCAUUAGUGAGGGCAUUGGUGCAGGUGCUUUUUAGACAGAGAGAGAGGGGAGGCAGGGUUAGAGAGAAGAUAUUUUGGAGGAUGUUGCUUUGAGUGAGGAGCCUGGAGGAUAGAAGUUUGCUUGAGAGGAAAGGCAACUGAAAAAGGAAAUAGAAAAAAAAAAAAGAGCGUUCUGAGGUAUGUCUGCUAAGCCACAUUUUUUAUUGCCAUUGAAAUCUUUUGGGUUGAGGUUAUUAUGUUAUAAUAUAUCCGAUCCUUGUUCUUCAUGAGAAAUUUGAUCUAGAAUGAACUAGUUCUUCUUUUGCACUCUUUUAUGUGUUUGAGUGAUAUCCUUGAAUCUUGUUUCCAUCUAUUUUUUUUUCACCCACACAUAAGUCCUAUGACUUCAAUAUAAGAUGAGGUUUGGGUCAUUAUUUUCUUGGGUUCGUUUUAUACUCUGUUUUGGUCCUUGCUUCAUUGUUGUUUGCUCUCUAUUCUCGGUGGCCACUCGUACACCCAAGGAGAAGAGUCUUGACUAGUACUGCUUUUGGUUUUCUUAUAGGCACAAUUUGUGAAUUUGGGGAGAUGUUGUGAUUACUACUCAAAAAGGGCUAUUUGAUAGCUUGUAAUUAACUCUUUUAAACACUUUUGAGUAGUAAUUAUUGCCCUUUAACCCAAUUAACAUAUUAAGGACCUUUGCAAUCACUUCUAAUCACUUUGUGUAAGUUUUGGUGUUUUUGUUAGUAAUUUGAUCACCAAAGCAAUCCAAGAUGGAGGAGAGUUAUUUGGAAUCCAUGGUAAAGCAAUGGAAAGCUCAGGAACAUGAAGAAUCAGAGCUUUGAAGCCUUAAAGUCCUUUGCCAUAACCAAUCCGGAAUGCAAGGAGGAGAAGUAAAGAGAGAAUCUACCUUGAAGCAUUCUUGAUGACAGUAAUUUCAGCCACUUUUGGAGUACUUCCUGAAGUCCAAUUUAUGCAUGCUUUAUGUCGUUUCGAAGAUCGGGAAGUCAACAAUCCAAUGCUUCAAACGGUUUGCAAAUCAGAGUUGAAAUGAAGAAGUUAGAGCCAAUGGAAGCAUAUCACUCCAAGUUGAAGGCCAAUUUCGCAGGGCUGCGAAAUCAGCCUUCGGCUGCGAAAUGAUUUCGCAGCCAUCUUGUUCGUCUGCGAAAUUUCGCAGCCAUUUUGUGCGCCUGCGAAAUUCUCCUGAGUGCUUCCAGAUAUUUGCGACCAACGUUUUUUGAUAUUUUGCUUCAGAUAUUUGUUGUCUAAAUCCCAAUUCUCUCCUUGUAAUCCACCAAUUAGAUGAUUCCUUAGUUGUUAAGCAAGAAUACAGGGGUAAACAACCUGUUAUAUAUUGUUUUGUAAUUUUCAAUUUGAGGACGGUCGGGGAACUUUCCCCAGGAGACCAACUUUUGUAAAGUUUACACUUAGCUAAAUACGAAAUAUCUUUUGCUUUCUUUUUCUCUCUACUACUUUCUAUUUUCUUAGUAGCCAAACAUCCUUGGAGGAUGAAAUCCCCAAGGAUGAGAGGCUAAAACCUUUUAGUUUCUUGAAGUAAUGGAUGCCAUGUGAAGCUCCCGUGUCAGGAUGGAGAUUUCCAAGCCAUGAAUGUAAGUAGCUGAGCGUCAUAAAUGUUUUCAUUCAAAGUAAAGCUUUUAAUCCCUCUGACUUGCUUUGAAUGGCCAAUACUUGAUAACCUUUUGGUCUCAGUGGAUUCUUAUUGUUAGAUCCAUUGACGUUCAUUAGUUAUCUCCUACGAGCCAUUGUAUUGCAAGUCGAGGAGAUGACCUAUAUCAUUAAAAGAGCAUUUAUGAGGUUCAGCUACCCUUUUUGUAAGUUUUGAAGGACUAAAACUCAGUUGUUAAACACAUACCGGUUCAGGAAGUAAGCAUCACCUGAGUUGCUUCCUCAACUCGAGGUGAAAAGUUCCAAAAUCUCCAUUUUUACACCGUGAGUUAAGCAUGGCUAUCCAAAGCUUUGAGAAACUUAUUUUUCUAUCUUUUAACCUAUUUGCAUGUUAGUUUAGUUUACAACACUUUCAUCUUUUUAUGUUUUCAUCUUAACCUAAUUUUUAUUAAGAAAAGUUCACUCCAUCCUCCGAACUUCAUCAGUUAAAGUAAAAACCCUUCCCAGUGUUCGAUCCUAGAGCCACUAUGCUAUAGUAGCUUUGCUACUUUAGUGUAAGGACGUUAGGUAUAAAUUUUGUUGAUACCCUUACAUGCCAAGCUACCAAGAGUCGGGUUGUCAAAUGGCGCCGUUGCCGGGGAAGGUGCUACUUCACUGUGAAUAUAUCAGCCGGAGGUAACUUGUGAGACUUCUCAUGAGUAAGGUGAAUUCUAUCUCAUUUUUUUUUAUUUACUAACUUUUUAUUUUAAUUUUAGAACAUUUUUAACUUAGUUUAGAUAAGUUUCUUUUAGCUUUUAACUUUCAUUUUUAGUUUAUUUUUCAUACUUUGUUUUUCCUUCCACAUGCUCUGUUUUUUUUUUCUUUUUCUUUGUUUUGUUUAUUUGUUCUGUUCCAACUGAAUCCAUGCAUGCCCUAUUGGAUUCGAGACCAAGAGGGAACCCUGGUACAAGUUGAAGAAAAGAGCCUUAGUUGAAUAUCAUUUUUUUUUUAGAAAUGGAAAUUCCAUAUGAAGAUCAAAGCUCUCAUUAUGAUCAUGAGAAGGACAAAUUUGCAUACUUAUCCAUGAGGGAUCAGAUUGAAUUAGGGAAAAGGCAAGUUCAACAAAGCCAAUGAGGUAGUAAGUAUGCUUUGAAUGAAGACAUGAGCAUGAAGGCAAAGCUAGCAUCUAUGGCUAGAAGGAUAGAAGAGUUUGAAUUGAGGUAUGUGCAUACUGAAGCACAACCACAAGCCAUGCCAACUUCAUUUGAGUAUAUAAACCAUCCCAACCUUACAACCCAACCUCAACCUCAACCAUCAAUGAGUACAUCUUCAUUGGAGCAAGCCAUUUUGAAGUUAAGCAAAGUCAUGGAGGACUUUGUAGGUGAGCAACAAAAGAUCAACUCUCAUCUUAAUGAAAAGAUUGAUAAUUUGGAAAGUUCAAUAAAUAUAAGAAUGGAGGGGGUUUAUAAUGAUCUAUCACUAAGGAUAGAAAAAGUUCAAGACUCCAUUGAGAAGCUCACCAAUCUCGACAUAGCAAGGGGUAAAAGGAAGCUUCCUCCUCAACCCCACCAUAACCUUCAAGGAACCAAUCCAAAAAGAUCAAGGAAAGUGUUGAAGAUCGACACUUUGGUGGGGGAUUGCUAUGAAAACUCUAUGGACCAACCUUCCAUUGAAAAUCAUAAGGUUCAAGAUGAUAAAGGGUUACCUGAACCCUUUAAAGCAUCCACUUCUCCAAGGAAGAGAAGAGAAACGAAUUCCCUUGGACCAAAUGGGAAGGAUGCCAAUUUUGUUUGGGAUCCAGGGGGAAUUUAGCAUGAAGUGGGUGUGUGAGUGAGGAUGAGCUAAAUAGUUCAUCUUCUUUUUUGGGGUACAUGCUAUCAGCUUCAAUAGAUGUAGCUCCAUGGUAUGCACACAUUGCCAAUUACUUGGUCACGGGAGAAAUACCAAGUGAAUGGAGCUCUCAGGACAAGAAGAAUUUCUUUGCCAAGGUCCAUGCAUAUUAUUGGGAGGAACCUUUUCUUUUCAAGUAUUGUGCGGACCAAAUUAUAAGGAAAGUGUGUGCCUGAACAAGAGAAGCAUGGGAUCCUAUCUCAUUGCCAUGAGAAUGCAUGUGGAGGCCACUUUGCCUCUCAAAAGACGGCAAUGAGAGUUCUUCAAUCGGGUUUUUGGUGGCCCUCACUUUUUAAGGAUGCCCAUGAGGUAAGUAAAGGAUGUGAUAAGUGCCAAAGACUAAGCAAGCUUUCAAGGAGAAUUUGAACCCCAUCUUGAUAGUGGAUCUUUUUGAUGUUUGGGGCAUAGACUUCAUGGGACCUUUCCCUAUGUCUUUUGGCCACUCCUACAUCUUGGUAGGAGUUGAUUAUGUUUCAAAGUGGGUUGAAGCUAUACCCUGUAGAACCAAUGAUCACAAAGUGGUUCUCAAAUUCCUAAAAGAAAACAUCUUCUCGAGGUUUGGAGUGCCUAAAGCAAUCAUCAGUGAUGGAGGCACUCACUUUUGCAACAAGCUCUUUUGGCCAAGUACGGAGUCAAGCAUAAGGUAGCUACACCUUAUCAUCCUCAGACGAGUGGCCAAGUAGAGCUAGCCAACCGGGAAAUUAAGAACAUCUUGAUGAAGGUGGUGAACACCAAUAGGAAAGAUUGGUCUGUUAAGCUCCUUGAUUCCCUAUGGGCGUAUAGGACGGCUUAUAAGACUAUCCUUGGGAUGUCACCAUACCGUCUUGUUUAUGGCAAAGCUUGCCAUCUUCCCGUUGAGAUUGAGUUCAAGGCAUGGUGGGCCAUUAAAAAGCUCAACAUGGAUUUAACUAAGGCUGGGCUAAAGAGGAGUUUGGAUUUGAACGAGCUUGAGGAAUUGAGAAAUGAUGCCUAUCUCAACUCAAAAAUAGCUAGGGAAAAGCUAAAGAGAUGGCAUGAUCAGUUGGUGACCAAGAAAGAAUUUUUCAAGGGACAAAGAGUCUUGCUAUAUGACUCUAAGCUUCACCUAUUUCCGGGAAAGCUCAAAUCAAGGUGGGUAGGGCCUUUUGUCAUCCACCAAGUACACUCACAUGGAGUAAUUGAGUUACUCAACUCAAAUAGUGCAAAGACCUUCAAGGUCAAUGGCCAUCGUCUCAAGCCAUUCAUUGAGCCAUUCAAGCAAGAGAAUGAGGAAAUCAACCUCAUUGAGCCACAGAAAGCCUAAUCAGAAAAGGGUUAGAUGGGCUUGGUUUCACCAAAGUCCAUAUUUUUGUUUAAGUUUAUUAAUUUGAAAGCUUUAUUAAUUCUUUUGAUUUUAAUUUUGGUCUAAAGUUUUGUUAAUUAUAUGUAACUUCAUCUUUUUGAAUGAUCUUUUGUAGGAGGAAUUGCAAAGAAAAUGAAGGAAGGUCCCAGGGGGCCAAAAGGAGCUUAAAGCUAUGAAAUUUUAGUGGUCUGCGAAAUUUCGCAGCCCAAAAUAGGCCCCUGCGAAAAAGGCCAUCUGCUGCGAAAUCAUUUCGCAGCCCUUACAUGGCCUCUGCGAAAUCAAGGUUUGGCUGCGAAAAUGGCCCUCCGCUGCGGAAUAAAUUUCGCAGCCCAACACCCUCCUCUGCGAAAAUUUUCGCAGCUGCGAAACCACCUCUUGGCACUCGUGUGCCAUUUCGCAGCACAGUAACUCCAUUUCGCAGCUGCGAAAUGGCUGCGAAAUCCCCAAAGCGUGAAAUCUCCAAUUUUCGCAGCCAAAGCCCUAUUUCGCAGGGUGUUUCGCAGCUGUGAAACCACCCUUUGGCACACGAGUGCCAUUUCGCAGCCCCGUACACUCAUUUCGCAGCUUCGAAAUGGUUGCGAAAUCCUCCAUGCCUUAAAAUCCUUCAGCGCACACACCCUGAAGCCGCACCCCUGUUGGACACAUUUCGAAGUACUUCCUGAAGUCCAUUUCAUUCAUACCAUAUCUCGUUUCAAAGCUUGGGAAGUCAGGAGUCCAUAGCUUCAAACGGUGCUCAAUUUGGAGUUGAAACAAAGAAGUUAUGGUCGUUUGAAGACUGUGCAAACAAUGAGCUGAAAUGUUGCAUCUGCACCCCAUUGGACACAUUUUUGAAGCACUUCCUGGAGCUCAAAUUUUUCAUACUAUAUCUUGUUUUAAAGCUUAUGAAGUCAGGAGUCCAGUGCUUCAAACGGUAUGCGAUUUGGAUUUGAAACGAAGAAGUUAUGGCCGUUUGAAGACGAACGCGCAAAGCACCAACGGAAAUUUCGCAGCCAAAGCCCCAUUUCGCAGGUGGUUUCGCAGCUGCGAAACACCCCUUUGGCACACGAGUGCCAUUUCGCAGCCACCCAAUCCCAUUUCGCAGCUGCGAAAUGGGCUGCGAAAAUGGCACCCGACUGCGAAAACUCCAUUUGGCUGCAAAAUGAUUUCGCAGCCCCAUAGCUACCCCCUGCCAAAUCCUCCAUGUGCUGCGAAAAUGGCCUUUUGCUACCAAAUGAUUUUCAAACUUCCAAAUGGCUAUGAAAUGAUCUCCAAGCUUCCAAAUGGCUACGAAAUGAUUUUCAAGCUUCAAAAUGGGCUGCCAAAAUGUUUCUAUUUUUUCCAUGGGCUGCGAAAAUAUUUUUCUUUUUUCCCUUUGGCUGCAAGAUGAUCUCCAAGAUACAAAAUGACCUUCAGGCUAUAAAAAUGACUUGCAAAAUAAAGAGAGGUUUGCAAAAACACUUUGCAAAGCCAAGGGAAGUUGUGAAAAUGCGAAGAGAGCCCCGCAACCAUGCAUCUAAAGAGGAGAACCCUUUCACUGAGAUCACACACAAAGCCUCUCACUCCAUUUCUGACCUCCUUAAACCAUCAGAGCCCAUAGCUCCAGCUGAAGAGACUAUGCCACCUAAGGAGACUACUAGAACAGAGGCCAAAGUCCUGAUCCAACCCAUUCAAGAGGCCACCACAGACGCAUCAGCUCCACAUGACCCUACCACUACUUGAUCAUCUUUUUAUUUUUUGUAUUUACAUAUUAUAUUAGUGUAAAUAAUUUCAUAUUUUGAUGUCUUAUAUUCUGGGAUUGGAUAUAUUACUGAUGAUACAUCAUAUAUAGACAUCAUUUUUGUUUAAACUUAGCAUUUUUCUAUUUCCUCUACUCACUAACUCUUAUGUUUUCUUUGAAACAUGUGGUUUCUCCUAUACGACUCAAACUCCAUGUCACUCAGGAGGUACCACUUCCUCCCUAUUUUUCAAUCGCUUUUGUCACAUUGAGGACAAUGUUCAGCUUGGUUGGGGGGAGAGUUGAGGAAGUAAGUAUUGUUAAUAAUGCUAAGUUAUUUUGGUAAUUUAGUUGCUUUUCGCUUAAUUUUUAAAUUUUUUAAGUUUUUUUUUUCUCUACUCUCCAUGGUUAUUAAGGAAAAAUUCUCAAAAAUGAAAUGGGAGAAAUUGAUUUUUUGUCUUUUUACUUGACUUAGAGUUUGUAUUAUGUUUAUUAAAGUUAAUGAAUUGUUGAAGUUUCUAUUGAAUUCAAGCUUAUGUCUUCCGCUUUAAGCUAUUCACACACUAUGCAUAAUAGGUUCCGAUUAUAAGAUGAAAAACUAUUUUCCUCUUGACUUAGGAAAAUUUUAGACUUGGUACCUUUGACCUUAUUUAAUAGUGUUGGGACACCUUGUAAAAGGCCAAUGAGUCUUUGAAAAAAAAAGAAAAAAAAAAAAAAAGAAAAAUGUUUGCUUGCCUUGAAACCCGAGCAAGGUCUGAGGGGUAUAUGGUGAAAAUCUUUAAAACCUGGUGCCCUAAGCCUUAAUUGGUUGGGAGUCACCGACCUCAAUGCUCGUUACAAGGGUGAAUAGGUGGAGUUUAACAUACUGUAGGUGCUUGGGUAUUAAAAAUAUAUUCUCAAAAGUCCGGGGUAAAAUCCGAGGAGUUAGUGGUUGAAAGAUCCUUAAAGCUUGAUGCCCUAAACCUUAAUUGGUUGGGAGUCAUCGAUGGACCCCCGUUACAUGGACAAUUUAAAAAAUAAUACCUUUAAGCCUUGUACUCCUACAAUGAAAAAAUUGUGAAAAAAGAGGUGCGUUCUUAACCUAUUGGAGGUUGAUCAGUUUGCUAAGCUUUGAAAAAGAACUAGGUUAGGGGGGAGAGAUUAGUUUAACAUACUAUUUUCGGAAACUAAUAAAUAACACUUAGAUUUUUGUGGAAGAGUAAGGUUUGACCCUUUGGGAGUGGAAACUCUUUCAAAAGCUUAAAUUUGCAUAAUGCCUUCUCUUUAUGAAUUGUGAUUGAACAAGUUAUUUGAUAACUCUUGUUGAAGUUUGAGUGUUAUUUCUUUAAUGUUCCAUGUGAGAGUUAGAUCAUCAUGCCACUUGAGAAUUGUUUUUUGAUCAGCAUGAUGUUGUAAAUUAUAGUAAUGUUUAUUUUUAUUUUUCUCUCCUUCAUUGCUAAGGGACUAGCAAUAUGUCGGUUGGGGGGAGUGAUUACUACUCAAAAAGGGCUAUUUGAUAGCUUGUAAUUAACUCUUUUAAACACUUUUGAGUAGUAAUUAUUGCCCUUUAACCCAAUUAACAUAUUAAGGACCUUUGCAAUCACUUCUAAUCACUUUGUGUAAGUUUUGGUGUUUUUGUUAGUAAUUUGAUCACCAAAGCAAUCCAAGAUGGAGGAGAGUUAUUUGGAAUCCAUGGUAAAGCAAUGGAAAGCUCAGGAACAUGAAGAAUCAGAGCUUUGAAGCCUUAAAGUCCUUUGCCAUAACCAAUCCGGAAUGCAAGGAGGAGAAGUAAAGAGAGAAUCUACCUUGAAGCAUUCUUGAUGACAGUAAUUUCAGCCACUUUUGGAGUACUUCCUGAAGUCCAAUUUAUGCAUGCUUUAUGUCGUUUCGAAGAUCGGGAAGUUAACAAUCCAAUGCUUCAAACGGUUUGCAAAUCAGAGUUGAAAUGAAGAAGUUAGAGCCAAUGGAAGCAUAUCACUCCAAGUUGAAGGCCAAUUUCGCAGGGCUGCGAAAUCAGCCUUUGGCUGCGAAAUCAGCCUUCGGCUGCGAAAUGAUUUCGCAGCCAUCUUGUUCGUCUGCGAAAUUUCGCAGCCAUUUUGUGCGCCUGCGAAAUUCUCCUGAGUGCUUCCAGAUAUUUGCGACCAACGUUUUUUGAUAUUUUGCUUCAGAUAUUUGUUGUCUAAAUCCCAAUUCUCUCCUUGUAAUCCACCAAUUAGAUGAUUCCUUAGUUGUUAAGCAAGAAUACAGGGGUAAACAACCUGUUAUAUAUUGUUUUGUAAUUUUCAAUUUGAGGACGGUCGGGGAACUUUCCCCAGGAGACCAACUUUUGUAAAGUUUACACUUAGCUAAAUACGAAAUAUCUUUUGCUUUCUUUUUCUCUCUACUACUUUCUAUUUUCUUAGUAGCCAAACAUCCUUGGAGGAUGAAAUCCCCAAGGAUGAGAGGCUAAAACCUUUUAGUUUCUUGAAGUAAUGGAUGUCAUGUGAAGCUCCCGUGUCAGGAUGGAGAUUUCCAAGCCAUGAAUGUAAGUAGCUGAGCGUCAUAAAUGUUUUCAUUCAAAGUAAAGCUUUUAAUCCCUCUGACUUGCUUUGAAUGGCCAAUACUUGAUAACCUUUUGGUCUCAGUGGAUUCUUAUUGUUAGAUCCAUUGACGUUCAUUAGUUAUCUCCUACGAGCCAUUGUAUUGCAAGUCGAGGAGAUGACCUAUAUCAUUAAAAGAGCAUUUAUGAGGUUCAGCUACCCUUUUUGUAAGUUUUGAAGGACUAAAACUCAGUUGUUAAACACAUACCGGUUCAGGAAGUAAGCAUCACCUGAGUUGCUUCCCCAACUCGAGGUGAAAAGUUCCAAAAUCUCCAUUUUUACACCGUGAGUUAAGCAUGGCUAUCCAAAGCUUUGAGAAACUUAUUUUUCUAUCUUUUAACCUAUUUGCAUGUUAGUUUAGUUUACAACACUUUCAUCUUUUUAUGUUUUCAUCUUAACCUAAUUUUUAUUAAGAAAAGUUCACUCCAUCCUCCGAACUUCAUCAGUUAAAGUAAAAACCCUUCCCAGUGUUCGAUCCUAGAGCCACUAUGCUAUAGUAGCUUUGCUACUUUAGUGUAAGGACGUUAGGUAUAAAUUUUGUUGAUACCCUUACAUGCCAAGCUACCAAGAGUCGGGUUGUCAUGUUGUUAUAUUGCUCAUAAAAUCGCUGGAAAGUUCUGCUUAGAAUGGGUGAUUGCCAUAUUCAAGGAAGCUACUCCACAGCUCCUCUCUUAUACCCACGCGCAUGUUACUUUGGCCAUGCAUGGCUAUAUUCUCUCUCUGUAUCGAAUAUACAGCUCUCCUCGAUGUUUAUAUUUCGUGCUCAACCCAGUAUCAUCAUUUGACACUGGUUUCAUGGACUUCAUAAAUAAGUCAUCUGUCACCGACCCUGUAGCCCUAGCUCCGCUCUCCUUCUCUCUCUCCCCGCCAGAUCUAAUCAAGGGUUGCCAUCUCACUGCUUCUCUUUCUAACCACUCCUCGAUCCUCAUCUCCUACUCCACCAGUCCUUAAUCUUCUACUCUACAAUGGUUGACGCCGCCUCAGACCUUCAAUAAGACGUAUCCAUUUGUGUACACCCAGUGUCAGUCUAUUCACACCCGUUCGGUCUUCCCUUACCAGGAUACACUUGUGGUGAGGAUCAAGUAGGCGGCGCGGAUCCAUGCCCCUCACCAUCUGUCUGCGAUGGUGGCAGCACGCCAUGUGGAACGGCAGUCGCCGUACCCUGGGGAGGGUGGUGGAGGAGUUUGUGAUGAAGCAGGCGAUGCCGCCUUACCUAUUUGCCUUCGCGGUCGGGAGGCUUGGGCAUAAAGAGGUAGGACCGAGGACGAGAUUGUACACUGAGGCAAUGACCUCACUAUUGGAUGGAGCAGCGUGAGAGUUCGCCGGGACGGAGGCUUAUGUCUGCUUACUGUGGUCGACAGUCAGUGGAGUUAAACUUCAUUACAUUCUUAUUUGAUGGUCGCCGACUCCGUGGAAAGCAGACUCCAGAUGAGCUUGAAAUGAUGGAUGGUGAUGAAAUAGAUGCAAUGCUGCACCAAACUGGAGGGGUUACAUGGAUGUAGAUAUAUAAUAUAUGAGAAAAGCAUGGCAAAGAGAGCUAGGGCCUUCUUUGGGCCGCUCUUUCUGUUGUUAUGCCUGAGCCGCCUGUUAAAUCAAUAGCUUGGGUUCUAUGGGCCGGGCUUUCUGUAAGUACUAGCUCCUCAAUGGGUUUCAAGAAAAGCUUAGGUUGUUAUUUUACCAUGUGGAUCACGUAAGCUUACAAAGCCUUUCAAAUUGGGGCUUGCUAUAUAUUCUAGCUUGCAAGAUGCCCAACCACGUACUAUUAUUACACUGUGGAAAGCCCAAAUGGAUGAAGCAAAGUUUGAAGAUCCUGAUCCAGUAGUGAUAAUUCUUGAUAACUCCACCAAGACCCGUAUUAAACUUGCACCUGAGAAAAGAAGCGACAGAUAUGACCACCUUUCUAGAAUAGCUCCAUCCCUACUGCAUGGCUUGCAUGGCCAUUUUGGGUAUGCAACUUUAGGUUGCGUGUUUUCCUUCAUUUUUUUCCAUUAUUAUGAUUUCCUCAUUUCAGAAUUUUAAGACAAUUCCCUAUACUCCCAUUUUACAUAUAAUUUCCCGGAUUCUAGUUUUCUUUUUUUAUUUUAUUUUUCCAAACUCCAUUUUUAUCAAAUAAUUUAUUUAUUUAUUUUUCAUCUUUAGGUUUUUUUUUUUAGAAUCACUCAAAAUCUCAUUUCCAAUAAAAUAGAGCCGCCAUAUUUCUUUUUGGAAAACCAUUUUCACGCCUCCUCUGUUUUUUUUUUAAAAAAAUGUUUUAAAAUAAGCAAGAAUUUAAUACCGUAAUUCCGAAUAAUGGAAUUUAUGGAAUUAAUUCAUGCAAAAAUAAACAGGCUUUGGUGGGGGCCCCACAUAAGUGAUUUUAUAAUUGAUUGAUUGUUUGAUUGAUUUAAUUACCAUGCAUAAUUGACUUUAUUAUGCUCUAUAACAUGCUCGAAAAUAUUCCUUAAUUGUGCACUAACCUCACUUCUUGACAGCGCGUUGUGGCUCGUCGCCCAGGUACGUAUCUAUUCCCAUUCUGGUAUUUCUAUAUGCAUGUUUUGAUUCUCACACGUGCAUGAUCACUCUGAUUAUUCAUUGAUUCCCUCAUCAAUUGCCAUAAUUGCUUCAUUUUAUUAGUAGAGACUCGACUUUAGGGGCUUAGAGGGGUGUUUCGGUCUUUAUCGUACCUUUCCGAUAAGUAACCUAACCCCCGAACCCGAUCCGGUUUUUCACAGACCACCUUUUCCAAAAUAAGGAGUCACACUUAGGGUUUUUCUUUCUUAUUUUGUUUACCCUCUAAAAAUAAAACAAAAAUAAGUGGCGACUCCAAGUCAAUUUCUAAUAAAUAAAAUCAAUUUUUUUCAAAAAUUAAAAUUGAGCUCACCAUCGAGUGGAAAACGCAUGAGCCGAAAUACGGGGUCCACACUUAUAUUUACAAAGAAAUUUAAGGAAAAAAAUAAACUAAUAAUCCCUAUAAAUCAGGACAAUCCUUAUAAAUUAGAUAUUAUUCUUCCUAAUCUAAUUUACAGCUAUGCACACUUUCCUAAUCUAAUUUACAACUAUAGAUUGCAUAAAUAUAUGCAAGAGACCUCAAAUAGGAAAAUUCAAAUUUCUAAUACUCUCCUCAAGUUGGUGAAUAGAUAUUAUCUAUGCUCAACUUGCUAUAAUUGCUUGAAAUGUUGUCCUCACAAAUAGAGUGCAAAUUAACCCACUUUCUAACUUUUCCUUUAUGAAAUGUCUAUCAACCUCAACAUGCUUUGUUCGGUUACCAAAUAAUAAGCAAUGUUUAUGGUUAAUUUGUUAUCGUAAUACAACCUCAUGGUUCCUUCCCAUUUAAUUCAUAGGCCCUCAAGAAUAAUUUAAAGCCAUAAUAACUCACAAAUUCCUUAUGUCAUAACUCUAAACUUUGCCUUUGCACUAGACCUUGCAACAAUGGUUUGUUUUUUACUCUUCCAAGUCACUAAGUUUCCUUCAAGAAAAGUGCAGUAACCUGAUGUUGAUUUCUUGACUACCAUUGAUCCAACAUAGUCGGCAUCCAUAUAGGCUUUAAAGAACAAAUCUGUACAUUUUCUAAAGAGAAUUCCCAUUCCUGAGCUACCUUUAAGAUACCGUAAAAUCCUUUAGAUAGCUUGUAAGUGGAACUCCUUCAGAUUGAGCAUAAACUGGCUUACUAUACUCACAACAUAGGUAAUAUUCAAUCUCGUGUGUGACAAGUAAAUCAAUCAUCCCACUAAUCUUUGAUAAAUACCUUAAUCCACUUCUUUGUCUUCCAUUGCUUCCCUAAGCUUAUGAUUUGCUUCAAUUGGAGUCUCUACCGGUUUACAUCCAAGCUUUCCCAUCUCCUUAAGCAAUUCAAGGAUAUAUUUGUGUUGUUAUACAAAAAUACUUUUUUUUUACCGUGUCACUUCAAUUUCCAAAAAACACUUUAGUUUGCCUAGAUCCUUUAUCUCAAAUUCCUUUACAAGACAUUUUCAAAGUGCCCCUUUUUCUUUUGAAUCAUUCUCGGUCACGAUUAUGUCGUUAACAUAUACUAGUAAUGUUGUAACUCUCUCUUAAUUAUAAUGUUUAAUGAAUAAAGUGUGAUCUCUUUGGCUCUGUUUAAACUCUAGAAAUAACAUAACUUUUAUAAAUCUUCCAAACCAUGCCCUACAAGAUUUUUUUCAAUCCAUACAAUGCCUUUUUCAACCUACACACCUUAUUCUUAUCUAAACUUCCCCAAAAUUAGGAGGAACUUCCGUAUAGAUUUCUUUAUCAAUUUCAUCAUGGAGAAAGGUAUUCGUUAGAUAAAAUUGUUGUAAAUUCCAAUCAAAAUGAGCUACCAGUGAUAAUAAAUUUUUUACCACAUUCAUCUUUGUUACCGAUACAAAAGUUUCUUGAUAGUCCACUCCAUAUGUUUGUGUGUAUCCUCUUGCGACCAACCUUGCUUUAUAUCGUUCAAGGGAUCCAUCAACUUUGUAACUGUAAAUACCCACUUGCAACCCACUACUUUCUUCCUUUUUGGUAACUCCAUAAUUUCACAAGUCUCAUUCUUCUCCAAUGCUUCCAUAUCAACUUUUAUAGUUUGUUUCCAUUUCUCAUUACCAAGUACCUCGAUUAAGGUUUGUGGAAUUGGUAUGGAAUUUAUUUAGGUAAGAAAAGCUUUAUGAGAUGGUGAGAAAUUUUCAAAUAACACAAAACUGGACAAUGGGUGUUGUGUGUAUUUAUCUGUACAUUUCCUAAUGACAAUAGGAAGAUCAAUAUUGUCUACAUCAUCAUAUGAGUCAAGAGGAGCAAUAUAAUUGUGCACCUCAUUUUCGAGAGUUGGUUUGAAUGUUUGGACUUGCAUGGGUAUGGGUCUAAGUUCAAUCACCCUCCUCCUUGAAUAAACUUGUAGUGGUUUUAUGGCAAUAGGUUUUGACUCAUUUUCUUUUGUUCCAACAUCUAAAAUAGGGCGUGUUUAAACUAUUUUUGGGAAUUGUUAUAGCUAUUUAAGGUGUGUUGGAAAUUUCUGGACCUUUUUUAUGACUUUCAAACUCUUUUUGGGAUCCAUUUAAAGGUUCGAAUGGGGAAAAUUCUCAAGCAAGAACAGGUCCUUAUCUUCCAUAGAUAAUGUUUCCCCUGAAGAUAAUGAAUUGAAAAAUAUCCCUCUGUUUCUAUAAAAAUGACAUCCAUGGAAACAAUAAAUAAAUAAAUAAAUAAAAUUAUUUGGAGGAUGGAAACAUAUACCCUUUCUAUGUUAAUGAAUAUCCAACAAAGCCAUACUUUAAUGCUCUUGGAUCCAACUUUCCUCGAUGAUGAGCAUGAAUAUGAACAAACACAGGAUACCCAAACACUUUAGGAAAAAGCUUACUCGAUGUAUUGAACUGAGGAAAGAAUGUUGUAAACAUUUCCAUAGGACUCUUUAAACCUAAAACUUGAGAAGGAACCCUAUUUGUUAAAUGAGCAAUUGUAAGAACGACGUCUCUCCAAUAGGUUUUUAGAAUAAGAGAGCCUUAGUAACAUUUAAUAGUUGACCAUUUUUCCUCUCAGCUACUUCGUUUUGUUGGGGUGAAUUGACACAUGAAAACUCAUGAAUAAUUCUCUCUUUUUGAAAAUAAAAUGAAAGUGUUUGAUUGAAAUAAUCUUUUGCAUUAUCUAAUCUAACUUGUUUUAUUGACACCCCAAAUUGAUUUUUGACCAUAUUAUGGUAAUUUGGAAAAAUAAUGCUCACAUUUGACUUUUGUUUUAAAAGGAAGAUCCAAGUAACAUGGUUACAAUAAUCAAUAAACGAAACAAACCAAUGAGCUCCCGAAAUAAUAGGAACUCAUGGUGGCCUCUAAUAAUCACUAUGAAUUAAAGCAAAAGGAAAUGAUGAUCUUUUGUUACUCAAAGGAAAUAAGACACGAUGAUGUUUUGCAAAUUCAUAAACAUCACAAUGAAAAGUGUCUACAUCAAUAUUCUUAAAAAUCAAAGAGAACAUGACCUUAAGUAUAUUAAAUGAAGGUUGGCCAAGUCAAAAGUGAUAAAACCAAAUUUGCUCUUUAUUUGAAGAAAAUAACUUGAAGAAAAAAAGAGAGAGGUAGUUGAUUCCCAUUGUCAACAUUGCCACUACUUGUAUCAAGGUAGUAGAGUAUGUUCUUUUCUUUAGCAUGCCCAAUCAUCUUCCCCGAAACUCAGUCCUAAAAAACAUAAUGAGUAGGUAAAAAGAUAACACUAUAAUUCAUAUCUUUUGUGAGUUGAUCAUGAAUAGGCACAAGGUUGGUUGAAAGCUUAGGAACAUGUAAGACAUUAUUAAGACUCAAAGAAGGGUUUACAUUGACUACUCCUUGACCUACAACAGAAACUAAAGACCCAUCAACAAUAGUUAUUUUCUUAUUGCUAGGACAUGGAAUAUAUGUGCUAAAUUUAUUUAAUGAAUGUGUCAUAUGGUCUCUUGAAUCAAUGAUCCAAGAGCUUGAAAGGGAUAUACCUGAUGCACUAAAAGCAUGAGAGAAAGGAAACUUACCUAAAUUUGUGAGAGAGCAAACACCCAUAAGUUUUUCCAAUGAACCCAAUUUUUUUUUUCAACUUUUUAAUGUCCUCUUCAUUCAAUUCUAAUCAAUCAUAACACUUCAUCAUCCUUCAUCUACUCGAAUAAUGAAGAAAACCUCAUUAAUGGAUGGAAAGUCUUCUUUUUCUCAAGAUUUAAACUUGAACUUGAUCAAAUUCAACAAUAAGGCCAUCAAGAAACUCAGAAAUCUACUCCCUUUCAACAAACUUUCUUAACAUUGUAGCAUCUUCGCUACAUUUCAUUUGAAGAUUUUGGUAAUAAUCCAUUUCUUUCCAAAGACUUUCAUGAGAUUAUAAUAUUCAAUCACCAAUCUUGUUCCCUACUUAGUCGUUGAAUUUUUUUUUUUGCUUAAUUUCAUAGAUUUGCGUCGCAUCACAUACCUUAGAAUAAGUUUGUCUUACUGUCUUCCAAAUCUCUUUAGCCAUGGUGAGGAACAUACAAGUGCCACUGAUUUCGGGUAACAUGGAAUUCCAUAACCAUGGAAUCCUUUUCCUCCCACUGGUUGAACUUCGGAUCUUCAGGCCCUAUGCUUAUGAUGAUUAGAUGACUUAGUCUGCCUUUCAUUUUCAAAAAGGUUCAUGCUAGUUGAGACCAUUGAAAAUAGUUUCAGCCAUUCAACCGAUACACUAAAUUGAUAUUCUAUAACUCUCCAAUGGUUUGAUGAGGCAAAGUUUCACCAAAAACCACUAUAGGUAUGGUAGAAGUCUCAAAAAUAUCAGACAUGGUGAAAUACUAGAAAUUGCACAUAGAACGAAUGAAAUAUGUAAAAAGAAAUAAACAAAACACAUAAUAAUGAAGGCUGAAAGAAUUAGGCUUGAAAUCUUCAACAGUGAAGGUUGAAAAACUUGAACUAAAAUUAGCAAUUAAGGCUGAUAAAGAAUGUCAAAGUGGCUCUAAUACCAUAUGGGAGAAAAUGGUAAAAGAUUCUUAUUCAAUCAGUUGCUACAAUCCUAAUUCAUAUCUUAUAAAUUAGAGAUUGUUCUUCUUAAUAUAAUUUAUAGUUAUACACACUUUUCUAAUCUAAUUUACAACUAUAUAUUACAUAAAUAUAUACAAGAGACCUCAAAUAGGAAAAUUUAGAAUUCUAACAUAUUUUUCUUAAGGUAUACAUAUUUUUUUAAAGAAUGUACCUAUACUUCUACAUGUGGAACGGAGUUUUGGAAGACAUAAAAUACAUUCUAAGGCAUACAUAAGUCAAAUCUGAGAUCCAAAUUAAGCUGAAUUGUGUCAUGGUUAACCUCAAAUCAAAUGUAUGUAUUUUUUUUAAAGAAUAUAUUUAUUAUUGUAAAGGAUGUACUUUUUCUUAAGAAUAUACCUAUUUUUGUAAGGGAUGUAUUUAGGGUUCUACUAUACCAAAUAGAGUUUGGGAAAGCAUCAUGAGGCAUACAAAAGUUAAAGUUUAGAUCCAAAAUAGGUUGAAUAAGGGAAUGAUUUGACUCAAAUCAAAUGUAAAUACUUUUCUAAACUUUUACUUAUUUUUAUAAAACAUGUACGCAAGGUUAUAUCAUGUUAAAUAGGGAGGAAGACCUCAAAUGCAUUCCAAGACCUACUACAUAAGUGAAAUCCCACACUCGAAUUAGGUCAAAUGAGGAUAAGAAUCUCAAAUGAAAUGAAAUGUACAUAUUUUUAUAUUGGAUGUACUUAUUUUUCUAAAUGUACUUAUUUUUUUUAAAGAUAUAUGUAUUUUUAAAAAUAUAAAAAUUAAUUAAAUCAAUGUUAAAUAAAAUUUUUAUGAAAAAAUAUAUUUUAUUUUAUAUUUUAUGUCUAUAAAAUAGUUAAAGAUUUUAAUCUAAUAAAAAGUUAGAACCAUGAUCAAUUUAAAAUCAUAAGAAAACAUUAAAACGAAUUUUAAUAUGAAAGUUCAAAAAUUAAAAUUAAAAUAAUAUUACCAAAAUAUUUUUAGUUUAUUUGCAAGUUAUAAUAUUUACAUGCCCUAUCAAUGUCUUAUUAAAUUUUUUUAGUACAAAAUGGAAUAGGAGGUGAAUAUUCUUUUAUUUCUUUAAUACAACAAAUACAAACCAAGCAUCACUCAAAAUCUUCUUCCUUUCUCUCGAAUAUGAAGUAAGAUGAAGCUCGUGAACUUGUUCAUAUAAAAAUUUGACAAAGGUGACAUGAAGGCCAAAAAUAGUUGAGGGGUUGUACAAGAGCACAUAGCACUUAAAAAUUCUCAAAAAUUGCUUUUAUAAAGUUUUUGAGCAUAUCUGGUCAUUUCAUUAAAAAAUAAUUUUUUGCUUUUAAAAAUAGAAAAAUUAUUUUUAAAAAUUUAUAAAAUUGUUUGACAAUUGUCAUCUAUUUGUAAUUUUUUAAAAUAAAGUGAAAUAGAAAACAUAUUUUAGAAAACAAGUAGAAAUUAUUUUCUCCAAUUUUUAAAAAAUAUAAAGGAAUUAAAAAAAAACUAGAAAAAGAAAAUAAGAUUGAAGAUGAUAUCAUUCUUCUUUAUCCUUCUCUACAAUCUAAUAUCGAUACUGAAAAAUCUUCAAAUAUAAUAUUUCUUUAAAUUAUAUGUAUUUUUAUGAAUUUCCUUUAAUUUAAUAAAAUUUUCAUUAAUAAAAUGAAUUAUAAAUCAAAUUAUACUUUAUACAUAAAAUUUAUUAAUUUUUGAAAAUAAUUCAAAAAUCAAAAAUCUAUUUAAGUAGUACUAGAAAAUCAUGAAACUCACUAACAUUAGAAAGUCAUAAACCAAAAUUUUUUUGAAUGUCUUGACUAGUUAUCCUUUGCAUAUAAUCACAUUAAUUUUUUUUUCACUUAGUAAAUAAACUCCAAAUCAACUUAAUGUGUUGAAUUUAUUAAUAAGUCUUAGUAAUUUUUAAAAAUAACUUGAAACUCAAAUAGUGAUCCAAUUAGUACCAAAAAUUUAUGGACAAAAAAUAGUGAUCUAAUUAAUACAAAAAAUUUAUGGACAAAAAUUGAUCUUGAAUGACUAUUGUUUCCAAUUUUGUUUCAAUGGACAAAUAAACUCAAAAUGAAACAACACUUAAUGUGUUGAUUUCAUUAAUAAAUUUAGUAAUUUCUAAAAAUAACGUGAAACUCAAAUAAUGAUAUAAUUAAUAUUAGAAAUUUAUGGAUGAAAAUUAGUUUAGAACAACUUUAUUAUUUUUGUUUUACAUGGAAUCAUAUUUUUCUGAUUUUAUUUUACUACACAAAUAAACUCAAAAUUAAACCAAACCUAACAGUUUAGUAAUUUUUUUAAAAUAACUUAAAACUCAAAUAGUGAUUCUCUUUUACAUGGAACUAUAUAUAUUUGUUUUACUAGGUAAAUAUAAUCUAAAUUAAACAAGACUUAAUGCGUUGAAUUCAUAAUGAAUUUAAAAUUUUCUAAAAAUAAUUUGAAACUCAAAUAAUGUAUCCAUUAAAACCGGAAAUUUAUGAAUAAAAACUGGGCUAUAAUGAGUCUUUUUUUUUUUUUUCUACAUAUAAAUUUUUUCACUAGAGAAUUAACUUCAAAUCAAGUGAUAUUUUAUAUUGAAUUUAUUGAUAGGUUUUAUUUAAAAAAAAAAAACUAAGUUGCAACCUAGUAAAUAGAUCUAAUCACUAUGAGAAAUAAUAUACAAAAACUAAUAUAUUAUAAGUCAUAACUUUACUAUUUUUCUUAUAUAUUUCCUCGUUAGCUAAAUAAAUUCUAAAUUAAAUGAGAUGUAAAUAAUAGUUAAAAUUUGUAAUGAAUUUUUUAAUUUUAAGAAUAAUUUGGAAUUUAAAAAACUGUACCAAUUAGUUGCAUAUUAAAUCAAAUUAUUUUAAAAUAAUGUGUUUGUAAUUGAGUAUUAAAUGUGUACAUGUAAUAAAAAUUUUGGCUCAUAUAUAUUAUAAAGAUGUUAAUCUUUUAUUCCUUAUUUAUUUUAAAUAAAGUAUUAUUAUAAAGUAUUAUUUUAAAUUAUUAUUAUUAUUCAUUUUAAUAUAAAAAAAUUAAUUAUGCUUUUACAAAUAUGUUGAUAUCCAUAUGUUUUUAACAUAUAAUAAAAUAUUAUUUUUUUAUUAAAAAAUAUAAUUUUUAUUUUAUUAUAAUAUUAAUUUUCAAGUUUUACUAAAAUCUAUUUAUGUUUUAAUUUCUUUUUAUAAUUACAAACUAAUUUCGUUUUUAAUAAGACCUCAAUUAUAUUAAUUAAAUUUAGAAUAAUUUUACAAAAUCAAAAUAGAAAAAUUAUUUAAAAAAAAAAAAACCCAUUUUAAAAUAACUUGCCAAACACCUUUAUUUUAUAAUGUUUUAAACAUUUACUUUCUAUAUUUAACAUAAAAGCAAUUUUUUAAAACAAACAUUAUGGAACGUGGCUAACUUUUUUUCUCUCUUUUCUUUUUCAUUUUCUUGUUACUUAAAAUGACCGACAAGGAAGAUGAAUUAAAUGAUUGAAGAAUAUCUUUUGCCAAACAUAUAAAUUAAAAAAAGGGUAAUUUAAAAAGCGUGCCCUAACCUAUUCCGUGGCCCAUGAUUUCUUUAUGGAGAACGAGUACGUUAGCAUAAGAGGCAAGAGGCAUGUCUUAUCCAAUUUGUUUUAAUACUUGUUUAUGUGACAUGAACCGACGGAAUACAAGAACACCUCUCUAGUCCANNNNNNNNNNNNNNNNNNNNNNNNNNNNNNNNNNNNNNNNNNNNNNNNNNNNNNNNNNNNNNNNNNNNNNNNNNNNNNNNNNNNNNNNNNNNNNNNNNNNAAAAGANAUAUUUUUUUUUAUAUUUAACUGGUCUUCCUUGUCGAUCAAUUUAAGUCACAAGAAAAUGAAAUAGAAAAAAGAAAAAAAAGUUCAGUCACGUUCCAUAAUGUUUGUUUUUAAAAAUUACUUAUAUGUUAAACAACAAAAAAUAAUUUGUUUAAAAAAAAAAUAUUAUAAAAUAAGGUUGUUUGGUAAGUUAUUUUAAAAUUGGUUUUUAUUUUUUCAAAAAAUAAUUUUUUAUUUUGAUUUUAUAAAAAUAUUCUAAAUUCAAUUAAUAUAAUUGAGGUCUUAUUAAAAAUAAAAAUAGUUUUUAAUUAUAAAUAAAUUAUAAAUAAAUAGUUUUUAGUAAAACAUAAAAAUUAAUAUUAUAAUAAAAUAAAAAAUUAUAUUUUUUUUAUAAAAAAUACUAUUUUAUUAUAUGUUAAAAAAAUAUGGAUAUUAACAUAUUUGUAAAAGGAUAAUUAAUUUUUUUUAUGUUAAAAUGAAUAAUAAUAAUAAUUUAAAAUAAAUAAGGAAUAAAGAUUAACAUCUUUAAUAUACACAUUUAAUACUCAAUUACAAACACAUUAUUUUAAGGGAGAAUUAUAUUUUCAACCCAACAAGGCUUAGUAAUUGAGGGAAGGUACUUCCAUCACCCAUAAUUAAAAAUGAUUCGAGUGAAGUGCAUAAUUGACACUGAUGGUUUUUGCUCUAUUUUGUGACAUAUGUGAUAUAUUUUGUAUUGGUCAUUGUGCACUAACCCCAUUUCAUGAUAGCGCAUUAUUACUUGCUGCUAAGGUAUUAUCUCACUCCCAUUUUGUCUAUUCUCCAUGCAUGCCUUGUUUCCAUUUGUAUGACUAUUCCUUGGUAUCCAUUGGUUUCCUUACCAAUUGUCACACUUGUUUCACUUUGAUUAGUAGAGACCUCAUUAUAGAGCUUAGAGGGGUGCUACGGUUUUUCACUGUACAUUCCCAAUAAGUAACUUGACCCCCGAACCUGACUUUGGUUUUCCACAUAUUGUCUUUUCCAAAUAAGGAGUCGCACUUAAGGUUUUCUUUCUUAUUUUGUUUUCCCUUUAAAAAUAAAACAAAAAUAAGUGGCAACUCUAAGUCUUUUCUAAAAAAUAAUUUUUUUUUUCACAAAUAAAAAGCGAGUUCACCAUCGAGUGGAAACACAUCGUGCAAAAUGUGAGGUCCACAAAAUGGCAACUCCAUUAGUGAAUCAUGAUAAAAUAACAAUAAACCAUCAGCUCAACAUGCAUCUCGCAAGUGAGGACAAUCGUGCGAAUUCAUGAAGAUAUAUAAAUCUCAAUCGAAACGAAAUAUGCCCCGAUGUGGCAUUAGAUGUGUGGUAGGUCGGAAAAUCAGACGACAUCAAAUCAUCCAUCAUCAAAUGUGUAAUUCCAGUCAUCCAUAUCCAUAGCUAAAUUAGAUCCAAACAUAAAAAAGGCGUCUCCUAGAAGAAGAAGCAUGAUGACAUCUAAAUAUCAACCAAAUCUCAAACAUUUGUCUAAGAAGGGGUUGUUGAAGACGACACCUGAUCUCAUGGCCUCAGGGUGGUCUUAAGACACAAGACGUAAUGUAGGCUAAGGUGAUAAGAUAACAGAAAUGAAGGGAAACUAGAUCCAAACACCCAAUGAUCAAAACCCAUGCCCUUAUGUGUAUAAAAUGCAACAUGUAUAGAAAAAUCUCGUGAGCCAUGGACCUGAGGAUGCCUAAUAUGAACAUAAUAACAAUAAUGAGGCAAUCAAGAAAAUCAAACUGAUAAUGAGACUCAUAAGAAUGAUGUAAAGAAAGUAUCAAAUCCUGGAAUAGGUCACUAUAAGAAAAGAACAAUGGGUGAAAUGAAGAGGACAAAUCAGAAGUAAUAACGAGGAUGAUGGCGAAACAAUGAACAUAUGAAAAGGAGUGAUGAUCAACUCAAAUCAAACAUAAAGGGAAGUCACAUCAACAAUGAAUGUAAUGAUGAAAGGGACAAUGACCCAGAGCCUUUAGGAGAAGAUUGCUCAUAUCUCAUUCUAAACAACAAAUGUGACAAAGUGAAAACAAAGAAUGUAGGGUCUUGGAAAGCUCACAUACGAACUCUCACCUACAAACAUACUCGAUAAAGUGACCCUCAGAUAUCGAUAUACAUGCUCAAUGAUGGAGAAUGCUAGGCACAUACACACAUGCACUUAUUAUUGUUAUUGUUGUUGUUGUUAUUAUUAUUAUUAUUAUUAUUAUUAUUAUUACUAUUUUACAUAUAUAAAAAUGUGCAUACUCAUAACGUAAACAAAUAAGCUCUAAAAAUGAGGUAAAAAAAUCGAUAGACAUACUCUCAAAUGCUAAUGUAGCAUAAACUCUCUCUAAAAAGAUGAUUUUCUCAAACUAAGGAUCUUUGAAUCAAUGUUUGUGGGAUAGAUAAUGGAAAUGAUGUGACUAUCUUCCAUGUAAUGAACCAAGAAGGAUCACCACUCAAGGUGGAAAAAAGGUAAAGCAAAAUAAGUAGCAAAUAAAGUAGAGAAAAAAAAUGGAGAACAUAACCAAUGAGAUGUGAUGAUAGAAAAAAUAAUGAAAAGGAUGCACCCAUAGGCCCAAGGCUCAUGAAACUCCUAAGUGAAACAUGCAUACUCUUAAGGGCCCUUAUCUCGGUGUAGAAAUGUAAGCAAGGCAAUAAGAAAGAAAGGCUCUAAUGCAUAUGUGAGGCUUAAUGGGCUAGUGACGGUCUAUAUGUUGAAAAAAACAAACAAGAUAUAUGGCUAACCAAAAUGAUGACCACCCAUCCCACGACCAUGGUCUCAAACAUAGUACAUUUUCAACUAAUCUACGUUGGUCGACUCUGAGAAUUGGUUUCCAUCUAGAUCCAUCAACCAUGCAGCGUCUUUUAGGGUUAACUCCUUAAUGAUAUAAGGAUUGCUCCAACUAGGUCUAAACUUCUCUCUAGGAUUUUUGAUCAAUCCCUUAAUAACCAUCAAGACUAAGGUGGUGUUUGUUUUUUUACUUAAUUCUAAAUAGAAUCUUAAUACUUAAUAGUAUUAAAUAUUAGGUUGUUUGUUUUUGUAGUAUUUUAUUUCUAUUAAGUAUUAAAAAGUAAAAAAAAUCAUUGUGUUAUUUUUUCUAUUUAGAAAAAGCCACAUAUUUUGGCUUUUUCUAUUUAGUAAAAAGUUUAUAAUAAGUCAUGAAAAAGUAAAAAAAUAAACAACCUAAAUUCUAAAACUAAAUGGUUUUCAGCAAAAAGCCAAAAAAACAAACACCACCUAAGUCACCUCUCUAUAAUGGUCUAAGCUUGACCCGCUUCUUGAAAGCACGGGUCAUCUUCCUCUGAUAGGCAUGAACAUGGUCUGCUGCCUUAAGUCUUCUCUCAUUUAGGAGAUUGAGUUGGUUUAAUUGAGCAUGAGCCUAAUCUGCCAAUGAAAUUUAUUAUUCCAAUGCUACCCUCAAUGAACCCAUCUCUAUCUCAAUUGGUAGCACUGCCUCCAUACCAUACACCAAGGAGUAAGGUGUGGCUCCUGUAGAGGUAUGAAAAGAAGUAUGAUAAGCCCAUAAUGCAAAAGGGAGCUUCUCUAACCAAUCCUGAGAAGUCUCAACCAUCCUCCGCAAAAUCCUCUUAAUAUUCUUAUUCACAACCUCUACCACCCCAUUAGUCUACGACCUAUAUGUAGACGACCUAUGAUGUUGGAUACCAUAUCUUUGUAAUAAGGUGUCAACCUCUGCCUUGAAAUGUACUCCUCUAUUUGAAAUCAACUCAUGAGAGAUUCCAUAGCGACAGAUAAUGUGUGAUCUGAUGAAACCCCACAUGAUGUCAAUCUUGCAUAUGAGGCAACCUCCACCCAUUUGGUGAAGUAAUCAAUGGCAGCCAAGAUGAACUCAUGACCACUGGAAGACUUUGGUAAAAUCUUGCCAAUAAUGUCUAUACCCUAUACUAAAAAUGACGAUGGUGAAGUUAGUGCAUGUAAAUAUGAAAGUGCACUUGAAUGAGGUCCCCAUGCAUCUGACACUUUGGACAUAUUUGAACAAACUGGUAAUAAUUUGUCUUCAUGGUCAACCAAAAAUAGCUAGUCCUCAUGAUCUUACGGGCUAACAUAUGCCCUCCCAUAUGUGGUCCACAGACUCCCACAUGAACCUCUCUCAUCACUCGAUUGAUAGAGGCGUAGUUUAAGCAUAAUAGUAACAUCCAUUAGCGGAUCGUAUGUACAGUGUCUCCCCACAAAUCACAAAUCGGGUAGCUAAUUGUCUCAAUGCUCUCUUAUCCUUGGUCGUAGAGACCUCAGGAUAUGUGUCAAAUCUCAUAAACUGGUAUAUGUCAUGAUACCAAGGCAAGCCAUCAUCUAACUUUGCCUCGUCAAUCAUAGGUCCAAGUAGCUAAGGCAAACGACGUUAAAGUAGAUCUCAACUUGAUUAGUAAAAGGCAAACGACGAUAUCAGCAGGAAUAUCAAUCAUGGACGUUAAAGUAGCUAAGGCAUCAAUAAAUUGGUUCUGCACUCUAAGCAGAUGUGUAUACCUCAAAUCAUCAAAUCUUCCAACCAGUAGCUCCAAGUAUCCAUGGUAAGGCCUAAGUUUCACAUCUCUAGUCUUUCAAUCACUCUGAAUCUGUCUCAAUACUAGAUUGGAGUCACCAAAUACCUUCAUCCAUCUAAUCCUAAGCUCAAUGAAAUUUAAUUCAUGUAUAUUCAAAACCAAAAUUCAUUUUAAAUUUUCUUUUUCAAACUAUGCGUACCGAAUAAAAUUGGUUGCAUGAAUUUUUAGAAAAUUGAAUUUUCAUAACCUAAGAAUGUCCAAGACGAAUUUGGAAAAUUGAGAAUUAAUUUUUAGAAAGGUAGAUUGAUAAGAAUUUUGAAAUCACUAACAAACACAAAUAAUCACAUAAAGUCGCACAACCAAAAGAUAAUUCUUAAGGAGACAAAGUGGUGUGUGCCGAGGGUGAGUGAAGCAUGUUGACUUGUGUGUGAUGACAGUGAAAGUGUGGCUGAUGUUAAAGCUAUGCAUGCCUUUCUUUAUUAGUUUAGCUAGCGUAUGUUCUCCAAAAUUCAACUAGCGAUGUUGGUCUUCACAAGCUUAUGCAAAUUCUCAAAAUUCAGCAAUUUGAUGUGUGCUUGGGCUAGCAAUCUAGUGGUUUCAAAAUCUAAUGGUGUGAUCAUGUGCUUUUUUAUUUUCUCCUCACACCCAUGCACUAUCAACUUACCUCUCUACCAUUAACAAUCGUACACAAUCAGUUUGCCUUCCCAAAGUUCUAACGACUUCCCUUUAAAAUUUAUGAUAAUUAUUUUAUUCCCAUCAAAAUUCAAUUAUGUCCACUAACUGCUACCUCUCUAAUACCUUCUCAUAUUCUUCCCUUCAAGCCAAAACCCUGCACUAAAUCUAUGUGACUCUCUAGAACCUUCUAUCAAUUUUAUUUAUUUAUUUACAAACUGUGCACCAAACAAUCUUCAUUCUAGAAAAAACCAGCGCUCACACCAAUCCCCACCAUGUCCACAAUCAACUCAGGCAUUCCCUAUGGUGUGUGUUUGGAGCCCUUUUCAAAGGUACAAAAUUGUUUCUCUUUUAUGGCAGCAUGCCAGCGUGAAUAGAGAUGCCCUCUAACAAUCAACAAGAGAAUAGUUCCUAAGCCUUCCCGUCAAGAUUUUUCUCAAUCCACAUAAACGGUAAUUGUCUGCACUAAUUUCUAAAUACUUAGCCCCUCUGAUUAUGGGUUGAUGAACACCCAUUUGAACAUAACGACCACUUUCCCUACCUCAUGUACAAUUUUGCAGUUCCCUUUCUCUAUAAAUACUAGAUUUGGACUAGAUGUGACACUUGGCAGGCCCAAGGGCAUGGACCAGAAGCAAAGGAAAGCAACAAAAAAUAGGGCACAUAAGGGUAAAACAAAAUGAACUAACAAAAGCCACAUUUCAUACGUAAUCAACAAAUCAAGAAUAGGUAAUACAAACUGAGAGAAGUAAUAUGAUUUUAUGCAUGAAGUUGUUGCAUGUUGAAAAUCUUAUAGUGAACAGUGUUUCUUCUCCACUAUAGCCCCUAUAAUUAGGGCACAAUUUGCAAGGGGAAACUCAACCAACAUUAGAGCACUUGCAAUAAAUGAGGAAUAUGGAGUUGAAAGAGUGGAGAAUCACCUGAUUUGUCGCUCGAUGGUGGAAUUUGUAAGAGAAGAAAGGAGUUUCAGUGCUUAUUCUCUAUUAUAAGAGUCACAAAAUGGAGAUUCAAAAAUGAUUUCCAGUUUUUUAUACUCAAGAUCUCACAUUAGGGCUUGGAAACGCACUGUGCGACAAGAUUUCCAAUGUCAAGAGCCUCAUCUGGAGUCAUUGAUCGAUAUUGAUUGUAGUUAACUUGGCUCCAAGGGUUUGUCGGGGUUUUGCAAAAAUGGAGGAAAUGUUUGGCGUACUAUGAAGUCGUGGGUGAGAAUGGGAAAUAUGUGAGCCAUAUAUAAAAGUGUUAUUUUGAUGUCACUUUUAUAGAGUGCCAAGGUAAAAAUAAAUAAUAAAGACACUUAUAAAAAACCUGGUGCUAUAGGAAGCAUCGUUAUCCUUCAGCAUAAAGCGCCAUGGUCUAACAUUUUCCUUUUAAGCGUCAACUUCGACCACUUAUUUACUCAAUUGCCCCUCUAAAAGCCAAGUAAUGAGAUUUUUUUGAAAGCGCCAAGGAAUCAAGCGCCAUAAAUUGUGUUUUUUGUAGUAGUGUGGAGGUCUUCCUAUACCCUAUUUAACAUAAUAUAACCUUGCGUACAUGCUUUAGAAAAAUAAGUAAAAGUUUAGAAAAGUAUUUACAUUUGAUUUGAGUUGAAUCAUUCCCUUAUUUGACCUAUUUUGGGUCUAAACUUUAACUUAUGUAAGCCUCAUGAUGCUUUCCGAAACCUUAUUUAGCAUGGUAGAACCCUAGAUACAUCAUUUACAAAAAUAAGUACAUUCUUAAGAAAAAGUACAUCAUUUACAAUAAUAAGUAUAUUCUUAAAAUAUAUAUAUAUAUAUAUACAUACAUACAUUCAUAAGGAAAAUACAUACAUUUGAUUUGAGGUUAACCAUGACCUAAUUCAACCUAAUUUGGAUCUAAGAUUUGACUUAUGAUGCCUUAGAAUGUAUUUUAUGCCUUCCAAAACUCCGUUCGACAUACAUUCUUUAGAAAAAUGUGUAUACCUUAAGAAAAUUAUGUUAGAAAUAUGAAUUUUCCGAUUUGAGGUCUCUUAUAUAUAUUCAUGUAAUAUAUAGUUGUAAAUUAGAUUAGAAAAGUGUGUAUAAUUGUAAAUUAUAUUAGGAAGAACAAUCUUUGAUUUAUAAGGAUUUACUUGAUUUAUAAGGAUUAUUAAUUUUCUUUUCCUUUAAAUUUCUUUGUAAAUAUAAGAUAUAAAUUAAGAUUGUAACAAUUGAUUGAAUAAGAAUCUUUUACCAUUUUCUCUCACAUGGUAUUAGAGCCACUUUGACAUCCUUCAUCAGCCUUCAUUGCUGAUCUUAGUUCAAGUUUUUUAGCCUUCAUUGUUGAAUAUUUCAAGCCUAAUUCUUUCAACCUUUAUUGUGUGUUUUGUUUAUUUCUUUUUACAUAUUUCAUUCGUUCUACCUGCAUUUCUGGGAUUUCACCAUGUCUAAGAUGUAUGAUAUUUCUUUUAAAACUAAUUUCAUAAUUUAAAUUAAUGAUUUUAAAAAAUUAAAAUGUUAUAAAAAUGAUUUUUAUUUAUUUUUAAUUCCAUUUAAAUAUGAUUUUUUAAUCUCUACUAUUAUAUUUAUAAGGGCAAAAUAGUAAAAAUAUAUAUUUCAUUUAGUUUACUUGUAAUGAACAAUUCAAACAUGAUUAAUUUUAAUUUUAUUUCCUAUGUGUUAAUUUAGGUAGGGAAGGUCUUAAUGGCAUAGUUUGUUUGUUUUUUUUUUUAAAUACCGAUAAUCGUCCUAAUGGCAAGUUCAAGUUGUUUAAAAAUCGUACAAAACAUAUUAGGAGCCUUGUACACCCUGUACACUUAACACAUUUCCUUUAUAAAUUAGUGUAAUACCCUUGUACAGUAAUGCAAAUUCCAUAUCCCUUCUAAGUUAUGUGUCCAUAUAGGUGUGUUAACCAUAUUUUCAAUGGUUUGGUUGAGAAAAUGAUGGAUGACUUAGGGUCAAAUUUUUUUUCCCAAACAUCAUUAUUGGGGAAAACAUUGGAAUUCCAUGUGGGAGUUAAAUAAAGUACAUGACAUAGGUAUACAAUCCUUCGGUGACAAGGAAAAUAAAGGAGUGACUCAAAAUUGAUUGAAAUCUUUCAUAAAGGGUAGUCUUGUACACCCUGUACACUUAGUAUAUUUCCCUUCUAUAGUUAAUGUAACACCCUUGUACAAUGACACAAAUUCCAUAUCUCUCAUAAGUUAUGUGUCAACGUAGGUGUGUUAACCAUGUUUCCAAUGGUUUGAUUGAGAAAAUGUUGGAUGACUUAGGGUCAAAUUUUUUUCCCUAAACAUCAUUACUGGGGAAAGUAUUGAAAUUUCCAUGUGAAAGUUAAAUAAAGUGUAUGACAUGAGUGUACAAUUUGUGGGUGAUAAGGAAAAUAAAAGGAGUGGUUCAGAAUCUUUUACAAAGGGUAGCCUUGUACACGUGUACACUUAGUGUAAUACCCUUGUACAGUUCAUGUAAUACCGUUGUACAGUAGCACAAGUUUCAUAUCCUUCCUCCUAAGUUACACAUAGGUGUGUUAGCCAUGUUUCCAAUGGUUUGGUUGAGAGAAUAGUGGAUGGCUUAGGGUCAAAAUCUUUAUCCCAAACAUCAUUACUGGGGAAAGUAUUAGAAUUUCCAUGUGGGAGUUAAAUAAGGUGCAUGACAUGGGUGUACAAUCUGUAAAUGAUAAAGAAAAUAAAUGAGUGGUUCACAAUCGAUUAAAAUCUUUCACAAAGGGUAGCCUUAUGCACCCCUUAUACAGUUAGUGAAUGCCCUUAUAUAGUGACGCAAAUUCCAUAUCCCUAUAGUGAAUGUGUGCUUAUAGGUGAAUUAAAAAUGACUUUAGUAGUUUGGUUAAGAAAAUGACAGAAAACUUAAAUUCAACUUUUUGUGUGAAUAUAUUAUAUUAUUGUGAAAAAAAAAUACACAAUUGGCCGAUUCCUUUGUUUAAUUGUGAACAAAUUAUAUUUUUAUUUUAUUAUUAAAAUAACUAAUAGAAAAAUAAAAUAAAAAAGAAUAAUUAAUAAAUGAAAUUUAAUUCUUUUUAUUAUUUUCAUAUAAAAAUAGUACUAAACAAGGUUUUCAAUUUUCAUUUUUAAAAAUAGUUUUUGUUUUUUUUUAAUUAAAUGUAUUUUCAAAAAGAGACAAUAUAGAAAAUAAAAAUUUUAAAAAUAUUUUAAAACCAAACUCAAACAUAAUCUAUAUAAUUUUUAACUACUUGUUUUCAUCUAAAAUGAGUAAAUAUAUCAUUCAACCCUUUUAUAUAAGAAAAAAUCAAUCUCUACUAUACUAUGUAUUGAUAUAAUCCACUACUAAAAUUAGGUUAUAUGAAAACAUUUUAAUUAGAUAUUUAAAAUAAAAAAUCUUCAUCCAUCAUCUUUCUUUCUUUUUCUUUUUCUUUUUCUUAUUUUGAUAAAUUUUCAAUUAAUUCAAAUUAUUAAAAAAAAAUCCUUAGUAAACAAAUUUGCAACAUUUCAUAUAACUUAUUACCAAAAGUCAUCUUCAAAAAGUUAUUAAAAUAAGGAAGGAAGAAGAUUAAAAGAAAAUUUAAACUUUUUAUUUUAUAGUAGUAAAAAAUAAAUUUUAAAAUACUUUUUAGUAAAAAGGGAAAGAAAAUAGUGAAUAUUUUUAUUUUAAAUAGUAUUUUAAUCAUUAAAUUAUUUACUUCUAAAAUGUAAAAGAUAAUUUUUUUAUUUAUUUAAAUUAACAUUUUUUGAGAAAGUAUUUUCCAAAAUAGUUUUUGAAUCAUUAAUAUAAUUUUUGUUUAUUUAUAAUUUUAAAAUAGAAAAUAAUGUUGAUUUUUCAAUUAUUUAUAAAAGAGUUUUAAAAAAAAAUGGUUAAAUAAAAAUGAAUUUGUUAAUAGUGGCAUAUGGAGAGUUGUGAAAUGAAGACAAAAAUGAGUUAAAAGGAUAUUUUUGUCAAUUACUAUUUCAUAUCCUUGAAAUCAAUUAUGGGUGUUAGGAAUACCUUACAUCAAUCAUCAAAUGCCGGCACAAUUCUCCCCUAGAUCUAUAUUGACCAUAGAUUUUGUAUGCUAAUACUAAAUAAAAUUAAAAUAUAUUUAUCACAUAAUUUUUAUGUUUAUGUUAUAUUUUGUUUUAAAUUUUUGUUAGAAGAAAUCCUAUUAUGACAACAAUAACAGAUGAGAAAAAAACCAAACAUAAUACAUAUACUUCACUCUCAAAUGUGGGAGACAUGUCACUUUGUUGUUCCAAAAUUUCCACUAUCAUAAAAAAUAAAAAUAAAAUAAAAAAAGUGUGAUCUCACCUUUUACAUGUCUCCUUUAUCAUAAAAUCAGAAUAAUUGAAUGUGGUUUUGGCUUCACCAUGGUUCUAGAUUUUUUGCUUGAUUAAAAUUUUUAAUUUUCUGUUUACAUCAAAAUAAAAUAGAAAUAUAUUUUUCAUAAUAAAAUUGUAUUAAAUAUUUUAUAUUAAUUUUCUUUUAGUUUUAAAAUAUUAUUACGGCUCUCUGCUCUUAAAAAAUAAAAGACAAAAGAUUUAGUUUCAAUUUGGUAACUAUUUUCAAAAAUAAUUUUUUUUUUUUAAAAAAAAAAGAAAAACCAAGAAAACAUGUUUGACAACUAAAAAAAAUAUGAAACAAUUUUUUUUUUUAUCUUAAAAACAAAAAUAUGGUAUUUUUUGAAAACUUCUUUUAGUCGUUUUCACUUGGUUUUUUAGGGCUAUUUUUUUUAAAAAUAAGUAUACAAAUAUGGAGAAUGAUUAAAAAUAAAACACUACAUAUAAAAUUUAUUGUUAAAAUGUAUUUAAAAACAUAGAAAACAAGUUAAAAAUAUUUCAGGUUUCAAAACAAGCUUUUGGUCUACAAAAUAUCAAAGACCAAAUUUCAAAAACUAUUCCGAAAAACUAUUUUUUAAAAACGCUUCCUAAACAAAGCAUUAAUAACUCACUUUUGCUUCACCAAAAUUUGAAAAAAAAAAUUAAAAUUUUAUAUUUCAUUAAUUUUAGUUUGAAAAAUAAAUAAUUGAUUUAUUAUUAAGGAAAAAGGUUUACUAGUAAGAUUAAAUGUUUAUAAAAUGUCAACCAUUAUAAGAUAAUGAAAUUAAUUUUAAAAAAAUAUACAUCUAAUAUGUAAUUCUAAUUUGUAGAAAAGAUUUUUUAAUCAAUCCCCUCUCUAAUAUUAAUUUAAAUUUUUUUAAAUUGUGUAAAAUUAUUGUUAUAAAUAAAUUUUUCUUUAACGUAAGGAUAAGGCCACCAAGUGUUUGUUUUUAUUUAUUUAUUUAUUUUAUGAUUUUUUUUCUUUUUAAAUUAAUGGCAAUUUUUUUUUUUUUUUUUUGAGGUGUUAUACUUUUUUGGGGUGAGUAGUAUGAGAAAAUAAGGUUGAUCUUAAUUAGGAAAACAUCUAAGAUGGGGGGAGCGGGGUUGAAUUGAGUUUUUAAAAAAUCUUUUUUAAACACAACAAAUUCAAGAAAAAGAAGCACAAAUAUAAAGAGAUAAAGUUAGAGGAAGCAAACAUAGAUUUUAUAGUGGUUCGACACUCCUUACUUAUGUCCACUCCCCUCAAGCUCCUAACUGAGUGAGAGUUCCACUAUCCUUGAAGCUUCAACCAAGCUUCCAACGUCUUUACACUUGGAUUCCGAUUCCAAUGGCUCUUACACAAUCCUUCAAGUAUUCACUAAUUUGAAGCUUUCUAUUCACAUGAUCUCACUUAAAAAUAAUGAAGGAAACUCUUAACCUAACUUAAUAAAGGCUCAAAUACAACCGAAAUGCUAGGAAGAAUGACAAGAGUGCACUAAAGAGUAUGCAAGUAAGGAUUUAAUGCAUCAAGGAGAGAAUGAGAGCUUUUAAGAGAAAAACAUGUAGUUAAACAAUUGAAUUCAGGUGUUCUCAUGUUCAUAAAUGAAGUAAAACUCUCAAUUUAUAAGUUCUAACCUCGGGAGCCAAAAUUGCCAAAAAGUUAGCCUUGACUGGUUAAGUUAGAGGUCAACUGGUUGACUAGUCAUUGGGCAAUAAAUGUAUGGUAGGUGACCGUCAAGCCUCAACCAGACCUUAACUAGACCUCAACUAGGAAAACCUGCCAUCGAUCGGGAAUGCAUAGCUAUUGGAAGAGAGAUAAUACUUUUUGCAUCCCUCAAUCGGUCUUCAACUAGGAAGGCUUAAUUGAUCGACUAGUACCCUAACCAGUUGAGCCGGUUGGAUAGUCCCAUGAUUGAUUUACCUAUUUUGGUCUGAAAACCUAUUUUUUUUAUAUUCCUUUUAUUUUUAACACUUAGGCAAAGUCUUUAAGAGUAUUAAUAGAUUAAAUUUAAAACAAUUUGCAUAAGGUUUGUAUAAGAAAACUUAGGUUUUAAUGGAAAUUUAAUUUUAAUUAAUAAACCAAGUUUUUUAAAAAUGCAUAAAAAGAUAUGAAAAUCCUAAGUGUAUGCAUUCAUUUAUCUUACAUAUGUUUCUUAAGAUUAGAAAGCCUUCUAUAUGUUUCAAUCUUGUAUCCAUUGGAUCCUUUGAUAAGUUUCUUGGAUAUCCUUUUGAAUUUCCAAACUAAAACUUGAAAUUCUUUUAAUUUAAAAUAAUUAACAACUUAACCAUGGUUUGUUAUCAUUAAAACAUGAUUAGGAGAACCUUUGGGCUAACAUAGUAUGUUAAUGAGCCUAUUUAUUUUUCAAAUUUUUUAUAUGAUUAUUUAAUGAGAUUAUUGUUCAAUUACUAUGGAUGCAAUUUAGGGAAGACAAAGACCCUAAUUAUUUUAUUUAUUUUUAUUGUUUGCAACCUUAAUGAAUUAUUUUGAGUUAUGUUAUUUAAAUUUUUGGAUUAAUUUUAUAUAAUAUAUUAUUGUGACAUUAUAAUAUAAAAAUAAGUAAUAUAAUUAUUUUGUUACCUUCAAUUCUAUUACUAUAGCUAUUUGAUAGACAAUAUUAAUUUAGUAAUGUUAUUUUAAUAGUUUAAACCAUAGGAAAUAUAAUCUAAGCUUAAAAUAUUAAUAUUUAUGUUUUUUAAAUGAUAUAUAAUGUACUUAUUUUUCUAAGGAAUGUAUUUAUUUUUAAGCUAAGAUGUACUUAUUUUCAAAUAGGAUGCACUUAUUUUUUCCAAUGACGUACCUAGUAUCAAAGCAUGAUAGAUGAGAUGUGUGAACAUCAUAAAUGCAUGCCUAGACCUAUAAAAAUGGAUGAUCUUGUCCAAUAUCUUGUUCGAUAUGCUUUGAUAAAAGGUACAUCGUUGGCAAAAAUAAAUAUAUCCUAUUUGAAAAUAAGUACAUCUUGUUUAAAAAUAGGUACACCAUAUGUAUAUCAUGCAUGUGACUCAUUUGCUCUAAUUUGGACAUGAUCUUCCAUUUUUGUAGGCCUAGGCAUGCAUUUAUUGACAUAAGCUAUAUUGGAAAAGGGCUUUCACUUUUAUGGGCCUUGGAAUACAUUUGAAGCUUUCAGACAUCCCAUUUUGCAUCCUAGAACCCUAGGUACAUCAAUUGGAAAAAUAGAUACAUGGCAUUGAAAAAUAAGCACAUCUUCACAAAAAAUAAGUACAUCUCAUUUAAACUAUAUACCUAACGCAUUUGUCCUAUUUUGGACAUGAGCUUUUACUUUUAUAGGCCUCAAGAUGUAUUUAAGGUCUUCCCAUAUCCCAUUUUGUAUCCUAGAACCUUAGGUACAUCCCUUGGAAAAAUAGGUACAUUGUGUUAAAAAAAUAUGUACAUCUUCUGAAAAAUAAGUACUUUGCAUUUAAAUUGUAUAACUGACUUAUUUGGCCAAUUCUAAGUAUGAGUUUCACUUUUAUAGGUCUUGAGAUGCAUUUGAGGCCUUCACACAUCCCAUUUCACAUCGUAGAACUUUGGGUAUAUCCUUAGGAAAAAUAAAUACAUCAUAUAGCAAAAUAGUACAUUCCCUUAAAAAAUAAGUACAUAUUAUUUUCAUUGUAUGGGUGACUUGUUUGGCUUAUUCCUAUCAUACACUUUCACUUUUAUAGGUCUCAGAAUGCUUUUGAGGCCUUCACACAUCUCAUUUCUCAUUCUAGAACCUUGGGUACAUCCCUUGAAAAAAUAGGUUCAUCUUGUUGAAAAAUGAGUACAUCAUCUUAAAGCAUAAGCACAUCAAAUUUACAUUGUAUAACUGAUUUAUUCUACUUCUUAUACACAUUCAUUAUUUAUUUGAGUUAUAGGUUCAAGUGACUAAUCCUGGAACAAGCAUAAAGCAUAAUCAAGUUGCUUAACUUUACUUAUGUAGUACUAGUUAAGCACGACACAUUAUGGUAUAUCAUUCAUGAAUAUGAAUAGGUAUAAGACUCAUCAUUCAUUCUAUAGGAAAAAGGGUACAUUUUAUUAACACUAUGUACGCAAGUCAUUUGAUAGUAAUUAAGACAACAUGUAUGUUCUUUGUCCUAUCACGCAUUAAAAAAAAAUUAGUUUAGUUUUUAAGAUCAAUUUCAUUAUUAUUUGGUUUCGAUGUUAUGUAGCUAUUUUUUUCCUAUGGAUGUACAAAAGGUUCUAUGAUAUACUAAUUUUUCCGUGUCCAAAAUAGGCCAAAUGAAUAACUUAAUGUAAUGUAAAUGCAAUGUACUUAUUUUUUAAGUGAAUGUACUUAUUUUUUAACACGAUGUACUUAAUUUUCCAAUGGAUGUAACUAUGGGUUCUAGGAUGUGGAACAAGAUAUGGGAAUACCUCAAAUGCAUCUCGAGGCCUGUAAAAGUGCAAGCUCAUGUCCAAAAUAGACUAAAUGAGUCACCUAUACAAUUUAAAUAUUUAAGAGGGCGUAAUUAAUUUUCAACACAACGUACCUAUUUUUCCAAGGGAUGUACCUAGGUUCUAGGAUGCUUAAUGAGAUAUGGGAAGACCUUAAAUGCAUCUUGAGGCCUAUAAAAAUAAAAGCCCAUGUCCAAAAUAAGGAGAAUGUCACCUUUACAAUGUAAAUGCAAUGUACUUAUUUUUUAAGUGGAUUCACUCAUUUUUCAACACGAUGUACUUAUUUUUCCAAGGAAUAAACUUAUUUGCAACACAAUGUACUUAUUGUCUAUGUAGGACGCCCAGAACUUGACCUGAGCUCUCUGGUAUGGGUUACUAGGCAAUAAGGAUGGCAACGGGGCGGGUUUUUUAGGGUACCCGUCCCGCCUCGCCCCUAAUGGAAUGGGGUUUAAAUUUAAUAAACAGGUUUAGGACGAGUAUGAGAUUUUUUUUAAAAUUCGUGGCAGGUUCGGGUAUUGCCCAAUCCCGCCUCGUCCCACCCCGUUUACAUAUAAAAUUAAUUUUAAAAUUAAAUUUAAUUUAAAAUUUUAUUUUACUAUUUUUAAUAUAUAAAUAAUAAUAGAAAAUUUUAAUAAAAUAAGUUAUUAAAAAUAUAAUAAUUUUAUUAUUUAUAAAUUAUAUUUAUUUUAAUGUAAUUAAAAAAAAAAAAAAAGCUAAACGGGGCAGGGCGGGUUGGGUUUGGGAAUUUCCCAUACCCGCCCCGCCCCGCCCCGCACCGUUUAAUUUUUUAAAUGGGACGAGGAUGGGAGGGACCCGUCCCGAACCCGCCCCGUUGCCAUUCCUACUAGGCAACAACGGAGAUUUAUCGUUCCAAAGCUCAUCAAUAUACUGAACUAUUAUCAUAGACUCACAAAUGGGCUUUCGAUUGUGGAUCAGAAUUGGGAUUUUCUUAUGAGCUGGGUUCAUCUCAAGAAGCAGAGGGCUCUUGUUCCUCGGGUCCUCCUCUCUAUAUUCAACUGUGACCCUAAUACCAAACAUGAUAGGCCAGAAAUCCGAGAAGAUAAUCUCGUCUGCCAUUGCUACUACUGAUAAGAUUCAAACUCAAGCAUUGAUGAACAACACAAGGGAAAUUGUUGAGUAUUUACAGCAAAUUUCAGGGAGUGGGUUAAACCCUUGGAAACUUCUAGGAGGUGGUGAUGCUCAUUAAUCCCUUAUCUAAGUUUUCAUUUUCCUUUCUAAACUAUAUUCUUAUCUCCGUAUCUCUCCAAAAUUCCUAUAUUUUCAGUUUAUUUAUUUAUCAGCCAAGUAUUUUUAAUUAAAUAUAAUGCUUUCAAAAUUUUUAAAAAAUUAGAAAAUUAUACUUCAAUCAUUUGUACAAAAAUAAUUUAAUUUUAAAAUUAUUAUCAUAUUUGAUAAUUUUAAUUUUACAACUUACCUUUAAAUCCAAAAAUAUUAUCAGAUAGAAAGAAAUUUAGUGUUUAUUUUUGUAAUAUCUGCAUUCAAAAAAAUAUCAGCAGAUUUAUUUAUUUUUUAAAAUUUAUUAAACUUUAAUUUUAUUCCAUAGGAAAAUUCUAUAGAUUUUUAAAAAAUAAUAUUUCUAAAAAAAUAUAAAUAUAAAUAUAAAUAAAUUACAUUUUAGUUGUUCAAUAAAGAAUGCAAUCGUGGGUUGACACUCAAUGUGAAGAAAAUAUGAAUAAAUAAGAAAAAAUAAAAUAAAAUAAUAAAUAGAGUUUAUGAUAAAAUGAAAAAUUUUUCUCAAUAAGAGUGAAAAAAAAUGACAAUGUUUGCUUUGGUAUGAUUGGUAGACAACGAUAGAAGUAAAAUAAAUAAAUAAAUUAUGAAGUGUACCAUGGAGGAAAAAAAAUUAAUUAGGGUAGUUGGGAAAAAAAAAUAUAUGUUGAUGUAUUACUAUAAAUUAGGGAUAAUAUAUUAAAAAGAAAAGAAUAAAUUAAUAGGAUAUGAUGUAAAAUUCUUGUUACGUUAGAAUAGGUUUUUAUUAGUGAGAUUUAUCUUAUUUGUUUAGGCAAAUUAUAACUUUAAUUAUAAAGAAAUUUUAUUUUGUGAAAAAUAUUAUUUCUAUUAUGUAUUAUGAUAUCUCACCUUAUAAGUUAAGAGGGGUUGCGUUAUUAACUUUCAUUGCCUAGUUGUAUGAAGAUUGGACAAUCUAGUUAAUUGGGGCAAUUAUUGAAUUUGUUGUACCCUUUGAUUGGCUAGUCUCUUUUAACUUGAAGGGUCAUAUGUUUCCAAGGGUCCCAUUAGUUUCGAGAAAAUUUAUUCAUGUUUAAUAUGUUGAGCUAAAGUUCACUAUCUUUGCCUUUUAAAACCCCUUUCAAAUAUCCUAGAUGUAGAGAUAAUAAUACAUUAGGGCCAAGGGUUCUUAUUAGUUUUUUUUUUUAAGAUAUAUAUAUAUAUAUAUAUAUAUAUAUAUAUAUAUAUAUAUAUAUAUAUAUAACCUUAAAGUCUUUGUUUAGACAUGUUGAUUUAGAUUAUAUGUUAUGUUUUAAUUUUCAACUUGACUUGAACUAAAUUAGUAUUUCAUAGUUAUGUGAAUCAUUAAACUUCUAUAUUAGAAAGAUAGCUUUAGCUCUAUGAUUUCACUCUAAAAGGAGUAUUUAUGACUUUUGUUCACUUUGACCAUUUAGUCAUUUUUCUAAAUAGUAAUUCAUUCAUACUAAUAUGUUCAUGUAUUAUUGUAAAUCAAGGAUAAUGUAUUAAAAAGAAAACAAUAAAUUAAUAGGAUAUGAUGUAAAAUUCUUGUUACAUUUGAAUAGGUUUUUAUCAGUGAGAUUUAUCUUAUUCGUUUAGGUGAAUUAUAACUUUAAUUAUAAAGAAAUUUUAUAUUGUGAAAAAUAUUAUUUCUAUUAUGUAUUAUGAUAUCUCACCUUAUUUAAGAGGGGUUGCGUUAUUAACUUUCAUUGCCUAGUUGUAUGAAGAUUGGACAAUCUAGUUAAUUGGGGCAAUUAUUGAAUUUAUUGUACCCUUUGAUUGGCUAGUCUCUUUUAACUUGAAGGGUCAUAUGUUUCUAAGGGUCCCAUUAGUUUGGAGAAAAUUUGUUCAUGUUUAUUAUGUUGAGUUAAAGUUCACUAUCUUUGCCUUUUGAAACCCCUUUCAGAUACCCUAGAUGUAGAUAAUAAUACAUUAGGGCUAAGGGUUCUUAUUAGUUUAGUGUUUUUUUUAAGAUAUAUAUAUAUAUAUAUAUACACCUUAAAGUCUUUGUUUAGACAUGUUGAUUUAGAUUAUAUGUUAUGUUUUAAUUUUCAACUUGACUUGAACUAAAUUAGUAUUUCAUAGUUAUGUGAAUCAUUAAACUUCUAUAUUAGAAAGAUAGCUUUAGCUCUAUGAUUUCACUCUAAAAGGAGUAUUUAUGACUUUUGUUCACUUUGACCGUUUAGUCAUUUUUCUAAAUAGUAAUUCAUUCAUACUAAUAUGUUCAUGUAUUAUUGUAAAUCAAGGAUAAUGUAUUAAAAAGAAAACAAUAAAUUAAUAGGAUAUGAUGUAAAAUUCUUGUUACAUUUGAAUAGGUUUUUAUCAGUGAGAUUUAUCUUAUUCGUUUAGGUGAAUUAUAACUUUAAUUAUAAAGAAAUUUUAUAUUGUGAAAAAUAUUAUUUCUAUUAUGUAUUAUGAUAUCUCACCUUAUUUAAGAGGGGUUGCGUUAUUAACUUUCAUUGCCUAGUUGUAUGAAGAUUGGACAAUCUAGUUAAUUGGGGCAAUUAUUGAAUUUAUUGUACCCUUUGAUUGGCUAGUCUCUUUUAACUUGAAGGGUCAUAUGUUUCUAAGGGUCCCAUUAGUUUGGAGAAAAUUUGUUCAUGUUUAUUAUGUUGAGUUAAAGUUCACUAUCUUUGCCUUUUGAAACCCCUUUCAGAUACCCUAGAUGUAGAUAAUAAUACAUUAGGGCUAAGGGUUCUUAUUAGUUUAGUGUUUUUUUUAAGAUAUAUAUAUAUAUAUAUAUAUACACCUUAAAGUCUUUGUUUAGACAUGUUGAUUUAGAUUAUAUGUUAUGUUUUAAUUUUCAACUUGACUUGAACUAAAUUAGUAUUUCAUAGUUAUGUGAAUCAUUAAACUUCUAUCUUAAAAAGAUAGCUUUAGCUCUAUGAUUUCACUCUAAAAGGAGUAUUUAUGACUUUUGUUCACUUUGACCGUUUAGUCAUUUUUCUAAAUAGUAUUUCAUUCAUACUAAUAUGUUCAUGUAUUACUGUAAAUAAGGGAUAAUGUAUUAAAAAGAAAGAAUAAAUUAAUAGGAUAUGAUGUAAAAUUCUUGUUCCAUUAGAAUAGGUUUUUGUCAGUGAGAUUUAUCUUAUUCGUUUAGGUGAAUUAUAACUUUAAUUAUAAAGAAAUUUUAUAUUGUGAAAAAUAUUAUUUCUAUUAUGUACUAUGAUAUCUCACCUUAUUUAAGAGGGGUUGCGUUAUUCACUUUCAUUACCUAGUUGUAUGAAGACUGGGCAAUCUAGUUAAUGGGGCAAUUAUUGAAUUUAUUGUACCCUUUGAUUGGCUAGUCUCUUUUAACUUGAAGGGUCAUAUGUUUCUAAGGGUCCCAUCAGUGUGGAGAAAAUUUGUUCAUGUUUAUUAUGUUGAGCUAAAGUUUACUAUCUUUGCCUUUUAAAACCCCUUUUAGAUACCCUAGAUGUAGAUAAUAAUACAUUAGGGCUAAGGGUUCUUAUUAGUUUAGUUUUUUUUUUAAUAUAUAUAUAUAUAUAUUAUACCUUAAAGUCUUUGUUUAGACAUGUUGAUUUGGAUUAUAUGUUAUGUUUUAAUUUUCAACUUGACUUGAACUAAAUUAGUAUUUCAUAGUUAUGUGAAUCAUUAAACUUCUAUAUUAGAAAGAUAGCUUUAGCUCUAUGAUUUCACUCUAAAAGGAGUAUUUAUGACUUUUGUUCACUUUGACUAUUUAGUCAUUUUGCAUGUUUUACCUUUCUAUUAGAUUUUCAAAAUUAACAAGGUCACCCUCGACCUCAAGGUAAUUUGGGUGUUACAAAGAUGUAUAAACACUCUCCUAAUAAAUUAAACCAUGUAAUUCACAAAGCUAGAAAUUAUAUCAAAUUAUUUAAGAUAUUAAUGGUAAAAAAAAAAAAAAAAUCAUAGCUAAAAAUGGAUCAAUCCUACAUAAAGCUUAAUCAAUCUUAAAAGAUGGUACUAAAAAUACCUAGUAAGAAAGGGCCACCCAAGACUCCCAAAUCUUCUUUUAAAAAAAUGAUAACCAUUAGUUUGGAAAAACCUAACUGAUUCAAUUUCAUCCAUCCAUUAUCCUAACUACAUACUUAAUCUUUAAAUGUUUUUAACACAUUGAUUUUCAUCAGGCAUGUUAUUUAAGGAAGGAUUUGGAAAACCCAAAUUGGGAAUACAUUUAGGAAUUUUUUAACCAAAAUUAUCAACCUAAUUGAAACUCAUUGGAUAAGUCUCAAAUUCUUAUAUUUUAUAUAAAAGUUUGAUUUCCAUUUUUAAAAACAGAAAAUAACAAGUGUAUCCAAAUGAGCACUUAAGAAUUUAUUUUUUCUUUAUAAAAUAAAUCAAUCAUAAAAAUUAUUCUAGAAAUAAUUUUGAGAAGCAUGAAAACAAUCCAAAAUGUAUUCUAUCUAUGGUACAUGAUUAAAGAGAUUUCACAUUGGCAUAAUAAGAAAAAAUUGAACCUAUAUUAGGAAAUGUAAACUUACAACUACAUGAAGAAUCAUUCUUAACGCGUAAAAAUAAGGGAAAGAUUUGCCACGUCCUUGACUAAUUCACAAUGUUUUCAGAACCAGAUCGGUCAUUAAAUCAGAAAAGUUACUGGUUCACAGUUCAUUGGUCGGAUUGGCGGUCAAACUGGUGAUGUCAUAAAUACAUAUUUUAUAUAUUAUUAAAAUUUUUAAAAAUUAAUAAAUUCUAUCUAAAUUUUGAUAGCAUCUACUCUGUUUGUUAAGUUUUUUCACAAAGUUUUUUACCUGUAAAAGUCGUUAAUCAUCAUAUAUCAUAUCUAUAACACAAUAUAAGAUGUUAUACAUUCAUAAUGUCAAUCAACCCAAUUUUUAUCAAAUAGUCAAAGCAUUGCUACCCUUCAUCCAAAUAUGAGCAAUAAACCAACAAUGACCAAAUUAUUAAAGAGUUGUUAACAUAUUAUCCAUAAUAGAUAAUACAAAUGUCAACCACAACACUUAAAUAGUUACUCAAAAUAUAACAUGUCAAUGUUUGAGUAUACAAAGCACAUAAUAAAAAAAAAUUCUUUUUAAACACAAUAAAAUUAAGCUUAAGAAGCACACAAACAAAGAGAUAAGGUUAUACAAAGCACACUCAAAUUUAUAGUGGUUCAACACUUCCUUGCCUACAUCCACUCUCCGCAAGCUCCUAACCAAGUGAGGGUUCCACUUAUACUUGAAGCUUCAACCAAGCUUCCAAUCACUUUUUACACUGGGAUUUAGGCUCCAAUGGGCUCUUACACAACAUCUUCAAGUCGCUACUCACUUUAAGGUUUUAACACUCUAUUAACAAGUUUGAAUCUCUCAACCUAGCUCAACAAUGGCUCAAAUAGGUUAGGAUGAAUCACAAAGGUGCACUAAAGAAUAUGCAAAUGGAUAUUUAAUGCAUCAAUAAAAGAAUAAGAGCUUUUAUGGCAAGAAAAAAUAGGUAAACAGAUAAAUAAAGGUGUUCUCUUGUUCAUAAAUGAAGUGGAGCUUUCAAUUUAUAGCUUUCUAACCUCGGGAGCCAAAAAGUCAAAAAGCAACCUCGAUCGGUCGAGUUGGGGAUCGACCGAUUCACUAGCCAUUGGAGCAUUAAAUGCUUAGUAGGUGACUGUUACCCUUGACCGGACCUCGAUCGGGAAAAUAUAUCCCUCGAUCAUGAAAAAAGGGCUACUGGAAGAGAAAGAAGGUUUUUUACAUCUCUUGACCGAGAUGGAGUAACCGGUCGACCGGUUCACUAUUUUUUACCCACAAAAACCUAUCUUUUUCUAGUCUUUUUGCUUCUAGCACUUAGGCAAGGUCUUUAGGUACAAUAAUAUGCCAAUUUAGAAAUGUUUUGCUUAAGGUUCAUUUGAUAGAACUCAAAUUUUGAUGGAAAUGUGACUUUAAUGCAUAAACUGAGUUUUCAAAGAUGCAUGAAAUGAUAUGAAAAUCCUAAGUACACCCAUGCAUUCAUCUUACAUAGUUUCCUAUGAUUAAAAAGUCUUUCAAAAGUCUUGAUCUUGCAUCCAUUAGGUCCUUUAAUGAAUUUCCAAAUUAACACCUGGAAUUCUUUAUAGUUCAAACUAAUUAGUAACUUAACCAUGGUUUGUUAUCAUCAAAACACAAUUAGAAGAGCCCUUAGGCUAACAAUCUCCCAUUUUUUUAUGAUGACAAACCUUGGUUAUCUAGGAGAAGAAUAAUCUCCCCCUCAAACCAAUCAUGGAUCAACAAUCAAUAUUUAAGAACUUAAAAUCAAGAUGAUCAAGACAUAUUAGAGAGAAAGAGCUUAAAACCAAGAUGAUCAAGACAUAUUAGAGAGAAUUUGCAACAAGAAACAAUGUAAGUCAUCAAAUAUAUAGGCAUAUCAUAUAUCAUAAGUCAAAUGUAUCAUUGUCCAAUAUGUACGAUCUAAAAAAAAUGUAUGUGUGAGUCUCCUAUAUCUAGUUUCCUAGAUCUUAAAAUAUCUCUCCCUUUUGGAAACAUCAAAAAGGAAAAAAUGGGGGUCUCUAACGAAUCAAGGCAAAUGAGGUGGAGAUGGAAACACAAAACGCAGAUAAAUCAUCAUCUCUUCAUGCUAACUCUCCAAGCGAUCAUCAAUAUGAUCAAUCCUCUACUGGAGAUACUCAAACUGCGAAAUGAAAACAACCUAAUACUGAUCCAUACGAUCCUUUAUGGAGUAAAAACGUGUAUCACUAACCACAACAAGCUCCUCCAUGUGAGUGCCAAGAGAGCUGAUCUGAGCAGAUAAAUCCAUCCAUGGAGCAUGGUUAGGAACGAGAGGUGCUUGAGGAGGUGGUAUCUCAGUAUGGGUAGGCUCAAUGAAUGCAAGUCUAAAGUAGGAAGGUUUAGUGUAUGACAGUUGAGUAGAUGGACCCUCUAUAAAAGUCGGCUCAGUCAUCAUCGGCUCAAAGAAGGUAGUCUCAAACUGAACACCUCCGGUCAAUGAGGGAGUCUCUGUUUGGAGUGGGGCAAUGUUAAGCUUGGGUCUUCUCUACUGAUAGCCACUCUAAGGAUCUACUCCACCCUCCAUCUCUUGAAUCUCUUCCUUCUCUUCAACUUUAGGAUGUGCUUGUCACUAUCCCCGGGCCUGUGUUAGUGCUCUCUCUGCUUUUCUCACCCAAGAACCAUCUAGGGCCUUCUUAAAUUUCAUCAUCCCCAUGGACCGAUCAUCAUAUGUAUCAUAUGCACUAGGGGCCUCAAAAUCUGUCUCUUUACUCAGGUCAACGCCGACAUCCUUUAAUACUCUGGUAAGAAAACGGUCGUAGGGGAGUGCACGAAUUGUGCUCUCGCAACAUGCAAUCAUGUGCAUCAUCAUCAAAUAUCCCAAAUGGAUCCGUCUCCUAGUUAGAAUGGAAUUUAUAAGAAAUGCCUCAUAAUAAGAGACCUCAUCUCGGUGUCUACCCCAUGGUAAAAGAAUAGAGCAUGACAUAUGUUAAUGACUAUCAAGUUGUGAAUUGAGGAUUUGCCCAUCUUGUGGGCGUCUAGAAGUCCACAAAUCCUCUAAAUGGCCUCUUUAGGCUCAAAUCUCGGCAUAGUGGGCCAUGUCUUAGACUCAUAUACUAUGAGUCCAAUUGGAGCAAUAUCAAAGAUACGACAGAUUUCCUUUAGGUCUAGACGAAUCUCAACUCCUCUAACAGUAGAUGUGAUCAGGCAACCCAUGCCAUAAGUCACCCUCGAGUAAAAUGCUCGCACCAAUUUCAAAAAAAUCGGCUCAAAAAUAGUAAUAACCGACGACCAGCCCAUCCUCGUGAAUAAUCCCUCAAAUCCAAAGUGUUGAAGCUAGGGAAAGUUGAUGUUUCUCCUGGGAACUACUCAUCUCUGAGCAAAAUGCUACUUGUACCAUUGGUAGUCCUCCAUGGUAUUGAACAAGCCGAUGCCAAACAGUGCUUUUUGGCGUGCCUCUAGCUGAGACGACUCAACUAGGUACUUGCCUUGUGCCCUGGAGGCUACGAGCUCUCGUUUAGGGGCCAUAGAAGAAGGGAACAAAGCAAGAUGAAGAGAAAGAAUUGGUAGAGGCUCACACUUGAAACGCUGAUGAACGAAAAUGGAAAUGGAUCGGUGUUGGAGUUGAUUGUGAUGCACUGAAGGAAGAGAAAAUGACCCAAAAUGGAAACCUUAGCCUUCAAAGUCUUCAAAACUCUUCGAAAAUCAGGUCAAUAAGUCCGAAAGGCACUGAAAUUAGUCUCUAAAAGCCAAAACCAAAAAAACCCUGAAGAAUGGAGGAGAACAAUGCAUAAAAAAAAGUGCGGAAGCCUCUUAAAAUUCCCAGCCCUGAUGAACCGAUCGAUCGACUGAGGAUCAGUUAACCGUCUAGUCAACGCAGUUAAUGAUUUUGACUUUCCAAUUUUUGCACACUUUUUCAUUUUGUGAUCUCCCUACCCUUUUCAAUUAAAUUCCUCAAUUUUUGAUGCCUAAUGCCAAGGGAAUUUUGAUAAUGGUCAAAAAUUGACCAUUAUCUAAGUAUAUGUCUAUAUGAUGUAUAUGACAUGAAAUUUAUGCAAUCAUAAGGUAUAUCAUCAAGAAUUCAUUAAGCAAAAAUUUGAUCAUAAUGAAAUCACCCCUAGUUGUCUUCUAAUAUCAACAAUUUUUUCUUCACUUAGAGGUUUUAUAAAGAUAUUGACAAGUUGAUCUUUAGUGCUUACAAAUUCAAGUGUUAUGUCAUCUUUUUGUGCAUGAUCUCUAAGAAAGUGAUGUCUAAUCUCUAUAUGCUUAGUCCUAGAGUGUUGCACGAGAUUUUUUUAUAUACUUAUGGAACUAGUAUUAUCACAUUUAAUAGGUACAUGCUCAAAAAAUAAAUCAAAAUCUCUAAGUGUUUGUUUGAUCCACAUGAUUUGUGCAUAACAUAAACCGGCUGCUAUGUAUUCAGUUUCUACCAUUGACAAAGCAACUGAAUUUUGUUUCUUACUAUGCCAAGAAAUAAGUGAGUGUCCUAAUAAAUGACAAUUGCCACUAGUGUUUUUUCUUUAACCUUACAACUGGCAAAAUCAGCAUCCGAAAAACCAAUUAGUUCAAAGUUAUCACUCUUAGGAUACCAUAACCCUAUGUCCAUUGUCCUUUUCAAAUAUUUGAGAAUUCUUUUUACGACACUUAAGUGAGAUUCUUUGGGACAAGAUUGAAAUCUAUCACACAAGCAUACACUAUAUAUAAUAUCAGGUCUACUAGCGAUCAAGUAUAGCAAAGAACCUAUCAUGCCUUUAUACAUAGUAGAGUCAAUGGAUUUACCUUUCUCAUCCUUAUCAAGCUUGAUGGAUGAGCUCAUUAGAGUCUUCACUGUUUUAGCUUCCUCCAUGUUGAAUUUUUUGAGAAGAUCUCUUAUAUACUUUGCUUGAUUGAUGAAGGUUCCUUCAUUUAGUUGCUUGAUUUGAAGUCUAAGGAAGAAGUUGAGUUCUCCCAUCAUGCUCAUUUCAAACUCACUAUGCAUGCACUUAUCAAAUUCUUCACAAAGAGAGACAUUAGUAGGACCAAAAAUGAUAUCAUCAACAUAUAUUUGAACUAAAAGCAUAUCAUUUUCUUUGGAUUUUAUGAAAAUAGUUGUGUCAAUUUUUUCCAUUUUAAAACCAUUUUCCAAAAAAAAAUAAAAAUUGUUCAAUCUUUCAUACCAUGCUCUUAGUGAUUUUUUCAAACCAUAAAGUGUAUUUCUAAGUUUAAAAACAUGGUUAGGAAAGUUGAAACUUUGAAAUUCGGUUGGUUGUUCAACAUACACUUCUUCAUUUAUAAAACCAUUAAAAAAAAAACACUUUUCACAUCCAUUUGAUAUAAAAUAAAGUCUUUAAAACAUGCAAAGGCAAGUAGCAUCCUAAUGGAUUCCAACCUAGCUAUGGGGGCAAAGGUUUCUUUAUAAUCUAUCACUUUUUCUUGAUUAAAACAGUGGGCUACCAACCUUGCUUUGUUUCUAACAAUUAUGUCAUUUUCAUCAAUUUUAUUUUUAAAGACCUAUCUAGUUCCAAUAACACUUUGAUUUGAAGGUCUUGGUACUAAUUCCCAUACUUCACUUCUUUCAAAUUGAUUUAACUCUUCUUGAUUAGCAGUCAUCCAAUUUUUAUAAUUUAAAGUAUCAUUUAUAAUUUUAAGCUCAAUUUGAGAGAUAAAAGCUAGAUUAUUGCAAAUGUUUCUAAGAAAUGAUCUAGUUGUUACUCCACUAGAUGGAGGUUUCAGUUGCAAGUUGAUAUUUAAAUGUUAUAAUAAUAAUAAUAAUAAUAGGAUCUUGGGUUUUUUUUGGCUAAAAGUGAUAUUAAAAUAAUGAAAGAACCUAGAGAGAGAUUGGGUUCUACUAAGGUUUUGGGCCUUGGUGUAAAAGGCUAUUGGGCCUUUUGGGCUUAAUGCAUAAACAAUGGCCCAUUUUGAAUACUAAGGGUUGGGUUUCUAAUGAAGCCCACUAAAGUUUGGGUUUAAAUAUGGAUUGACCGGUAAUGGCCUAGAAAUAAAAUUUGUUGGGCCAUGGGGCUCAAUGUGGGCAUGUGGACCAAUUUAGGCCCUUUUUGGCCUGAUUUGAAUUUGAAUUUGAAUUUUAUUGGGCAUGGAAUUGAUUGUGUUUUAUUUGGAUUUAGGCACUCAUUCAUAAUUUGAAACCUUUAAAUUAUUUUUAAAAUUAUCAUGUAAAUUUUAUACAUGCAAAAUAAAUAAUUAUAUAUUGUUUUAUAUGUUUGUAGCCUAAAUUAAAGUUGUAGCUUUUAAUGCAUGCAAUUAUUGCCUAAAUUUGUGUUAGAUAUAUUAAAAUUAUAUCAUAUGGUUUUAAUGUCUAAUGAAACCAUAUGAUUUUAAAUAAUUAAGGAAUAGCCACAGCAUCCUUAAUUAUAUAAAAUUAUAUAUUAGGUAAAUAAGGAUCACAUUAUGGACAUUAAUUGUAAUUAAUUAUAUAAAUAUGAUGGAUUUUACCCCACAAGGUUUUCAUUAUGUUUAUAUAAUUAAUUAGGAUAAAAUAUUAAAAUUAAUUUUUCCUAAUUUACCCACAGGAGUUAGGAAGAAUUAAUUUAAUAGGUUUAUCAUAAAGAUUAUAGAUAGAAAAUAUCAAACUAUAUUCAUAAUAAAUUUCAUAAUUCAAUAAAAUAGUUUGAUAAAGUCUAUCAUAAAGAUAAUGAAUCUAAUUGAAUUAAAGAUUUAGCCCACAUGCAAUUUUUAAUAAAAUUAGAUUCAAUUUUAAGCAUGUUCUACAUUGGUAAAGCAUGAAUUUAUAUUAAAGCCUCAAUUUUUUUUUUUAAGCUUGUAAUCUUUUUGUGCAGCUUUACCUAGCAUAUCUGAUAUUCGUUGUGAAGUUCCCGAACUUAGGGGAGAUAACUUUAAGAUAUGGAAGGAGAUAAUUCUUCUUCAAUUAGGGUGCAUGGACAUAGACUAUGCCAUAAGGAAAGAUGAACCACAUAAGAUCACUGAUACCAGCAUACCUAAAGAAAUACUAUUAUACGAACGCUGGGAGAAAUCUAACCGCCUCAGCGUGAUGUACAUUAAGACAAAAAUUAGUGCUAGUAUAUGUGGUUCGAUCAAGCAACAUGAGAAUGUCCGCGAAUUGCUCAAGGCUUUUGACGAGCAAUUCAUCACUUCAGAUAAAGCCUUGGCAAGCACCUUGAUUAUGAAGUUCACAUCCCUGAAGCUCACCGGUAUAAGAGGUGUAUGCAAACACAUUAUGGAGAUAAAGGACAUAGUGGCUCAAUUGAAGAAGCUCGAGGUAGAAAUGUCUGAAUCCUUCUUGGUGCACUUUAUCCUUAACACUCUUCUGCCUCAGUAUGGACCUUUCAAAAUCUCUUAUAACACACAUAAGGAUAAGUGGUCUAUCAAUGAAUUGAUGACCAUGUGUGUUCAAGAGGAAGGAAGGUUAUUGAUGGAACAAGGAGAAAGUGCCAUGUUGGUGACGCAAAGGAAAUGAAAGAAAGAAAAAUCUCAAGCCAGUCAGGAAGGGAAGCAACAAAUUCCUCCCAAAUCUGACAUUAAGAAAGACGAAAAGUGUUUUUUCUGUAAAAAGAAAGGACACGUGAAGAAGAAAUGUCUGAAAUUUUAGAAAUGGCUUGAGAAGAAAGGUAACCCUACCUCAUUUGUUUGUUAUGAAUCUAAUAUGGUUAAUGUAAAUGUCAACACAUGGUGGAUUGAUUCUGAAUCUACAAUCCACAUUUCAAAUUCCUUGCAGGGUAUGCAAAACCUAAGAAAGCCAGUGACAAGUGAGCAAUUCAUCUUAUUUGGAAACAAGAUGGGCUCACAUGUGGAAGCAAUAGGGACAUGUUAUUUAAAUUUAAAUGGUGGUUUUGUUUUGGAAUUGCAAAAGACCUUUUAUGUACCAAGUUUCUCACGAAACUUGAUUUCAGUUUCUAGAUUUGUACCGUUUGGAUAUUCCUUUCAUUUUUCAGAAACAUCUUUCAGUUUGAUUUAUAAAUCUGAUUGUGUUGGGAAUGGUAUUUUGUCUUAUGGUCUUUAUUGCAUAUUCUUACAAAAUGAUACCACUCAUAAUUCAUUACAUGUCCAAACUGGCAUUAAAAGAUGUGUUGUUAAUGAGGAUUCCUCUACAUUGUGGCACCGAAGAUUAGGUCAUAUCUCCAUGGAUAGAAUCAAAAGGUUGGUGAAUGAUAGGGUACUUAGUACUCUAGAUUUUACUGACUUUGAGACUUGUGUGGACUGCAUUAAGGGAAAGCAAACCAACAAGUCAAAGAGAGGUGCUACUAGGAGUUUUGCCAUAUUAGAGAUCAUACAUACUGAUAUAUGUAGUCUUGACAUGGACUCUCAUGGUAAAAAAUACUUCAUCUCUUUCAUAGAUGAUUUCUCAUGAUACAUGUAUCUCUACAUACUUCAUAACAAAAAUGAAGCUUUAGAAGCCUUUAAAUUUUUCAAGGUAGAAGUAGAGAAACAAUGUGGUAAACAAAUUAAGAUCGUGAGAUCAGAUAGAGAUGGAGAAUAUUAUGGUAGAUACUUGGAAGAUGGACAAUCACCUGAGCCAUUUGUGAAGUUUCUUCAAGAACAUGGGAUUGUUGCCCAAUACACCAUGCCUGGUUCUCCAGACCAAAAUGGUGUAGCAGAAAGAAGAAACCAAACUUUAUUGGACAUGGUGAGGAGUAUGCUUAGCAGCUCAAAACUUCCUAAAUUCUUGUUGACUAAAGCACUUAAGAUAGCAGUGUAUAUAUUAAACCGAGUUCCAACCAAGGUUGUCCCAAAGACACCAUUUGAGUUAUUGAAAGGUUGGAAACCGAGUUUGCGACAUAUGCGCAUUUGGGGAUGCUCGUCUGAAGUGAGAAUUUAUAAUCCACAAGAGAAGAAACUGGACCCAAGGACUAUUAGUGGGUAUUUCAUUGGAUAUGCUAAAAAGUCUAAGUAGUACAAAUUUUACAGUCCAUCUCACAACACUAGGAUUGUGGAAUCGAGAAAUGCUAAAUUUCUUGAAUAUGACUUGGUCAGUGGGAGCGAUCAAUUCAAAAACAUAGUUUCUGAUAUUGAUCAUACAGAGUCUCAACCUUCCACUUCAAGUGAUAGAUUGUUUAUUAUUCAUAACACUCUUCAAGUACAAACGGGUGAAGAACGAACAAUCGCUGAAGUUCAACCAGUCAUUGAAGUUCCACAAGCUAUUGACAACAUUCCAGUAGAUCAAGUUGAUCAGGAGUUGCCUGACACUUCUGAACAACAAGUUGAACCUCAUACUUCCUUAGAAAAUAUUGGUGCAACCUUAAGAAGGUCUACUCGAACUAAAAGGUCAACAAUUCCUAAUUAUUAUGUAGUGUAUCUACAAGAAUGUGACUACAAUAUAGGAACCGAAAAUGAUCCCGAAUCUUUUUCACAAGCCAUGAGUUGUAAAGAAUCAGAAUUGUGGUACAAUGCCAUGAAGGAUGAGAUGAGUUCCAUGAAGUGCAACGAUGUUUGGGACCUUGUUGAGUUGCCUAAUGGUGCAAAAACCAUUGGUUGUAAAUGGGUUUUUAAGACAAAGAAAGACUCAUUAGGCAACUUUGAGAGAUACAAGGCCAAAAUUGUUGCAAAGGGGUUCACUCAGAAAGAAGGAAUCAAUUACAUGAAAACCUUUUCUCUUGUAUCUAAGAAAGAUUCCUUGCACAUUAUAUUGGCAUUAGUAGCCCACUUUGAUUUAGAAUUGCAACAAAUGGAUGUGAAAACAAAAUUUCUUAAUGGAGAGCUAAAGGAGGAGGUUUACAUGAAACAACCUGAAGGAUUCCCCUCUAGUGAUGGUGAGCAAUUGGUUUGGAAGCUUAAGAAAUCCAUAUACGGUUUAAAACAAGCAUCCCACCAAUGGUAUUUAAAAUUCCAUAACAUAAUUUCUUCAUUUGGUUUUGUAGAAAAUGUUAUGGAUCAAUGUAUAUACCUUAAGGUCAGUGGGAGUAAAGUUUGUUUUCUUGUUUUAUACGUGGAUGACAUCUUACUUGCAACCAAUGAUAAGGGUUUACUUCAUGAGUUGAAACAAUUCCUCUCUAAAAAUUUCGACAUGAAGAAUAUGGGUGAGGCAUCUUAUGUCAUUGGCAUUAAGAUCCAUAGAGACAGAUUUCAAGGUAUCUUAGGUUUGUCUCAAGAAACCUAUAUCAAUAAAGUUUUAGAGAUAUUUCGGAUGAAGAAUUAUUCACCUAGUGUUUCCCAUAUAGUGAAGGGUGAUAGGUUUAAUCUGGACCAAUGCCCGAAAAACGAUCUUGAGAGGGAACAAAUGAAGAACAUUCCAUAUGCUUCUGCAAUCGGAAGUCUGAUGUAUGCUCAGGUCCGCACAAGGCCUGACAUUGCAUUUGCUGUUGGAAUAUUAGGACGAUAUCAGAGUAACCCAAGUAUGGACCACUGGAAAGCUACAAAGAAAGUGAUGAGAUAUCUUCAAGGAACCAAAGAUUACAAGCUUAUGUACAGAUGGAGAAGCAAUUUAGAGGUUGUUGGCUACUCAGAUUCAGACUUUGCUGGCUGUGUUGAUUCACGUAAAUCAACAUCUGGAUACAUUUUUAUAUUGGUUGGUGGAGCUAUAUCUUGGAGGAGCGUUAAGCAGACCAUGACUGCUACUUCUACUAUGGAAGUUGAGUUCAUAUCUUGUUUUGAGGCUACUUCACAUGGUGUAUGGCUUAAGAGUUUCAUUUCCAGGCUUAGAGUUAUGGAUUCAAUAUAUAGGCCAUUGAGUAUACAUUGCGACAAUUCAACUGCAGUCUUUAUGGUGAAGAACAAUAAAAGUGGAAGUCGAAGCAAACACAUCAACAUUAAGUAUCUAGCCAUAAGAGAAUGUGUUAAAGAAAAUAAACCGGUUAUUGAGCACUUUAGCACUGAAUUGAUGAUCGCUGAUCCUUUGACUAAGGGCAUGCCGCCGUUGAAAUUCAAGGAUCAUGUAGUGAACAUGGGACUUAGUUCCCUUAUGUAGUUUCAAUUGUACAAACUCUUAUUAUGAUGUUUUCUCAUAUUGAUGUGCACUUUUAUUUAAUUUUGAGAAAAUUCAACUUCAUUGGACCAAGAAUGAACAUAGGGUUUAUUCAUUAAGUAAUAUUGCCACAUAAAGUAUAAUGUUAAGAAAUGAGUACACUGUAAUACAUGGAAGGUAACACUCAUUAAAUAGAGGACUUAUCACCAUGAUUCAUGUAUUUGUUACUUAAUGGGAUAAUUGAUGGAUUAAGAUAGGACAUUAGGUUAAAGGUGUGGACCAAGUGGGAGAAUGUUAGCUGAAUACACAUUUACCACUUGCUGAAUACACGUUCACCAUGUCGUCCAACACUUCAGAUGUGGUCUAGCACUUUGACCACGUCCUCCACCAUUACUCUUCCGUUGCGAUUAAGGAGCACAUUCCAGCAACUGCUCAACAUGGUGGCAAGAGCAAUGUGGUAUGAUGGAAGCCACGGUUAUAAAGAUUUUAAAAAUGGUCCCGAACUCGUCUGCUGUAAUUAUCUUCAGAAACACCAUCUAAAAAGGAGAUUAGAGUUUGGAAAUCUGGGUUUUUCAAAACCGAUUAUAGUAACACAUACAAUGACUAGAGGUAAGUAGACCAUUCUUAGUCUUUUAAGUUUUUAUUCAUGCUACAAAUUCAUUGGAAUCAUAUAUAUAUAUAUAUAUAUAGCAUGUAAACAACUUACAAUAACUGUGAAAAGGAACCCUUCAAUCUAGGGAUUUUAAAUGAAACAAAAAAUAAAUUUUAUAAAAUAUAACUUUACUAACUAGAGUACAAUUAUCUCGUGUACUUGCGAUGUUCUUUAAGUGACAUCUUUUAUAUUUUAUUGUUUGCCUAUCCAUAAAAAAACCAAUAAGCCUAGAGUAGAAUUUAUAAAUAUUUUCAAGAAUAGAAUAGAGGAAUUGUAAGAAUUGAUGGCCAAGUGACUAUUUGGUUCUCUUUCAACUGAUCAUUGAUAUAUGGAGAAUGAAGUGAACAUUAACUACAAGAUUAAAGCAUGAUAGAUGUUGUGGGAAAGUAGUUUUAGGUUGUUAGGUUAACAUUAAAGGGCAAUUUACCUAGAUACAGGCCUUGUACUAUUGGUGUCUACCCACAUAAAAUAAGCAUGCUAAAAUAGAGAUGUUAAGAUAGAUAAAUGGCUAGAAAAUGAAUAUGUUAGUUGAAACCUAGACGCAGGCAUCUAUUCAGGACAAGAGGGAAGAAGACCAUAUGACCCUAAAUUUAGAAAGGAGAUGAUCCUCAAUCUAGUUUGAUGGAUAAAUAGGAUUUGUGUAGCAGAACAAUUAUAAUUGGUAGAUAAACACUUUUUGUAGUUCAGUGCCUAGCUUUUCAACUGUUGACUUGUUUCCUAGGUCAGCUUUGUACAUUUGAUAGAAAUUUGGUUCGUAUUUUUCAUGAUGGAUAACUUGUAACUUUUAAUUACUCAUUCCAUUCAAAGUCAAUUGAUCUAAUAAUAGGUAAUAACACAAACAUAUUUGGUUACUUUUUGUGUAUUUUGUGUUUUUUUCUGUUAUAUUGACAAUUGCAAUGACAUGGGCUAAAGUGCAAUGGGUGCCUUAUCUGACCCUAAGAGAUGCUCACCUUAGCAUGACUUAGUGUUGGUCAAUUUUGAAUGUUUUUUUUUUCUCAUAAAGACAAGCAUGAAAAAAAAUAUAAAACAUUCUCUAAAAUCAUAAUAAUGCAUUGAAAAAAAAAACGAAAAUAACAAAUACAUAAGACACAGUAGUUGUUGAAACAUUUAACCUAGGAAUUAGAAUAUCACUUCUACUACAACUUUUAACUACCAUGCCAUAAAUCCUAGCUUCCUCAAUAACAUAUAUGAUCUUAUGCUCCAUAAUCUUCAUAAAACCAAUUCAUGUUCCUAUGAAUGAAGUACGUACCCUACUAGGUCUUUAACCUUACAUUGAUGAACUAAUUUGAGGUUCCACACUUUGUUCAUAGCAUCAUAUGCACCUAUGCUCAUGCACAUAUGACUCAGAACUACUAAUAGAAUAAAAAACUUACUAUCAUUAAAUCAAACUUAACGUUGAUUCAGAGACUUGAUUAAGAAAACCAAGUCCAAUCAAUACACUUGACAUUGUUCAAGUAAACCCUUUUAUUUAUUGAAGUUAAAUCAUGAUCUGAAAACAACUUUUGAAUAAGCACUUUUUCUUUGUGAAUGAAGAUAAGAGUUUUGAUUUUUAGUUCUUGUAAUGCAUAGGAGUUUGAUUGUUCAUAUAUUUUCAAUUUAUUCUUACAAAAAUUUAAAAAUUGACUUGGUAUGGGACUUGUAGUGAUGUUGUGUACAUUUUAUUUGAUGAGUACUUUUUCUGAUGUGGAAAUCAAACCCUGAGCCAAAGGUUUGGAAUAAUAAGGAAAAUAGUAGUAUAUAAUUUCCUUUUUCAUUAGAACUUUAUUUUCAUAUUCACAUGAAAAUCUCUAAAAGUUAUUUGAAGUUUGUUUCAGUUUGUAUUAUUUUGUUUAUUUUACUAAAGAAAUGCCAAUUUUGCUAGUGAAAUUUGUUAUGUGCUAUGCAGUUACAAAUUGGUGUUGAUGAGUAAUAUAAGCUAUCUAUUCUUUCACAUGAGACACAGGUUUAUGCUCAUAUUGAGGUAAGUGUGAGCCAAUGUUGAUUGAAUCUAACCCCAUGACCUUGGUUUACAAGUCUGAAGGGUAACAUGGUUAAUAAUAUUUUUUUAAAAAGAAUAUUGACACAUUGUAUUUCUUGGUGCCAUCAUAGAAUUCCAUUUAGAUACUCACUGUAUUCAAGCGCAUGAAUAGUUUUAAUUUAUGUCAAGAGGAGAACAAUUCAUAACCACUUAUAAAAGGCAAAUAGCAACUAAGCUUGUUUAUCUUGGAAUAAAAAAUGAGGGCCACUAGUGAGUAUCACCAAUAAAACAGAGUACUGAUGAAUACUACUAUCCAAAAAUUAUGUAAGGAUGGUGCAUAAUUUUGAUAUAUUCCAUCCCCAGAAUUUGGUUCAAUUGUCGAAAAAAUCCAUUAGUAUAAAAAAAGAAAAGCCAAGGACCCAAAAUUCACAAGUCACCUAUGUAUCUUAGAAUAAAAAACACUAUAAUAAAUAAGAACUAUUUCCAUUAUGAGAUAGGUUGCAACAAAUAUUAAUAGCACCCAAAAUUGACUUCGUAAAACGUAGGUUAACAGGAAAAAAAAUCUCUCUCCUCAUACCAAUGAGGAUUAAACAAAAUAUAGGAUUAAGCAAAUCUAGGGUGAGAUUUAGCGAGCCCACUAAUCUCAAAUAUCCAACUAUGAUUUGCAUGGAAGGCAAUGGUGGUAAGGAUCGAUGAGGGAACGAUAGACAGUGAACUGAUAUCGGGAGAGAGAUUAGGUCAAUGUAUUUGGGUUGAAAUCAAAUGGUCGGUAGAGAUGAAAUCAAGAGAAAAGAAAAUCGGAGAACCUACUAACCUCAAAUAGCCAACUACGGUCGACACGGAGGGCAAUGCCAAUAGGGAUUGAUGAUGGAACGAUAGAUGGUGAACUGAAAUUAGGAGAGAGAUUAUGACAAUGUAUUUGAGUUGAAAUCAAAUGGUUGGGAGAGAUAAAAUUGAAAGAAAAGGAAAGAAACACAAAUAUGAAAUAGAAGCGAGGGAGGAAAUUGAGAGGGAGAGAGGAAAACAACCAUUGUCUAGGGUUGAAAUGUUGAAGAAAGAGAAAAUUACGGUAAGAAUUCAAACUUGGAUUUUUAAAAUUUUUUUUAAUAGUCAGCAAAGGCUAUUUCUAGAAAUAUUAAAAAUUCAUAUCAUUCUUCUCAAUUUUGACACUUUCUUUGGGUCUUGGCCUUAAAUGGUUCACUUAUAUGAACCAAAGCUUAAUUUUUGGGCCCAGCUGGGUCCAAAACACAAUUAUCCCUUAAAGAAAUGAAAGUCUUUAACUAUCUUUCCUUCUUGUCAUGUCACAUAAACAACUAUUAAAACAAGUUUUAUCUAUAUAUAUAUGGGAUAAAAUAAUCUUGAAAGCAUGUGCUUCAAUUCUAAAAUCAUCAAACUUUUAAUAGUGUCCCUUAACCCUUUCAAAAGUUUCUUCUAACCUUUCUCUCAUCUUCACGUCAAUUACCACAUUUAAAUAAUUUUUUUUUUGACAUGAUAAGCCUAAGAGACUAUUCUUGUUGUUGUUUUAUUUUGUUUUUUUGUUUUUUCUUUUUAAAUAAAACUUUAAUAUAUGAUAAACAACCAUAUCACAUGUUUUUUUUGUUUUGUUUUUUUUUUUACUCCAUGAUAUCUCCAUAUUUUUGUUUGUUUUUUUUUUUUUAAUGUGUAGCUUCAUGAAAUUUUUCUUAUUUAAUUUUUUUUCACUAUUCCUUUCUUUAUAUUUAUUGAUUUUAAUUAUUUAUGGAUGUUUUAAUCACAAAAUAAUAAUAUACAAUAAAUAAUUAAUAAGAACAAAUUUAAGAUUAAAAUAAUUACAUAACAAACAAAUUUUGACACAUAGGACACAAGAUAUUUUAUAUUCCUCUUAAAUAAAAUAUUUAUUUAUUUUAUAAAUCUGAUUACAUUGUCAUAUUUUUUUAAUUAUUUAUAUUUUUAAAUUUUUUGAAACUUUCAUAUGAAAAUCAAAGUUAAUGAUCACGGUUUUAGUUUUCUUAUGCUUGUAACUUGAGCACAACUUUAACUUUCAUCUUCGUUAAAAUGUUUAGUAUUUUUAAUUAUGUAAGAUAAAAACUUCAUUGUGGUUCUAAACUUUUGUUUUGUUUAAAUUUUUAAUUUUUUAUUUAUAUAAAAUAAAAAAUAAAUAUAUUUUCUUAUAAAAGUUGUAUUCAAUAAAUAUAAAUAAUAAAAUAAUAUGACAAUACAAUAAGAUUUGUAAAUUAAAUAUAUAUGUUAUUUAGCAGGAAUAUAAAAAAUCUUAUGUCUUAAAUUUCUAAAUUUGUUCAUUAUGAAUUUAUUUUUGUAUUAAAUUUGUUUUCAUUAAUUAUUUAUUAUAUAUUUUCAUUUUAUGUUUAAAAUAUCCAUAAAUAAUCGAAAUUAAUAAAUGUAAAAGAUGAAAUAGUGAAAAAAUAGAAAUAAAAAAUUCAAAAUCAUGUGGCAUGAUUGGUUGCCAUGUGUCAAUUUUUCUUUCUAAAAGGAAAUAAUGAUAAGCUCUUUGACUUGUCAUGUCAAAACAAAAGAAAACAACAAAUUUUUUUUAUAGUUGGCAGAAAAUGAGGAGAUGAGGGUUAUAGGGUAAUUUUAUUUUUUUUCUAUUUUUUUUUAUGAUUUCACUAUUGAAAUACAUAUUUCUACGAUUAAUUUUUCUAAAAUAUAUGUACUUUAAAAUUUAAAAUUUAAACCUCUCAAAUAUUUUAUCUUUUUUAUAUGGUGCAUUAUUACAUGUUGUUUAAUGGAUUGAAUGUGUUAGAACAUGGUUUUUAAUUCACUUUUAUAACAAUUUUUUUAUAAUUAAUACACUUGGAAAAAGGUAUUCUUAAAUGAUUUAAUUUGUCUUCCUUUCUAGUAGCCAAUUUAACGAGAUAAAAAAGCAAAGGCUUUUCAAAAGCAAAUUUGAAGAACUUGGUCAAGUGCUAUGUGCAGUUGUAGGGCCCUCCCAAUGGCCUUCCCAUUUGGCCUUCAUGUUUUAUCAUUUUGUUCGGGCAAUAAGCUAACGAGCUUUGUCUUGCAAGAUAUUUUGAGACUUUGAUAUAUUGUUUUGUUCAUAUUGAUUGUAUUAAGGAGGUAAAAGAGUUUUUAACCACUAUUCCAUUUUGCACUAAAAAAUUUGAUAAAGACAUGAAAAUUGACUUUGUGUGUCAAUUAUUGUCAUGAUGCAUAUGAGAAAAUAAUGUGUCACUUAACUCUUUUGAGUAAAGUCUUGCCUUUAAGUAUUGAGAAAUAUUUGAUAAAUCAUAGGCAUUCUUUCUUUAUUGUUCAUUAAUAUGUGGAGUAGGUUGGCCUUUGAAUUAGUCAAGGACGUGGCAUGUCUUUUGCCUUAAAUUUACCCCAAUUUAUUUGACUCAAAACUAAAGUAGCAUUAAGAAUGAUACUUCAAGUGGUUGUAAAUUUACAUUUCCUAAAAUAGGUUCAAAUUUUGAUAAUUAUGCCAAUGUGAAAUCUCUUUAAUCAUGUGCCAUAGAUAGAAUACGUGUUGGAUUUUUUUUCAUGUUUCUCAAAAUUGGGAGAGCUCUAUAAACUUAGCCUCAUACUUCACCACUAACAUAUCACCUUGUUCCAAUUAUGAAAUCUUAAUCUCCUUCUAGCAUCAUAAAUUCUCAUGAAAAUACUUUUUGUUGAAUUCUUCCUCAAACUGGUCCCAUAAAGUUGGAUCCUGACCUCAUAUAAGUCUUUUCUCCAUUCUCCACCAAUGUUCUACCUCACCACUACCAUGAAAGAGGCAAAGGUCACCUUUUAAGUUUCUGAGUAACCUAAAACAUCAAAAUGCUUCUCAAUAUCCAAAAUCCAUGCCUCACCUUCUGAAGGAUUUGGCUCCUUAUUAAAGGAAGGAGGGCCCAUCUUCUUGAAUUACUCAAAUGAAUCCUCAAUGGAAGAAAAUGACCGACACUAUGUAUGUAUCUCAAUAGAUUGAGUCUGAGUCUUAGUAGCAUGAGUUUGGUGCUCAACCAAUCUAACCCAAGUACCUAAAUGUUGAGCUACCCCAUCAGUAGGCAAAAGAGGUGCCUCUAAGCCUUCAUUUGCCUUGGGUAUAGCAUUCUCAUUUCUAAUGGUCUUAAAAGGUACAAUCUCCCUUGAUGUAGGGCUACCAUGGGAGAUAUAACCUAGUCAUUGCAUGGUUUGAACCAAUUAGUAAUAUAAAUAAUACAUAAAAGAUUAAAACAAGAGUAGCAGGUUCUGAAACCUCACAAGAUCUAACUUAAACCUCAACCUAACUAAGAAGUCUAUAGGACCUUAUCUUGUUGCUUUGAUACCACUUUGUAACAUCCCUAACCUUGAGACCAAGGGCAACCUUGUCAAUUUUACACAUUCAUGCAAAAAUAACGAAAUAGUCAAAGUGAACAAAAGUUAUAGAUACUCUUAUUAGAGUGAAAUCAUAGAGAUAAACCUAUCUUGCCAAGAUGGAAGUUUAAUGAUUCACAUAAUUACAAAAUGUUCAUUCAAUUCAAGUCAAGCUAAAAAUUAAAAGACAACAUAUAAUUCAAAUCAACAUGUCUAAACAAAGGCUUUAAGGCUAAACAAAAAUACUAAACUAAUAAGAACCCUUCCUAGCCCAAACUCACUCAUUGCCAUCUACAAAUUGAAAAGGGUUCAAAAGCAAAGAUAGUAAGCUUUAGCUUAGCAAGGAAUAUAGUAACAAUUUUUUUUUUCUUUUUAUACAAAUAAAAGUAACGUAAUACAUAACAAAACUUUCAAACAUAAAGAACCUGAACAAUUUUUUACCAAACUAGGGUAACCCUUAGAAACAUGUCUUUCAGUUCAAAAGGCACUAGACAAUCAAAUGGUACAAUUAGGUCAUUGAUUACCCUAUUGACUAGAUUUUCCAAUUCUCAUACAAUUGGGCAAUAAGGGUCAACAACAACAGAAAUAAUGGUUUUCACAAUAUAAAAUUUCUUGGAAUGGUAUAAUAUUUUCAUGCCCUUUCAAAAAAAUAGUAUUGAAAAAUAUAUUUAAGGGUGAUAAUUUCUUAGCUAAUGCAAAUGUAAAAUUUGAAUUGAGAAAUAAAGUCGAUUAAACUUCAAAUUCACCUAAACAAAUAAAAUAAAUAUCAUUAAUAUAAACCUAAAUAAAUAUUUCUUACUUAACGAGAAUUUAUCACGUGCUAUUAAUUUAUUCUUUACUUUUGUAUACAUUAUCCUCAAUUUACAUUUCCAACUACCCUAAUUAAUUUUUUAUCUAUUUAUUUUACUUCUAUCAUUGUCCGUCAAUCACCUCAAAACAAACACACACACACAUAUAUAUAUAUAUUUCACUUUUACAUAAUAAAACUUUUUCAUUCUAUCAUAAAUUCUAUUUAUCUACUUUUUAAAUUUUCCUUUAGUCAUAAAUAUUUUCUGUUGAUAUAUUAGGAAUGCUUUCCUUAUAUCAUUUAGUGUUGAGAUAUUAGGAAUGUUUAGAUAUUAGGAAAGUUGAGAUAUUAGGAAUUUUGAGAUAUUAGGAAAGUUGAGAUAUUAGGAUAUUAGUUGUUAUUUUCUUAUAUCAUUCUUUCCUUGUAUCAUUCUUUCCCAUUCUUAAAAUGGUGAUUACCCUCUAUAUAUACUCUGUACAUGAAUGAAUGAAAGAAUGAAUGAAAAAACUACCAUUUAUCAAUUUGAAGAUGGUAUCAGAGCCAUGGAACUGAAAUCCUGGAUAUUUUGUCGCUAUGGUAGUCUGACAGUGAUCAACCAUCCUAAGACAAGCCCUAAUAUUGAUAAGUCAACCUUCAAAUGCACUCACUGCAAUAAGACUGGUCCCACCAAUCUGGAUAUCCCACAAUUUCAAAGCAACGACUCUUGGUAUGACCAAGAAAGCAAUGAGGAACCGAGGGUUUGAACCAUGGACCUUUAGAUCAUGUUUAGGCUAUCAACACUUUGUUAUUAAUGAUAAUAAUCGUGAUCAACGGAAGAAUGAUUCCAAGAAAACCUCGACUACAACUGUUGCCGAAAUAAAAACAGAGGCUAAUGUUGCUGAGAAAGCCUCUACAUUGGUAGCCGCUAUUGAUCAUGGUGGUAAGUUUUUAAAUACUUUUACACCUAUUAUUAAUAGUGCAUGGAUAAUUGAUUCUGGUGCUACAGAUCAUAUGACUUUUGAUUCUAGACAGGUUUCACCCCUUAGACCUUCCUUACAAAAAAUUGUUUCCACAGCCAAUGGUAACACAACCCCAGUCAUUGGGGAAGGAUCCUUAACUCUUACUGAUACUUUGAAUUUGGAUUCUGUUUUAGUUGUUCUAUCUUUAGAUUACAAUCUUUUGUCAGUUUCUCAAAUCACUGCAGCCUUAUCUUGUAUUGUCAUUUUUUGGCCUGAAUUUUGUGUGAUUAAGGACAUCCUAACAAGACAGAUGAUUGGUUGUGGUAUUAAGCGGGGAAAACUCUAUUACUUCGACUUGCAGUCAAAGGAUUCAAAUAAGUUGCAACAAGCCUUGAUGGCAGAUGGAUCUGAGGGGGAGAAGAAAAAGUCUGAAAUUUGGUUGUGGCAUCGACGUCUGGGACAUGCUUCCUUUGGUUAUUUAAAAAAAUUGUUUCCUAGUUUGUUUGCAAAGAGUGAUAUUUCUGGUUUUCGUUGUGAUAUUUGUGAAUUGGCUAAAAGCCAUCGUGCUUUAUUUUUGUUAAUUUUGAAUAAAAGUCUGUUUCCUUGUAUGAUUAUACAUUCUGAUGUUUGGGGCCCAUCCAAAGUCCCAACUUUGAGUGGCUCAUGUUGGUUUGUUACUUCUAUUGAUGAUUGUACCAGAAUGACAUGGUUAUGCUUGAUGAAGACCAAAAAUGAAGUGAACUUGUUGUUUAAAAAUUUUCAUAAAAUGAUUGAAACUCAGUACAAUGCAAAGGUUCGGGUUCUGCAUAGUGAUAAUGGUGGAGAAUAUCAAAGUUUUGAUCUUCAAAAGUAUUUGGAAGGACAUGGCAUCAUUCAUCAGACUACUUGUUCCAAUACACCCAAGCAAAAUGGAGUCACUGAACGAAAAAAUCGGCACUUGUUAAAGGUUGUUCGUGCUUUCUUGAUAGCAGCAAAAACACCGAUAUCUUAUUGGGGAGAAGCAAUCACAUCUGCCGCAUACUUGAUCAAUCGGGUACCUUCUAGCUCAAUUAACUUUCAAACACCUCUUCAAGCUCUUACUAAUGUCGUAGUUACCCCAACCGUCCUAAAUCUACCUCCUCGUGUUUUUGGUUGCGUGGCAUUUGUGCAUCUACACAAGCACCAACGCACCAAGUUAACUUCCCAUGCAUUGCAAUGUGUGUUUGUUGGAUAUGCAUUGCACAAAAAGGGAUAUCGAUGUCACUGUCCUCCAACUCGACAAAUGUAUAUUACAAUGGAUGUGGUGUUUCAUGAAGAUUCGAUGUAUUUUUCAUCUGAGUCUGAACUUCAAGGGGAGUACUAUAAGGAAAUUCAGACUCUCGAUUAUGAUUAUCAUAUCUCUCAGGAAGAUGAAUCUGGACAAUCUGAACUAGUGAACCAAGAAGCGGGUGAGUUGGAUAUGAGUGGUCAACAAUUUGGGUCCGAAGAUGUCUUCACUGAAAUACCAAAUCAUUCGUCGUCUGUUGAGGGUGUUCUUAAUUUGGAACCUAAUCCAUUCAUGAAACGGUUACCACACCGUCAUAAUAGAGGUAUUCCUAAACCCACAUAUGAACCUGAAUUGUCUACCAAAGUCAAAUAUCCCAUGAGCAACUAUGUGUCUAACCAUCAUUUGUCUGAAUCAAAUAAGUCAUUUGUAAAUCAAUUAUCUACUGUAGCUAUUUCUAACGGUGUGCAGAAAACCUUAGCUGAUCCAAGGUGGAAAGCAGCCAUGAAUGAAGAGAUGAAAUCAUUGCAGAAGAAUGAAACAUGGGAACUCGUAAAAUGUCCACCAGGAAAGAAGCCAGUUGGGUGUCGUUGGAUCUAUACUGUGAAGUACAAGGCAAAUGGUAGUAUUGAAUGAUUUAAAGCAAGAUUGGUAGCAAAAGGGUACACUCAAAAUUAUGGAAUUGACUACAUAAAGACAUUUGCACCUGUAGCUAAGAUCAACAUAGUUCGAGUAUUACUGUCUUUAGUUGCAAACCUAGAUUGGCCAUUACAACAAUUCGAUGUGAAAAAUGUCUUUCUGCUUGGCAAGUUAUCUGAAGAAGUAUAUAUGGAUCUUCCAUCAGGAUGCAUGAUGUCAGAAAAGCAAUGUCAGAAGGUGUGCAAAUUGAAGAAGUCAUUGUAUGGGUUGAAGCAAUCCCCGAGAGCAUGGUUUGGAAGGUUCACAAAGUCAAUGAGAGCUUUUGGCUAUCGUCAAAGUAAUUUAGAUCACACUUUGUUCUUGAAAAAGCAACAUGAUAAGAUUAUGACACUCAUCGUAUAUGUGGAUGACAUGGUAGUUACAGGAAAUGAUCCUGAAGAAAGAAAAGCUCUACAAAAUUAUCUAUCUAGGGAAUUCGAAAUGAAAUAUCUAGGUCAUCUGAAAUACUUUCUUGGGAUUGAAGUUUCUCGAUCAAGUGAAAGAAUUUUUCUGUCUCAAAGAAAGUAUGCCUUAAAUCUUUUACAGGAGACUGGAAUGUCGGGAUGUCAACCUGUUAAUACACCAAUAGAAGAAGGUCUGAAAUUGUGUGUUGAGCCUAAUCAAGUAUCAACCAAUAAGGGAAGAUACCAGAGACUUGUGGGGAGAUUAAUGUACUUAGCUCAUAUAAGACCAGAUCUUGCUUAUGCAUUGAGUGUAGUGAGUCAAUACAUGCAUAAUCCUGGAGAGCAACAUAUGAAUGCAGUCAUGCGUAUUUUGAGGUAUUUGAAAAAUGCUCCUAGGAAGGGAAUUUUGUUCACUAAAAAUGUUGAUCAUCAGAGUAUAGAAGUAUAUACUGAUGCUGAUUGGGUCGGUGCAGUGGAUGAUAGGCGAUCUACAUCUAGUUACUUUACCUUUGUAGGUGGUAAUCUUGUGACAUGGAAAAGUAAGAAGCAGAAUGUCGUCGCUCGUUCAAGUGUAGAAGCGGAAUUUAGAGGUAUGGCUCUAGGACUUUGUGAGGCAUUAUGGCUAAGACUCCUCUUGUAGGAUUUAGGUUACCUAUCUAGGCAACCAAUCCGAUUGUUUUGUGACAAUAAAGCCGCAUGUGACAUUGCUCAUAAUCCAGUACAACAUGAUCGUACAAAGCAUGUCAAGGUGGAUAGAUUCUUCAUUAAGGAAAAGUUGGAUGAUAAGAUUGUGGAAUUGUCUAAGAUUCGAUCAGAAGAUCAAUUGACCGAUACCUCACCAAAGCUGUCUCAAGUCAAGUGUUCUCAAAAUUUUUAAACAAGUUGGGCAUGUGUGACAUCUAUGCACCAACUUGAGGGGGAAUGUUGAGAUAUUAGGAAUGCUUUCCUUAUAUCAUUUAGUGUUGAGAUAUUAGGAAUGUUUAGAUAUUAGGAAAGUUGAGAUAUUAGGAUAUUAGUUGUUAUUUCCUUAUAUAAUUCUUUCCUUGUAUCAUUCUUUCCCAUUCUUAGAAUGGUGAUUACCCUCUAUAUAUACUCUGUACAUGAACGAAUGAAAGAAUGAAUGAAAAAACUACCAUUUAUCAAUUUGAAGAUUUUCUGCACAUUGAGUAUCCAUUCUCCACUGCAUUCUUUUACGGAACAAUUAAAAUGUGUUUUUUUAGUUUAUAUUUAUAUUUUUCCACUAAACCUCACUUCUUAAAUCUGUAGAAUUUUCUUAUGGACAAAUACUCACAUCUAUUUCAGAAUUUUAUUGUAUAUCAAUUUCUCUUAAAUAAUAAUAAAAACUCUCACCUACAAUAUUUUUGUAUUAGUUUAAGGUUAAAUCAAAGACCACAUUUAUCUUAUUACCAUUAAUUUGUUAAUUUAACUUCCUGAUCUUAUACAAAUCAUUAAUAAUAAUUUGUUUUACACAUCUACUCUAGAAAAUAGAAAUCCUGAAAUACUUACCUUAUAUUUUACUUUUUAGAGAGUAAAAACAAUCAAAAUUUCUUUUUAUGGUGAAAUCUUAACUUUUAUCUUGCCUUUUUCUCUUUGGUUCUCCUUGUUUUUGUAGUGACUCUAGAGAUUUGUUUUUUAUUUUUUAUUUUUUUAACCUAAAACUUCUCAAUUUUUUUUUUUUAUUAUUUUAAACCAUGAAAGUUAAAUUUCAUGGUUUGUAAUGCCCUUGGCUUAUGUUAGGGGUAUUACAAUCUAUUCUUGCAUGCCAUUUGGCUUGGUUGUGAAGAAAAAUUGAUAUAGUGAAAGAAGAGAGAGAAUUAUUCUUAGGAAAUCAUUUUAAAUUAUUAAAAAUGCAUAUUCAUCUUGUUUGGUGUAGUUCAUCGUUGAGAUUCAUUCACAUAUUUUUAAAAGAUAAAGACCUUUAAAAACUAUUUUAAAAAAUAGAUGUAUUAAAAAAAUUUAUAUUUUAAAAGCAAUUUUCAAGAAUGUAAGGUAAGUUCUUCACUUUUAUAUAACAAUUCUUAUAUUUUUUUGUAUAAGUUACAAUUCUUUUUUAUUUUUAAAAAUAGAAAGCAGAAAAUAUAUCCAAACAAGUACUAAAUAAUUUAAUUUCUCUUUUAUGAUAGCGAUUUUAAGAACCAUAGUUUUUCAAAAUCAAGUUUUGAAGAAUUCAGGUCAACACCAAACAAUUCAUGUUUGGCUUUGAUCAUGUCAUCUUUUGUGAACUUAUUUGAAAGACUUAAGAUUAUAGGCUCACGAGCUUGGUCUUAUUUCAUGGAUGAUUUUCAUUUUCAAGUUAACUCAUCCAUAACUUUCUUUUUGGGUUUGAGGCAAUCUCAAGAAAAAUAUAAUUUUUUUCCUCUAAAAUUCAUUUCCUAUUUUGCUUUAUGUUUAUUUUCUAUGAACUUAAGUCCUAUUUUGAAUAUUUUCUCUAAGUACAAAUUUUAACUUUUAUAUAGAACUUGAAGUCUAAUAAUGAUUUCCCAUCAACUUGUAUUCACAUGUUAAUAAAUUAAAAUCUAUUCAAACAUGAGAGAUAAAUAUCUCUCUCUCUCUCUCUCUCUCUCUCUAUAUAUAUAUAUAUAUAUAUAUAUAUAUAUAUAUUAAGAGCCUGUUUGGUAAUUUUAAAAAAAGAAAACAAUUUCGAAAAAUAGUUUUUGAGAAUAGUUUUUUAAAAUUGUUUUUUGAUUUUUGUAGAACAAAAAUCUGUUUGAAAACCUAAAAUGUUUGAACCAUUUUUUAACAUUUUUAAAUAUGUUUUAAAAUUAAUUUUUAGAUCUAAUGUUUUAUUUUAAUUAUUGUACAUGUUUGUAUAAUUAUUUAUUAAAACAGUCCUUAAAAAACAAGCGAAGAUAACAAAAAAAAUAACAAAAAGAUGUUUUUUAAAAACAUCGUAUCUUCUAUUCAUAAGAAUAGAAAACAGAAAACAGCUUUGAUUGUCAAACAUAGUAUUUGUAUUUUUUUUUAAGAAAUUUUCUUCCCAAAAACAGUUCCUAAAUAAGCCCUUAGUUUUCUAUAUAGAAAAACAAUGAUGAUUAUCUAUUAGAAACAUAAAAAUUUGAGAAAAUACACUGUGAUUGUGGUUAACUUUUUAGGAUCAUAACCAAUUAAAAGGGAAGGUUUUUAAUAUCCUCCUUAUGCUAGAAAAUCCAUUUAAGGUAAUUUAUUUUCUUAUUUAAUAAUGAAAUAUAAAUAAGUCAAUAAUUAGGUCAGCAGAUUUUCAAUGGAUAUGCAUUCAUAGAAAACAAAAUUUCCUUCCUUUUCUUUUCUCAUUCUUUGAAUUUAAAGCAAUUUUCUUUUCUUGUUUAUCAAAAAAUUAUCUAUUUAAUUAAGAAUAGCAUAAUUUAGGAAUAUGAAUUAAUUUGGUAACAAUCUUCUAUGGAAGCACAAUUAGUUCCUUUGAGGUAAUUUGAAAAUAGUAGAGUAGAAUUUAUAUAAACAUUACCUAUUUAGGUUACAAAUUUUCUUAACCGUAUGUAUUACCUAUAAAAACACAUGGUUUCCUUUUUAGUUAUUUCUUAUUUUAUAUCUAUUUAAAUUUUAAGAAUCUUAGAAAUUAACAAAAUAUAAGGUCCUCUCUCUUUUGAAAUUUUUUUGCACUCAAAGAAAACAUAAAUCAAACCCAUAUUUAUUGAGCUAAAAAUGACUUAUGGUAUAAAAGAAAUAUGAAAAAAAAUAUUAAUAUUAACUAAUAUGUAUUUCAAAUAAAAAUUAUCUCAUAAGAGUCUAUUUGACAAUAAUUUUAGAAAACGUUUUUAACAUUUUUAAGACAAUCAUUUUUUUUUUCAUUUUUAAGGUGAAGUACUGAACCAAAAAUUCUUUCUUCAUCAUCAAUCGAAUUCGCAACCUAGGAUUUUGUUUUAUCAUCAAUCCAAUCACCAUUUACGAUUUUUCUUUUUCUUAUCAAUAAAUAGAUCUCUUUAUUUGUAUGACUUAGACAUCAUGAAUUUCUCGAAAAAGUGAUUGGAUUGAUAGGAUUGGUAUGAUACUUAAGAAAUCGAUGAUAUCGAUGAGAUUGAUAUUCAAAUAUUUCUUCUUAAAAUGUAUUGAUUUGAUAUUCAAUAACAUGUUGAAAAUUUUUAUCAUUCAUCAUUUAAGUAUUAAAAAAGUUAAAAACGUUUUCUUAAAAUUAUUGCCAAACAGUCUCUAAGUUUAUCAUAUAAAAUUUUAAUUAUAUAUAUAUAUAUAUAUAUAUUUGCUAAUGAAAACAAAAAAAAUAAAAAUCGAACAAGGUUUUACAAAUUCCAGUUUGUAAAACAACGUUUAAAACAAAACAAAAAGUGGAGACCAAAGCUAUUUUAGAAAAUAAAAAUAGAAAAUGUCUCUCAAACCAAACGCAGCCUUAGGUUUUCUCUAUAUAAAUAUUAAGAAUUCUCCUUCCCUUUUUCAGUUGAUUCUGAUCGGAGUAGUAACAAUGGCAGACGAGAUUAUUUUGCUGGACUUCUGGCCGAGCAUGUUUGGUAUGAAGGUCAGAAUUGCACUAGCAGAGAAGGGUCUCAAAUAUGAAUACAGAGAUGAGGACUUGUUCAACAAGGGCCCUCUACUUCUAGAGAUGAACCCAAUUCAUAAGAAAAUCCCAGUGCUGAUCCAUAAUGGUAAACCCAUUUGUGAGUCUCAGAUAAUAGUUCAGUAUAUUGAUGAGGUUUGGAAGGAUAAAUCUCCAUUAUUGCCCUCGGAUCCAUACCAUAGAGCUCAAGCCAGGUUCUGGGCUGACUACAUAGACAAGAAGGUAUGUCUAUGCUGAUUGCCUCACAUUUUGAUUGUGGUCAGAUAUGUUGUUAUAAUUUUACUAUACAGACAAAUCAUGAUUUUUUAAAUUUUUUUUUCACAUAAUCUGAUAAUAACUGUGAGAUUUUUCUGUGUAACGGAAUCUGAAAAUUUUAUCAAACUAGAUAAGUUCGAUAGAAAUGCAGCAGAAAGGGGCAUUCUUCUGCCCAUAAUCUCCUUAUGAGUAAGUUUAAGGUGCCCCAUAAUAAUUGUUCAACUGCUCCAAUGCUCUUUUGUUGGGGGUUGGACCACAGUAGGUAUGGGAAAAGAAGUGAGGGGGAGAAAAUUGGAAAGGAUGGAAAAUGUUACCAAGGACAAUAAGAUAAAAAAGAGGUACGUUUUGUUUUAUGAAAAUUUGAGAGAAAGAAGGGAAAAAAAAAAAGAGAGAAAAGAAAAAGGAAAGCAAUGAGUAUUUACUUGAUUGCAUAUGAAUAAAAAGGAAAAAAAGUUAAAUUAUUAAGGACAGUAUUUUCUUCAAAUUUUUCAAUUAUUUUUUAGAGAAAAAUUGUACAGACUAAACUUCUAACCAAUAUUUUCAGAAUUGGAUUAGUAAUUGAAUUAGAAGAAUUAUCAGUUUAUGUAGUUGAACCGACAUAUGACAUCAUAAAUAUAUUCUUAUAAAUUAUUAAAAUAAAAAUAAUUAUACAUAUUUUUAAAAAAUAUAUAAAUAAAUUAAAAAUUAAUAAUAUUUCUUUUUUAUCUUAUGCAUACAUAUAAAUGUAUUUUGAAUGAAAUAUGUAUAAUAUUUAAAUAUAAAUAUAUUAAAAAUAAAAAAAUUUAUUUAAUUUUAACUAAUUUUAUCAUUUUUAAAAAUAUUAUAUUAUUUUUAUUUAAUAUUUUUUUUUUUAGCAAAUAGUAAAAUUCUUGCAUUUGUUAUAUAAAGCAACAAAUUGGAUGUAGCUUAAUGGUGUUUCAAUUCAUUCAAUGAUUUGAGGUCGAAAGUUCAAAAUUUUGAGGUGAAAAUAUUAAAAAUUUAAAUGGAAAUUGUUUAAUGGUUGGAUAGGUAGUUCUAGUCCAGUUGUUAACACACUUCUAACCCCACCCCUCUCUCUCUCUCUCUCUCUCUCCUUUUUUUUAAUUGUUUUUUACCCUUUCCUAUGUUAUUCAAGUCUAUUAUCUAUAAUCUAAUAUUUAUUGUCUAUUAUUUAUUAUUUAUUACAAGUCUAAAAGUACGACCUCCUGCUAAAACUUUUCUACCCAAACAUGUCUUUUCAAUUUCUGUUGGUUUUCCUAAUUUUUCUUCAGAAAAACCUAUAAAAAAAUUAAUUCUCUUUCAUACAUACAUGGGAGACCCAAAGUGAAACCCUUCUUCAUAAACCUCUAUAAAAAAUUUAAUUCCCUUCUAAAUAAAAUUGCUUAAUAUAUUAAAGAAACAACCCAUUAGAAACAAUUCUAUAUAUUUUACAUCAUCUCUUUCAUAUCCCACGAUCAUUCCAAAUUAUACAUUGCCCUUUAGAUGCCUCACCAUUCUUCCUGUGGACAAUCUUAACUCUCCCUUCUACAUGCAAGAUAAUAUCCAAAGUAGAAACAAUGCUAGUAGACUUAACACAGAGAAUGACAACCAAGUCUAAAUAGUGAAAACAAGUUCUUUUUUUCCCUUAUCCCUUUCCUUGUGCCCCUUAUUUUGGUUAAUAAUAAUAUGGAUGAAAAGUAAGAGAGAGAUGUCAAUUGCUUAUUAUAAUCUAUUAUUUAUUAGGCUAAAAUAGAUUUGGUUUCUUGGUUGAUUGAUAGUAGAAAAUAUCACUCGAGAAACCCUCACAUCCUUAAAGAUUGCACUUCUUGGGUUUGUUUCUGAUUUUCCUUAUUAAUUUAUUUAUCCAUUAACUUUCUUCUUUUGUAAUUCUAAAUCCCGUCUUUUUAAUGAUUGCCAAGAGGAGGAGAAAAAAUAACCAUCUUAAUAUGAGGUUUUUGGUUUGGGUUUGCUUUAUUACUUAUUUAUCUUCUUAAGAAAGCUUUUCUAAUUCAAAAUUUGCUUGUGCCCUCUAUUUUGGUUACUAAAGAAAAAUAAAUAAAAGAAAGAAAAUGACAUUUUUAGUCUCUUGCUUAGUAAGGUUUUCAGUCCACAAUGAGUGAAGCAAUAUCUUUGGCUUGCUUGUUCAAUAUCUUUUGUUUUGUUAUCUAGACAUUUUGCUUAAGUGAAAAUCGAUGUCUUUGAUGUCAAUGCUUUUAAAUUGCUUUACUCACUUUUUUGCAUCUAGGAAAGAGUUUUUUAGAUUCGAAAAUUUGAAUUUUUGAACUUUAUUUUUUUAGCAUCUAAAUGGGGUAUUUAACAAAGACUUUGAUUCCUAGCAUUUUCUUUUGCUUUGGAAUUUUUAUCUCAUAUGUCCACAUUUUUUUUGCCUAACACCUCUAGUAUGAAAUAGAGAAAAAAAUUAUAAAAAUUAUAAGGAUAGGUUCUAAUUCUUUUUUAACCCAUACUUUUUAUUGGUAGUCAAAAAAAAAAAAAUAUUUUCUUGUGUUAAUGUCACUAGGAAAAGGCAAGGAAAAAUCCUUUAAAAAAUGAAAAAAAAAAAAAAAAAAAACAGAUGGAAGUUUGAGAAAAAUAAAUUUUUAUAAUAAUUUCAUUUUUCCUUAAAUUUUUUAUGGAUGGUAAAUUUCAAAGAAAAUAAAAUUUAUAAUAUAUAUAUAUAUAUAUAUAUAUAGAUAGAUAGAUAGAUAUAGUAAAGAUAGGAGGAUUUAAAGAUUUUAAACAAUGUUUCAAGUGUUUGUUGUAUAUAAAAGGAAGCAAUUUUCUUAAUAGGAUUCUUUUAAACCAAAAAAAAAAAAAAAAAUUAUAGACACAUGCAUUUUAUAUAUAAUAUAGAGUAUAGAUAGAGAAUUUUCCUUUUGAAAUUAUACUUAAAAAAUGCUUAUAUUAGAAGUCAAAAUAUGGUUAGUGAAGGUCAGAGAUAGAGAAGUGCAAGAACAAAUAGCGUUUUUAAUAGGAGAUUUAAGAUUAUAGAAACUAAGAAAAAGAGUUCAGGUAACUUUAAGUUGUUAUCAUCACUAUGUUUGGCAGAUUUUUCUCAUAGAAUAACUAUGUUUUUGCAUAUAUUUUCCAUGCAUUUACUCUACCCUUAUUGAUUUAUUUUUUAUUCGAAUUUAGUGAAAUUAAUUUUCAUACUGUUUAUUCUUUUCUUUUUUUUUUAAUAUAUAUAUAUAUAUAUAUAUACACAUAUAUUUGUUUCUUAGCAACUAAAUAAAUUAUUCAUGAACAUAUGAUUAUGAUAUGAAUAUUUUCUCUUGUUUGAGCACUAAUACUAAGUUUGAUGAUCAAACUUGUUCAAUUGGAUAAUUCCUUUAAGAUAUUAGAUCUUGUUGCUUUCAUGCCAUUACUUCAUUUUUCUUCUUUUUACCUUAUUUACUUUUUGUGCUGUAGUGAGCUAAGUUAUGAAAAGAUGGUGAAAAAAAAAUGACCAUUAAAUGAUAUUUUUGCAAAAUAAUGGUUUUUUUUUUUUUUUAACUCUAAAAUUUUGUUAGCUAUGGAGACAUUUGCAUAUGGUGAAGUAUUGGAACCCAUAAUUCACAUGCACCAUCCACGUGCAUCACACGUGAAACCGUUCUAACAUAACAAAAAUCAAUUUUUACCUAUUUUUACUUUCCUCAAUACUUUCAAAUUAAGGAUCAAGGAUUAGACAUAACAAAAAUGUUCAAAUGUAAAUUUAUGGUUUUUCAUGAUCCUUAAAUUUGAUUCAUUUUUACAUGUAGAAUGAAUAAUGAAUAAAUAUGCAUGUACGUGUUUUAAAAUAAUUAUGAAAAAUUACAUAAGAGAUUUUUUUUUUUAUAAAUUGUUUCACACACAUAUAUAUAUUUUUAAUUAUAAUAGUGUAUAGGCUAAUAAACAAAUAAAAUAUUUAUAUCAUACUUUUAAGAUAAUACUUAAUUUCAAAUAUAUAUGAGAUACUUUUUAUUUAUUUUAAUUUUUCUUUCAUAUUUAUAAUAUUUGCAUUCCUUUUAUAUCAUGGGUCCUAAAAGAUAUUUUUUUUUUAAUUUAUUCCAUUUUUUGUUUUAAACAUUUUAGAAGUUUUCACUUUUCUUAAAAAAAAUUGAAAAUAUCGAAUUCGUAUUUUCAAUUUUUCUAUCAUCUAAACAUGUUUUUAGCCUUGAUUUCUCUUUUCAUUGAAAAAUGAAAAGAGAGAAUAGUCUAAACAAACAAUGCCUAGGAUUCCUAUCAUCCAAUUUGUUUUUUACCUAAUUGCAAGAUUCAAAUUGAGUGGUCAAUUUUUUAUCAUUAAGGAAAGAAAGCAAACUCAGGGUACUAAUUUACAAAUGAAAAGAGAAAAGAGUCUAAACAAACAAUACCUAGGAUUCCUAUCAUCCAAUUUGUUUUUUUACCUGAUUGCAAGAUUCAAAUUGAGUGGUCAAUUUGUUAUCAUUAAGGAAAGAAAGCAAACCCAAGGUACUAAUUUACAAAUGAAAAGAGAAAAGAGUCUAAACAAACAAUGCCCCGGAUUCCUAUCAUCCAAUUUGUUUUUUACCUGAUUGCAAGAUUCAAAUUAAGUGGUCAAUUUUUUAUCAUUAAGGAAAGAAAGCAAACUCAGGGUAUUAAUUUACAAUGUUACUAAGAGUAUGUUUGAUAGUGUUUUUCUCAAAGUAUUUUUAGUAAAAGUAUUUUAUCUAAACGUGUUUUAAAAAAAUUAUCUUCCAAGUGUUUCUCCAAAAACCAUAUUACAAAUGAUUCUACAAUAUUAUAAGUGACUUUUCAAAAUUUUAAAAGUGUUUCGUAAAAUUUGUCAAAUAUCUAUUUUUUUUAUAAAAAAAAAUUAGAAAUAUUUUUUUUUCUUUCUAAAAUCAUUGUCAAAUAGGCUCUAAAACCCACUAUUGAUGUAUAGCAUUACCCAUUCCCUAGAAAAUGUUUUUUUAUAUCAAAAUGGGAAGAAUUAACAAUCAGGACGUACUUGGAAUCCAUUCAUCUUUUAUAAAAUCAUAGUGUUUGUUUAUGAUAAAAUAAUUAACCUCCAUGAGACUAUAUAUGAAAUGCAGCUACACCUUCUUGGGAAAAGGUUAUGGAGAACCAAAGGAGAAGAGCAGGAGGCAAACAAGAAGGAGUACAUUGAAUGCCUUAAGCUAUUGGAAGGAGAGCUAGGAGAUAAGCCAUAUUUUGGUGGUGAAAAUUUUGGUUUUGUGGAUGUGAAUCUUAUGCCAUAUUUUAGUUGGCUUUAUGUAUUUGAGAUCGCUGCUAACUUCAGUAUAGAAGCUGAGUGCCCAAAGUUGAUUACAUGGGCUAAAAGGUGCAUGGAAAAGGAGAGUGUGUCCACUUCUCUUCCUGAUCGUCAGAAGCUUUAUGACUUCUUUUUACAAUUGAAGAAGUGGCAUGGUAUAGAGUAGAACAGUGAAAGCUAGCAUAUAAAAUGUUGGGGAGAACACUUAGGUUCAAUUCACUUGUGUGAAGUUGGAGUUUGUUUUAUUAAUAAGGAAGUGCUUUCUAAGUGUGAUUUAGAAAGAGAUGCAAAACAUUGGUAAAUCCUUUCUUCAUGUGUACUCAUCAAUAUUUACAUUGUUUUAUUAUUAUAUUAUUAUUAUUAUUAUUUGAGAUUUUUUUUCUCUAGAAACAUUAUAAAGUAAGAAUUUGAAAAAAAGAAAAGAGUUUAUUCUAGUAAUAAUAAGUUAAAAAUAAAUUCAUAUUCUUGAUAAUAAAUAAAUCAAUAAUAAAUUUGUAUUUAUUAUAUUAUAUUAAUAAUUGUUUAAUAUAAUAGAGAAUAAAAUUUGUUGUAAGAGUUUUUUAGAUAUAAAAUGUUUUGUAAUACGGUUGUAAUUUGAUAUAUAAUAUAAAAAUAAAUAAAUAAUGAUUUUAUAUUAAAUAAAUUAAUCAUAAUUAAAAUAAUUAUAUAUUAUUAAAUUUAUUAUUUAAUAAACAAUCCUGUUACUUUUCAAAUUAGUAAUUAUGAUUAAAUAGGAUUUGUUUGACAAUAUUUCUUCUUAAAAUUCUAAGAAAUAAAAAAAAAUAUUAAUCAUAUUUAAAUAGGAUUUUUUACACUAUUUUCUAAACUUUUAGGGAACUAAAAUUGUUAGAAAAAUUAGGCUAAUCCAACUUAUGGUAAUCACCCUAGAGGGGGGGUGAAUAGGGUGAUGGUCUCUUUUUGCAAAUUUAAACUAUGUGAAUGUAAGAGACAAAUAUAUGCAAGUAUAUAAUAAAACAAUAUAAAGACAAUUGCAUAUAAAGUAAAAGAGUAGAGAAGAGAGAAUGAAAACACAAGAUUUUAUAGUGGUUCGACGCAACCCGACCUACAUCCACUCUUCUCUAGUUUCAAUCCCAAGCUUGAGGUUCCAUUAGUUCAAGGCUUCCAAACCAAGCCUUCAAGCAAUACAAUUGGAUUAUGGUUCCAAUUCACCCUUUUGGACUUUUGGCUCCAAGCACCCUUUACAAUCCUCAAGAGAUACCCUACUCUUGAACAACCUCGAUCUCAAGUGAUAUCCCACACUUGAGAAUCUUACUCUCAAAGAUAUACAAAUAAUUGAUCUCACAAAAUCCUAGUACAAAAAAUUCAAGCUCAAAUGAUACAAGAAAACUAGGAUUGAAUGGUGCACUAAUUAUAUGCAAGUUUUAGAACAAUGGUGCCUCAAAACACUCUUCCAAGGCUCAAAUAUAUUCAAGAAAGGUUUGGGAAGUGUUAGCCCAAGGGUUCUCCUAAUUAGGUUUUGAUGAUAACAAACCAUGGUUAAGUUACUAAUUGGUUUGAAUUGUAAAGAAUCUAGGUAUUAAUUUGGAAAUUCAUCAAAGGAGCUAAUGGAUACAAGAUUGAGACAUUUGGAAGACUUUUAAUCAUAGGAAACAAAUGUAAUAUGAAUGCAUGGGUGCACUUAGGUUUUACAUUUCAUUUCAUGCAUUUUUGAAAGCUCGGUUUAUUCUUUAAAGUUACAAUUUCAUUAAAACCCGAGUUUGGUCAAAUGUACCUUAGGCAAAACGUUUCAAAAUUGGCAUAUUAAUUUACCUAAAAACCUUGCAUAAGUGUUAAAAAAUAAAGGAACUGAAAAAUAUAGGUUUUUGGGGCCAAAAGAUUGAAUCAGUCGAGGCACUAGCCAACUGGCUCAAUCGGCCAAGGAACCAGUUGACCGAUUGCCCUUGUACGGUCGAGAUCCAGUCGAGGAGUUUAAAAACACUCUCUUUCAUCCAAUAACUUUCUCCUUCCCGGUCUGAUCGAGGUUCGGUUGAAGCAACGAUAACCUGCUAAAGUAUUAAAUGCUCUAACGGCUAAUGAACUGAUCGACCCCCAAAUCAACCGGUUGAGGCUACUUUUUGUUUUUCUUGGCUCCCGAGGUUAGAAACCUAUAAAUUUAUAGCUCCACUUCAUUUAUGAUAUAGAGAACACUUGCAACCAAUUGUAUACCCACUUGUUCUUGCCUUAAAAGCUCUCAUUUCUUUCUUCGUGCAUUAAAUCUUCACUUACAUAUCUUUUAAUGCACCCUUGUGAGUCAUCCUAGCUUUGAUUUGUAUUUGAGCCAUUAUUGAGCUAGGUUGAGAGAAGAUCAUUCUUGUAAAUUGAGUAUUAGAGCCUUCAAGUGAGUUGAAUCUUGAAGGGAUUGUGUAAGAGCCUAUUAGAACCGGAAUCCAAGUGUAAAGAAGAUUAGAAGCUUGGUUGAAGCUUCAAGUUAGUGGAACCCUCACUCGAUUAGGAGAUUAAAGAGAGUGGACGUAGGCAAGGAAGUGUCAAACCAUUAUAAAAUCCGAGUUUGAUUUCUCUAACUCUAUUUCUUUAAUUUUUGCUUCUAUUGUGCUGGAAUUUGUUGUGUUGAAAAAGAUUUUGAAAAACCCAAUUCUCCCCCUUUUUAGGUGUUUUUAUCAUUUAAGUUUAACCCUUAUUUUCUCAAUUGGUAUCAGAGCAAGGCCUCUUGUUUAAGACUUAAUCGUCUAAGAGGAAAUGGGUAUUCCAUCAAGCUCAUCUCACACUGAAAUUUUUGCAAAACAUAGAGCUCCAUUUUUACGGGAACCAACUAUCCCUAUUGGAAAACUAAAAUGACUUGGUAUUUACAAUCAACCGAUUUAGAUGUAUGGAACGUCAUUGAAGAUGGCCCAACUUUUCCUACAAAACUAGUUGAUGGAGUCAUGGUUCCAAAACCCAAGCAAGAAUGGAAUGAGCUUGAUAUAAGAAAUUUCAAUUAAAUGCUAAGGCCAUUUUCACAUUGUAAUAUGCUAUGGAUAGAAAUGAAUAUAAUAGAACAUGUCAGUGCAAAUUGGCUAAAGAAAUUUGGAGAUUGCUUGAAAUAACUCAUGAAGGAACAAAUCAAGUGAAAGAGUCAAAAAAUAAUUUACUUGUUCAUAGCUAUGAAUUGUUUUUUUAUGAAAGAAAGUGAGACUAUUGUUGAGAUAAUCACUAGGUUCACCGACAUUGUCAAUGGUUUUGAAGCAUUGGGAAAGACCUACAAGGAAUCCGAAAAGGUGAUGAAGAUAUUGAGGUCACUCCCAUCAAAGUGACAUACAAAGGUCACCGCAAUUCAAGAAGCAAAAGACUUAACCAAGCUACCUAUGGAGAAGCUCAUAGGGUCAUUAAUGACAUAUGAGAUCAAUUUGGAAAAGAAGCUACAAGAAGGUGAAGACAAAAAGAAAAAGAGCAUAACUCUCAAAGCUACAACUAAGGAAGAAGAAGAUGUUGAAGAAGAAAAACCAAGUGAAGAAGAUGAUGAUUUAGCCCUCAUCAUAAGAAAGCUCAACAAAUACAUGAGGAGUGAAAGGUUUAGAGGAAGAAGGUUCACCUCUAGAAGAGAUCUUUCUAAAAAGGAAUCUUCAUUUCAUGGUGACAAGGAGAAAUGAGAAGAGAAAAAAGAUUUGGUGUGUUUCAAAUGCAAAAAACCGAGACACAUUAAAUAUGAUUGUCCUCUUUACAAAAGUGAAGCCAAGAGGAGAAUGAAGAAUGCAAUGAAGGCCACUUGGAGUGAAAGUGAAGAAUCAUCUGAAGAAGAAAAGGAGAAAAAAAAGUGGCAAGCAUAUGCUUCAUGGCAAUAGAUGAACUUGAUGAAGUAAACUCUAACUUUAGUAAUGAAAAUAUGCAUAAUGUUUUUGAAGAAUUGUAUGAGGAUUUUGAAAAACUUAGUUUGAAAAUUAAUUCUGUUAAAAAGAAAAUUCAAGAACUUGAAAAAGAACUUGAAGAAGUGAAAGAAAAAUUUUCAAUUGUUGAAAUUUCUAAAACUCAUCUUGAAAAGGAAAAAUGAGAUUUUGAGAAAGAAAAAUGAAUGGUUGACCUCCUCUCUCUUAAUAUUUUCUUGUGGACAAAAAUCUUUUGAAAUGAUUCUAGCUAGCCAAAAAUGUGUUUUUGACAAACAAGAGCUAAGAUUCAAAUCUUCAAAAAAAUCAAAAGUAUUUUAAAAACUAUUUUGUAAAAGAAUCUACAAGUACAAGUCCUUCCAUUACUUGCAACUUUUGUGGAAGAGGAGGGCAUAUUAGUAGUACAUGUCCUUUAAGAAAUGGUUCUCAAAAGAAUUCAAAUGCAAAAGCUAAAAAGGUUUGGAUUGAAAAAUCCAAGGUCACUAACCCUCAAGGACCCAAAAAGAUAUGGGUACCUCAAUCAACUUGAGUUUUAUUUUGUAGAGUUCAAAGAAGGAUAAGUGGUUCUUGGAUAGUGGAUGCUCAAGACACAUGAUUGGAGAUGAAUCUAAGUUUUCUUUCCUUACAAAGAGAAAUGGAGGAUAUGUUACCUUUGGAGAUAGUGCAAAAGGAAGAAUCAUUGGUCAAGGCAACAUUAGUAAUGGCACAUCCUCUCUUAUUGAAAGUGUUUUAUUAGUGGAUGGUUUAAAACAUAACCUUUUAAGCAUUAGUCAACUUUGUGACAAAGGUUUUAAAGUGAUUUUUGAAGCAUCUCAUUGCAUCAUCAAGGACAUUCAAAAUGAUAAAACCAUCUUCAUGGGCCAUAGAUGUGAUAAUGUUUAUGCUAUAAAUAUUUCAAAAUAUGAUGGCCAUGAUAGAUGCUUUUCAAGCAUGCAUGAUCAAAGUUGGUUGUGGCAUUGGAGGUUGGGACAUGCUCACAUGGACCUCAUUUCCCAACUCAACAAAGAUGAAGUUGUUAGAGGCCUUCCCAAAAUUAAUUUUCAAAAAGACAAAGUUUGUGAAGCUUUUCAAGUGGGAAAGCAAAUCAAAAACUCUUUCAAAAACAAAAACUUCAUUUCCACAUCUAGGCCACUUGAGCUGCUGCAUAUGGAUUUAUUUGGUCUCUCUAGGACACCAAGUCUUGGAGGAAAGUCUUAUGCAUAUGUUAUUGUGGAUGACUUCUCUAGAUACACAUGGGUCUUGUUUUUAUGUCAAAAGAAUGAAGCCUUUUAUGAGUUUUCAAAGUUUUGCAAUAAGGUUCAAAAUGAAAAAGGUUUUACAAUUACUUAUAUAAGAAGUGAUCAUGGGAGAGAAUUUGAAAAUAUUGAUUUUGAGGAAUACUGCAAUGAGCAUGGUAUCAACCACAAUUUUUCGGCUCCUAGAACUCCUCAACAAAAUGGGGUAUUUGAAAGGAAAAAUAUAACUCUUCAAGAAAUGGCUAGAACCAUGCUAAAUGAAAACAAUUUACCAAAAUAUUUUUGUGCCGAAGCAGUUAACACUUCUUGUUAUGUUUUAAAUAGAAUAUUAUUGAGGCCCAUUCUUAAGAAAACUCUCUAUGAGUUUUGGAAAAACAAGAAACCCAACAUUAGCUAUUUCAAAGUCUUUGGGUGCAAAUGUUUUAUAUUAAACACCAAAGACAAUCUUGGAAAAUUUGAUGCAAAAUCGGAUGUUGGAAUUUUCUUUGGUUACUCAACAUCAAGUAAAGCUUUUAGAGUUUUUAACAAAAGAACCAUGGUUGUAGAGGAGUCCAUCCAUGUUAUUUUUUUUUAUGAAUCUAACAAUUCUCUCCAAGAAAGAGAGAGUUUUGAUGAUGAUUUAGGUUUGGAGACCUCCAUGGGAAAAUUGAAAAUUGAAGAUAGAAGGCAACAAGAAGAAAUUGGAGAGGAUCACAAGAAAGAAGAAUCACCAUUGGCACUACCCUGUCCUCAACAAGUGCAAGGUGAAUCAAGCAAAGACCUUCCUAAAGAUUGAAAGUUUGUUAUCAACCACCCACAAGAUCAAAUUAUAGGUAGUCCAUCUAGUGGGGUAAGAACUAGAACAUUUCUUAGAAAUAUUUGCAAUAAUCUUGCUUUUACCUCUCAAAUUGAGCCUAAAAUUAUAAAUGAUGCUUUAGUUGAUGAAAAUUGGAUGAUUGCUAUGCAAGAAGAGUUAAAUCAAUUUGAAAGAAGUGAAGUAUGAGAAUUAGUACUUAGACCUUCAAAUCAAAGUGUUAUUGGAACUAGAUGGGUAUUUAGAAAUAAGAUAGAUGAAAAUGCCAUAAUUGUUAGAAAUAAAGCAAGACUGGUAGCCCAAGGUUUUAAUCAAGAAGAAGGGAUAGAUUAUGAAGAAACCUUUGCCCCCGUAGCAAGGUUGGAAGCCAUUAGGAUGCUGCUUGCCUUUGCAUGUUUUAAAGAUUUUUUUUUAAUGGCUUUAUAAAUGAAGAAGUAUAUGUUGAACAACCUCUUGUUUUUCAAAGUUUUAACUUUCCUAACCAUGUUUUUAAACUUAAAAAGACACUUUAUGGUUUAAAACAAGCACCUAGAGCAUGGUAUGAAAGAUUGAGUAAAUUUCUUUUGAAAAAGGGUUUUAAAAUGGGAAAAAUUGACACAACUCUUUUCAUAAAGACCAAAGAAAAGGAUAUGCUCUUAGUUCAAAUAUAUGUUGAUGAUAUCAUUUUUGGUGCUACUAAUGUUUCUCUUUGUGAAGAAUUUUCUAAGUGCAUGCAUAGUGAGUUUGAAAUGAGCAUGAUGGGAAAACUCAACUUCUUCCUUGGACUUCAAAUCAAGCAACUAAAGGAAGGAACCUUCAUCAAUCAAGCAAAGUAUAUAAGAGAUCUUCUCAAAAGGUUCAACAUGGAAGAAACCAAAAUAAUGAAGACUCCAAUGAGCUCAUCCAUCAAGCUUGAUAAGGAUGAGAAAGGUAAAUCCAUUGACUCAACUAUGUAUAGAGGCAUGAUAGGUUCUUUGCUAUAUUUGACUGCUAGUAGACCCGACAUUGUGUAUAGGGUAUGCUUGUGUGCUAGAUUUCAAUCUUGCCCUAAACAAUCUCACUUAAGUGUCGUAAAAUGAAUUCUUAGAUAUUUGAAAGGGACAAUGGACAUAGGCUUAUGGUAUCCUAAGAGUGAUAACUUUGAAUUAAUUGGAUUCUCGGAUGCCGAUUUUGCCAGUUAUAAGGUUGAAAGAAAAAUCACUAGUGGCACUUGUCAUUUCCUAGGACACUCUCUUGUUUCAUGGCAUAGUAAGAAGCAAAAUUUGGUAGCUUUGUCAACGGCGGAAGCUGAAUACAUAGCAAUCGGUUUAUAUUGUGCACAAAUUAUUUGGAUGAAACAAACACUUAGUGAUUUUGAUUUAUCUUUUGAGCAUGUUCCUAUUAAGUGUGACAAUACUAGUGCCAUAAAUAUUUCAAAAAAUCUCGUAGAACACUCUAGGACUAAGCAUAUAGAGAUUGGACAUCAUUUUCUUAGAGACCAUGUACAAAAGUGUGACGUAACACUUGAAUUUGUAAGCACAAAAGAUCAACUUGCCGAUAUAUUUACAAAACCUCUAAGUGAAGAACAAUUUGUUGAUAUUAGAACACAACUAGGGGUGAUUUCUUUAUGAUCUAAUGAUUACUUAAUGAAUUCUUGAUGAACAUACCUUCUAAUUGCAUGAAUUUCAUGUCAUAUGCAUCAUAUAGACAGAUACUUAGAUAAAUGGUCAAAUUUUGACCAAAAAAAAAUUCUCUUGGCAUUGGGCAUAAAAAAUUGGAGAUUUCAACUGAAAAGGGCAGAGGGGGGAUUAGAAAACAAGAAAAUGCACAAAAUGUGAAAAGUCAAACUCGUUGACCAUGUUCGUCGGGGCUAGGAAUUUAAAGAGACUCCCGCGCUUCGUUUUCUCCAUUGUUCUCCUCCAUUUCUUUAGGGUUUUUCACAUUUCUGCUUCCAGAGACUAGUUUGAGCAAGAUUUGGACUGAUUGAAUGCUUUGGAUUGGAUCUUUAGGAUAAUUUAAGGCUAGGGUUUCAGCUUUGGAGUGCAUUCUCUUCUUUCCACACAUCAUAGUCAACUUCUUCUCUUUUUUCUUGCACCUAGGGUUUUGGUUGUACUCGUUUCUCUCUUGGUUGUGCUUGUUUCUCUCUCUACCAAUUCCUUCUUCAGUUUUUUGCUUCUUCUCAUGGCUCCUAGGAGAGAGUUGACUGCCUUUAGGGCAUAGGGCAAGCGCCCAUUUGAGCCGUCUCAACCUGCUCAGACAAAGGCUCACCGAAAGGCAAGGUUUUACACUGCCCUAUUGAGCAAUGUGGAGGAUUAUCAGAGGUACAAGCAAAUGUUUGCUCAGAGGAAAGUAGUUCCAGGGAAAAGUAUCAAUUUAUCCCAACUCCAACAUUUCGAGUUUAAAGGAUUUUUCAGCCGGAUGGGGUGGCUACCUAUAGUGACUGUUUUAGAGCCGAUUUUUCUGACAUUGGUGAGAGCGUUCUAUUCGAGGAUGACAUAUGGACUUGGUGGCCCGAUUAUUUCCACUGUUAGAGGAGUUGAGAUUCAGCUGGACCCGGAGAGCAUCUACCACAUUUUAGAUAUUGCUCUAAUUGGAAUUAGGAUGUAUGAGUCUAAGGUUUGGCCCACUGUGCCGGGUUUCAAGCCUAGAGUGACCAUUUAGAGCAUGUACCAAUUUGUAGACGCCCAGGGGAUGGGCAAAGCAUUGGCCCAUAGCUUGACCAUGAGCAACAGAGUACUACACCACAUGAUCUACUCCAUCCUACUACUACAAGGCGAACACCGAGAUGAGGUCUCCUACCUUGAGGUAUUCCUCGUGGACUCCAUUCUAACAGGGAGACGGAUUCACAUGGGGUAUUCAAUAAUGAUGCAUGUGAUCUCAUGCUGUAAGAGUAUGACCCACGUACUCCCCUACGGUUGUUUCCUCACUAGAGUGUUCAAGGAUGUCAGGGUCAAUUUGAGCAGAGAGAUGGAUUUUGAGGCCCCAGCACUUACGAUACAUAUGAUGAGUAGUCUUUGGGGCGGAUGAAAUUUGAGAAGGCCCCCGAUGGUUCCUGGAUUAGGAGAGCAAAAAGACUACCAGCCUAGGCCCGGGGACAGGGAUAGGUGCUUCCUGGAGUAGAGGAGGAGACCGAGAUACGAGAAAUAGAGGGUAUAGUAGACCCUCAAAGAGACUUUUAGCAGAGAGAGCCUAAGCUUGACAUUUCUCCACUGCAGUCUGAGGGUGUUCAAUUUGAGGCCACAUUUCCUGAGUCGAUGAUGUCUGAGUCGACUUAAACAGCGGGACCAUCUUCUCAGCCAUCAUUCACUGAGCCUCCUCACACAGAAACACCACCUCAUCAGGCACCUCACGCUCCUGAUCAUUCGCCUUGGAUGGAUCUAUCUGCUCAUGUUAGCUCUCUUGGCACUCGUAUAGAGGAGCUUGUGGUAGUCAUUGAUAAUCGAUUCUACUCCUUGGAAGAUCACAUGGAUCAAUAUUAGACUGGCUUCAUCUCACAUUUUGAGAGUCUCGAGGCUUGCAUGGAUCAGCAGCAAGUUGCGGUUGAGCUUCUCCAGUAGAGGAUUGAGAGUCGCCAGGAGAGUCAACAUGAGAAGAUGAUGGCUUACCUACACUUUGUGUUUCCACCUCCACCUUCUCAGCCUUGAUUUCAUAGAGAUCCCCAGUCGUUUCUUUUUUAUGUUGCCAAAAAUGGGAGAUAUUUAGAUCUAGGAGACUCACAUGCAUAUCAUUGUCAUAUCAUUUGUUUGGAUUGGCUUAUAUGUUUAUGUUUGAUGUGCAUUUGACUUUACUAUAUAUAUGAUAUGCUAUAUGUUUUAUGAAUCACACCGUUUCCUACUGAAAAUUAGCAUGUCUUGAUUAUCUUUGUUUUAUCAUCAUAAAUUUUGAUUGAUUGAUCCAUGAUUGGUUUGAGGGGGAGAUUUUUUUUCUCCUAGAUAACCAAGGUUUGUCAUCAUAAAAAAGAGGGAGAUUGUUAGCCCAAGGGUUCUCCUAAUUAGGUUUUGAUGAUAACAAACCAUGGUUAAAUUAUUAAUUGGUUUGAAUUGUAAAUAAUCUCAGGUAUUAAUUUGGAAAUUCGUUAAAGGAUCUAAUGGAUAGAUCGAGACAUUUGGAAGACUUUUAGUCAUAGGAAACAAAUGUCAGAUGAAUGCAUGGGUACACUUAGGGUUUACAUAUCAUUUCAUGCAUCUUUGAAAACUCGGUUUAUUCUUUAAAGUUACAAUUUCAUUAAAACCCGAGUUUUAUCAAGUGUACCUUGGGUAAAACGUUUCAAAAUUGGCAUAUGAAUUUACCUAAAGACCUUGCCUAGGUGUUAAAAAAGAAAAUAACUAAAAAAAGAUAGGUUUUCAAGGCCAAAAGACUGAACUGGUCGAGGCACUGGCCAACCGGCUCAACCAGCCAAGGAACUGGUCGACCAGUUGCCCUUGCCCGGUCAAGAUCCAAUCGAGGAGUGUUAAAAACACACUCUCUCAUCUAGUAAAUUUCUCCUUCCCAAUCAAAACAAUGGUAACAUGCUAAAGCAUUAUAUGCUCCAACAGCUAGUGAACCGAUCGACCCCCAUCUCAAUCGGUUGAGGCUGUUUUUUGUUUUUCUUGGCUCCCGAGGUUAGAAACCUAUAAAUUGAGAGCUCCACUUCAUUUAUGAUAUAGAGAACACUCACAAUCAAUUGUCCACCCAUUUGUUCUUGCCUUAAAAGCUCUUAUUUCUUUCUUGGUGCAUUCAAUCUUCACUUACAUAUCUUUUAGUGCACCCUUGUGAGUCAUCCUAGCUUUGAUUUAUAUUUGAGCCAUUAUUGAGCUAGGUUGAGAGAAGAUCAUUCUUGUAAAUUGAGUGUUAGAGCCUUUAAGUGAGUUGAAUCUUGAAGAGAUUGCGUAAGAGUCUAUUAGAUUAGAAGCUUGGUUGAAGCUUCAAGUUAGUGGAACUCUCACUUAGUUAGGAGAUCGAGGAGAGUGGACGUAGGCAAGAAAGUGUUGAACCACUAUAAAAUGUGAGUUUGAUUUCUCUAACUCUAUCUCUUUAAUUUUUGCUUUUAUUGUGCUAGAAUUUGUUGUGUUGAAAAAGAUUUUGAAAAACCCAAUUCACCCCAUCUUGGGUGUUUUUCUCAUUUAAGUUUAGCCCUUAUUUUCUCAGGAAGGUUUAGCUUUUCAACAAUGAAAAUUUAGAGUCUUUUUAUAGAGGAAAAAAAUCAAACUAGCCAUUGAGAGUUCGACCGAUCGAGUUGGGGGUUAACCGGUUGACUAGCCAUUAGCAUUUAAUGCUUGAUAGGUGACCGUUAGACCUCAACCGGACCUUGAUCGGACCUUGAUCGGACCUCGAUCGGUUGAGGUGUGGGUUGACCAAUUUUUCAUUUGGUUGAACAACCAUUCUGGAAGAGAGAGAAGGUUUUUUGCACCCCUUGAACGGUUGAGCUAGUGGUCGACCGGUUAUUGUUCACACCAUUGACCAAUUGAACUAGGAGUCAACCUGUUCCUAGAGAGCUGGUGGUCAAUCAAUUCCUUAUCCGAUUCAACCGGUUGAGUCGUUUUUGGCUCAACAACCAACUUUUUCAACUUAAAACCUUUUAAACAAGUUUGAAAAACAUUUGACACAAGAUUUUAGUUGAAAACAUGAAAUCAUCCAAUUUUAAAAUAUUUUUUUAAAAAAAAACUCUUGGAUGAUUUUGGUGCAUAAGUAAAUAAUGUAAUGCAUGAAAAUCCCAAUGCACCAACAACCUUACAAAGAGAUCUUAUGAAGCUUGGGUCAUGAAAAACACUUCUCUUUGAGGUGGUCUUCUUCUUCAUGAUUUCUCCUUGGCUUGAUUUGUCUUUGUGAUUGCCAUUUUGGAAAUCGUCUUGCCUAGUCACACUUGAAAUAUAAUCAUUAGUUCUAAACCAUGUUUUGUUAUUAUCAAAACCGAGAUUAACCAAACCUUGGUUUCACAAAAAUAAUAAUCCUAUGAGGUGUUUGUUUGUAGAGAGAAAAAAAAUCCCAAAUAAUAAUAAUAAUAAUAAUAAUAAUAAUAAUAUAGUAAUAAUAAUAAUAAUAAUAAAAUAUCUAAAAGAUAGGGAAAUAUCUGUAUGGAGAGUCUAAUUGUCAAUUGAUUUGAAUAACAUGAUAAGUUAAAGGGGCAUUUUUGGGAAUGAUUGGAUAACUCAUUAAAAAAUGCAUAUAUUUCAAAUUAAUUUUAAAUAGAUAAAAAUAAUACUAAGUUUAAAAAUUUUGGAUUCUUUUUUCAUAUAUUUUCAUAUUAGUGAAUCAAAUCCCACUUUUCCCAAUUAUUAAUGUUAAUGAAAUGUCAUUUAACUUCUUUUGUCAAAUCUUAUCAUUAAGCAUGACAAACUAUUUGAUAAGCAAGACAUGCUAUGUAUAUUUAUGGUUAGUGGUGCUCUUUAGUUUGCCUCUUGGCUUGAUGUUAAGUGCUUGACUUUACGGUACCAUUAAUUGGAUGAAAAAUUUAGUGUACAAAUCUAAAAUAAAACUUAUUAGAUGCAAAAUGUAAUAUCUUAACAUUUCAUGGAGAUUGUGAGAUUGAAAAUUUUAUAGCAAAAGUAGUGUUUGUAAAGUCAAAAAGUCAAUUUUAUUGAAGAUAAUUUGUUAGAAAGAUAAGUUUUACCUAUUAUUAUAAUGAAUAUUUUUUGUUUUGAAGAAUUAAUUAUAUUGGUAAAAAUAUAGGUAUAUAAUUUAGUAUUAUUAGUAGUUAAAUUUUGUUAAGAUAUAGGAAAUUUAAUUUAGGGAAUAAAAAAAAUGCAAAGUUUGAAACACAAAUAAAUAUAAUAAUAAUAAUAAUAAUAAUAAUAAUAAUAAUAAUUUAUUUUUUGAAAAACAAACAAAAGAAAGGGAAAGAGAAAUAGUGAAAAGGUCAAAACCAUUUGAGAAAAAAAAAGGAAAAAAAAAGAGACAAAGAAGUUCAUGUUUAGUAGAGAGGUGAGACAAAAAAAGAAAAAAGAAAAAAAAAUUAAAAGGGAGAGUUCCAUACCAUGGAUCUUUGGAAGACCGUAUCAUAGAACAUGACCUAUUUUGUAUGAAAUUUUAGGAGGACGUUCUAUUUAUGUAGGAAACAUUGAUAUAAAGUCUAAUUUUAAAGUUAAUGGUUGGAUUCUUGAUUUUUGAUAGGGUGGUAUAUCCUUAAAAAAUUUAUUUAAUAUAUUUUAGAAGAAAAAAAAAUCAUCGUUAUUGAUGUUGUGGAAUAGAUCUACUUAUAUAAUUGUGAUGCCUACAUGUGAUUUGGUAUAUGAGUGUUGUUUAAAUUUUGUUUUCUUAGUAAUUUUAUGAAUUUUUUAUUGAUGUUAAUGAAAUAAUGGUAGAAGAAAAUGAAAAAUCAUUAGUUGAUAAUUUAAUUCAUAAUUAAUAAUUUCAAUAUAUAUGUAUGUAUGUAUUUAUGUAUAAUAAUGAGAAAUAGAAAAGGAUGAUGCAAAAAAGGCUUGGGAAAAGUAUUAAUAAAGAAUAAGGAGCAAGAUCUUUAAUGUAAAAGACAUAAAAAUUAACCUCGGAAAGACUCUGAAUGGAAAGUGUAUUUGGGUACAAACACAUAUCUUUAAGUGAAAUCAAGAGAAAAAUAGUGCAUUUUAUGAUUGAGUGUAUCCAUCUUCAUUUGCAUUUUCUAUUAAUUAUCAAGAUAUAUGUAUGUUAUAUAUUUGGAUUAAUGUUUAAAUGUCCAUUUUUAUUUUAACAUUUGAUUAUUACUUUUUAACAAUUUUGGCUAUAUUUGGUUGGCUAGAUAUGAUAGAAUAUGAUAUGUAUAUCUUAAGAUAUCAUACUCUAUUAGAUAGGAAAUGCAUAUAUUAGAAUAUGAUUUCUAAUGGGAUAUGAUAUAUUUGGAUAUUAUAUUCAAUAGACAUACUAUCCUAAGAUAGCAUAUCGAAUGGAAUAUGUUACAUUAUAUUAUGUUCAUAUUUAAUUUGUGAAAACAAAUAAAAAAUGGAAUAUAUGUUAUUUUUCAAUGUUUAAAAUAAGAAUUAUAUCGCAUUACAAUAUUUUUCUAUUUAAAAAAGUGAAAUUCCUCUUAUGUUUAACAAUAUUCAUGAUGAAAAUAUUUAAACUUUAUAAUUUUUUUUAUUAUGUUAUUCAAUAUAUAAAAAUAAUAUAUAUAGUACACAUUAAUAUUAUUUUAUCAUUCUUUUUUAGUUUUUUGACCAAAAUUUAAUUUAUAAUUAAAAAAAUUAAUUUGGAAGAUGAAUAUAUGAAAAAAAAAAUUGAUAAAAAAAAAAAAUGCAUGGGAUAUCGAUAUCCUAUAUGUUAGUAUAGGAUUAACAUAUACCAUGUGGAAGAGAUAUAAAAAAGAGGGUGGAUGAUAUAUCCCACCAUUUAUCUUAUCCCAUGUUUGGUUGAUGAUGUGAUAGGAUAAGUUAUGGGAUAGGAUAUAAUAUCCAUAUCUUAUCCUAUCAUGAUAUAUCCAAGCAACCAAACAUGACCUUUAGGUAUUAGACACCCUACUAAGCAACAUGGAAAUAUUCAUCCCUUUCUCUUUAAUAUUUUUUUUUUUUAAGAUACAAAUAUUAUUUAUAAGGACCCAUAGGUGAAUAUACCAAGGAGGGUUUUAGAAUAUCCUAGGAGAUUCAAGAGUUACUUAAAAAUAUUAGUGCUCACUUGUGUUAAACUUUUGGACAUGUAUUCAUUUGGUAAAUUUGGGUAAAUGUAAUAUAAUUACACUUUGGUUGGUUGUAAAUGAACUAUAGGAACAUUUUAUUUAGAAAUGAUUGUAGAGACUUGGACGAUUAUCUUAAGUUGGAAAUCAAUACCAUUUAUAAGCUAGUGAAACCUAAUGGUAGGAAAAAUUUAUUUAAUUGAAUUUUUAGUUUAGCGAAUUUUAUUGAAAAUUAAAUUAGGAUUUAUUCUAAGAUAAAAAAGAAAUUUUGGGUGUACAGGUUGACUGUUAAUUUGAGUAAGAGUAACCAUAAGGGUCAAACCUUUAACCUAGGGUUAGGGUCAAGUUCCAAGUCACUUAGAAUUUGGGUUAUAACAAUGUGGUAUCAAAGCCAAGGUUGCAAUAGUACAUUGGGGGUACUAUUUAUGUGUAUUAUUCUAUUUAUGGAUUUAUUUAUUUAUUAUGGACUUGUAUUUGAUGACCUUUUUGUGGUAGUGUUUGUUGAUGGAAGUAACAUGUGAUACCAUAAUGACUAUGAUGGUUAUGGCUAUAUGAAAAUUGUCAUAGAUAUUAAAAUUGUUAGAUUAUUUUAUGUGAAUCUGUUUUUGCUCACCUUGAAGUGUGAUUGGAUUAGGUCUUAUCAUAUAUUUGAAAAUGGUAGGAAAUACACAAAUCAUAACAAAGAGAGAUGAAAUGGAUUUAGUUAGAGCAGAAUUAAGAGAAGUAAUAAGGGAACUACAAGAAACUACUCAACUACUAAGAGGUUAGAGUUAGGAAAUUAGGGGUAUCUAGACCUAAGUAGAUUUUAAUCAUUCUUAGAGGAGAGUUCACCUAACUACGACAAUUAUGAGUCAAAUGGAGGCUAUGAAGAGAUUCAUGGUGAUGCAACCCCUAUAAUUUACUAGGGAACCAAAUGCUAUGGUGGCAAAAAAUUUGUUAAGGAGCAUAAAAAGAAUAUUAGAGAGUUUAGACAUUCCUAAAGAGAGAAUAAUGAGUUUGGUGAAGUAUAUGUUGAUGAAAAAAGUAGACCUUUGGUGGGAGACAAUAAAGAGAAUAUAUAACAAAUAAGUGAUGAUUUGGAGCAAUUUGAGAGGAUCUUUUUAAAUAAAUAUUUUUUGGAAGUGGCUAAGCAUGCCGAGAAUGAAUUUUGAGCAUCUCAUCUAGGGGACCAUGAUAGUGUUGGAGUAUGGGUCUUGUUUUUCUAGAUUGUCCAGAUUUUCUUUUGACAUGACUAGUGAGGAAACAAAGAAUGAAAAGAUCUUCCAAUAGGGAUUAAGGCCUGCUAUAAAAAAAAAAAAAUGGUGGUUCUAUUAGCUGUAAGGUACUUUAAGUUAGUCAAAAGAGUCUUGAUGGUUGAAUAAGAUAUAGAUGAGAUCAACAAAAUUCGAGACUAGAGGGGAGAUAGGAAGGAAAAGCAAAAAAUAGGGGAAAAAAAAUCCUAGAAGAGGCCUUAGAAUCAAUAGCAAAGGCAAUAAUACCAAUAGUAUGAUGGACGUCUAUCAUUUUAUGUUAGGAGUGAAUAAGUUGUUUAAAGGGUAGUAACCAUUUAUGGAGGGUUUGCUCAUUGAGAGGUGCAUCUUAGACCCAAUUUCAACCCUUAACAAAAAUGAACCUUACUUUUUCAACUUCCUUAAGUUCAAUUGCCUUACUGCCUAUCAUCCUAGUUACUGUCAUCAAUGUAGGGAACCAAAACAUCUACUACAAGUAGUCAAGCUAGAUCAUUUCAAGGGUCAAGUGUUAAAGGAAAAAAAAGACAAGAAUAAAUUAGAGUUUUUGCACUAACCCUAACAAAAUUGGAAAACGAGGUCAUUUUGGUGGAAAGUAUGAUUUUAAUCCAUAGAACUUGGAUGCAUGUUUUGUUUGAUGCGGGUACAAGACUUUUUUUUAUCUCUGUGUCUUAUGCAUAAGCAUUAGGGUUGAAAGGGUAGAAAACUUAUUAUACAUUAAGUCUCCUAUUGACAUGAAUUCUAGAGUUGACACAAAUGUAAAGGGUGUGUAAUCACCUUAGCGAUUGGAGUGCUUCAGGUUGAUUUGAGGGUUCUAGACAUGACUAUAUAUGUUGUUAUCUUAGGUAUGGAUUGGCUAGGAGUUUAUAUAGAGGUCUUAUUGAUUAUCAUCAUUGUAAGAUAAUAUUUCGUUUGCUAGAUAGAUUCAAGAUUUGUUUUGCAGGAAGUAUUAAUUUACCAUUUACACUGUCCAAUCCAUAUUAUCAAUAUGUGUUAAGGAAAGGAUCAAUAAGUUUUCUACCAUGUCUCCAUAGUAGGAAAAAUACCUAAAAGAACAUUAAAGAAAUUCCAACGAUGUGGAAGUUUCAUGAGAUAAUUCUAAAUGAACUGUCAAGUUCACCAAUGCAUAGAGUUUGAUUUUUGUAUCAACGUAUAUCCAAGAACAGAUCUUAUUUCAAUGGCACCCUUAACUCCUCUUAAGUUGAAGGAAUUGAAAACUUAGCUAGAGAAAUUGUUGAAUAAAACCCUUAUUCGACUAACUACAUCACCAUGGGGAUGUAGGGAAAUAUGGAUUAUCCAUUCUUUGGCCUUAGAUUAGCUAGGUGUAUGAAAAACAUUCUUUAAGUUUAUAGAUCUAUGCCCGCUCAACGGAAAACAUAGGUAUCAAAACAACCUUGAUAUAGAAGAAAAAUGUAUUACCUUAAAUGUAGAUAUUCCCAUAUCAAUUCUUAUAAGAGUAGAAAGCUCUAGAUCCACAUAAGAUCUCGUAAACUCAUCUUCUACUCGAUGCCUUUUUCUAAAUCUUGACAUAAAGGGAUGGAAAACUCUAAGAGGGUUGUGACUAGUGUUCUCUCUCUCUUUCUCUCUCUCUCAAAUGUACAAAAGAAAGAGUGAAUGGUAACAUCAAGUUCUAACCCCCAAAAGGUGGGUAUUUAUAAGCUUCUAGUGGGCUUAAGUGUCUUAAGCCCAAAUGUUUUCAAAAUUGGCUCGUUUGUUGUCUUAUUUUUUAUGUCCCAAAUGUUUUAGUAAAUCUAGACUUUUUGGCUUGUUAAAAAAUAUUUUGAAACUUGGAUUGUGUUUCAGACUUCUCAAAUAUAUCAAAGAAUUUUUGUUUUUUUGAAUAAGUCAUCUCCAAGUUUAUUAAAUAAAUUGGUUUUACAAAUCAAUCAUAGUUCUUUGGUUUUUAAUUAAUUUUGAUGUAUUUUUCUCUAUUCCAGACUUUUUAAAUAAGCUUGUAAGCUUUGCUUUUAUUCAAAGAUCAUUUGUCAAGCUUAUGAAUUAAUUCCAUCUUCUCAUGCUUUCUAUUUUGACCUAAGUCUAGAGUUGUGAAUUGUUUUUUAGAGUCUAGGUUAAUUGGUGCAUGUUUGGGCCCCUUGGAAUUUUGUAAUGUAUUCUAGGCAUCUUGAGCAUGUUGUAGAAUUUUUGUUUUGAUUUUUAUCUCACUUUCAUGUUUAUUGAAUAAUUCAAUCUUUGCAUGACUUGUUGUCCUAACCUGCUUUUGUGCAUGAAAGCUUGUGAACUAAUUACCUACUUGUAAGGAACACAUGACUUGGAUUUUUCAUGCACGAGAGAGAAUUUUUUAGUAGAAAGUUCAUGUGUUUCAAGAUCUUCUUCAUUGACUAUAUUUGAUGUGGGAACAUCUAAAUCAAAGGUAAAGUUUUCAAAACUGUUGGAUUAAUUUAUUGUUUUAAUGUAUAUAUGCUUCUGUUGCUAUUAGAUCUAGCAUCUUAGUAUGAUAGAUGCAAGCACCCUUGCGAUCCAAAGCUAGAUUGGAAUAGAUUUUUUUUUCCUUUUUUUUUCUAAAUAUCCCAACAAAUUCCUCUGAUAGGGGUCAUGUCGCACUACUCAAUAGACUACUAUUAUUGUAGUAUCCAACUAAUAUAUACACCAAUGGAGAAUGACUAGUAGACCACCGUCAAUAUGUCAAACACUCUCUAGUUAUUAGGUACAAGCUAAUCAAUGUCAUGAGGGCUAAUUCUAAAGUCUCUUGUGAAGCCGUAUAGUUGGGAAACUACAAUCAAAGUUCUAUAAAACAAUACCCAGUACAAGGCCUUUGGGAGACUUCCUUGUUUGAGGUGGAGUCAACAAAUAUAGUGUGGUAUGAUCGAUAUUAAUCGUGUUCUUAGUGAAAUUUCUUUUAAUUAAUUUAAUAAGAAACUCUAUUUUAAACUAUUUCUCUCUAAAGCUCAACAUAUAGUAAGCUAAACUUGGGAGAAAUCCCUAGUGCAUUGGCUUUUCUAAUGGCAGCUUUAUUUUUAAUAUUUUAUGCUUUUGGCUAAUAAUUGUUACUAUCUUUUUUAUCUUAGUACUGGUGCAAAGUCACUGUGUACAAGGGGUCCUAACAUAAAUUCACAAUCAUCUGAGUAAGAAAAGACAUAGGAGCAUUCCUAGGCACACCACACUCUACUUCAAGAAAUUUGAAUAUUUGGGGAAGAUUGAUAGUAACUCUAAUACAUAUAAAUCAACAUUACUAAAGAUUAAGAGUUUGUUUAGUAGUAAUUUUAGGAAGUGUCUCUAACAUUUUUAACAUUUAAAAAAUUUUAUCUUUCAAGUAUUAGAAAGACUAGAAACAUUUCCUAAAAUCAUUGUCAAACACACUCUAAAAAUGUAUUUUAACAAUGUUUUUAUUUGAAGUGUUUUUAGUAAAAAUAAAUAAAUCUCUAAAAGCGUUUUUAAGAAAAUCACCUAUUAAUUGUUUUUCUAUAAAACAUUAUAAGUGAUUUUCCUAUACUAUAAGUAACUUUCCAAUACUAUAAGUAACUUUUCAGAUUUUUAAAAGUAUUUUUAAAAUUUUUUCAAACAUCUAAUUUUUUUUUCUAAAACACUUUCUAUCUUAAAAGCGCUUCCUAAAACCCACUAUAAGAAAAAAGAUAUAUGGUGACAUUUAUAAUGAGUCACUAUAAACAUAGGGUGUCACUACAACAUAGCGUCACCUUAUCCACUGACACCAUAGAGAGUACCAAUUGGUGACGUAUUUGGAAGCGACACCAAAGCAGAUAAAUGGUGACACAUUCAGAAGUGACACCAUAUAUUUUUAGUGAUAUUUAAUUUGAUAUAGAGUUGUGUGAGAUAUAUAAGGUGUCAUAUUAAAUGCAUCACCUUUGAGUUAUAGUGUGAUGUUAAAUGCAUCACCUUUGAGCUAUGGUGUCGCAUCAUUGUAAAUGAUUAUAGAAAAUAUGGUUGUUUUUUGGUUAAUUAGCUUGUAGAUUUUUGUGAUGCUUAUUAAUAAAUAAGAUCAACUUGUGUAUAUUUUGUCCAUAAAUAUAAUAAUCAUAUCACAUUUAACUUAUAUUUUCGUAAUGCUUAUGGAUUAACCUGUAAUACAUUACAUCAUUUAGUAAUAUUUGUAUGUCAAAUGUUCACAAGAUGAUAGUACAUCAAACCCACAGAAACCAAAAAGAAAAGUGAAUACACAUUAAAAUAUGAUUUGGAAAUGUUAAGCAUUCCAACAUUCAUGUAUACCGGCAUUUCAUAUGCAUAAAACCGGCUAACCAUAAAAUGACACAAGAGUUGCAUCCAAAAACUCAAAAUUCUCAACACCAAAUAAAGUAACGUUUAUGUCCUAUAAUGUAUGGCAUAAGAGUCACAUCUAAAAAUCCAAAAUCUUGUUGCCUCUUUUUCCUUUCUUUUUAUUCUUCAUAAUGUCCUCCCAAGAGUGUAUACUCGCAUUUCAUUGUUUAAUGAGUUUUAGAGUUCUUAUUGAAAAUAAAAAUUAAUCGAUGUUAUAAAAAAUAAACAAAUCUAAGUACUAAUGUUUUCUUUUUUACUUUUUCCCAUUUUGAUAUAAAAAUAGUCCGUAAAUAAUAAGUAAUGUUAUACAAUACCAAUGGAAAAUUCAUAUAACAACUAAGGGACUCACCAUGCAUGAUCAUGAUAAUGAUCAACAUGAUUCAUGAUUAGUUAUAACACCAAAGUAGUUCAUUCUCCUCUAAUUUCAUCAAAUUCUAAUUGAGAAUAUGUUUUUUUUAUAAUCAAAAUGAAAUCAAAUGAGAAUAACAUUGAUAUCACAAUAAUUGGAAGUAUGAAACUAUGUACAAUUCAUUAAAUAAGUAAAACCUUUAAUACAAUAAUUGUAGAAUCAACAAGUAUCACUAUCAAACGGACUCUAAAUAACACUUUAAUACACUAGUAGAUCAAAUCAACAUUUUUAGCUAGAUCUAGUGUAUCCUUUAUGAAAUGUGAGGCAUUUUUCUAGAAAAAGUUCUCACAAGGAUUUGUUUUUACUUAUUACAAAAAGAUAACAUACUCUCAACAAUGAAGCGCAUUGGACAUAUCCAAUAUAUGGCUACUCCUAAGCAAUGAUUAGACAAAGUUGAGGCUAUUCUCAAACUCAUCUAUCUAUAUGACUUUUCCUUUAUAUAAAGAAUUUAGCUUUUAUCUAAAUUCCGAAGUUCAAAUGACAUUUUGUAUUUAUUUUUAUUCAAAUUUUAAAUAAAUUCAAAUUCAUUUAGACUUCAAUUAAAAUAAAAUAAAAAAAGUAACCUAAUGUAACCAUAAGUUAGAUCGAUAUUUUGCUAUAGAACAUUCUGAAUAAAUUUUUAAACAUUUCUCCAAAAAUUUAGUAUUAAUAAAAAUCAAGGAAAUUACAAAAUUAUUUUUAUGUACACUAGAGAUAAGGAGAGUUUAUGGCCAAUGAUAUAUGUGGCUAGAAAAACAAUAUAGGAUGGUAGACCAUUCGACCUUAGAACAUUCAAAGUUGAAGAGACUUUGUGAAUUAUUAGAUAUGGUAUAGUAGAUCAUUCUUCAUCCCUUGAACUCCUUUGUAUCUUAGCACAGAACCAGAAAUGGCAGAUGAAAUAGUUUUGCUAGAUUUCUAGUUAGCGUGUUUGGUAUGAGGGUCAAAAUUGCAUUAGUAGAGAAGGGUAUCAAGUAUGAAAAUAGAUAAGAGGACUUGAGAAACAAGAGCCCUCUCCUUCUUGAAAUGAACCCAGUUCAUAAGAAAAUCCUAGUCUUGAUCCAUAAUGGCAAACCCAUUUGUGAAUCAUUGAUAAUAGUUCAGUAUAUUGAUGAAGUUUGGAAUGAUAAGUCUCCAUUGUUGCCCACUAAUCCUUACCAGAAAGAUCAAGCCAGGUUCCGGGCUGAUUACAUUGACAAGACGGUAUGUCUCUUCUGCUAUUCAUUCAAAAUUAUAUGUAUCAGCCAGUUUAAGCUCAUUUUUGGACAAUGAAUUCUUGCUUAAUCUGAAAAUUAAUGUUAUUUUGCUGCUUACUUUUCAUGUCUUUUUAAUUAGUGGUGUUCCAUAAUGUUGAUCUAUAUUAUGUGGGAUUUCUUUGUGGUUGUCAUAUCUCUAAGGGUUUGCCUUUUUGUUGUAAUACGUGGCUCAUAUUUAAGCGAAAGACAUAUGGAGAAAGGGUAGUACGAUUCAGGGGUAUUUUUGGAAUUUUAUUCCUAAGGGUUAGUAUAAAUACCCUUUUAUGUAACCCUAAUUUGGUACAUAGUGAAAGUCAUUUUCCUUGUUCCUGUGGACGUAGGCAAUUUUCCAUACCACAUUAAAUCUACAUGUUCUUUUUUUCUCAUUUUUCCUAAUUUUUUCACCAUAAAUUGUUGCACGAAUUCCAACAAUUGGUAUUAGAGCGCCAGGUUCAAUUUCUGGGAUUUCUUCUAUGAAGUUCGAUGUGGUCAAGUUCGAUGGAUCUAGGAAUUUCGGCCUAUGACAGAGGAGGGUUAAUGAUCUAUUAGUGCAACAAGGUAUGGUGAAGGCGUUUUACGGAAAACAACCAAAAAGAAUGAAUGAUGUGGAUUGGAAGGAUAUGGAAGCGAAGGUUGCGACAAGGAUCAAGCUUUGUUUGGCUGAUGACGUGAUGUACCAUGUCAUGGAUGAAGAAUCACCGACGACAAUCUGGUUGAAAUUGGAAAAUCAGUAUAUGUCUAAGUCAUUGACGAACAAGUUGUAUCUUAAGUAGAAACUGUAUGGUCUUAAGAUGGCAGAGGGCUCAGAUCUAAGCUAGUAUGUCAACGUAUUCAAUCAUAUCAUUAGUGAUUUGAAGCAAAUUGAUGUGAAGUUUGAAGAGGAAGACAAGGCAUUGAUGUUAUUGAAUUCCCUUCUUGUUUCUUCUACGUAUGAAAAUCUGGUUACAACUAUGGUGUGAGGUAAAUAAACUCUUGAUUUGGAGGAGAUCACGAGCAUUCUUUUAGUAUUUAAUCAGAGGAAGAAAGCCAAUGAUUAGAGUUCUCAGGGUAAAGGGCUUGUGGCAAAGAAAAAUCAAGAAUGUGGGAGAAACAAGUUUCGGAGUGAAUCGAGUAAUAAUAAAUCUCAAUCUAAAUCCAAGAAGAGAAAGGACAUACAAUGUUAUAAGUGCGGAAAAAAGGGGCACAUGAAACGAGAUUGUCCAGAGAAAAAGAAAGGGGGCUCAGUAUUGGAAAAUAAAGAGAGUUCAUCAAAGUCUAUGAAUGUAGUGGCAGAAAAAGACUCAAAAAGUGGUAAUGGUGACAUGCUGUCGGUUUCAUCCAGUUCAAAUCAUCUUACAGAUUCGUGGAUCUUGGAUUCAGCAUGCUCUUAUUAUAUGACACCCAAAAAAGAUUGGUUUAACACAUACAGGUCGGUAAAUUAUGGUUCUGUUCUGAUGGGUAAUGACGCUUCAUGUAAAGUUGCUGUAAUAGGGAAUAUCAUAAUUAAAAUGUUUGAUGGUGUUGUUAAAACGUUGUGUGAUGUUAGACAUGUACCUGAUUUAAGGAAGAAUCUGAUUUCUUUGGGGACUUUAGACUAUAACGAGUUUAGUUACAAAUCUACAAGUGGAGUAAUGAAAGUGAGCAAAGGUGCUAUGAUAGUGAUGAAAGGUCAGAAACUAGUAGGAAAUAUUUAUAAACUGUUAGGUACCAUAAUUGUAAGUGGAGUUGCAAUCGCAGAGUCUGCGUCAGACAAUAUAGUUUUAUGGCAUAUGCGGUUAGGGCAUAUGGGUGAGCGUGGGAUGAUGGAGCUUCAUAAGAGAAAUCUGUUGAAGGGUAUCAAAACAUGUAAACUUGAUUUAUGCAAGUAUUGUGUUUUUGAGAAAUAAAAUAAAGUGUAGUUCAAGACAGCCACACACAAGACAGAGGGGUUUCUUGACUAUGUUCAUACAAACAUUUGGGGACAAGUAAGGGUAGCAUCAUUGGGAGGAAAUAUGUAUUUUGUGAGUUUUACUGACGAUUACUCACGAAAGGUUUGGGUGUACUUCAUGCGACACAAGUCAAAAACAUUUGCCAAGUUUAAGGUGUGGAAAGCUGAAGUAGAAAACCAAACAUGGAGAAAGAUAAAAUGCCUUAAGUUAGAUAAUGGUAUAGAGUAUACAGAUUCAAAGUUCACGGAAUUGUGUGAGCAACAUGAGAUUAAGAGACACUUCACAGUACGCAAGACACCACAACAAAAUGGUAUAGCAGAAAGAAUGAACAGAACGAUAGUUGAAAGAGCUCGAUGUCUCAAAUUGAAUGCAGGCCUUGAAAAGAAAUUUUGGGCAGAAAUAGUGAACAUGGCAUGUUACUUGAUCAAUAGGUCACCUAGAGCAGCAUUAGAUAGGAAAGUAGCAGAUGAGGUAUGGACAAGCAGUCUAGUAGAUUGUUCUGGUUUGAGAGUAUUUGGGUGCCCAACCUAUGUGCACAUUCCUAAUGAGGAGAGAUCAAAGUUUGAUGCGAAGUCUAGACAGUGUAUCUUUCUGGGGUAUCAGAAAUGGGUGAAAGGCUUCAAGCUCUGGGAUCCAAAGGCAAAUAAGGUGGUGAUUAGUAGAGAUGUAGUUUUUGAUGAGAAACCCAUGUUACAGUGUACUCAGAAAUGCAAGAAACAGGAACCAGAAAAUUGCAGCAGUAAUGAGCAGCUGAUACAUGUGGAAUUUGAGACUCAUGAUAUAGAGGAUCGAGCUUAGAAUACAGGGAAGUCUAGUUUAGAAGAUCAACAGCAUCAUAGUAUAGACAUAGACAAACACAGAUGUACUAUUAAGCCACCUACUAGGUAUGGUUUUGAAGAUUUAGUUUCUUAUACAUUGAUUACUAGUAGUGGGGAUCCUACUACCUUUCAAGAGACAAUACACAACCAAAAGAAAAGUAAAUGGAUGAGUGCUAUGGUGGAGGAGAUUCAGUCUUUGCAUGAGAACCAGACAUGGGAUUCGGUGGAGCUUCUAGAGGGUAAGAGAGCAAUAGGAUGUAAAUGGGUGUACAAGAAGAAAUAAGCAAUUUAAGAAAAAGAGGGUGAAAAGUUCAAGGCUAGUUUAGUAGCAAAGGGUUACUCACAAAGGAAAGGGAUUAACUAUGAUGAGAUCUUCUCUCCCUUGGUCAGACACACAUCCAUCAGGACAAUGUUGGGUUUGGUAGCACAUUUUGACAUGCAAUUGGAGAAAAUGGAUGUAAAGACAACUUUUCUUCAUGGUGAUUUGGAGGAGUUGGUCUAUAUGGUAUAGCCAGAAGGGUUUAUUCAACCUGGACAAGAACACUUGGUCUGUAAAUUGAGGAAAUCACUUUAUGGGUUAAAUUAGUCCCCAAGGCAAUGGUACAAGCGAUUUGACUCCUACAUGAUCAGGAUUGGCUACAAAAGAUGUGAGUAUGAUUGUUGUUUUUCUAUAAAGAGCUUAGAUGAUGAUUAAUCGUUUAUUUUUCUAUUACUCUAUGUGGAUGACAUGUUAAUUGCUGCAAAGAGUUUGGUUGAGGUCAAUAAGUUAAAGUCUUUGUUGAGUAAGGAGUUUGACAUGAAGGAUUUAGGUGCAGCCAAGAAGAUCCUUGGAAUGGAGAUUCACAGGGAUAAAGCUUCAGGGAGAUUAUGGUUAUCUCAGCAUAGCUAUGUCAAGAGAAUGUUAGAGAGGUUCAAAAUGGAUAAUGCAAAACCAAUAAGUACACCUUUGGCAAAUCAUUUUAGGUUGUCUACUAGUCAAUGCCCAAAGACAGAUGAUGAAGUGAAUGACAUGUCAAAGGUUCCAUAUGCAAGUGCAGUGGGAUGGUUGAUGUAUGCUAUGGUUUGUACAAGACCGGAUUAGGCACAUGUUGUUAGUGUGGUGAGCAAGUUUCUAUCAAAUCUGGGAAGACUGCAUUGGGAUGCAGUCAAGUGGAUUUUUAGAUACAUAAGGGGUACUACAGACUAUGGCAUCACGUUCAGCAAACAAUAGAGUGAUCCUUCAAUUAAGAGAUAGGUUGAUACAGACAGUGCAGGAGACUUGGAUGACAGGAGGUCUACCACAGGUUAUGUAUUCACCCUUGGUGGGGGACCUAUUUGUUGGAAGUCUAUGAUACAGUCUUUAGUUGCACUAUCUACUACUAAGUCAAAAUAUAUGGCAAUAACUGAGGCUACAAAGGAAUCAUUAUGGCUUACAAGUUUGGUUAAGGAGUUAGGUAUUCUACAAGGUGGAGUUCAAUUAUAUUGUGAUAGUCAGAGUGCCAUUUAUUUAGCAAAGAACCAAGUGUAUCAUGCAAGGACCAAACACAUAGAUGUGAGGUUUCACAAGAUUAGGGAAUUGGUUUCUUUUGGUGAAUUGUUACUUGAGAAGGUUCACACCUCUGAGAAUGCAGCAGACAUGUUGACAAAGCCUGUUACCACAUAAAAGUUCAAGCAUUACUUGAACUUGAUUAAUGUCUCCAGAUGCUAGAUAGGAGAUACCCUAACCUAUUGUCCCAGAUGGAGUUAUAAGCUAUGUUUUUUGUCUCCUAAGGGAGGGGAGGGGGGAGGGAGUUAAUAUUCGUCAAGGUGGAGAUUAUUGUAGUAUGUGGCUCAUAUUUGAGCAAAAGACAUAUGGAGAAAAAGGGGUAAAUGCAGGAGCGAAGUGGAGUGACGACAUUUGCCAUUCAAGCUUGUAUUUCUAUUGUUGUGGGUGAACGAUAGGUUGGGGAGGGUGCGGGAGCAACACCCCCGAUGGUACGAUUCAGGGGUAUUUUUGGAAUUUCAUUCUUAAGGGUUAAUAUAAAUACCCUUUUAUGUAACCCUAAUUUGAUACAUAGUGAAAGUCCUCUUCUUUGUUCCCGUGGACGUAGAUAAUUUGUCAAACCACUUUAAAUCUGUGUAUUCUUUCUUUCUCGUUUUCCCUAAUUUUUCACCAUAAAUCGUUGCACGGAUUCCAACACUUCCUUUUUUGCCUCUCCUUAUCUCCAGAGACAUAGAAUUCAUUAACAAACAAAUUUUUUCUAGCUAAAAUAUUUACCGGACUUGAAGAAUUUGGUAAUUUUAUUAUUUGACAAUAGAAUUUGGCAUUUAUGGAAAUAUUGAUAGAAGUAGACUCAUAUCAUUAUUUUAUAAAUUACCUUUAUUGUUGCAAUUCCAUGUUCUGUCACUCCGUGUUCUCUUUUAUUCUUUUCCUUGAUAAGACUGACCGUGAAAUGUAGAUAUACAAUCUUGGGAGCAAGUUGAUACGGUCAAAAAAAGAAAAUCUGGAGAUACCCAAGAAGGAAUUCAUAGAAUGCCUUAAGCUGCUGGAAGGAGAGCUUGCAGACAAAUCCUACUUCGGUGGUGUAAAGUUGGGAUUAGUGGACAUUGCUCUGGUGCCAUUUUGUAGCAGUUUUUACGCAUACGAGACCUUUGCCAACUUCAGCAUAGAGG